GCCAGUUUCCUAAUAACUUCCCCAACGACAACCAUGGCUAGACCAAAGUUACUUAUCCACCAAUGUUCCUUUAAACCAGGGAAAAUAUAAACUUCAACCAAGUACUCUAGCAAUGAAAAUAUCAUCGCCACGAGAUAAUUUUUGCUGAUCAGCAAAGACUUGAGAGUAACAUUCGACUUCCCGUGGAAAAUAAUUGCUAGAAUGUAUUCCGAAACAUGAAAGAAAGCUAUAGAAAAUAGCAUUUCUGAAACCUGUCUACAGGCUGUAUAACUAAAGACUUGUGUCAUUUUGUGAACUAUAUAUAUAUAAGCCCCUCUCCGCAAACCAAGCCCGAACCACGCCUAGUAUUUCCUUCAGCAAAGAGUCAAACUAACUGCUGCCUUCUAAUCCAGACCUGAAAAUUUUGCAUUGGUAAGAUUGGAUUAGCUUGCCUAAUCCCUAAUUCAAUACUCCCUCCGUCCUGGUAUACAAGUCAGAUCGACUUUUUGCAUAUAUUUCAGAAUGCAUACAAAAGAUAUCUCUGCUUGAUAUUUGAAUUUCUAUAUAAGUUACUUUUCUAUAUAAGUUACUUGCAGAAAGUAAUGGGACAGGACGGAGGGAGUAUAGUUUAUCUAUAAUCUCGAUAAAGUAAAAAAGAAAUUAUUGAGAGCUAACUAUAUAUAGCAAGUAAACAGGAGGUAUCUAGCAAAUUAGCAACCAAGCAAGAGGUGCUUAAUAAUAGUUGAGCAGCAAUGUACGAACUACAAUUAGGUGGAAAAUACAUGAGGAUGAAACUAGGGUUCACAUAUUACAAAUUACAAUAGAGCAUGCUAAAGAGUAAACCAAAUAAGUAACUUACAGAGAAAGAGUGAUUAAAUCGAAAAUUGCCUUGGAUUGAUUUGGAUAGUCUGACACUCCGGCUUGUAGUAUCCAGUGCUAUCAGAGUCUCGGCGUUGAUCGGCAGCGGAGAGGAGAGAAACCGUUCAAUUUUAUUGUAUUUGGGUUGGGCUAGAUUCUCAUGGACUUGUAACAAUAUAGGACUAUUGGGUAUGGAGUAAUUUGCUAUAGACCUCUGACCCACACAACCCAAAUCUAAACAAGUAGAAAUGGAUUGGAGCAAAACACUAUAACCCCGUUACCUUUUCCCCUUUUUUCUUUGAAAAUAUAACCCCGUUACUUUCAGUUAAAAAUAAAAUAAUGUUUGUCAAAAAAAAAAUAAUGUUACUCUCGAAAAAAACUUAAUAAUUAAUUUAAAUCUAGUUCUUACAAAAAAUGACUCUUAUUGAUUUUGAUUUUAAAUCAGUUUAUGAAGAUAUCUAUACUAUACUAUUAAAGCCGAAACAUUAAAAGUUUGGUCGGUCGGUCGGUACUUGGGCCAAAAUACGGGCCUAUCUAUAUAACCAAUUAUUCUGGGCUUAAGUACGGGCAUAUCUAUAUAACCAAUUAAUAAUAAUCCUUUUAAAACUGAAACAUUAAAAAUUUGGUAGGUCAGUACUUGGGUCAAAAUACGGGCCUAUCUAUAUAACCAAUUAUUCUGGGUCUAUCUAUAUAACCAAUUAUUCUUUUUAAUUUGGGCCAUAUUACGGGCCUAUCUAUAUAACCAGAUAAUCCUUUUAAUUGAAAUAUAUUACUUUUUUAUAUUUUUGACUAAAAAACUCAAUCUUCUAAAAUAACAUUGAGAAACAUGGUAAUUACUUUUUUAACUAAAAUAUAUUAUCUUUUUAUAAAUUUUCCAACUAAAAAAUUAAUCUUUUACAAUUAAUACGGACAUGGGCGACAUAUUUAUACGUAAAGAUGUGUGCCAAAAGUAUAAAAGUCAAAUAAUAAAAAAUAGAGGGAGUAUUAUUAUAUUGGUCGGGCGGUCGGUACUUGGGCCGAAGUACGGGCCUAUCUAUAUAUAUAACCAAUUAUUCUUUUUAACUAAAAUAAAUUAUCAUUUAUAUAUUUAUUAGAUAAAAAACCUAAAUCUUCUAAAAUAAUAUCGAGCAACAUAGUAAUUGUCUUUAUAAUCAAAACGUUUUAUCUUUUUUAGAUUUUCUAACUAAAAAAACCGAGUUUUUACAAUUAACACGGGCGCCAUAUAUAUAAAAAUAUAAUAUCAUUAAAUAUAAUUAUUAAUAAAUAACAUGUGAUAUUAUUCAACCAAAAUACAUUAAUAACAUUAUUUUUAAAUACUCUAAUGAUCUCAUAUUAAAAGAAAUAUUACAAAUCUAUCAUAUACUAUAUAUUAUUACACUAUUAAAGCCGAAAAUAAAAAUUCACUUGGUUGGUCAGUUAGUUGAGUUUGGUGAAUCCUUUGGUAUUCGACCCACGGAGCUCUUAAAUUUAUAACAUGUUAUAGUAUAUUUUUUAUUAUCAAUUAAACCAAAACAUCAAAUUUAGGUUAGUAUGAUGGGGAGGUAUUUGGUUCAUGCGUAUGUUUUAUACCAUAUUAUUAAUUAUUAUUAACUAAAUAUCAAAGGUUGAUUGGUUAGUUUAUAUCUGAGUUUAUAGGCCACCUUAAAUUAUAACAUGUAAAAGAAAAUAUUUUAACAUUCUCAUUAAAAUAUAUAUGUUCGACCUAAUUUUUCAAUUAGUCCAUNNNNNNNNNNNNNNNNNNNNNNNNNNNNNNNNNNNNNNNNNNNNNNNNNNNNNNNNNNNNNNNNNNNNNNNNNNNNNNNNNNNNNNNNNNNNNNNNNNNNNNNNNNNNNNNNNNNNNNNNNNNNNNNNNNNNNNNNNNNNNNNNNNNNNNNNNNNNNNNNNNNNNNNNNNNNNNNNNNNNNNNNNNNNNNNNNNNNNNNNNNNNNNNNNNNNNNNNNNNNNNNNNNNNNNNNNNNNNNNNNNNNNNNNNNNNNNNNNNNNNNNNNNNNNNNNNNNNNNNNNNNNNNNNNNNNNNNNNNNNNNNNNNNNNNNNNNNNNNNNNNNNNNNNNNNNNNNNNNNNNNNNNNNNNNNNNNNNNNNNNNNNNNNNNNNNNNNNNNNNNNNNNNNNNNNNNNNNNNNNNNNNNNNNNNNNNNNNNNNNNNNNNNNNNNNNNNNNNNNNNNNNNNNNNNNNNNNNNNNNNNNNNNNNNNNNNNNNNNNNNNNNNNNNNNNNNNNNNNNNNNNNNNNNNNNNNNNNNNNNNNNNNNNNNNNNNNNNNNNNNNNNNNNNNNNNNNNNNNNNNNNNNNNNNNNNNNNNNNNNNNNNNNNNNNNNNNNNNNNNNNNNNNNNNNNNNNNNNNNNNNNNNNNNNNNNNNNNNNNNNNNNNNNNNNNNNNNNNNNNNNNNNNNNNNNNNNNNNNNNNNNNNNNNNNNNNNNNNNNNNNNNNNNNNNNNNNNNNNNNNNNNNNNNNNNNNNNNNNNNNNNNNNNNNNNNNNNNNNNNNNNNNNNNNNNNNNNNNNNNNNNNNNNNNNNNNNNNNNNNNNNNNNNNNNNNNNNNNNNNNNNNNNNNNNNNNNNNNNNNNNNNNNNNNNNNNNNNNNNNNNNNNNNNNNNNNNNNNNNNNNNNNNNNNNNNNNNNNNNNNNNNNNNNNNNNNNNNNNNNNNNNNNNNNNNNNNNNNNNNNNNNNNNNNNNNNNNNNNNNNNNNNNNNNNNNNNNNNNNNNNNNNNNNNNNNNNNNNNNNNNNNNNNNNNNNNNNNNNNNNNNNNNNNNNNNNNNNNNNNNNNNNNNNNNNNNNNNNNNNNNNNNNNNNNNNNNNNNNNNNNNNNNNNNNNNNNNNNNNNNNNNNNNNNNNNNNNNNNNNNNNNNNNNNNNNNNNNNNNNNNNNNNNNNNNNNNNNNNNNNNNNNNNNNNNNNNNNNNNNNNNNNNNNNNNNNNNNNNNNNNNNNNNNNNNNNNNNNNNNNNNNNNNNNNNNNNNNNNNNNNNNNNNNNNNNNNNNNNNNNNNNNNNNNNNNNNNNNNNNNNNNNNNNNNNNNNNNNNNNNNNNNNNNNNNNNNNNNNNNNNNNNNNNNNNGGUUAUUUUUUUAUAAUAUUUGUUUUGUUCAUCGGACAUGUUUGUUGUUGUUAAUUUUUUAUAUUAUUUACUUUGUAUACAUGAAAAAAUUAUUCAUGCAUUAUCUGUUUGCUCCGUUCAAGCAACUUUUAGCUGAAGACUGUUCAGUAUUAAAAAUUGGAGGAAGAUGACAAUGUAAGAACAUGAUUACUUUUCAAAUUAAAAAAAUAAAGUUUGUUGCAAGUAAAGAUAGUUAUAGACCGCUAUAUUGGAGUCGACAAAUCCAAACACGGGAAAAAAAUAUAGUCUUGACAUGUAUCGAUGGUUGAUAUCAAUAAAUUAACUAUUAGUGAUGUAUGUUUGUUGGUUAUUGUUUUAUAAUAUUUGUUUUGUUCAUCGGACAUGUUUGUUGUUGUUAAUUUUUAUAUAAUUUACUUUGUAUACAGGAAAAUAUUAUUCAUGCAUUGUUUGCUCCGUUCAAGCAACUUUUAAGUAAAGGUUGUUUAUACAGUAUUAACAAAUUAAGGUGCUUACAAGCAAGGGUUGUUAUAGACCGUUAUGCGCUAUCUCAUAUAUUUAAGUUAGAUGUUUUUGUGCACAAUCAAUCCAUAAAAAUUGGAGAAAGGUGACAAUGUAAGAACAUGAUUACUUUUCAAAAAAAAAAGCAAAUAAAAUUAAGAUCCGUCAUGCUUUAAAUUGUUAAUUACGUGUAUAAAUUUAUUUUCAUUUUUUCACCAUGAAUUAUAGUCCAAUUUUACAAUUUUAUAUAUCAUUAUUGGUAUUACAUCAAGAUUUUUAUAAUAUAAAUCUAUUUUAUGCUACAAAUAUUAAUUUUGAAACAUUAAUAUACUUUUUAUAGACAGCCACCAAAUUAUUUUAUUCUACAAAUAUUAAUAUUGAAUCAUUAAUAUAAUUUUUAUAGGCCGCCGCAACGCGCGGUUUCUCAACUAGUUGUCAAAGUUACAAGAUAUUUAAAUUNNNNNNNNNNNNNNNNNNNNNNNNNNNNNNNNNNNNNNNNNNNNNNNNNNNNNNNNNNNNNNNNNNNNNNNNNNNNNNNNNNNNNNNNNNNNNNNNNNNNNNNNNNNNNNNNNNNNNNNNNNNNNNNNNNNNNNNNNNNNNNNNNNNNNNNNNNNNNNNNNNNNNNNNNNNNNNNNNNNNNNNNNNNNNNNNNNNNNNNNNNNNNNNNNNNNNNNNNNNNNNNNNNNNNNNNNNNNNNNNNNNNNNNNNNNNNNNNNNNNNNNNNNNNNNNNNNNNNNNNNNNNNNNNNNNNUUUUUUGGAAUUUUUGGAUGAAAAAUAUCAAAAAUUAGAACCACCUUUUUAGUUUUGGGUGUAUUAGAAGCAAGUUUCAGAAUCUGAUUUUGUUUCAGAUUAUUUAUGGAAUAUAGUAGUUUGAAAAUUUUAAUCUGAUUUUGUUUCAGAUUAUUUAUGGAGUAUAGUAGUUUGAAAGUUUUAAUCUGAUUUUGUUUUAAAUUAUUUAAUUAUGGAAAAGAGUAGCACACAAGUCUCUCUGCACCUAUAAAUACCCCUAUAUAUUGUAGGGUUUUGGAUCAUCUAAACAAAACCUCCUCUCUCUCAAUACCACAACUCUACCUCUCUCUGGUGAUAGUUUUCUUGCUUGAUUUCUAACUCGGUGGUGCCGUUCUUCUGCAACAAUAAGUGAAGGCUGUUUAUAUAGUAUUAAAAAAAUAAAGAUUGUUGCAAGCAAAGGUAGUUAUAGAUCGCUAUGUAGGAGCCGACAAAUUCAAACAAGGGAAAAGAAUAUAGUCUUGACAUGAUAUUGAUGGAUGAUAUUAAUAAAUUAACUAUUAGUGAUGUAUGUUUGUUGGUUAUUCUUCCUAAAUAUCAUUAAAUUUUUUAACUUAGAAUUCUGAUUGAAUACUUCAAGAUUUUAUUAUAUUUUAAAAAAAAAACUAAAUUUAAUACAACCGAAUUUCAAAUAUAUUUUCCUGAACAAAUUUAAUUAACUAGCCCCUCUUACUAUUUUUUUUGACUACACCCUCAUAAACAUUCUUAUUAGAAAAUACAACCCCAUCUAUUUUAUUAGAAACUUAAUUAACAUGUUAGGGAAAAACUUACUUAAUAUAUGCAAUAAAAUAUAUAUCAAUUUAAAUAUGUUUAUUAAUUAUAUAUAAUCUAUUCUAGUUGAAAUAUAUAUUAUUUAUAUUUUCAAUAUAAAUAUAAGUAUUUAAAACCAAUUCAUUAUCUAAAGAAAAAAAAUCAUUUUUUUUAAGUUUGUCCAAAAAAAACUUCCAUGCGCUACUUGCUAAGCGUAUCACUAUUGAGCUUUGCAACAAAACUCUAUAACUUAAAAUCAAUAUACUUAUAUAAAGGAGAAGCGGGGGGCGUGUAGGUAAAGUCUCUCUGCACCUAUAAAUACCCCCGUAGAUAGUAAGGUUUUGGAUCAUCUAAACACAACCUCCUCUUUCUCAAUACUACAAACUCACGGAUUUAAGUUAGAUGUUUUUGUGCACAAUCAAUCCAAAAAAAUUGGCGGAAGGUGACAAUGUAAGAACAUAAUUUUUUUCAAAAAAAAACACAAAUAAAAUUAAAAUUCGACGUGUUUUAAAUUGUUAAUUGCCUGUAUAACUUUAUUUUCAUUUUUUCACCAUGAAUUAUAGUCCAAUUUUACAAUUUUAUAUAUUGGUAUUGGUAUUACAUCAAGAUUUUUAUAAUAUAAAAUUUAUUUUAUCCUACAAAUAUUAAUUUUGAAACGUUAAUUAGUUUUUAUAGACAACUACAAAAUUAUUUUAUUCUAUAAAUAUCAAUAUUGAAUCAUUAAUAUAAUUUUUAUAGGCUGCCGCAACGCGCGGCUUCUCAACUAGUUUCAGAUAUGAAAAAAUAAUGAUCCAAUGAUCUUCUAGUGUCUCAUCAAAAAUUCUGUAUUUUUAUAGUGUGUCGAUGGACACAUGCUAAGCAACAAACUUCAUAUAUUUAAUUCAUUUUGAUUGGGUACUACUUAUUUAUAAUGGUGACCCCCAACAUAUACAAAAACAUUACAAUCAAAACAAGCUAAAUAUAUCAAAUUCAGAGCUUAGCAUGUGCUCAGGGGCAUACACUAACCAAACUCUUAAAAAUUUAGGAAAAGAGUAUCUAGUUGUUCAUAACUUAUUAUUAUUAAAUAUAAUUUUUUUUCUCUUCGAUUCUAUUUAAUUUUCUCUCUAAUUUUUUAAGAUAAUAAUAAUAAAUAUAUAUUGAAUAAAUAUAAAAAAUAGGAUUGAAAUUCUAUUAUAUGUGUUUUUCGAAAAUUUGCUUGGUGCCCCUCUAAGAAAAUAUUCCUAGAUCCAUCCCCGACUGAAUGCAUGUAAGGUAAAUACGUUAAUAUAUAGUCCCUCUGUCCCACCGAAUUGUUUAUGUAUGGUUUGGGCACAGAAGUUAAGAAAAUACUAUGUAUAAGUAGCGGAAAAAAUAAAGAAAAAAGUAAGUGAAAUGAUGGUACCCAUUAAUUUUUAAUAUAUAAAAAGGGAUAAUGGACUAAGAGUGUUGUGAAAAAGGAAGAAAAUGGGAAAAUGAUAAGAUCCUUAAUUGUUUUUAAUAAAUUUUGAAAUAUAAAAAGUUGAAUGGGACCAUCCAAAAUAAAAAUAUAAAGAAAUGAUUAUCACAGCCUCACAGAGUACUCCCUCUGUCCCAUUUAAUUGUAUACGUUUCUUUUCAACUGCAAAAAAUAUAGUCUUGACAUGAUAUUGAUGGAUGAUAUUAAUAAAAUAUUAAAUAUAAUUUUUUUUCUCUUCGAUUCUAUUUAAUUUUCUCUCUAAUUUUUUAAGAUAAUAAUAAUAAAUAUAUAUUGAAUAAAUAUAAAAAAUAGGAUUGAAAUUCUAUUAUAUGUGUUUUUCGAAAAUUUGCUUGGUGCCCCUCUAAGAAAAUAUUCCUAGAUCCAUCCCCGACUGAAUGCAUGUAAGGUAAAUACGUUAAUAUAUAGUCCCUCUGUCCCACCGAAUUGUUUAUGUAUGGUUUGGGCACAGAAGUUAAGAAAAUACUAUGUAUAAGUAGCGGAAAAAAUAAAGAAAAAAGUAAGUGAAAUGAUGGUACCCAUUAAUUUUUAAUAUAUAAAAAGGGAUAAUGGACUAAGAGUGUUGUGAAAAAGGAAGAAAAUGGGAAAAUGAUAAGAUCCUUAAUUGUUUUUAAUAAAUUUUGAAAUAUAAAAAGUUGAAUGGGACCAUCCAAAAUAAAAAUAUAAAGAAAUGAUUAUCACAGCCUCACAGAGUACUCCCUCUGUCCCAUUUAAUUGUAUACGUUUCUUUUCAACUGCUCGACACGCAUUUCAAUACUCUUAUAAAAUAUAGUUCCGUAACUUAUUUUUGAGAUAUUCUUUUUCUGAGUAAAAAUUUAACAUCCAAAUUUUAUUCAGGAAAAAAAAUCUUAAAAAUAAAUUAUACAACCACAUUUUACAGGAGGAUUAAAGUCCGUGUCGCGUCCCCGUACGGAGGGAGUAAUAGUUAUCGACCUAAAAUAAGUCAGAAUAUUACGUACCCGCCGAUGACCAAAUUCGAGCCAACAAUGAGCUCUGAGACAUUGAUCAUCCUUGAACGCAAGGUAUAGCUGCACAUGCCGUAUCUCAUCCUUAUCUUUUGACUCUUGAACUUUUGUUGACCGAUCUAUCUUUCCUCGACAUUUCAAAGCAAGUACAAGGAUCUGAAAAAGCAAAGAGCGGAACAUAUCUUUCCACUGUAGUUAAACAUUUGUCAGAUUGAUAAUCUAUCAGAAUUAAAUAUAAAUUAUUAUUAAUUAACGAAUUUUAGUUACUCCCUCCGUCCCUUUGAAUUAUAUACAUUUUCCUUUUCGGGAUGUCCCAUUUAAUUCUAUACAUUUCAAAACUUCAUCAAAAUAGUAAACUUUUAUAAUAUAAAAAUCUCACUCACCCACUAACUUCAUAUACUUUUCCCAAUCUAUCACUUAAAUAUUAAUGGGUCCCAUCACUUUACCUACUUUUCUUUCCCUUUCUCGUUAGUGUCCGUGCCCAGUACAAAUGUAUAUAUCUCAAUGGGACGGAGGGAGUAUUGUUUUAUCAAACUUCUACAACAUGCUUUCUUUUGAUAAAAUAGGAGCAUAAGUCAUUUAUAAUAACUAUACAUGCUUUAAUUUAUAUAUAUUUCUGUGCAUUAAAAAUUAUUCGGUUAAUGAAUUUAGUUGAUAGGAAUCGAAAUCUCAAUUUACAUAUUAGUAUUUGUUUUUGUGAUUUUAUUAUAUGUUUUGUGAUUUUAUUAUAUGAAAAGAAAAUCUCAUUUCUACUCAAUAAUAAAUUGUUCAUUCCUUAUCUCUAAAAUACCUAUUCUCAUUUCAUUUUUGUAUCUGAUUAUCUUUCUCACAUUCCUUUCGAAUGCAUCCUAAUUUUGCAAAAUAUAUAUCAAUGUAAUUAAACUAUUUGAAAUAAGUAUUACGUACACAUGUGUUUAAGUUAAUGUAACAGUCUUACAAAAAAAAAUUGAUAGAAUUAUAUGUUUUUAGAACUAAAUAUUUCGAACAAAUAAUGUUCUAAAUUAGGUCAGCAUAUAAAUGGCUCGAAUUCCAGCCCACUGAAUUUCUUAAUAUAGCUGCUAAAAUUAAAGUUAUAUUCGACACGUGUUGCAUGAAAUAGUUACCGGCAGCCAGCGGAAUUCAACAUCUAUGACGACUUGCCUUGUUUAAACAUAUUUUAUUCACUCAUCCUUAUCAUCGUGAUCACCGUCACAAAUUAUAUAUGUGCGUAUAAAUUACAUAUACGUAACAUGUUUGCCGAUAAUUCUGAAUCUCAUCAAAUGUGCAUUAUUCAUACACAUGCAAUUCUCUUAAUUAAAUAUGUUUACGUAAUUGUACCAACUAUGGUACAGCUACUUGUCUAACUCCUCUCCUAACAAAAAGGCUGUGAAAUUAAAAGUGCUGCCUAUAUUCGAGUUUGCGAAUGUUUAUUCUUAACAUGUGAUAACUUUAUUUAUUAUUUUUGUUUCACAAAAGCACAGGAUACUCGUAUGAAACAACAGUAAAGUGGAGUAUUUCAAAAAUAUAGGUCGGGGCAAUAAAAGAAUUAAUUGAAUUAAUCAAACAUAUUGAUUAAAAAACAAGACUCAAUGUUAAUUUAAUCUAAUAAAUAAUAUAUAACCAUUAAAUGUUAUCUAUGUAAUUAUAAAUUUUCCAAAUUUUAUUAAAAUUUGAUAUUUAAUCAAUUAAUACCAAGAUCUUUUAGAGAAUUAUUCAAUUAACCCGUGUAUCAUCAAAUAAUUAACCAAUUUUUUAAAAAUAACUCUUUAACAUAAUUUUCAUUUAAUUGAAGCAAGCAUUCCUCCCUCUUUCAAUUACCGAGGAUCACCCUUUGAAAACAUAAAUAGAGGAUCAUCUUUUCUGAAAACAUAAAUAGACAAGAGAGAAGUAUUUAUUAUUGGUCCAAUUCAUUUUUAUACAAUUGAGUGAUUUGUCUGAACAUUUCACUCAAUUGUAUAUAUUUCAAAAAUUAAAAUAUUUUAUAAUAUAAAAAUUUAAUUACACUCUGAUUUCACUUAUAAUUUUUGUUGCGAUGGGGAAUACAACUUAGCACAAGACUAUGUAGCAUAUGGAUAAUUAGUUAUAAAAAAACAUAGCACAUGGACAAAAAUGAGUUGGAAUCUCGUCCUGUCUCGGCGAUGAAUUCAAGGUCUUCCGAUGUCGUAGGAUUUUGUACCAUAAUUGACAAAUUUUUAUCUUGUUUAAAUCAUUUGAUUAUAUUAUAGUCAAUUAAGUUGAAUAUUAGAUUAAUAAAUUGCUUCAGCCUUGAUAUAAAGAGAGAUUGGAAAAGUAGAUUUAAUUAUAGGAGCAGCAAGUUCAAUGAUCUGAACGUCGUUUUGUAAAUAUAAAUAAUUUUUAUAUAUCAUGAUGAUUUACGAUAUCAUUUUAUUAAUAAAGUCUAACGACCUGUUUGACAAUCAUAUUUUAAUAUUAAAAUGAUAACAUGUUUAAAUUAGCAUGGAAGGAAAAUAAAAUACGAGAGAUUAGAGAUAUGUUGAAAUGAAUGAAAAUGAAUUAAACAUGAUAGUAUUUUUAAAAUGAGACACAUAUUAGAUAUACCAGUUAUUAAGACAUGAAAAGUACAUCCUCAGUAAGAAAAAGAUAUGAACAGUACAUUACUACGCUGCUGAUAAUCUUUAAAAUUUAUGAUAUUGACACUUAUUAUGUGAUCAAAUUUGUCCCUAAGUGUUCCAUUAUUCUCAUCACGGGCCAGUGUCGAAUAUUUUAAAUACCAAUUAAGAUCUAGUUGAAAUAAAGUUAUCUAGCUACAACUAAUCUAAAAUCAUGCAGAACUAAGGGUGAACAAAAAACCGUUCGACCCGUAAAACCGACUCAACCCACCUCUUAUUUCGGCCGAAUAAAUCGAACCGUUCAAAAUCGAAAAAAUAAUUGGAUUCUUUUUUAUCAACCCGAAUAGAUUGGAUUAGGUCAGGAUUUUUAAAUUAUUAACCCCGAUCAACCCGAAUAGAAGUUUUUUGUUGCUUUACAUGACGACACAGAACUUGAUUCAGAAACUUAGAAUUUGAUAUUAGUGAAUAGUGUGUCUGGGUUUAGAAACUUGAAUUGUGUUUAGUGUCAAUGUUAAUUGUUAAACUAUAUAAAUGUGACAUGAGUUAUGUUUUCAGUAUUUAAGUAGUUUUUUGCUUAGUUUUCUUGAUUAUUAGAUCACUUACGUAGACCACGGAAGUGAGGAUUAUGUUUUUGCUAGACGUCUGCUGGUUUAAAUUUAUACUUUUCGUAUACUUAAUUAAUUAUUAGUUAAUUAUAAUAUUUAAAGUGCACUAUUGAAAAGUUGUACGUAUGUUCUUGAGUUCUAAUUUGACGGGAUAAAACCUGAUAAACCCGACCUUACCCUACCCGAUCGACCCGACGUAUGAAUAAUAGUAUUGGGUUCAAAAUAUUUUGCCGGGUUAACGGGUUCGAAUUUUUAUAAACCGAUCAUAUUGGAUUUGGUUGAAUUUUUGCCUCUAACCCGGCCAACCCGACCGUGUUCAACCCUUUGCAGAACUAUGCUCAUGAAAGUCAUCAUUAAUUAUAGGUGUUUAAUCGAUUAAUCAUAUCUUCACAUUUGAAAGCAGGGGUAUAUUUAUUUAAAUUUCUGUAAAUUUUUUAUUUGUAAAAUAUAAUUAAAAUUAUAUAAAAUAUAAUCAAAAAUCCAGCUUAUUUCAAAAUUUUAUUAUUGACUUAUAAUUUUAACUUAUUCAAAAAAAUCCAAUAAUAUCUUAACUAAAAUUCAAUAAGAUAUUCACAUGAGAACUAAAAUCAAUCACAGUCUAUUAAAAUUUAUAGAAACCUGAAUUAAAUACCUAUCUUAAUUACUUUAAUAUCUUCUCCUCGGUCGCUUGCACAAUCAGUUCCAUAAUCAAAACAAAUUAAAUCACAUACUUGUCGGAUUCGAUAGAUUCUUAAAAAUUAUUAAGAGAUUCUAGAUAAGUUUUUAUUUUUAAUAAAAAUAUAUUUUUUUAUAAUUAUUUUAGAUAUAAGUAUUAAAAAAUGUUUCAUAUUCAUUAUUUGACAAAAAAUAAAAAUUUAUUUUGAUAAUUUAAUUUUUUUUCUAAAAUAAAUUUUUAUUUAAAAAAACAAGAAUAACAAACAACCCAAAAAUAUAUAAUCUCUUGUAAAAUUAUACUCCCUUUGUCCCAACAGGUUCAUUAUGUUGCCUUUUGACGAAUAUUUUGAGACUUCCAUGGAACAUAAUUUCAUAAUAUUUUUAAAUUUUUUCUUUUGAAUAAAAAUUUGGUGUUUAAAUUUUUAUUUUAGAAAAUUGUUUUGAAACUAUACUUUAUAAAAGCUCAAAAUGCGUUAAGGUAAACAACCAACAAAGGGGUAUAAGUAACGGGGUGUGUUUGAUUGAGAUAUUAAUGCAUUCUUUUGUCUAAUGGAUAAUGGAUUGUAUUGGAUAAUGAAUUAUAUGUGAUUUUGAUUUUGUGCCGAUUCAUGAUAAAAAUGUCACGGAUAUAAAUUCUUUAGGAUUAAGCACAAUGCUUUAAAAUCUCAUGGAUUUUUGUGGGAUUUAAAAAACCCGAGAAAUCUCACAAAAUACCUCAUUUUAUGAAAUCAAAAAAAAUCAAUUCACAUUCGAAUAUCAUCAUAUUUUAAUGAAUUUUCAAACAUAAUUUAAAAUCUUGAUUAAAUACCACCAGAUUUUGUAGCACAAUUUAAAAUCUCAAUCGAACAUUUCAAGAUUUUAAUAGAUUUUAAACAAAUCUAAAUUGAAUAUUCUCAAAAAUUUCAUAAAUGAUACUCCCUCCGUCUCUUUAUUCUUUUCCUAUUUGGGAUGUCGGUACUGUUCCUAACAUGAGACAAAUUACUAAUUUACAUCUAAUCUAUAAAACUAAAUAUAGUCAUGAGUGAUCUUGUUAGAUUCGUAUUCACGAGUACUUUAAUACAGUGAAGUUUUUAUUUUUAAUGCUACUACGAAAUGAAAGAUAUUAAUGAUUAAAAAUGUGUGUUGGCAAACGUGAAAAGUACAAACAGGAAAAGUAUUUAGAGACGGAGGGAGUAACUUUUUUAAAAAUAAAAUAAAAUCUCAAUGGUAUACUGUCUCUAAAUUGUUCGGAAAAGAAAAGUUAGAGAGGGGUUAGGAUUUAGGAAAGAAAGAAGAGGUCCAACUAUCUGUCUCAAGUCCCUGUAAAUUAGAUUAGACCAACACCAAAGAUUAGAGAGGUUUAAGGUGAGUGUGUCAUACCCUCUCUCUCUCUCUUCAUUCUCUCUGACCGGCUAGUCCGGUUCCCAGUCACCCCCAACCCCCACACAUAUCUAUCCAUCUUUACACCAAAACUAUAAUAAUAAUUACAUCAUCUGCAUAGCAUUUCAAUUUAUUUCUCUCUCUGGGGUUUUAAGAAUUAACUCAACACAAACACAAACAAACUCUCUCAAUCUCUUCCCCUCAAUUCAAUCAACACACAAUCGAUACUUACACCUAUACGCACAAUCAUCAUCGCCAAUCGUCUCAGGUAAAAUCCGAUCGCAAUUGCAUCUGUUUAUUCCUCUCCUUGCUUCAGAUCGUGUUUUAGAUACAUGUGUAUGCAUGUUUGUGUGUGUGUUUGUGUUUGUGUAUGGACAUUCCGUGUUUUUGAGUUGAAUUGGUGUGGAUCGUGUGGGUGUGUGAUUUUAUUUUUUGGGAUUUUUGCUUGAUCGUGUUGAAUUGUUGAUUGUGAUGUUGAAUUGUGGUUUACAUGUUGUUUGAUUUGAGUGGUGUAGUGGGAUCUGUGUUAAAAUUUGGUUUUAAGCAAUGCGGAUUUGUCGUAAAGACAGAGAGAUGUGAUUUGGGCGGGGGAUUUGAUGGGAAAUGGGAAUUUGGGGAGACUGAUCGGGUUGUUUUUGCGGAAUUAUGGCUUAAGUGGAAGUUUGAGGAGAUGUGUUAAUUGUUAAUUUAUGGCGGUAUGAUCGAAUUUAGUGUAGGCAGAUGUUUUGUAAGAUGUUGUAUUGAUUGCAGAGUUAGUUUGGGUUUAAAUAGGGGUUAGUUUAGAUUUUGGAAUAUGCGAAUUGCUAUAAUUGGAUGGGGAGAGCGCGGAUGCUAAUUGUUUGGAUUUAAUUGGUAUUAGUUCGUGGUAGGUCUUAGGUUGUUGUUUGAAUUUAUUAUUGUUUUCAUGCUAAAUUAAAUGAAGUAUACGACUUUAUGUAAGAAUUUGUUGUUUAUGCACUAUUCGUAUCUGUUUUACAGGAUAAGAGCGUUCUACGAUUGUCCUGCAUUGUAUUCUGUUUGAUGAUCUAAUAUUCAUAUGCAUGCCUGAGAUAUGGUUUUGAAGAACAGGCAAGAAUAUGGAUUCCGUGGCUACCAGAUCCCUGCGAUACCAAGAGGUCCCAGAUCUCUUAGGGUAAGUGGACUUUGAUAACUGUGGUAUUUCGUGCUCACUUUAAUUGCUUGUGCAAUAUUAUGUACUGUGUGCCCUUUUGACUUUAUCCUCUACUGGUUGUAGAGGAGGGCAAUGUUUAAGAAACCAGCAGACGAUGGCGAAAUAUGCGCAUUUGAGUUGCUGGCAACUGUAGCGGGCAAAUUAUUGCAGGAGAGUGAGAGUUCUACCUCUAGCAAUGCAGCAGAAUUAAAAGAACAGAUUAAAAUCCAUAACGAUGGUAUAAAAAAGGAACAUCUAGAAGGAUCAGUUAUCAGAUCUGAGUGCCUUGAUCAAGGAAGUUGCAUAGAGAGUGUACAGGUUCCUGAUUUUCCAGUUAUUGACCGCAAUUCAAAGUCUACUGUACAGGAAGUCCCGCAUCCUGAGAGUGUUUAUGUUCAUGAACAUGCUGCUGCUGUUCCAAGUUCUGAAUUCCUGGUUAAGGGAAAGUGUAGUGUGAAAUCAGAAAAACACAGAAGCAAUGAUGCACCUGGAAGUAUCCUCAGCAAAUCAAACGGGACCUUGUGCGAAGGAAAAUUGUAUGACUCGGACUUGGAGAAAGAGCCUCGAAGACAAACAGAGGUUGUAAAGAAACAAAGAGGGCCCUUAGAUAUGGCUAAGGCUAGUCCUUUAAAGAAUCCUACAGAAUUUUAUGUGAAUAAUACUAAUAUGCUGAUUAAUUCAGAGAAUAGUGUAGAUUUACCCUUGUACAGGGCCCAGGAUCUCGAUGCUCCUUUUCCCGGGUACAGGAGUGGUGUAAAAAUAGUUAAUAGAGAUGAUGACGAAAAUUAUUUUAGGAGUAAUGUACUCAAUACCAAGGCAAGGGCUUUUAGGCCACAAUCACGCAUGGGUUACCGUAGAAUGAGAAAGUUGCAAACAUCUAGAUAUUUGAAAGCAUAUCCAAAGUUGAAGGAUUACGAACUUUCUAACAUUUGUAAGUGGAGGGUCUUUUCUUUUCCCAUUCUUUAAUGAAAAUUGUGUACUUGAGUGUAGCUGAUUUUUCUAUUAUAAAGCUCACAAACUUGUUCAUUUCAGCUAGGGGAGCUAGGGCAUUCUAUCACAAAAGGAAAACAGUUUAUGCUCAAGAAAGAUGUCAGUAUGACCUACAGGCGAAAAGAAGGCGGUUGUUUGGACAUAGAUCAGAUCAGGAGGCAAGUAGUGAAAGUAUUUCUAGUUUCCGUGAUAAAGCUUUGAGGGGAAACAAGAGUGGAAUGCCUGCAAUCUGGAACAGAGGUCCCUACUUAUAUACCAUAAGUAAUUUUUUAUGGUUUACUGUUUCUAGCAGUUGCCUGAAUGCGUUAUACUUCUUGUCUGCAGCGACUGGGGUCUCAUCUUCAGGUUCAGGACAUAAAGCCUCUGUGCAGUCCAAAGACCCCCGCGGUAGUAAUUUGUUCCUUUUAAUAUUAUUUGAAUAUUUAAUACAUAAUUCUGAAUUUCCUCUCUCUUGUAAUACAUUACUAUUUUUAAUUUGGGAUGCACAUUUGCUUAGGAUAUUACCUUUUGAGGUUCUUAUUUUUGCGUAUAUUCUUUUGAUCAAAUCAGUGAAUUUCCGCAUAAAGUCCUUUAAAGUGCCAGAGCUUUAUAUUGAGGUGCCAGAAACGGCAACUAUUGGCUCACUGAAGGUACGAUUUUAAAAUGUUAUCCAGUUCUAGCCAAAUUGCCAUUUGCUUAAUGAAAUUCUGAUUCGGAAAUUUGUGUUGUACUUGAAAAAUAUAUCAUCAUCAAUGUAGUAGACUUUGUCUUCUAUUUCGAUUAAGGUCGUUUUACCAAAUCUCUCAUCAUCAAAUCUCCGUUCACUGUUUAUCUAUUGUGGGUAUAAUUAACCAUGUUCACUUUUGAAUGUGUAGUUGAUUUAUUGUUUGUUGAGUCGACCUUUUUAUUAUCCAAACUCGUGAGAUACAGCAAUCUGAUAUGUGAGCCAUUUGGUUUCUUGGUGCUUCACAGUGAGGCUGUAUUUUAUGAGAUUGGCAGUAUAGUCCUGUUACCUCUUGCCUCAAAUGCUUGGACUCAGCAGUAUAGUUUGUGUUAUCUAUUUGAAUGAUUAUUUAAGAUUUUAUCUGAGUCUUAAUCUAUAUAUGUUGUGAUUUUCUUACACAGAGGACUGUUAUGGAUGCUGUGACUUCUAUUCUUGGAGGUGGAAUACGAGUGGGGGUAGUCCUUCAAGGAAAGAAAGUUAAAGACGACAACAGAACUCUUCAACAAUCUGGGAUCUCUCAAAACGAGGAUCUUGAAUCUCUAGGUUUUACAUUGGAGCCUAGUUUUGUAGAAGCCUGUUCACCUUCAGCUCAGAAAGGCUCUCCACUCCUGCUACCGUAUGAUGCAAAUCAAGAAUUAUCAAGGUUAGGCAGAUUUAUUUUGGACAUUGUUUCCCGGCAACUUUACUUUGGAUCUAAAUUGAUAUAGGAAUAUGAUCCCUGCAAAGAAAUAAUCCGCCAUGAGUUCUCACAGUUUAAUAUUUUUCUGAGCUGUAUAAAAUGCAAAAUGUGGAAACCUACAAUGAGUAGGAUGCAAGAUGUUUUCCUUCGUUUUAUUUUCUUUAUCUGUGCCGGGUAUACUUAGUUUUAUACUGUUCAUUAUGCAUAGUGUUAUUCAGAGGAACUACCUUUCGUAACUUAGGAUAUUCGGUGUUAGUUAAUUAGACCUUUAUGUACUUUUUGUAUAAAAGACAUGUCUAAAUUUAUGUUCUUUCCAGGACCCCAGCACCAAUUCUGGAUUCAGGGUUCUCUAAAUCAAUUGAUCAAACUCCACUGACUAAGCUGGACAAUCAUGUUGAGAGUAAUCAUGAAACAGCUCCUUCAGUUACAGAUGUAUCAACAGAUGGAACAGCUACAGACUCAAAAGCAUUGGUUGCUAUUCCACCCAUAAAUGCGGAGGCACUUGCUAUGGUUCCUAUGAGCCAGAAGACCAAGCGAUCAGACCUUUCACAGCGGAGGAUUAGAAGGCCCUUCUCUGUAUCGGAAGUUGAAGCACUAGUUGAAGCCGUUGAAACACUUGGAACUGGAAGGUGUGCAUUAAACUUCACUUUUUUUUAUUACUACUGUCUGUAGUUACUAGCGUGUCUUUGUUUAGCAAUAAUGUUAAAAAUAAUAUGGAUAUUUGGGGCUAAUUAGUUGCCAAUUAAGCUUAUUACUUGUUUAUCCGUCCUCAUUUUGUUUAACAUAUAUAUGCUAGAUUUGGUCUUUUCUUACAUGGGUUUAUAUAUGCCCCCAUAUGAUACUUUCUUCCUACUGCCUGAUAUUCUUCACAACUUCUUGUCCCUACUACCUCUCUUUAAAUUGAAGGUGAUGGCAACCAAUGCCAAAAGAUCUUGUCAGCUUGUCUUACUAACAAAAGCUCAUAUCCCCAAAGACAUUGCUUCUUUUUCCUGCAUUGAACUAUUAGUAUAUUUAUCUUUUGUUCAAAUAAGAGAAUUCUUUUCGAACCGGAAAAUCAAGGUAUGUUUGUUAUCUGAUCCUGCAGGUGGCGUGAUGUCAAAAUGCGUGCUUUUGAUGAUGCAAACCAUCGAACUUAUGUGGAUUUGAAGGUAAGAACUUUAGCAUAAUAUAGCAUUGAAACGCUAACUAGUCUUUAGAUUUUGUCAUUUUGGUAAUUGAAAUAUUUGACAUGCAAUCACAAUAUUUUACUUGUGUUGCGGACAAAUCGUUAGAAAAAACAAGAUAGAUAUAAAUUCCGGAGUUAAAUAAUUUAUGUAAUACCAUGUGCCCGCCUUUUUAAGUAAGUAAUUUUAAAAUGAGCAUCAAUACUGUGAUAUAAGUGAAUUUAUUCUGAGCAUUUUUAAUCUACGUAGAUAAUUAUAAAGCACCUUUUUGUUCAGGGUGAAUAUAAAUAAAAUUGUAAUCAUGAAUUUACAGGAUAAAUGGAAGACAUUGGUCCACACAGCAAGCAUUGCACCCCAGCAACGGAGGGGAGAGCCUGUGCCACAGGAGCUUUUGGACAGAGUCUUGGCUGCCCAUGCAUAUUGGUCUCAGCAUCAAUCUAAGCACGGUAAACACCCCCAGAUGGAACCUUUCAAGUUAGCCGGAGAGGUUGGAGUCUAAGAGGUGGGAUCUGAAUUUCUAAUUGUAACUAUGUAAAAGAAUUUGUGAUUUUAGAAAACAGAUGCUAGAAGGGAAGACUUGAAAAGUCGUUUUAUUUCUUGUAAUAUUUCACAACUAAUUGUGAUGAUUUUUUUAAUAUCUGCUCUUUCCCCUUUGGAGAGGGUGAUUCCUGUAAAUGAAUUCUAGGGAAUAAGCCGCAAUUCAAUAGAACUUGUGGUAUUUACUUGUACAUUAAUUUGAUGAGAUUUCCUUAUUAAACUUAUUCAAGUGAUUUGCUCCUUUCGAAUAUAUCAAACUUGUGGUGUUUGAUGAUUUUUAAUAUUGUUUAUUUUCGGGUUUUAUAUCAAAUUGUCCGAUCUUCAUGGAUACUCAUUUUAGCCAUUAGAAUUAAUUUAUAUAUCAUCCCAAUCAGCAAUUGAUGUAGCAAAUGAUGUGUGAGCGUGAGCCAUAUGGAUUAUAAAAAAAUAAGCAAAAUCUAAUAUUAUAAAAAAUAUAUAUAUAAAAACUUAGUUGCAAAUACAUUAUCUGUUUGUUAAUUAUUUCAUUAACAUUUUUUCAAGAUUUAACGAAGUGGUAUAUAUAAUGAUUAUAAUAAUUUAAAUGAGUAUCCGUGAAUAUCGUUAGUCACUAAUUUACAUUAUACCGAUUUAUUUUCUUUAAGGUAUUCGGAUCCUUUUGGAUAUAAGUUCAAUAAUAAACUUCCACCGACUUCUGAAAUAUUUUUUGACUAGGUAAUAAAUAAACUUUCUCUGAUAAAAAAAAAAAUCUGUAAACAAUGUUAUCUUGUACGAUAUGAUACUCCUUAUAAACAAAGCAGCUAAAACCUUUUUUGGUAUUAAUCUCAAAGUCCCCGGAAGUAUUAUAUUCCACUACCGUAUAUUGUUUUUUUUUUUUUUGAAACUCACACUACCGUAUAUUGUUAAUUAAAAAAUGAGAUAAUUUUAAAAUUUUCUCACAGACAAUACAUUCUUUUUCAUCUUAUAAAUACGUAAAUCAGCUAUCUCAAACCAUAACAAAAUAUGUAAUGGUAAAAAAUAGCAUGUGUACUCAAAGCUGUACACUGACACGAUCUUUAUUUAAAAAACAUUCCAAGGGACUUGAAUUGUUAAGUGUUAACUACUCAGUUUUAGAUCUGAACUUGACAACCAGAAUCUCGAAUCCUGAUCACCUGGCGGUGAUCCACAUAUAUUGUAUAUAAAACAAUUAAUUAAUAUCCAUAUACUCCCUCCGUCCCAAACAAUUAUAUACAUUUGGCUGGGAGACAGUGGAAAAAAGUAGUUGAUGUAAUAGUGUUUUAUAUUAUAAAAUUAUACCCUCUCUGUUUUUUGAUAUAUAACGUUUGAUUUUUUGGCACAGUGCUUUGACCGGAUAGUUAAAAGUAUUAUUUUUAAAAUUUUCUUUUUCUGAAUAAAUAUAUAUAAUCAAAAUUUUAAUUCACAACAAAAAUCGAUUAAAAAAAUUGUUAUCCGGUCAACCCACCUAAAGUUACGCGCUCAAGUCAAAAGUGAUAUAUAAAAUAAUAUUUUUAGAAUGUAUACAAUUGAUGUAAAAAAAACUGUAUACAAAUAAAUCGGAGGAGGACGUAAUUUUAAAAGAGACAUCCACCGGAGCAGCAGGGCAAGCAUAUGGCUAGUCAGGUAUUAGCAGGGAGAUCACGUUAUCUAUAACAACUCAAAGACUUGGCUCAUUUUCUUUUGAGUUGCGUCUCCCUGGAUUUAGCGUGUGCUUUAUGCUUCCUCUUCUACGUCACGUCUUUAUUCUUAUCCUUUUUCUUUUCUUGUUAUGGAGUCAUUCUAUUUAGGUGAAAAAUCUACCACCCUCGACUUUGUUUUCUCAAAGUUAUGGAUGGAUCAUCUUUGGUCAUGCAAUAAACUCUUUUUUCUAGUACUCAUUUUCUUUAAUAAUUUCUUAAUAUUAUUAGACAUAUUAUUUAUGAUUCUUAUAAAUAUAAUUUUAUAAUUUAGUUUUAAAUUUUUAUAUAAAUAUUAAAUUUUAUUCAAAAGAAAAAAAAUUAAAAUAAUUUAUCAAACUAUAAUCUAUGAAAAUUUUAAAAUGUGCAUGAGGGGAUAGAUGGAGUAUAUAGCAUAGCUCAGCUCAUGAAAUUGUAUAUAUUUAGUAUUUACAACUGCAGGGGUUUUAGCAGAAACUUUUCAGAAAUUAAUUAAACCAUUCGUUCAAGACUCUGAAUCAAAUUCACAGUAUUAUAUGACUCUUUUUAUCAGGUACAGCUUUAGAUGAUUUUGAUCGGUUAUGUUUUCAUCUUUUGUACAAAUAGAUAAUCAAAUCCAUAUAUGUUUAUAAUUGUGCGAUGCAAUAUAAUGAUUUUUAAUAAAUUAAUAAUUUCAUUAUGUGUGUUUAAACUAAUAAUACAUUUUAAUAUGUUGACGAUUUUCGAAAUUUCGAAUCUUAGAUUUGUAAGAGAUCCUAGUGAAAUAUACAAAUUUGUUAUGAUGUUUGUUGUUAAUUUGAUUUAAGUGAUCUCACCGUUAUAGUGUAGUCUACGAUAAUAUAAAAUAUCAAUCAAUUUUUUGUUCUUUAAAAAGAUAAUCAAACUUUUGCAUGCUUAAUGAUAUAAUACAGAUGCCAUUUUUCAUGUGUAAUUUUAUUUUAUUUUUAUUAUUAUUAGUUUUGUUGCAUAAAAAAUUAUUUAUAUAAAAGUGCUUAAAACAUAUUUAUAACAAUAUUAUGUAAUCUCAUACUGAUUAAACAUUAUGUAAUAAGUAAUUAGUACUUCACGAGACGUUAGGGGUUUAUUCGAUUGAGAUUUUAAAAGAUUUUUUUUUUCUUUCAUGAAAUCUGGGGUAUUUGAUUUGAAUGUUUGAAAUUCAUUAAAAUCUUAAGGUAUUCUAUUGGUAUUUUAAAUUAUGCUACAAAAUCUUGUUGUAUUCAAUUAUAAUUUUAAACUAUGCUUAAAAAUCCGAUGGUAUUCAAUUGAGAUUGUUUAAAAUCUAUUAAAAUAUGAUGGCAUUCAAAUUCUCAUGGAAUUGUUUGGAUUUCAGAAAAUGAUGGGUUUUGUGGUAUUUCGCAGUAUUUUAAGUUUUUUGAAAUCCUAUCAAAAUCCAUGAGAUUUUGAAACAUUGAGUUUAAAUCCUAAAGAAUCUAUAUCAACUCUCCGACAUUUUAUUAAUAAUCCGCGUAAAAUUAAAAUCACAUGCAAUCCAUUAAAAUCGAAUGAUAAAAAACAAUACAUUAAAAUCCCAAUCGAAUACACCCUCCUUAUUCUACUAAUUAUUUGUAAGUAUAGAGGUUUUUUUUUAUAAUUUAAAAUCAAAACAACCCAAUUUGAUUAUUCUUGCUACUACUUAUUAGAUAAAAAGGGGUAUAAAAAUUGGGAAAUCUACAAAACUACCUACCUUUUCUUUAAUUAUUUACAAAAAUACUACCUUCCAGAAUUCUUUUUAAAAAUACCUUUUCAUAAAAUCUUUUUUUCAAAAAUACUGUUUGCAACUUUUGCAACCUCAUCUGCAACUCCAGGCGGCGCCAGCCGUGUUGCAACCUCUUUUGCAACUUCAUAUGCAACCAAAUUCCUGAUUUCAAGUUCCAGUUUUCAAAUGUCGUUUUCGACCUCAUUUUCGGAAUCGAUAUAUAUAUAUAUAUAGAUAUAUAUAUGGUUGCAUNAAAUUUAGCAAAAGAAAAAAGGGGUAUAAAAGCAUAUUUCACUAAUUUAUUUGUGUGAUUAGAAAACACUUCAAACAAAUUUCUCAUAGAAAUGAGAAAUAAGUCCGCAGCUUAAAAGAAGAAGCUAAAAUGUUUUUUUUUUUUGAAAAGCUGAAAUAGAUAGCAUAUAAUAAAGAAGCAGUACAUCAUCUAAUGUCCCUGAGUUUCUAAAACAAAAGAUAGCCUAAAUCAACCUACCCGGCUAUUUGCAGCAAACCAGAAGCUGCCAAAGGAGAAAGAAACAUUGGGACAAAAUCUACCAAUACAUAAAGUUUACACACUGCUGUUGCGAGAAACUAAAACUGAGAACCUAAUAAACUAAGCAUCACCACUGCCCGAUGCCUUUGAAGACGAAUCCUCAUCCGGAGCCAACCCCAUCAAAGCCAGAACCUGCUCCACUGUCAUAAAACCGCUAAUUUUUUCAAGCUGAUCUGCAGGUUUGGGGGUAACAUAAAGCCUCUUGAUGAUUGUCCAAACAAUCAACAAUAAGCAGAGUCUCACUUCUUGAACAAUUAAGCUCCACUCCCUUCCUCCCAAACAUCCACUAACAAGAGUAUUUGUUAGGAGAAUGGAAUUAAUUCCAGCCCAAGUUAGUAGUGCUUGGGCCCAAAAUUUGAUGUGACAAUUGGACACAACAUAUAUACGGGUAUAUAUUUCUUCAAGUAAUUAUUAUAUUUUAAAAUAAUGUUUAUUAUUUAAACUUAUUUCUCAUACAUCAAUAGUUCUAAGAAAACAGUACUGUAAAUAGUAAAAACCAAAUACACUCACUAACAUGCCUCAAUAUUUAAUAAUAAAUAGUAUCAAAUACAUCAUCAAACCAGGGACCAUUAAUAACACUAAUAUAAGGGAAUUGAUAAAUAAGCUCCAAACUUUACUAUUUAAGCUCCAAUUUCAUUUUUUUUCUUUAUCCAAAUCACAUUAUCACUCAUAAGAUGGACGAAACAUGGGUAAACAUGAUAUAAAUUUUGAAAUUGAAGCUUAAAUAGUAAACUAUGGAGCUUAUUUAUCAAUUCCCUAUAAAUAUCAACACCAAAAUUUAUAAUAAUAGAUGAAAGAGAUAGUAAUAUUUAUGUCAUGUUGUAGCCCACAUUUGUUACAGUAGGCUUCUAGAUGGUCACAAUUUGCAGCCAAGAGCAUUGUUGAGUUGUUCUAGAAGAUGAGAGAAAACGAAAGGGGCCAAUCAAAUGAAAAUUAUAGGUUUGGGCCAGAGCAUGAGGCCUGAGGGUCAGUACAACGAAGUUGACAGAUGGGUCGCAACUCUCUAUCAGCUUUAACUGAUUUGAUGUGUGCUGUCUUGUUUGUUGAUACGAAAAUCAAUGUUUUUACUGGACAUCAUGUUCUUUUGGCGCUUUUGUCCUUGUAAAUGGACCACUAAAAUGGGACAAUAAUUACCUGUAGUACAUUCUGCAGGGAUUUUGAUCUUGUACGCACAUAUAUAUUCUUCAAUAUAAUCUACCAAAAAAAUCAAAAAUUAAGAACAUGGUCACAUGUGAAACAAUUAUCUCAACCUCCGGACUAUUUGAUUUUCUCGCGAGACCCUAUCUCGAUCUGGGAUAUCCGAAACUGUAACUGAGUGCAUCCUUGAAGAUCAUAGCUGAAAUGAUUCAUAAGAAAUACUCCUUUGUGAUAUUUUGAUUUUUUGACACUAUUUUUAGAUGAGUUAUUCAGAUAGUAAAACUUACUAUUUUUUUGAUUGAUUUUUUAAUUUACUUUGAAUAUAUAUAUUUUUUAAUUUUUUUGAAAAAAAAUACUUUUAACCAACCAACCAAAAUACUUAAAAGUGUGUGUAAAAAGUCAAAAUAUCAAAUAAAAAAAUAGAGAGGAUCCUUGAGAAUAUUAGUUUAAAAUUUUAAGUAAAAAGAUACUCUUGUUUUUUUGAAGAAAAGGAGAUAAUUCAAUAAAUAAUGGCCAUACGGCAUCUACAAGAAUGAUCAAGUUGAACAAACAUAGAAAAAAUUAACAUGUCUGUCUUCAUACCUAAGAUGAGACAAAUAAGCGAUGUUGAAAUUGACGAUGGUACAUGUAUAAAUUCUUGCUCUGUGUUCACCAUCUUUUCCAAAAACUCCGUUUGAGCUAUCGACCACAAAUGCAAUUCCCGAAAGGCUUUAUCGAUGAAUCCAAACCACUCUCACAAAAGGAGAGAAAAAUCACACACUCUCACCGGGGAGAGAAAUCAAACUAUAAUCAAAACAAACUAAAACAAUUAGAUCUGCACUACGACGCUCAGGAGAUAAUCGAUCCACUCACAAAUCCAAAAAGGCUUCUGGAAGCGAAUAAGAACGAAAAUCGAAAGUUUCGAUGAUAUAGAUCUAAGAAAACUUUCUCCGAAUAUGGAGAUUUAUUAAGAAACUCAAUGAAAAAGCAAGAACAAUCAAAAACUAGCAAUCAAACGAAAAGAUUUGGGGCUUUCCACCGGAAACCGAUGGAAGCCCCGUCGGAGAUGAAAAUAGGAGGCGGCUGGAGAGAAGAGAUAAAAAGAAAAUUAGGGUUUUGUACUAAUAAAUAUUUUAUUAGAGCAUCUCCAACCAUCGAAAGCCAUAAAAAAAAAAAAAGAUACUCUUGUUGAAAUGGAACGAGAAUAGUGUUCAGCUGGAUAUGUCAGACGAGACACCCAUUGAUUGUUCUGUUUAUGACAGAUUGGAUUUAUUGAUCCAAAUGUAAUUUCAGUUGGCAAAAUUAAGAUCACUUCGGUUCACAAAUCCCCUUCAUUCUAUCACAACAUCGAAUCCUGGCAUUAGCAACCGGGCAAAGUGUAAUAAAUUUAGGUUUCCGAACCUACGGGUCACAACUCACAAGUCACAACAAAGUGGUGCAAUGACAUGUAUAUGUGCAUUACAGAUUUACAGUAAAGUGUAUGUGAAACACGGAGAAAAUUAAGCCCUUGUGUUUUGUUUAUAGUUGUCAUAGUGUGAACAGACCAAACUUCCUGGAUAUGUCCUAGUAUGAACAGAAUCCAACAGCUUAAUUCUCGUCCAAAUCAGGGUUGGACUCAAUCGUCUUGACCUGCAGGAUAAGAUAAAUACGUUUGGAUGUAUCCUCAAGAAAUCAACGUCACGCUUCACAAUUUUACUAUGAAUAGCGGUAAUUCGUCCAAAAAAACAAAGAUUUUUUUUUUUUUCGUUAAACCGGUAUCCAGUCAGUUUGUAUUCAUAUCGACUAAUCNCGUUAAACCGGUAUCCAGUCAGUUUGUAUUCAUAUCGACUAAUCCGGUUGAACACACUAGCCCACUAAUACCGCAUGAUAGCUCACUUAUUUUUGUAGUGUCCAGGAUUCCAGCUCGUGAUCUUAGUAUAUCAAGUUUUAAGCGCCAUGUCAACCAUCUGGGACAUCCUGUGGAGGUAAAAAUAGAAAAGAAAAAAAACAACAAUGGUUUCGCUGCAAAUUUUAUUUCUAUAAAAAUUAAUUUAAUAUAGAUGGAGAUUUAAUAUUAUUUAGUGCCCAAAAAUGAUUUUGGAUGUUAAAAUCGUAACAUGUGACUAGUAGUUGAUUUUUAUGUCAUUCCAAACCCCCCCUACAAUUUUUCGAUCUGCGCUAUUUUCAUAAUUUGAUUAUGUGAUUAUUAAAGUUUCAUUAUAUUUAACACAAAUUAUAAUAUUACUCCUAUUUAAUACAAGAUACGAAACACCUGAGAAAUAAUGAAUUUUAAUUUUUAUUCUAAAAUUAUAAAUACAGACAUUUUCUUUAACGUAGGAACUCGCAGCCGCUAUCCGGGUACGCACUAGCUAAACCCACGAGUUCACGUCAUAGCAUGCAAACUACAUGAACGAAGAUUGUACCGGACUUUCAUGUUUUAGGUACUAAUAAAACAUGCUCUAAAAGGAAAAACUAAUAUAAUCUAUCCGAAAAUAAAGAAUAUACUUUAAAAGCAUAAUUUCUCAUAUAAUUGGACAAAAACUCAUUAAUUACUGGACAAUGAAGUAUGUGUUAUAGGUGUUGCCCGGGGAGGAAAGAAGCUAAGCUCGGACAACGUCAAAGGAUAAGAUAAUUCAGUUGAAAGAGAGAGAGAGUUUGUGGAUGACAACAAAUUUAUACUGUAUCUUACUAUUUGGGUCCAGCAGCUAUUGAUGAUGCUGAACCACUUCUACAUGCACGUAGAAGUUUCCUGCAAUUCUGUUGAUACCGGAUCGUAAACUUUUAACAUAAAUUUACGAAUACAUCUUUUAAAGUACGUGUUCAGUUUUGAUUUUUUCUAUUAGAUUGAUUCAUUUUAAUAAAUUUCAUAUAAUUUUAGACAUUUGAAAAUAUCAUAAAAUAUGAAUAUUUUUUAAUAACACAUUUUUAGUUGUUUACAUAAAAGUUUCGAUCAAAUUUAAAAAAGUUACCGAAAAAAAAUACUGUAUAAAACAUGACAUUUAAACGGAAGUAGUACGAGGGCUUCAAGAUAUUUAAAUCAUUCAAUUAGUAUAUAAUAAAAAGAGCAAAAGUUCAUCCUCGAUGGACCGGGCAAUAUUCUACGGAGAGAGGUAUAAGACUGAUUAUUUAAGUAUUACAGGAAGAAAAGUACAAGUUUUCUUAAAGUUCAAGGUGGCAAGCACAAUUUUAGGCUGUUGGUCAAAAAUAUAUUAAGGCAAAACCAUAAAUUGUACCCCCUCCGUCCCAGUCAUUUGUAUACAAAUGGUUGGGACACGGAGACCAAGAAACUGUGUAAGAAAUGAGUAAAGUUAGAUGAAAAGUUGGUAUAGUGAUGGGACCCAUUUAUAUUUAAUAAUAGAUUUGAGAUAAUGGAGGAAAAUAGUGGGUGUAAUAGUGUUUAUAUUAUUAUAGAAUAGAGAUAGUGGAGGAAAGUAGUUGGUGUAAUGAUGUUUUAUAUUAUAAAAGUUUACUACUUUUGGAAUGUAUACAAUUGAUGGGACGUACCAAAAAGAAAACGGUAUACAAUUCAUUGGGACUGAGGGAGUAGUUGGAUUUUUGAAUAAAAGAAUCUCGCGGACAAAUAUUUUAUUACUCGGAAAUCUAAUUUGAUUUGAUCGUGUUUGUUUGCAGUUGCUUUGCAGCGAAGAUAGCGGAAAUAUAUAUUAUAAAAAUGUUGUGAUGACUUUUAGGAGAAUAAUAAUAAAAAAGUCCUGAAAACCCCUGAUUAGUGAUCAGGGCCAUAUUUUAAUUCUAAAUCUCUGAUUAACUGCUUAUUUUAAUAUAAAUCUCAACUAGUAGUACUAAGUACUUGAUGCAAACACAAGAAGUCGUCAAAAAACAAGAGCAUGUGUAAUACACUUGUACUAGUUAUUUACCGUCAUUUCUAAUUCAUUUCAAUUUUUAAAUCAGUUUUUAAUUUAUUAUAAAAAUAUUUAAUCUUCAAUUUGAAGUCGGAAAUAAUGUUUGUACUAUAUACAAACAUGCUCUUUUCAUAUCUUAAAAAGUGUAGCCGAUUUUAUUUUGGCAUAGAAUUAGAGAUUUGGUCGUACUGAGGUUGAUUCCAUCCAUACUCAUAUUAUACACAAAUAUAAAAUUAAAGAAAGAAACUAAAAAGUGCAUAAAAAGGUCAUGAAGAAUUCACACAGCAAACUUUGAGUCCCAAGCAAAAUGUGAACUGAUAAUCCUCCUGUGGCUACUGUGCAGCAGAGACCGCCUAUAUAAACUAGGAGGAACCCGAUGACCAGAAAGUUGUGGAGUAUAUUAGACUGGUCCACAGUCUUCUACCUCCAAAAUACUAUGAAUAUAAUAUUAUUAGUCUUACUCUGUAUCUCUCUCACAAAACUUCACAAUAUUCAAAGCCAUCCGAGAUUCAAUGUAUGUGGCUCUUUCACUUUGUUCACGUUAUUAUUACUAACUUUACAGUUUACACUAGUCACAAAUUUUAUUAGAGGUCAAACGAUGGAUUUCAAAUGAAGAUUUGAGUUGUCAUUUUAAGUUUUGAGAUUUAUAUUAACAUGUGUGAAAUUCAAAUUUAGAUUCCCAAACAAAUUAUUUGAUCAAAUUCAUAAUUUCAUAUGAGAUCUUGGUUGCCAACAUGCUAUUAGUAUUUCGCUGUAUAUUAGUAUCAGGGUUGUCCGAGAAAUAUAUAUUGAUAAUUAAAAUUGAUCGAUCGAUUAAUUUAUAAAUUUAGAAUUUAUCAAAAUUAUCAAAUUUUAAUUUUAAAUAAAAUGAAAAUAUAAUCGAUAAAUUGAGAAAAUGUCAUUUUAUAAAUUUAUAUAAAAUUAACCGGAUUUUCAAAACACCGACUGAAAACUAGUUUUCAUGUUCCCAUCCAUAUUCCACCUGGAUACCCUCCCCUCCGUCUUUCUACGACCUUUUGGAUAUAACAUUUUCGUACUGUUUCAAUACCAAGUCGACAGCUUUAAAUCAUGUUCGAAAUACUUUCUGGUCUCUGACAAAAAAAUGAAUUUUUUUUUAUCUUUUAGAACAAUAAACACAAAUUAGAGAGUUUUCUUACAUAAAAUUGAUUUUUUGUAUUAAAAUAAUCAAAUUUCCAGAUCAAAUAUAUACAAAAUUUUAAUUCGAUUUCAAGUUUUCCUAUCGAAAUUGUAUAAUAUUAAAAUCAAACUAAAUAAGUGGUGGCUGUAAUAACAACAAGUCAACGCGUCAAACUCAUCAAGUGACCCCGUCUGAUGAGAUAUUUCACGGUUGAGAUCUUUCUGUGCUCAUGUAUAUAUCUCUCUCUUUCAUUUCACAUUUUCUUUCUUUUCUCAGAUUCAACACCCUCUCCACAUACAUCUCUCUAGCUUCUUCCAUUUGGGCUCUCUCUCGUUCAGGUACUCAUUCAUGUCUCUCUCUUUUAUAACCUUUUUUAUGUACAUAUGUUCAUGCUGUAUUUAUCUUUUUGAUGCUGUAUUUUUUAUUAUUUUUUUAAUUUUGAUAUUUGAAGUGGUUUAGUGGAAGUUCAUGAAGAUCAUAGAAAUACCCAUCUUUGUUUUUGUGUUUUUAUGCUUAAAGUUUUUACCUUUUUGUGGUUUUAGUGGUGUAUAGUUGAUAAAGAUUCUGUUUUGCUUGUGGGUUUUUGUGAUUUUGUGUUUAUGUUUAUGGGUUUAAUUUUCUUGAUUCAGGUUUAUGAGUUUGGGGUUUUGCUGCUUUUGGAUUAAUUUUAGACUACUCAGAUAGCGGUUUGUGAUUUUAGGCCACUGGGGAAUAGAUAUUGAGGAAUUUAGGAUUAGAAGGAAGAAGGAUAAAGACUUUGUUUUGAGUUUGGGGGAUUUUUGUGAGGGUUUGAUCGUGUGAUGGAUUAUUCAUGUAAAUUAGGUUUUACGGAUGGCCAAGUUCGACCAUAUUGCACUAGUUCGGUGAAUCCGAUGAGUUUUAAUGAGGUCAGUUCUCAGAGGUUUUUGGAUCAGAAACUUGUUAAUGGGGCCAGGAUUGAUGGUAAGUUCAUUGAUACUGCGAGAGUCGAUAGGCCUGUGAUGCCUGCUGAUCCGAAUUCUAGUGGUUUCACACCAUUUUAUGGCGUACAACACACUACAGAUCUUCAUGAGGAUUUUGAUUUUAGUGAUGUAGUUCUUGGGUAUAUAAACCAGAUGCUUAUGGAAGAGGAUAUGGAGGAGAAGACAUGUAUGUUCCAAGAAUCAGCAGCACUUUUAGCGGCAGAGAAAUCAUUCUAUGAAGUCCUCGGGGAGAAGUACCCUCCCCCGCAUGAGGAGCAGCCAGUAGCCUACUCAGAUCAGAGCAGUGAAAGCUUGGAUGAAAACCAUGUUGAAGCUUACAAUAGUGAUGGUGGAAACAAUCAUCUUAUUAAUAGUCUCUUGACGCCUGGUUGCAUUUGUGAUUCUAGUGAUUAUAGUCUAUGUAAUUCGCAAGGUGGUUCUGUUAGACUUGUAGCAGAAACAUCUCAGUCAAUAGGUUCACUAACUAGCAACGGCAGUCCUGUGGAUGGGCUGGCAGAUUCACCAGUGAGCACUCUUGGAGUUACUGAUAUAUUUACAGAUAGCCAAUCUGCGUUGCUAAUGAAAAAAGGUUAUGAGGAGGCAAGCAAGUUCCUUCCCAGUGGUAAUAAUUUUUUUGCUGAUAUGGGGACUAAUGAAUUGUUAGCAAAUGGGCAGAAGAAAAAGGAUGAGACUGUGUUGGUUAAGUUGGAGGACAAGAAUCAGAACGAGAAAUCACAUAAUGGGUCAAGAAGCAGGAAGAAUCCUUAUACAGAAGAAGAUGGUUUGGAUGAAAGCAGGAGCAACAAGCAUUCUGCACUGUUUUGUGAAUCGACUGUGAGGUCAGAGAUGUUUGAUAUGGUGCUACUUUGUAGUGAAGGAAAAUAUGAUUCUGCUCUUCGUGAAUCAUUGAUGAACGAUGCAAAAAAAAGUGUGCAACAGAAUAAUCAACCAAAAGGAUCAAAUAGCGGGAAGGCGCGCGGCAAAAAACAAGGAGGUAAGAAGGAUGUGGUAGAUCUAAGAACACUUCUGACCCUCUGUGCACAAGCUGUUGCAGCCAAUGAUCAAAGAAAUGCAAGUGAUUUACUGAAGCAGAUCAGACAGCAUUCUUCUCCAUCAGGUGAUGGUAUGCAAAGGCUAGCUCAUUAUUUCUCCAACGGCCUGGAGGCACGCAUGGCUGGCUCUGGGACGCAGAUUUACAAGCAACUUAUUGCCUUUCCAUUAACGGCUGCUGAUGUAUUGAAAGCUUACCAUUUGUUGCUAGCUACCUCCCCAUUUAGGAAGAUUCCCAAUUUCUUUGCAAAUAAGACAAUCAUAAAGGUAGCUGAAAAUGCUACAAGGCUUCACAUUGUUGAUUUUGGGAUUCUUUAUGGUUUCCAGUGGCCUUGUCUUAUACAGCGACUCUCAACCAGACCUGGCGGGCCUCCCAAACUAAAAAUCACAGGAGUAGAUUUUCCUAAUCCAGGUUUUAGACCAUCACGGAGGGUUGAGGAGACUGGUCAGCGGUUGACUAAUUAUGCGGAGACUUUUGGAGUUCCAUUUGAAUUCCACGCCAUUGCUCAGAAGUGGGAUACAAUCAAAAUUGAAGAUAUCGAUAUCGACAGGGAUGAGAUGCUUGUAGUGAACUGUCUGUUUAGGUUUAAGAAUCUUCUCGAUGAGACUGUGGUGGUGGAUAGUCCCAGAAAUAAAGUCAUGAAUCUAAUUAGGAAGAUGAAACCAGACAUUUAUAUACAGGGUGUCACUAAUGGAUCUUAUAAUGCUCCCUUCUUCAUCACUCGAUUCCGAGAGGCACUCUUUCAUUUCUCCUCGCUGUUUGAUAUGCUUGAGGCCAAUGUUCCCCGCGAGACCCAUGAACGGAUGCUUCUUGAGAAAAUGAUAUUUGGACAGGAGGCAAUGAACGUGAUUGCAUGUGAAGGUGCAGAGAGAAUUGACAGGCCAGAGACGUACAAGCAGUGGCAGGUGCGUAAUCUAAGGGCUGGUUUCAGGCAACUUCCUUUGGAUAAGGAAAUUAUGAGGAUGGCCAAAGAUAGGGUUAAGUCGUGCUAUCACAAGGAUUUUAUUAUUGAUGAAGAUGGUCAGUGGAUGCUGCAGGGCUGGAAGGGACGAAUUCUGUUUGCCCUGUCAUCUUGGAAGCCUGCAUAUUAGAAGAAAGUAUCAUCAAAUACAAGAAGAGGGCAAUUCAUAACAUGGCUAUUUCCCUCAAAAUGUCAGGGCUAUUGAACAUUUGAAGUCAAGGUUUGGUCAUCUACAUCAUGUUCCUAUAUGAUAUGAUGUUCAAAGUCACGUGUCUUUAAUCAGCACAUCAGCACGUUUAAUGAGACCUGUAUUUCUGGGUUUUUUCUUGCAAUGCUAUGCAAAGAAAUCAACAUCGGUGAUCUCAAAACCUGCAAUAUUCAUGCUUGGUCGCCAAAUACUUAUCUUCAAGCAUGAGAAAACUGUCGGAUAGUAUUGCAUGUAAAAGACCUGUUCUUAGCAUGUGUGCAUCUUGUUUAGUAAGUAAUCAGUCAUGUUUUUUUUUUGGUGAAUAGGAGCAUCUGAUACAGGUCUUGUAGCAAGUAAUAUUGUUUCAUUUCUAAGUUCUUUUGAUGUAUGGCACGUUUUGCUUCAACAAUCUUUAGUUCUUUUAACCUAAUAAACUUCCUUUUAAUUAUCUGGAUUGGUAUUGCAUUAUCAUCGUUGUGACCUAGAAGUAAUUUGUUGUAAUUUGGCUUUCAUGAAUAGACUCUCUUAGCAACCUUAAAAUUUUUCAGUUUAGUCUGAAAUAUAUUUCAUCAUAUUAAAUAUGCCUGUUCUUAAUUUUGUGCACUACAUGCAGCACUGAUUUUGUUAAUUUAAUGAGGACAAAUACUGUUGGUGAAAUACUAAUUUUUCGCAUUUUUAAAUUUAAAGUUAAGAAAUUGUUUAUAUAUAAAAAUAUUAUCGAAGAUACCUUGAAUACCUGACAAAAUUAAUUAGUAUUAUAUAACGUAAGCAAAAUUAAGUUAACUAUAAUAUAAAGUAAAAUUUGAUUGAGCACGGUUGGAUAACUCAGUGGUAAAGAGCUUAUCCUCUGUCGUCCCAGAACCUGGGUUCGACCCUGGCUCAUCCCGAGAGUUUCGUAGAACAGAUACUCAUCCUGGGUUCGACCCUGACUCAUCUUUAGAACAGAUACUCAUUUGUAAGGCUAUAAGCCAUAUUUGUCGGGAAAAAAAGAGAGUAAAAUUUGAUUACUCUGCAAAUGAUUCACGAAGUUAACUGUCAUAAAAAAAAAAGAGUAAAAUUUGAUUAUUUCACGGAACGAAAUUAACUAUUCUAUAGUCCUUCUGUCCCUCUCCUUUCUUUAAAGUUACUAUUUUGGUAUGUCCCUCUCAUUUCUUUACGUUACUAUAAAUUGUAAGUUUUCCCAUCGUUACACCCACUAUCUUCCCCCACUAUCUCAUAUUUAACAAUAAAAACUACUAUUACACCCACUACUUUCCUCCACUAUCUCAAAUCUAUUAUUAAAUAUUGAUAGGUCCCAUCAUUUUACCCACUUUUCAUCUAACUUUACUCAUUUUUCAUAAAUUGUCUUGGUCUCCGUGUCCCCUUCCAAUGCAAACAAUUAAGGGGACGGAGGGAGUAACAUAAACAAGAUUUGAUUACUGCCGAUGAUUAUAUAAUAUUUCUCUGAAUUUCCCUGGGAACUUCCCCAGAGAUCUCAGGAUCGGGAGUUCUGACAUGCCCCCAUGGAUAAGAUAUUAAGAGGGGUGUAUUGGAUUGGGAUUUUAAAGCAUUUUUUUGCAUUCAUGAAAUCCGAGAGUAUUCGAUUGGGAUUGUUUGAAAUCCAUUAAAAUCUUGAGGUAUUCAAUUGGGAUUUUAAAUUAUGCUACAAAAUCCGGUGGUAUUCAAUUGAGAUUUUAAAUUAUGCUUUAAAAUCUGAUGGUAUUCAAUUGGGAUUGUUUAAAAUCCAUUAAAAUCUGAUGGUAUUCAAAUGCUGAUGGAUUUUUUUUCAUUUCAUAAAAUGAUGGAUUUUGUGGCAUUCUUCAGUGUAUUUUAAGUUUUUUGAAAUCCCACCAAAUUCAAUGGGAUUUUGAAGCAUUGUACCUAAAUCCUAUCAACUCUGCGACAUUUCAUCAAGAAUCCGCACAAAAUCAAAAUCUCAUACAAUCCAUUAAAAUCCAUAGACUAAAAACAAUGCAUUAAAAUCCCAAUCGAAUACACCCCCGUAAGAUUAUUCACGUCCAAUAAAAAUUAUGCUGUUUAGUUUUUAAGCAACCGACAGAUUUCGUAUUUCUUUUAUAUCCUAAGAGUUACUCUUUCUGUCCCAUGAUAGUUGUGAUAUUUCUAUUUUUGUUGGUCAAAUUAUCUAAGUUUUGACCAAAAAUUAUAAAUAAAUUAUUUAUUAUUUUAAAAAACUGAAAAUUACAUUUUAAAAUAGACUAAAAGCUAUUUCCGGUAACAUAUUUUUUUUAUUUUGUCAAUUGAUAAAAUAUUAAUAAAUUUCAGUUAAGCUUUAGUCAAUUUGACCGGCACAAAACCAAAUGUGACAAUUAUUUUGGGACGGAAGGAGUACUUUAUUCGUGUAAGGUGUAACUAGGAACUCUAAAAAAAAUAGUCAAGGAUAUUUGAAGGAACUGAAUGCUGCGAGGAUAUAAUAUAAUCUUACUAAAAAAAUAUUUAUAAAUUUUAUUUUCAAUCUAUUUAAAUUAAGAUUCUACAGUACGUAUUUUGAAAGAAAUACAUAAUUUCUUCAGUCGAUCUCAUUCUUCAUCUUUCCUGUGAAUCUGUGAUUCCCGUAAUAGAAAUUUUAGAUUUCUUUAUACUCAUAUCACCCGUACAGUAUUCCCUGUCCAUAGUAAAAAGUGCAACAUUUGUCGGAGAAUAAUUCAACUGAAUCUCAAAUUAUUAUCUUGACAUUCACAUUUCACAUGACCACAUGUUCUUAUAAGAUUCUCCUUUAAGUAAUCACCUGAUUACAAACAUUACUCCUUAAAAGCAUCUCCAGAUUGGUAAGCCAUCUUGAUUAUAUUGGUUGGCUCAUUGUUGUCCAGAUGUAAAUUUCAUGUCUUAUAUAGAAUAUGAUAUAUAUUAAAAGGACUUAAUUUUUCAAAAAUAUAUAUAUUUAAAUAAACGUAUAUAUAUCUUUGCUCACUGUUGAAAACAAACCACCGUUAUGAUUUGUUGGACAAUACGUUAUUGGUACGAACAAACUUAUAAAAUAUUAUAUAGGAUUAUUUCAGUAUAUCUCUCAAAGCAAGAAAAAGGAGUAAUCAAGUCAUAAUAUAGAACUAGAAGAAUGCGAAAGUAAGAGUUAUCAUUCAUUCAUUACUGCUGCUAACCCCUAAUUGUUUUUCUUUUGGUGUUGGGGGAGUUGGUCACAACAAUGGCACCCGGUCUUUUCUCUAUUCCAAAAUUCUCUACUGGACAUGGAAUAGACAAUGGGAUUUGAUGAUUUUACAUACUUGAACCUAGACCCUAAAUGGUCUUGAAGAAGAAGCCUUCUUUGUAUUAACAGAACCAAUCAGUGAGUGUACCUAAACUGAUACUUGCGAAGCCAUUCUUCACCCUUCUCAUAGUAAUCCAUUUUCUUGAUUGUUUGCUGAGGAAAUUGCACCGCAGCAGCAUAAGCAGCAGCUCCACGCCAUGCAUCAAGAAUCGGAUCAGAUGCUUUGUUAAUCCGUAUAGAUGUCCCACAUGGACGAAUCAUGCGGAUUCCACUUUCGAGCCGCUCACUCAUACCAGGGUAUAAGCAGCUUCCACCAAUGAUAAGAAUUGAGUUGGUCAUCCCUUCCUCUGCGCCUCUGACCUUUGAUGGCAGCCUCCUUAUUGAAACCCCAGCCAUCUCAUCUAGUCCUGCUUGAUCGAUACCAAUAAUGUUGGGAUUGAAUAGAAUUUCUGGGCACCGAAACCUUUCCACCCCAAGUAUAAUCUGAAAAUCUUCCUUGGUAAGUGGACGGGGACGGGAAGCCUCGGAAACAGAGGAUCCCACAUCUGUUUUGGGAGUAAAUGUUGGAUCUAUAUCCUGUCAAAAUAAUAAGCAUAGUAAUUUAAACAUCCUUAAACUAUAUAUCACAAAUUUACAAUGAAGAGGUUUUAUUAACAGACCCGGAGCCUAGAAGAGAUCCGAGACAACUCUGCCUCAUCCUCAUCCUGUUUUUCAUCUUCGUCAUCAUUAUCUUUGCUCAUCAAUUUAUAAAGUUGCCAAUCCUCAUCUCUGAUACCAAAAGUGUCCUCACCUUUCCCUCGAUCAAAUGCUGCCGUUGUCAAGAGGCGCAUCCUUUCCUUCUGUGCAGCACUUAAUCUCUCCCCACGUCCAACACCUCCAGAGACACCAUUUCCAUUUGUAUUACCUCCAUUUGUCUUCAGUCGUUUCUUCUGUUCAAUUUUUUCACAGAGGUCUGUAUACUUUGCACGCAGCUGCUCCAAGUAAGCCUCUGGGUUUUCCCUACAUAAAAACAUGCNNNNNNNNNNNNNNNNNNNNNNNNNNNNNNNNNNNNNNNNNNNNNNNNNNNNNNNNNNNNNNNNNNNNNNNNNNNNNNNNNNNNNNNNNNNNNNNNNNNNNNNNNNNNNNNNNNNNNNNNNNNNNNNNNNNNNNNNNNNNNNNNNNNNNNNNNNNNNNNNNNNNNNNNNNNNNNNNCGCCAAGUAAGCCGCUGGGUUUCCCCUACAUAAAAACAUGCCAUAUUCAACAAUAAAUGAUAAUUUGUGCUAAAUCAUUAGCUCAUGGGUUUCAUGAAAAUAGAUCAUUCGUGACACAAAUUUGUUUCACAUAAAAGCAUGUUGUGCCCAGCUGUAGAUGCAUUCGAUAUUAUUUUCUAUCCUAACCACCUUUCAGCUUGUGAAUUGCAAAGGAAAAAGUUUCAAAUUAUACUUCAAGAAAGAACCAGAAGGCAAUAAGACAUACAAGCGUUUUGCUUCUUCUAGCUUAUUUUGCUUUUCUCGCUGUAAUUCUUCAUCGAUGCGCUUCUGUCUAGCUCGAUUCCGACCUUCUGAUGUUGUUUUGAGAAAUAAUUGCCUCUUCUUUUCCUUUAACUUUACAGCAUAACACAAACAUCAAACAGUUAGAUGUCACAGGUAUCAAGAAUUACUAGACUCUAGUACAUGCAUAAUGUAUCACAUUCACAUAAAUAAAUGCUUGUAUGCAUACAGCAUAUACAUAUAAUGAUACAAGUAUAUAUAUUAAAAAUGCCAAGGCACUGUCUUGGUUGAAAAGAGUGCAUAAUAUUAGCUAUAAUAUGGACUCAUACUGUUAAGAAGCUAGCCUUUCUACUUUAAGCAGCUGACCAGGGCCAGUAAAAACUUCUUUACCAACCCUUAACUAAUAAUAUUCAAAUACAUAAACUGCCUAUGUCUGGCAUUAGCCAAUGGCCCCGAGUUAUUUAUGCAUACCUGCUCAUGAGUUAGUAAGCUGUCGUCAACAUUGAGAAGAUUAUACUUUUCAGCAUUGGAAGUAUCUGCCUUCUCCUCAUUCUCAAUUUGCUCACCUUUGGCCUUUCGUAAAGAUUGUGUUGUUUUUACAAUUGCCGAUUCUAUUUCCUGUUUAGAGACAUAGCCGGUCGUAGAAAGGAAUGAUGGAAUGUCUUUCUCUCCAACAUGCUGAAGUUGCUGUAUAAGAAAUUCCAAGCCAUUCAAUUCAUUUUCUAAUUCAUUUAUCUUAGAAGAUCUCUUUGCCUCUGCCAUUUCACGCAACCUUUGCCCUUGCUUUUCCCUUAAAGCAGCUUUUCUAGAAAUUUCUUCUUCUGAUGGUGGCAGUUCAACUGGAGCCGGUGUCCAAGGGAGUUGCCAACACCUGGCUUUCUGUUCAGCUUCUUUUGUCCCUUUCUGCAUGAUAUUACAAGAACUUGAUGAAGUACAGGAAAUAAUAUAUAUAUUCAUAGAGAAACUUUAUAAAUAAAAAAAAAAAAACAAACCUGGAACAAUCCAACUUCUGAAGCAUAAUCCUGUGCAAUAUAACAGUGUUCCAUUUUCAAGUCUUCAACUUUUUCCCAUGAAAGCCUCGACCUUUUAGCAAGACUUUCACAAUUUAUAACCAAAACUAGGUUGCCAUGAAUAACGAGUUAGAAGUGUACAAUGUAAAAGAUUAACUCUUACAUAUGGUGAGGGUAUUUAAGUGAAAGAAGCUGCUUCAAGUAAUCAGUAACAUGGUAGCCACCAACAUUUGUCCGACAGCAUGCCUCAUAAACAGGCUCUCCAUUAACAAACUGAAUCCACAAUAACAAACACAACUGUCAUAAGUUCUUCACUUAAAAUUGAAGGUGAAGCUGUAAAAUCACACUGAUAGAUUUUCGUGUGUAACAUCCAUUCUAGGCAUCCAAAUGUUGAAACCAGGCAAGCAAAUAGAUUACCCACUUGUAGAUUAGAUGGCGGGGCUUCAGAGCGAACAAACAAACAAUUGUUUAGUGACUCACCUAGGACAGACAUUCAAGCUAACACAGAAUUUAGCCAGUAUACUUUGAUUUGGUUUUCAUAACAUUUGCUGAACAGUUCGUACUGUGUACAUAGUUGUGUGGUGCGAGACAAUGUGGGUUUAUCUAAUCUUCAAGAAAGUCGUCUCCAAAAACGAGUAGUAAAAGUUGAUCUUGGCAGUUCUCUUUCUUUCUCCCAGACUACAGGAUGUGAACAGUCUACUACAUGGAAAGGUUGUAAUUGGAACAUAGACUAGUUGAGCAUCACAUGGUGCAUCACUGCACCCACAAAGGCUAACAUGAAAUUCGAACGAACAAAGAGUGGCAUGUACUCCUAAUGAGAUAGCCAACUGCACACUAGCAGAGACAUUUACAAAAAGGGUACUCGCAUCCAAAUGCCCUGAAUCAUCGUGAGCAUCACUUUCGCAAUUGGAUCCCAAAUAAUUCUUGAAGCUAACUUUUUCAUAUUUAAGUAAUAUUAAGAAGGGGGAGGUUCCGGUAAAAACUUUUUAAAAAUGAAACUUGUAACAUUUUUGAACAUAUUGAACAUUUGCUAGAAAAACCAUUUUAACUAAAGAAUAAGACAACGGUAUUCUUUAAAUAAGUAAAAGUUUUGGGAAAAUUGGUAUAAAACAUUUGCUAGAUAAUAAAACUAGUGGCAUGGUUGUAAAUAGUUUGAUCUUCCGUGUAAGUUAGGUUCAGCACGUGUGAUUAAGAGUUAACAAAUAUAUGGUGGUUGACUUGGGUAUUUGAAUAUUUAACCUUGAAAUAACACGCGUAAUGCAAUAAACUAACUUCUUUUUUAAACCCUAUUUUUAAAACAGUGAACCCUAAAUGUUGGCAUUGAAAAUAAUUAUUUAAACUAAAACAUGCAAUAAAAGUAAAUUUUAAAACGUUCAUAAAUUUCUAAGCUUCUAUUUGACCCGUCCCCAUGUAUUACAUAUACAACAUUAGUGGUCCAAUAUAUCUAUAGUUCUUUCUAAAUUAGAUAAAUCCUCAAAAUAUAGAAAAAGGGGGAUGGAAUCAAGAGGGAUAAUACAUUCAACUAAGAAUCGAAUAUUUUACAACAUAUACAAUGCUGAUAUAUUGCCAAAUGCGGGAAUUAAAUGUAAAUGCAUAAAUUCUGAGAACAUCCAGGAUGAGCACAUGAGCUACAGUGAAAUGUGAGAACUGUCAAAACAUGACCCAGCAUUAACAAGUUGAUAGGCCAUGUCCCACACUUGCACUUCAACCAAGUGCCACAUACCAACACAUAACUAAGAGCAAAAGUAAUUUUGAAUCUCACCUAUGUACCUUUUGACAUUAUGUUGUAUAUCUAUUUCAAUGAGUACAAAACAAGUAGAAAGAAUUAGGAGAUGCUAGAAAUUUCAAAACACCAGUAUCAGUAGAGCUAAACUUCAAACUUAUAGUAAAUAUCAAGUGUAAGAAGGAUCUUUUGUCAGGGGGCUCUCCACCUCGUACUAAAGAUCCACAGAUAUAUUGAAGGUCUGAUAUAACGACUUCAACAAAAAAUAUAUUAAUACAUAUAUUAAUUAUCUGUAUACAAUAACACCACAUACUAACUUUAGCCUAUCAAUUUAGUAGCAUUUACAGAAGAAAAAAACAGAACCAUGAGCACAUAAUUUGGAAAGACUAGCCAAUAAAAGAGUAUGCUAACUUUAUAAACACUGGAUGGGAACGCAUACCGGGAUGACAUGACUUGUAGUAAAUCCUGAGCAGAUUGCAAGACCAUUUCUGUCACAUAUCCCGCGCUUUUGAUUAUAUUUGUAGCUAAAUGCAGCGGCCACACCAAAUGCUGUGAACUCCAAAGAAGGAACACGUUAAAAUAACUCGGUAAAACGAAAAAAUGUACAUUUCUAUCAAAUCAAAUAAAUAGUUUCAACAUUAGCAGCAAGCAAAAUAGAAACUGUGUGUCUACAAGACUACAGCCAUAAUAUCAAAUAUAUUGUUGAAGCAGAUACAAUAUCGAAUAUAAUUUUGAAGUCAAGUACCCCACAAAAACAUGCUAGAUGACACCAUCCACAAAAUAAAAAAUGAUUUAAAGAAUCGUGCGGGACUUCAAACCAUAAAGAUGCUAAGACAAUGUCAAAAUAAAAAGAGUCAGUGCUCAUACCCACUGAAGGAACCCCAUAUGUUUCGAAAAGAAGCUCGGCCAUUUUACUUCGGGAUUGGACUGGGUUGCAUGGACAUUCGGUAAUAAGCACAGGGUGAUCAAUCUGUCCUGCCAUCAAAUUAGAAGGAAGUGGUUUACAAAUGGGGUGAUACUAUUAAUCUAUGUCUUACAUUUUAAGGAUGCGAUUCCAGCUUCAUGCACUGAUAGAAUAGUCAGUAUUGAUCUUCGGCCUAAGGAUUUCAACUAUGAAACCAAAUGGGAGUCCAAAUAUACAUGCCAACACAAAAUUUUACAUAAUUAAACAAUAUUUUAAUUUUACACCAAUAACAGUUCAUUUAACUUGAUAUAAUUUUUGUCUUCUUUUUCAGAAAAUUCCUGUUCUUUAACAAAAUACGACUAAACUUACCUCAGAUCCAUCUGCACCCAAUCUAUCAAAAGCGAAGUCAAGAAUCUACAGCAAGCAAAACAAAUCAGUGAGGUAGUAAAAUAAAAAUAAUUAUAUAAAAAUCAUGGCACACUUCUUUUAUUGAUUUAUAUGGCACACUUCUUUUAUUGAUUUAUAUGAUCAUCACUAGCUGAAGUAAACAAUUAACCAUCUGGUAAUUUAAGUACUAAAAUUUCUUUUCUGGUUGGUAACUGUAAGUUGGCUAAGCCCUAUUACAAAAUAGAAUUUAAGAGAAAUAUUUGAGGAUAUUUUUUCGAAAAGUUGAUAAUGAAGGACCCAGAAUGGAAGUUUUGAGCUUUAGAAGCAGUUUAAAUUUACAGUAUUUAGUAUUGAGAUAUUAGGAGUGAUCAUAGUUUGUUUUGGUCAUAUAGGGGGUCACACUGAAGCCAUACCAAAAGAUAAAGGUUUCUAAUAAACCCACCUCAGCCGCCCCAACCCAACCAGACUGAAACAGGUAGUUGGUACUCGGUUUCAGUCAAUCGGGCUCAGUGGAUCGAUCAUUUUAACCCCACUUGAACACAUUUAGGGCCUACUAUCCAAGUUAUAAUAGAGUGCAUGGCAGCAAGGGCAUCAACGAUUUUGUUUCUAUUUGUACACUUUAUAAAUAAAAUAGAGUGCAACAAGGGUAUGAAUAAAUUUGGGGAACUACGUGUAAAAAUAUAGUCUUACAAACAUGAUAUUGAAAUUAAAAGUUUUAUACCAUUUCUAGCUACCAGUAUUAAUUAUUUAAUCCGGGGGACCUACAUGUAAGAACAUAGCUACCACUAUCCAAUAUCCAUGCGAGAGAACUUGACCCUGUACUUUGUUUCUUGGAGAUUAAUAUUAUUAGGGAUUCAGGCUAAAGUUAAUUUUCUUUAUUUAUCAUAUUAAAUAUCAUUCUCAGAUUGUAUAAUGCUAUGAUGCAAUUAUGUUUUAACUUUUGAUCAUACUAGAACUAGAACUUCUGUAUUCGGCUAACAAAAUAUCUUUCUAUAUAUUAAGAGUGCAUGCAGAUAAGUGACGAUACCUAAUGGCAAUAGAUGUCGAACCCGUGUUCAUAACCCUUUUCGAACUUCUUACUAAUCUCUUUUGUCGGAGAUAGAUAAUCAAACAGGAGAAAGGAAAGCUGAAGUGCAAGAUGUACAAAGGUUGAUAAGAGUAGAAGGAUGACAACAAUCAUGAAAUUGUAUCUCUAAAGAAAGAACUGGAAUUAACUAGGAGAAAAAAUGAGCAGCUCGAAUUAAAAUUUGAAACAACAGCAAAGGGGGGUCAUGAAAUAUAAUCUUUGGGGGAGAGUAAGAAAACGCUAAAAAAAUAAUGAUCAGCUCCACGCCUCCACUCACAAAUGGAUCCUAUGAAAUCACUUGGCUAAAGCAAGACCUAUAAACAAUUUGGAGUAAUCAUGAGCAUUGAUGCUUGCAAAUGCAGACAGACGCCAAAUGGGUUCAACAAUAUAUAAAGGAAGUUGCGGAAUACUUGAAAGAAUCAAGAAACAAAAUUAAGGAGCUGAAGACCUUUAUAGUCUAAACACUGAGAGACUAACUAGAUGAUGAAUGUUAUAAGUUAUAACUUAGUUUUAGCCUGUUGGGGUUUGUACAAGUACAAUAAGAAAUUAAGUUGAGGCACUAAAGCAUAAAGAUUCACUACGAAAUAGCAGUGAAGUACCAUAUAUUGACAAUUUAGUUAAAAACUUAAUUUAGUUGGACUGAUUCUAGAAUUAAUAUUUUAGGCUGAAAUAGAACAUGCAAUAGUAUAGAGUCUAUAGACUUAAAAGGAGUAGAUUAUAAUAGACGCACCCAAACAAUAAACAUAUACAAAAAACAGAUAUGGACUGUUAAAGCAGCUCUAUUUUACAGUGAAAUCUCAAUAAUUUACCUACUGCUAGUAAUCUAUAUAAGAAAUAUCCAAUCUUACAUAUUCCAUGAUUUCAAAUUGAAACACAACAUCAGCAUCGAAUGCUGAACGAGGUCCCGACCGGGUACAGUCAAAGUAUUUCAACAGUGCCGGAUCAUGGUCACCAACUAUUGUUACCGUUUCCCCUGCAUUGAAAAUAUUAAUUUUAAAACAUUACGGAUUGCAAAGUCGUAUUAGUUUCAAAAGUAUCUGAUCUUAUGCAAUCAUAAAAAUAAUAUUUGUGAAAUACAUAUGUGAUGGUGAUACAUAAGCAAGAAAGUCCAUGCAGGAUAAACUAUAUUGUUUAAGAUUUGGAUUUUGGAGACCUGAUGUUUAAGUGAGGAUUCAAAAAAACCUACGAUUAUCUCCUGUCUUUUGUGUGGUUGCGUAUUAAGAUCCACGGGAUACUGCAUCAAAGCUAGUAUCAAAUCAAAAAAUGUUUCAGAUAUAUUAUUAUCAGAAUUAUUGUUUUAUGAAAGGCAGAUCGAUCACCCAAAAUUAACUCCUACAGUCAAACAUUCAUUCGAUUAUGUUCAAUGCCAUUACCACUAGUAAAUGUGAUAAUAACAUAACGUUCUCCAACCCUGGCCAAAGAAAUUUCCAGUCAACUUAAAAUAUCAACUACCAUUUAUCAUCAAGUCCUGCCUACAGUAGCCAAAAACCUAGAAUCCAUGCAACAUCAGUCCAACAUACACUACCAAACAACCCAGAAUCAUGCUAAUUGACAAGAGAAAGGCUAAAGGGGCUCAAAUUGGGAAUGAAAAGGGCAAAACAGAUUAAUUGACUAGGAAGCUGUAUGUUUACAACUUCCCGAGCCUUCCUAAUAUCAGCUAAACAAUAUAGUUGUAAUUUAUAUCAUCUUUAUAGAAAAAUACAAAGUCAUCUUCUAGUGUUCUAUCGUCACAAAAAAAUCUAAUAAACCGACAAUCAUUGCUCAAUAGCCACCAACAUAAGCCAACGCUUCAUCAACAAAUACUUAAAUUCAUGUUAAAAGUAUUUUAUCUUUAACAAAUAACUACGCAAAAUCAAUCAGCAAGCUACUUCACCAGAGGAGAAAAGAACCAUAAAAAAACCAAACAAUUCCUAACUUCAUCAGCUUCUCUGAAUUCAACAAAUUUAAAAAGGUUGCACACACUUCUCUAUUUCAAUUUACAUGGUGAGGCCCAUUAUGGUUCAUUUCUAAAUUUACUCUAGACCCCUAGUUUUUAUAUUCCCACAUUAUCUCGCUUUCUAAUAUCUAGAACCAAGCUGGGUGAAGCACGAAAAUACCCUAAAUUAUAAUUCUUUUAUAAUGUAGCGUUUGUUAUUACAUAUAUCAUCAAAAAAUCACAACACAGUGAAGCAAUGAAGUAAACAUUUUGGACACGCUUUGACCCAACAAGCUGAGAUGUUUAGCGAGAUGUUUCCACGAGCAAGGUAAAAUUAGUAUAUACAUUACUGAUGAAAAUAGCUAAACUUAUAAUUGAAAGCUAAAAUCACAAACACACACUUGAAAUUCUUCAAUUUCCGAAACAAUUGUGAUUUAACUAGAAUUUAAAAAAUAGAAAUGUUGAGAAAAAGGUAAUAACAAAUUCAAAGCGUACCAGUGGUUUUGUGACGAGGUCUUUGAACAAUGUUUCUGAAAAUAAUGCGAGGCUCACUCUCUCCAGCCCAUCUGAUUUACAAUAUUCAUAACAAUCAGAUUAGUAUAUGCUAUAGUACAUAAAAUUAGGGUGGAGAGAGAGGGAGGGGAGAUAGACAAGGAGGGGGAGAGAGAGGGGGGAGGGAGGGAGGGGGAGAGAGAGAACCCAAUUCGGAAAUAGGAGGCGCCAUUAUCGAUGACGAUUGGGACGGAGGGAGGGAAGCGAUGGUAAUCAGAUUGUCUUUGGAUUUGAGAAAUGAAUGGCAUCUUUUGUAACCCUAUACCCUCAAGAUGAAUGAGGAUUUCUUCUAGUCCAGCACUCCAGCUCUUGCUGUUAGUGGUGUUGUAUCAUGUAUGCAGAAUUUAACAGGGACGAAAUAACGUGAAAAGUUCCGCAGCUAAUGUAUAAAAUAUUUGAUUUGUGAUUGUGAAAAAUUCAUUUAUUAACACAUCAUAAUCCGGUAUAUUAGUUUUCAGAAGAAAACGUUCUUGCCUUUGGAUCUGAAAUUAAGUACUCCUCCAUCUCAAAUUAGAUGACGCGGUUGAUUUUGGCCACACAGUUUAAGGUUCAUUGACCGCAUGACUUAUUUUUGAAAUUUUAUUUUUGCAAAUAAAUAUUUAAAUAUGAAAUUCUUAUUUACAAAAGAAAAAAUAAAAUAAUAAAUUUCAAAAGUAGACGGUCAAUGCACCUAAAAUUACGUGCCCAGAGUCAACGGGGUCAUCUAAUUUGAGAUGGAGGUAGUAUAAAUUUAGUAAAAGUCAAAACACACAGAGCAUGUGCUAAAACCCUACACUCUCUCCGCAGCCGCUUCUUUUUCUUUCUUUGGUUCACUGCCACAGGGGCUUUCAUCGAAUUUCUACGGGUGAAAAGCCCCAAACAGUAUUUAUUUUUUUAUUUUCUCUCUUCUUUUAAUAAAUUUUAUGAUUUCUUAUUAGGUAAAAUUCAUCCAAUUUUUCUUAAACUUUGGCAUUAGUUUAUUUUUUGGAUCUAAGGAUUCAGAGCCUUUUCCGAUUUGACCUUUUUUUUCUUAGAUCUCAAUUUCACGGAAUUGCGGAUUUCUUGUUCUUCUAGAUGAUUUAAUUCUAUAAAAUGGUCCGAGUUAUUCUGUUUUGGUUUAGUUAGUAUUUUAUUUAAGUAUUUGCAGAUCUAAAGUUGCUAGUUUAUCACGUUUAGUUCGUGUUUGAUCUUAGUUUUUUAUGUUGUCUCACCGUUUGUGUGAAUUUUGUUAUUUUCUCACCAUUUGUGUGAGUAUGAUGCUUGAUUUAGUAAUGAAAGUUGUUAGGGGAUUACAUUCUCAGCCGAUAGCUCAAACUGGUUGUGGCGGAAGCGAAUGUGGUGAAGUAUGUGUACAUAUCAUCUUCAACAAAUCACGUGAUUUUAUCUCCAAGAAGAAUGGAUUAAUCAGUGAUUGUUUCUGUGUUUUGUUUGUUCGACGCGACUGUUUAUGUAGAUGCCGUAUGGUUUUUUAUUAUUGAAUUAACUCAUUUAUCAAAAAAAAAUAUAAAUUUAGAGGGUGUAUGGUAAUAGAGCCCAAUUCCCUGAAGAAUUCACAUGGUUGUGGGCUUAAAAACGCAGAAGCUCAUUUUUUUCCCCUUAUUUGACAAAUGAUUUGAAACACUUAACUUAAAUAAAAAUAAAAAUCGAGGAAAAAAGAUGAAACCCAACUUUCUUUUAGACUCCACUACAGCUUCUUUCUAAAGAAAAUAACCGUUGUAAUGAUUAAUUUACCCAUUCAAAGCAAUUUACGCGAAGGACUCUCUUUAACAUAAUAUAUUAUUUCUUGCUACGGAGCCCGGAAGAGAGUUGUGGAGCGAUGUUAUUCCCCACCUCUCUUAUCUCAUAGCUGUUUUUUAAUUAACAAAUCACUUGUGAAAAUCGAUAACAAAAAAAAGAUGAGGUCGAAGGUGAUACUAAUAAUAACAAGAAAAGGAAUGUUGAAAGUCAUCUUAGAUUUCAAGAUUUUACUAAUGUGAAGUGUUUGAUUCAAUUCUGAAAAAAAAAUUACGAGGUUACAAUAAGAAUUUCCGGAUCCAAGUAUUGUACCUAGCUCAAAUUUUUUUUUCAUUGAGUUUGUGAAAAUAUAAGAAGCAAUUGUUGAGUUGUCCUUAAGUGAUGAUUUUUUGACAAAAGGGAUGGUUACAGGAAUGAAAGAAAAACAUGACAAGUAUUGGGAUAACAUGGAUAAUACUAAUUCUUGUUAUAUGUUUCGAUAGUUUUGGAUCCAAGGUAUAAAAUGCAUUAUGUGAGGUUGUGUUUUGGUAAUUUAUAUGAAAGUGAGUCUUCUAAAUUUUUUUCAAUGUGUGAAAGAAUCAUAAAGUACUUAAAAAUUUAUUUGAUUAUUAUAAAGUUUAAUACGGGGUUGAAAAACCUUCUACUACAAGUGCAAAUAUAACUGUUGGAAUUAGCAAGAAUGUUGAAUUUAGAAAGUGCAUGGAGGAGGAAGUUCAAGGAGAAAGUAUAUUAAAAUUAAAAUUGUGUUUGGAAACUUAUAUUUCAAUUCAAAUUUUAAAUUUUAAAUGAUGAAUUGAGUUAUCAUUUCAAAUACUCAACUAUAUCAAUUAUUUAAAUAUAUUGAAUUUUAAAUAAAAUUCAAAUCCAACUUUUUUUUUAUUUGAACAUGUAAUUUGAUCAAAUCUUAGUUUUCAAAUGAAAUAUAACUUUCUAUGCAUGUCAUAAAUUUUUUCGCAAUCUUUCUUGCUACAAACACAAUACGGUUUAAAUCAAAAGAACUCAAUGUACUUGUUUAAAGGAAUCAAUGACAAUGAUCACAGGCCCAGCUCCAAAGUUUCGAGUCAUCAAAAUAAUGACAAAGAUGUCUUUUUUCUAAACGACGCACUCAACCCAUCUCAUCCACGUUAAUAAUCAAACAAAACUAAUGACCCACCAUUCGAGUAAGCCCACCACGAAGCGAAGAAUCCGACUAAAGCCCAUGUUAUUAUCAUCAUUAUUAAAUCCCCUCACACUCAGAAUUUCAAAUGGUUCACAUUUUGAAGCAGAGCCUAUUUCAACUUUCCCGCCCACAUUUGUUCCUCCACCUCAGCAAAAUAAAUCCACGUAGGAUCAGUGGCGGAAGCAGGAUUUAAAUAUAAGAAAUCGUCUUAUAAAUUAUAAUCCAACAAAAGGAACUUAAUACAUAAAUCAAUACAAAAUUUAUACAGUAAGACUUAGGCAAUUGUUUUGUUCGUGGUGUCACUGGUGUGUAAUAGUGCUGAUGGGCUUUGUCUUUAAAGAGGGGGCAAAUAGAAAAUUUAAGAAAUUUUAAAGAUUAAAAAAGGAAAAACUAGUGGUCAAGGGUGGGCAUUUGACCCCCCAGCCACUACUCUCCCUCCGCCACUACUAUGCUCCAAAAGCUUCCCCCAUACGAUUACCCUACAAGUCAAAUUAGGAGCUUCCCGAAGAAGCCUAAUUACACUGACAAGUAAUCCAAUACAACCUAUAAAUACGCAUACAAAAUAAUACAAAGUACAAAACACUACUAACAUUAAAUAUUUUUUCGAGUCGUGUUCGUAUAUUUGUCGUUGUCAUGGAAAUGGAGCAGGGCGGGAACUGCUGUUACAUGGAAAAUAACGGUGGCUACAAAACACCGAAGCGCAGUGGCAAGUACGAGAUUCCUGCAGCCACGGAGUGCCCCAAGGCGCCCAGGAAGAAAGCAGGAGGAAUUUAUGGAAAGCAGAAGAGAGUUAAAGAGCCAAAGAAUGGGUAUUUUCAAACACCCGAGCUUGAACAAUUUUUCGCAACUGCAUACAUAAAGCAAAGUAGUUAUGUAAUAGCUAAUAUGUAAUUAAUCUAGGUAUCUCUUUUUUGCAUAUUACAAAUCCUAUUAUGUAAGGCUAAUCUGUAAGAAAUUUUGCGUGAAUGUAAAUGUAUGUACUGUAUUAUAGUAAGUUCUGCUUCUCGACAUGCUAAUGGGUUUCAAUAUUAUUUUUUUGCCAAUUUUUUACAAGACAGAUUGGAAAGAUCAAUAUCAAAUAUUCGUAAAGAAAUUAGGCUCAAACUGGAAUUCAGAAGCAUAGUUCAUGAAGCUUAAAAUAAUUCGAUAGAAUUGCAUUCCAUGUGUUAAUAACUGUUCGAUUAAGUCAGUAUGGUUUGUACUCCCUCCGUCCCUCCCAUUUCUUAUCGUUUGGGUUGGGGAAAUAUGUAUAAAGUAGUGGAAAAAAGAAAGAAAAGUGGGUGAAGUGGUGGGACCCAUGUAUAAAAAGAAGAUAGUUGAGUAAAAGUAGUGUGAAAAGGAAAUAAAAGUGAAGAAGUAGUGGGACCCUUGACUAUUUUGGGUAAGUUUUGAAAUGCAAAAAAUUGGAUGGGACAUCAAAAAAAUGUAAAGAAAUAGGAGGGACGGAGAGAGUAUUAAUUAAUAGGGUCCUGUUCCACAUCAACCACGUGUUAGAUAAGGGUUAUCUAACACACUGUACGGGGGCCAUUGGAUUUAUAUUUCAAGGGCUCAGAUCCAAUUUUGGGUUUUUAAUGUAUCCGCGGUUAUUUUCCGCGGAAGGGAAAACUCCCUAUCCGCGGUUAUUUACCGCGGAAGGGAGUUUUCCCUAUCCGCGGUUUUUUAUAGCGGAUACAUUAAAAUCUCAGAUUGGAUCUGAGCCUUUGAAAUAUAGAUCUAACGGCCCCCGUACAGUGUGUUAGAUAACCCUUAUUUAACACGCGGUUGUCAAGGAACAGAACCCUAAUUAAUAAAUGGACACACUUAGGCGUGCAAUUUAUUUUUAACAAGAUUCGAAUUCUAGAUAGUCUAAGAUAUUUAUAAACCAGUAACGGAAGAGUUCUAUGAAUUUAUCUACUCAAAUACCUCUGGUGAACUAGUAAGAUUCGGCUAAGGGCUUCAAACCCACAUGCUGAACAGGCCUGCAUAUUUUCUUAUUAAAAUCAGGCCGGUGAAAAAACAGCCUAGUCAUUGCUAGCCCAAGCCUGCAUGAACGAGUCCAUUAAUCUUUAAUUUUCUGCUUUCGUAAAAAAAAAAAAAGAACAGAGAACAGAUGCUCCACAAGCAGCAUAACCGAAUUAACCAAAACAUUCUUAAUGUUUAGCAUUACAGCACAGAUUAAUUACAGUACCUUAAAUAGGCUUAAACUAAAGAUCAAGAGGUAGACAUAACUAAAAAGCAAAAGUUCGCAUGUACAGCAGCUUAAAAGAAACAUGGGAAACAAAAACGAUGAGCAGUGCCAGGAAGGACAAUGAAUUACUGUAGUAUGUUUCUAAAUGGAGUAAGCCUAGGCUGUGUGUGUUUCCACUUUGCGCACUAGCUCUGCUGAUUAUCUCGGCGAGAUUCAUGGGCUGUGUUUUUCGAUUUAUCAUUUCAGCUAUCCUACCUAAUAUAGCCACCACUCGGUGUGUUUUUCGAUUUAUAUUCGUCCUGCAAAAAGAACAUUCACGGUUGGCCCCUUCUUUGAGGGGAACUAGCAAUAUACACGAGUCCGAGAUCUAUUGGGCUGAAACUUCAACUUGUUUUGGUAAAAAAAUAGAGCUCACAAAUAAUAAAACAUUUAUCGUUCUGAGAAGGUUAGUCGGGCCGCGGACCAGCCUUGAUUUUGGUUAUCUUGCGGGGAUAAAACAUUAAUGUGUUGAUGAUCAUGUCCGAAUAGUCUAGUGGUUCAGUAACAAUUUUUUUAUUUAUUUGACUUUUUAAUGAUAUAAUUAUUAAGUUUUGAUCAAAUAUUACACAUAAAUAUAAAUAGAGAUAUAAUAAAAUUUGUAUCAAUUUAAAAUACAUUUUAUCUAUCUUAAUAUGUAUUUUUCAAAUCUUGUAAAUUAUAAAGGGCUUUUUUUAUUCAUAACCACGUUUUCAAUCUUAUUUCCAAAAAUACUACCUUAUCCAAUCUUAUUUUCAAAAAUACUACCUUCUCUAAAAUAUUUUCAAAAAUACUAUGGUUGCAUAUGCAACUAUAUAUGCAACUACAAAUCCUGAUUUCAAGUUUCAGAUUUCAAAUGUCAUUUUCGACCUCAUCGUUGGAUUCGAGAUAUAUAUAUAUAUAUAUCUCGAAUCCAACGAUGAGGUCGAAAAUGACAUUUGAAAUCUGAAACUUGAAAUCAGGAUUUUGUAGUUGCAUAUAUGGUUGCAUAUGAGGUUGUAUUCAGUUGAUUCUAUUGAAUCUAAUGGCCCCGCNNNNNNNNNNNNNNNNNNNNNNNNNNNNNNNNNNNNNNNNNNNNNNNNNNNNNNNNNNNNNNNNNNNNNNNNNNNNNNNNNNNNNNNNNNNNNNNNNNNNNNNNNNNNNNNNNNNNNNNNNNNNNNNNNNNNNNNNNNNNNNNNNNNNNNNNNNNNNNNNNNNNNNNNNNNNNNNNNNNNNNNNNNNNNNNNNNNNNNNNNNNNNNNNNNNNNNNNNNNNNNNNNNNNNNNNNNNNNNNNNNNNNNNNNNNNNNNNNNNNNNNNNNNNNNNNNNNNNNNNNNNNNNNNNNNNNNNNNNNNNNNNNNNNNNNNNNNNNNNNNNNNNNNNNNNNNNNNNNNNNNNNNNNNNNNNNNNNNNNNNNNNNNNNNNNNNNNNNNNNNNNNNNNNNNNNNNNNNNNNNNNNNNNNNNNNNNNNNNNNNNNNNNNNNNNNNNNNNNNNNNNNNNNNNNNNNNNNNNNNNNNNNNNNNNNNNNNNNNNNNNNNNNNNNNNNNNNNNNNNNNNNNNNNNNNNNNNNNNNNNNNNNNNNNNNNNNNNNNNNNNNNNNNNNNNNNNNNNNNNNNNNNNNNNNNNNNNNNNNNNNNNNNNNNNNNNNNNNNNNNNNNNNNNNNNNNNNNNNNNNNNNNNNNNNNNNNNNNNNNNNNNNNNNNNNNNNNNNNNNNNNNNNNNNNNNNNNNNNNNNNNNNNNNNNNNNNNNNNNNNNNNNNNNNNNNNNNNNNNNNNNNNNNNNNNNNNNNNNNNNNNNNNNNNNNNNNNNNNNNNNNNNNNNNNNNNNNNNNNNNNNNNNNNNNNNNNNNNNNNNNNNNNNNNNNNNNNNNNNNNNNNNNNNNNNNNNNNNNNNNNNNNNNNNNNNNNNNNNNNNNNNNNNNNNNNNNNNNNNNNNNNNNNNNNNNNNNNNNNNNNNNNNNNNNNNNNNNNNNNNNNNNNNNNNNNNNNNNNNNNNNNNNNNAUAUAUAUAUAUGGAUUCCAAAUAUGAGGUCGAAAAUGACAUUUGAAAACUGAAACUUGAAAUCAGGAUUUGUAGUUGCAUAUAUGGUUGCAUAUGCAACCACCGUAUUUUUGGAAAAUAUUUUCAAAAAGGUAGUAUUUUUGAAAAUAUUUUAGAGAUUUGAAAAUAAGAUUGGAUAAGGUAGUAUUUUUGAAAAUAAGAUUGAAAAAACAAUAUACAAGAUAAUUCCCCAAUUAUAAAAGGAUAAAUAAUAAAUGUAGGUCAAAAUCCGGUCUAUUUAAUCAAAAAAAAAUUAGAUAAGAGAAAAGAUUUGAAACGGAGGGAGUGCGUCUUGAUACCCGUGGGGAUUAUGAUGUCCUAGACGAAAUUUAGAAAUGAUGCCCCUAUCUUUCAAUAUCACAAAGGAAAAUAUUACACAUUCAAAUUAAAUCAAUAUACAAUAUACAAAAUAUAGUGAGAGAAUCUUGUUCUUUUCCAAAUCGAGUUCUUGAUAGGAGAGAUGUUCCUAUUGAAUAGUUUUUGAAUAUUUUGCGUGCUGAUUCAGCUAGUUAAUAAAACAACUUAUGCGUCGGGAAAAAAAUAUACAAUAUACAAUGAUAUAAUAAAAAAAAUAUUGUUUUAAAAUUAACAACACAAUCAAAUCAAAUACAUAAUUUUAUUAUUAUAUAUUACAUACGCAUAAAGUUUUUAGCAUCCUGAUGUAGUGAUGCUCUUGACGCUCGUCUUGAUCGCCUUAUCAAGAACCGGCCGUGAUUUCGACUCCGACUCACAAACAAAUAUCUCAAGCCUGGUUUAUUUAUUUUGAGUAUGGAACGUGCAAACAGCGCAUAAUAUUACUGAGAUGUACUUAUACAAUAUAUAUCGGAUUCUCAUUUGGACCACAGCCUUGUUUGAUGCCCGAGAACAUAAACAUAUUUAGAUGAGAACUCGAUGAAACCAUGGUUACAUUGGAGAUGACAUGAAAGCUAAAUAAUUCUGAGUUGCACCACAGAGUCUCGACGAACCGUUGUAUGAAACGUUUUCGAAUGCCGGUAGAAUAGUUGUGAUGUGAAGCCUCAAAAUUGAAGAAAGUAAUAAUGUGACAAUAUAGAAGUGACUCAAUAGGACGGCUCCUGCCGGUACAACUGGAGACAUAUAAUUAGUACAUAGUGGAAGCAUAUACAAUCAAGUCACAGCUGGUUUGGGUUCCAUGAGGACAAACCAAAACCGAGGUGCUUGUCCUUGAUACAAAAAGCAGCAGAUACACUAGCCAUUUGUAGCCCCCACUAGCUCGCCGACGACCCUAGACAUCUACUCAGUCACUUCGUAUCCUUAAUCGUAUUGUCUUUCUUAAGGUGACCAGACCCCAGCUUAUUGCUAAGCUAGAAGAGCCUAGAGGUGCAGAACAGAAGCGAUCAGAUGAAGAUUUUAAUACAGGUUCUCAAUUAUAUUCACUGCAAUUUAGUACUCCCUCUUCCCUCCCAUUUCUUAUCAAAUGGGUUGGGCACGGAGGUUAAGAAAUAUGUAUAAAAGUAGUGGAAAAGAGAAAGAAAAAUGGGUGAAGUGGUGGGACCCAUUGAUUUUUAAUGUAUAAAAAGCAGAUAGAGGAGUAAAAGUAGUGUGAAAAAAGAAGAAAAGUGGAGAAGUGAUGGGACCCAUUGAUUAUUUUUGGUAAGUUUUGAAAUGUAAAGAAUUGGAUGGGACACCUAAAAAGGAAAGUGUAAAGAAUUAGGUGGGACGGAGGGAGCACUCCUUAUACAUAUGGGGAGUGAGACGGAUAUUAAGAAAAAGUGUAAUUUAGUGAAGAAAAGUAAGAAAAGUGGGUGAAGUGGUGGGAUCCAUUAAUAUUUAAUGUGUAAAAGGAGUGUAGUGUGAGCAAAAUGAUGGGACCUACUAAUAUUUAAUGUAUAAAGUGGGUGUAGUGGAAUAAGGCGGUGGGUGUAGUUAAGUUUUUUAUAUUAUAAAAAUUUACUACUUUUGUUAUGUAUACAAUUGAUUGGACGUUCAAAAAAAAAUUAUAUACAAUCUAUUGAGACCGAAGAAGCAAGACAACAAGAAUAUUGCUCUUCGAAAUGUGCUCCAAAUCCAAAUUUAUUGAGCCUAGAAAUACUGUUUCGAUAUGCCAAACCCGAACCCGACAUCAUUCGAGGGAACGCACCGGCUCUCAAAGAAUAAGAUGUACUACUUCCCUUCCUUUCGAUUCUUAAAUCAUUUUCAUUUUGAAAUACUUCAUUGGAUUCUCUAUAUUUCAAAAUAUUAUAAUGUUAGUAAUUUGAAAAAUCAAAUGGAUCUAUUGUUUUCCACAAUCUAUGUAGCAUCUUCUAUAAAUGUUUUGAACUUCUAUAACCUGAAAUUAGUACUCAGUUUCCUGGAGAUUCUUUAAAAGUCAUGACUCCUUUUUCUAUUCUCUUCUAAAAAUUAUUUAGAUCCUUUUAACUUAUUACUCGUCUGUUUGGAUAUAUUAGUCUCCUUGACUUUUUUGCACACAACUUUAAAGGUUUUGACCGCACAUCUAAAAUUAUGUAUUAUAAUUUUAUUUGCAAUAUUUUCCCUUACGAAGAGUAGCGUUAGAAUUUUUACAUUGUUCCAUGUCUCAUAUUAUACCAGGAGUCAUAUAUUUUACUAAUUUUUAAAAUAUAAUACACUACACGUGCUCCGAUUAAUUUCCCUUAAAUAUUGAUGAUUCACGUAAAGACCAUUUGACUUAAUUUCCAAAAGGUGCUUACAUAGUUUUAUAAAUGAGAAGUUAGUUAUGAGUGAAAGGUAACUUUUAAUUUAUAUGUUUAGAUAAUUUUUUUGAUAUUUAAAAACUUAUAAGGUAUAAAAAUUAUUAAUAUAAUAAUAAAUUAUCUUACACUUUCUUAUAAAACGGUAUUCUACAAUUUUGUAAAAUGAAAAUAAAAUAACUAGCUAAAAAUAGUUAGGAUUUUUUAAUAUCUCAGAUUCUGAUUUAUAAGUCAGAAAUUACCCUAUCAUUAUUUAUACAAACAAUACGUGACAUAUAAAUCCAAAAAUUAGGUUUAAAAGCCCAACCAAACAUCCCAUAAUUAACAUCUCUUUCUUAUUCAAUCCUCGAUCGUGGCUUAACCUUGCCCAAUCCAAUUAAAAUACUCAGAAAGUACGGGAAAGUAACAGAUAAGUGGAGUUCCAAACUCCUAAACCCAGCCUCUGCAAACAAAUUACAUAAGAUGAUUCCCUUUCACAUGACAAGAACACCUGUAAGUUAAAGAUAAAGUGUUUUAUUACUCAUCUCCCUCAAAAAAGUCGUCAGUUAGGGUCACGGCCUUUAUAAAAUCGAGUACGAAAAACACAGUCGAUGUGACUCCAUCUUCCAUGUAUGCAAAAGCAAAAACUGAAUAGCAAUUGACCUUAAAUAGAACAGUGUUUCAACUUGUUUAUGUGAGUAAUGAGUAGCUAGCUAAGAUCACCUCGUUCGUAAAAUUACAAGGAAAGAUAACUAAGUAGUUUCUUUUGCAUUGAGGGAGUGAAACUGGAUGUCAUUAUAUUCUUCGAAUCUCCGUAGCGAAUAGUGAAGAUGACGAUGAUGCAGGUCAAUCACCUUUUAUGUUAAUCUUAUCUUUUCUUCUCAUGUAAAAAGAGAGAAAGAUUCCAAAAGCAGCAAAAGGAGGGACUUAGCAACGUGGGAUGUGACACACCAUUUAAAUAUUCAUGUCCACAAUGAAACCAUUUCUAUAGAUCAAUUUAUUUUCUGUCGGAAAUAAUUUAUUUAUGAUAUAUUGGAGGGUAAUAUAACACUGUAUUCGAAACCCGGCUUCAAGAUUUAUAAUUAGAAAUACUUAUUUGUACCGUUUGUGUAAAAAGUCAAGAAGUAUUUAAAAGAAUUUAGGAUUACUAGUUUUGUUUCGGGACUUCUACUUCUUUCCCAAACAGUUUAAUCACUUAUAUUGUUUCUGACUUCUAUUUCGCUUAUUUACUUUAAGCAAGAAACACUUAUUUUAAAUUCACUCAAACGGCUCGCUUAUUUACUUUAAGCAAGAAACACUUAUUUUAAAUUCACUCAAACGGCCUCAUAAACGAUACUCAGUUAAUAAUGUACACUCCUUAAAAUACUUCUUAUUGGGCCAGCUAAGCGAGCCUUAACUCCACAAUAGUACGAUAUUGUCCGCUUUGGGCCUAGCCCGCAUGACUUUGCUUUUGGGCACCUCCCAAAAGGCCUCGUACUAUUGGAGUUGUUCUGACUGCUUAUAUUCUAGUUUUCUGCCCCUCCCACAACCGAUGUGGGACAACUUCUAACAAUCUCCCCCUUCACACAUCGGUCUCGACACCUGUCAAAUUCUGCCUCCUAACGUGUGAUCGGGCUCCCCCUUCCUUCACACAUCGGGCUCGACACAUGUCGAAUUCUGCCUCCUAACGUGUGAUCGGGCUCCCCCUUAAACCCAUACUGGAAGUCCGUCUGGCUAUCUGACUCCCCCUAGGCCCAAACUGGAAGGCCCACCUGCCUUAUCCUUAAGCCCGUCCGGGGGGUCAUCUGCCUCUUCCUAGGCCCUUUUAUGGAGCCCACUUGAGAUUGUUACAGGCCGUUUCAACCUCGCUCUGAUACCACUUGUUGGGCCAGCUAAGCGAGCCUUAACUCCUCCCAAAAGGUCUCGUACUAUUGGGGUUGUUCUGACUGCUUAUAUUCUAGUUUUCUGCCCCUCCCAAAACCGAUGCGGGACAACUCCUAACACUUAAGACUUGGUCCAUUAAUAUAAUGUAUGGGUCGUUUGGUUGGGUGGUAUGAGGAAUCAGGUAUGGGUAUGAAGUCAGCCAAACUCAUAUCUAGUGUUUGGUUGAAUUUUUUUUGUCUUCAUACCCAUACCUGAAACCCCCAAGAUCAUGACUUUUGAAACCCAAGUGGAGGGGUGGGUAUGAGAUGCUGGUAUGGGUAUCAGUAUUAAAAUUCUUUUCUUAUAUUUUGAAAAAAUAUUAAUAAUAAUAAUAAAAAAAUUUAUAUGUACAAAUAAGUGUUAUUGAUAAUAACAAAAAUAUUUAUAAUUUUUUAUUUAAUAAAUAAUUUAAUUUAAUCAAUAACAUGAUAAUAUAUUAAAUUAAAUAGAUUCAUUUCAACACUCAACCAAACACAAGAUAUCAAGAAUGAUACCUUAACCCCAUACCAUAUUUAAUUCCAACCCGAUACCGCUCUACGAACCAAAUGACCCCUUAAUACAUCGAAACACACCCUAUUACAUGUUGAGUGAAUUUACACAAGCAUUAUAUAAUCGUGUUUUAAUCGAUUAUAUUAGACAAUUAUUUUAGAAAUAAUAUCAAAAAUAAUUCAUAUGAAUAUUUAAGAUUUAAUUUUCACUAAUAAUAUAUAAAUAAUACUUAAUUUAGGGAAUUCAGGCAACUCCAAGCAUAGAGAACUGUACCACAGAGUAUCUUCUCGAUAAAGGUAUCAAUAUAUAUAUAAAGCAGGAUGCGAGCGUCUCUAGAAUUGCUCGAUUCAGUCUUCUAAUUUUUCUUAAAUUUCGGAUAGAAAUUAUAAUUAUAAUUUAAAAAAUCAUGUUCAAGAAUUCUAAAAGUAAUACAAUUCUUUUUUUUAUUGAAUUCUAAAGAUGAUACAAUUCUUUUCUUAUUUAGUGUAAAAAGUCAAGAAGUAUUUAAAAGAAUUUAGGAUUACUAGUUUUGUUUCGGGACUUCUACUUCUUUCCCAAACAGUUUAAUCACUUAUAUUGUUUCUGACUUCUAUUUCGCUUAUUUACUUUAAGCAAGAAACACUUAUUUUAAAUUCACUCAAACGGCUCGCUUAUUUACUUUAAGCAAGAAACACUUAUUUUAAAUUCACUCAAACGGCCUCAUAAACGAUACUCAGUUAAUAAUGUACACUCCUUAAAAUACUUCUUAUUGGGCCAGCUAAGCGAGCCUUAACUCCACAAUAGUACGAUAUUGUCCGCUUUGGGCCUAGCCCGCAUGACUUUGCUUUUGGGCACCUCCCAAAAGGCCUCGUACUAUUGGAGUUGUUCUGACUGCUUAUAUUCUAGUUUUCUGCCCCUCCCACAACCGAUGUGGGACAACUUCUAACAAUCUCCCCCUUCACACAUCGGUCUCGACACCUGUCAAAUUCUGCCUCCUAACGUGUGAUCGGGCUCCCCCUUCCUUCACACAUCGGGCUCGACACAUGUCGAAUUCUGCCUCCUAACGUGUGAUCGGGCUCCCCCUUAAACCCAUACUGGAAGUCCGUCUGGCUAUCUGACUCCCCCUAGGCCCAAACUGGAAGGCCCACCUGCCUUAUCCUUAAGCCCGUCCGGGGGGUCAUCUGCCUCUUCCUAGGCCCUUUUAUGGAGCCCACUUGAGAUUGUUACAGGCCGUUUCAACCUCGCUCUGAUACCACUUGUUGGGCCAGCUAAGCGAGCCUUAACUCCUCCCAAAAGGUCUCGUACUAUUGGGGUUGUUCUGACUGCUUAUAUUCUAGUUUUCUGCCCCUCCCAAAACCGAUGCGGGACAACUCCUAACACUUAAGACUUGGUCCAUUAAUAUAAUGUAUGGGUCGUUUGGUUGGGUGGUAUGAGGAAUCAGGUAUGGGUAUGAAGUCAGCCAAACUCAUAUCUAGUGUUUGGUUGAAUUUUUUUUGUCUUCAUACCCAUACCUGAAACCCCCAAGAUCAUGACUUUUGAAACCCAAGUGGAGGGGUGGGUAUGAGAUGCUGGUAUGGGUAUCAGUAUUAAAAUUCUUUUCUUAUAUUUUGAAAAAAUAUUAAUAAUAAUAAUAAAAAAAUUUAUAUGUACAAAUAAGUGUUAUUGAUAAUAACAAAAAUAUUUAUAAUUUUUUAUUUAAUAAAUAAUUUAAUUUAAUCAAUAACAUGAUAAUAUAUUAAAUUAAAUAGAUUCAUUUCAACACUCAACCAAACACAAGAUAUCAAGAAUGAUACCUUAACCCCAUACCAUAUUUAAUUCCAACCCGAUACCGCUCUACGAACCAAAUGACCCCUUAAUACAUCGAAACACACCCUAUUACAUGUUGAGUGAAUUUACACAAGCAUUAUAUAAUCGUGUUUUAAUCGAUUAUAUUAGACAAUUAUUUUAGAAAUAAUAUCAAAAAUAAUUCAUAUGAAUAUUUAAGAUUUAAUUUUCACUAAUAAUAUAUAAAUAAUACUUAAUUUAGGGAAUUCAGGCAACUCCAAGCAUAGAGAACUGUACCACAGAGUAUCUUCUCGAUAAAGGUAUCAAUAUAUAUAUAAAGCAGGAUGCGAGCGUCUCUAGAAUUGCUCGAUUCAGUCUUCUAAUUUUUCUUAAAUUUCGGAUAGAAAUUAUAAUUAUAAUUUAAAAAAUCAUGUUCAAGAAUUCUAAAAGUAAUACAAUUCUUUUUUUUAUUGAAUUCUAAAGAUGAUACAAUUCUUUUCUUAUUUAGUAAUCCUAAAAGAAAUAGGAUUAUAUUUAUUCAAAUUAAUAAUAAUAGAUAAAAUACAAUUUAUAUUUAAGUUAUGUAAAGUAAUAUAUACAAUUCUUAUUUUCGAUAAUAUAUAAUAUAUUGAAGAUAUGUUUAACGGGAACACGACUGAAAAUAACUUUUAUGGAAUUAUAAUAUUAUUUCGUAUCAAAAUUUAUAAAAAAGAUUAUUUAUUAGUAUUGUGUUUAAGGGGAGGGCGGCCCAAAUUAAUUUUUACCUAAAUAAUAAUAUUUUUUUAUUAUUAUUAUGUUUGACAGGAAAGUAGGCGUCUCUAGAAUUGUUCGAUUUAAUCUUCUGAUUUUUCUUAAAUUUCGGAGAUAAAAUAUAAUUAUAAAUUAUAAUUCGAAAAAUCAGUUUAGAGAAUUCUAAAUGUAAUAGAAUUCUUUUGUUAUUGGAUUCUAAAUACAAUUCUUUUCNNNNNNNNNNNNNNNNNNNNNNNNNNNNNNNNNNNNNNNNNNNNNNNNNNNNNNNNNNNNNNNNNNNNNNNNNNNNNNNNNNNNNNNNNNNNNNNNNNNNNNNNNNNNNNNNNNNNNNNNNNNNNNNNNNNNNNNNNNNNNNNNNNNNNNNNNNNNNNNNNNNNNNNNNNNNNNNNNNNNNNNNNNNNNNNNNNNNNNNNNNNNNNNNNNNNNNNNNNNNNNNNNNNNNNNNNNNNNNNNNNNNNNNNNNNNNNNNNNNNNNNNNNNNNNNNNNNNNNNNNNNNNNNNNNNNNNNNNNNNNNNNNNNNNNNNNNNNNNNNNNNNNNNNNNNNNNNNNNNNNNNNNNNNNNNNNNNNNNNNNNNNNNNNNNNNNNNNNNNNNNNNNNNNNNNNNNNNNNNNNNNNNNNNNNNNNNNNNNNNNNNNNNNNNNNNNNNNNNNNNNNNNNNNNNNNNNNNNNNNNNNNNNNNNNNNNNNNNNNNNNNNNNNNNNNNNNNNNNNNNNNNNNNNNNNNNNNNNNNNNNNNNNNNNNNNNNNNNNNNNNNNNNNNNNNNNNNNNNNNNNNNNNNNNNNNNNNNNNNNNNNNNNNNNNNNNNNNNNNNNNNNNNNNNNNNNNNNNNNNNNNNNNNNNNNNNNNNNNNNNNNNNNNNNNNNNNNNNNNNNNNNNNNNNNNNNNNNNNNNNNNNNNNNNNNNNNNNNNNNNNNNNNNNNNNNNNNNNNNNNNNNNNNNNNNNNNNNNNNNNNNNNNNNNNNNNNNNNNNNNNNNNNNNNNNNNNNNNNNNNNNNNNNNNNNNNNNNUGUGAUCGGGCUCCCCCUUAAACCCAUACUGGAAGUCCGUCUGGCUAUCUGACUCCCCCUAGGCCCAAACUGGAAGGCCCACCUGCCUUAUCCUUAAGCCCGUCCGGGGGGUCAUCUGCCUCUUCCUAGGCCCUUUUAUGGAGCCCACUUGAGAUUGUUACAGGCCGUUUCAACCUCGCUCUGAUACCACUUGUUGGGCCAGCUAAGCGAGCCUUAACUCCUCCCAAAAGGUCUCGUACUAUUGGGGUUGUUCUGACUGCUUAUAUUCUAGUUUUCUGCCCCUCCCAAAACCGAUGCGGGACAACUCCUAACACUUAAGACUUGGUCCAUUAAUAUAAUGUAUGGGUCGUUUGGUUGGGUGGUAUGAGGAAUCAGGUAUGGGUAUGAAGUCAGCCAAACUCAUAUCUAGUGUUUGGUUGAAUUUUUUUUGUCUUCAUACCCAUACCUGAAACCCCCAAGAUCAUGACUUUUGAAACCCAAGUGGAGGGGUGGGUAUGAGAUGCUGGUAUGGGUAUCAGUAUUAAAAUUCUUUUCUUAUAUUUUGAAAAAAUAUUAAUAAUAAUAAUAAAAAAAUUUAUAUGUACAAAUAAGUGUUAUUGAUAAUAACAAAAAUAUUUAUAAUUUUUUAUUUAAUAAAUAAUUUAAUUUAAUCAAUAACAUGAUAAUAUAUUAAAUUAAAUAGAUUCAUUUCAACACUCAACCAAACACAAGAUAUCAAGAAUGAUACCUUAACCCCAUACCAUAUUUAAUUCCAACCCGAUACCGCUCUACGAACCAAAUGACCCCUUAAUACAUCGAAACACACCCUAUUACAUGUUGAGUGAAUUUACACAAGCAUUAUAUAAUCGUGUUUUAAUCGAUUAUAUUAGACAAUUAUUUUAGAAAUAAUAUCAAAAAUAAUUCAUAUGAAUAUUUAAGAUUUAAUUUUCACUAAUAAUAUAUAAAUAAUACUUAAUUUAGGGAAUUCAGGCAACUCCAAGCAUAGAGAACUGUACCACAGAGUAUCUUCUCGAUAAAGGUAUCAAUAUAUAUAUAAAGCAGGAUGCGAGCGUCUCUAGAAUUGCUCGAUUCAGUCUUCUAAUUUUUCUUAAAUUUCGGAUAGAAAUUAUAAUUAUAAUUUAAAAAAUCAUGUUCAAGAAUUCUAAAAGUAAUACAAUUCUUUUUUUUAUUGAAUUCUAAAGAUGAUACAAUUCUUUUCUUAUUUAGUAUUUCGUAUUGAAUUCUAAAAAUGAUACAAUUCUUUUCUUAUUUAGUACUCCCUCCAUUCCAAAAUAAUAGUCGCUUUGACUUUGUGCACGUAUUUUGAGGUGUAAAAAAAACAUACUUCUACAUAUUAUUUUUGAAUUUUUUUUUUCUGAAUAAAAAUUUAACAUCUUUAUUUUUAUUCAGAAAAAGAAAAUUUCAAAAAUAACAUGUAGAAAUGUGUUUUUUUUCACCUCAAAAUACGUGCACAAAGUCAAAGCGACUAUUAUUUUGGAAUGGAUGGAAUAUUUCUUAUUAAAUUCUAAAGAUAUUACAAUUCUUUUAUUAUUUAGUAAUUCUAAUAGGAAUAGGAUUAUAUUAAUUCAAACGAACAAUAAUAAAUAAAAUACAAUUUAUAUUUAAGAUUUGUAAGAUAAUAUGUACAAUUCUUAUUUUCGAUAAGAUAUAUAGAAUAUUUAGUUGAAUUUUAUAUUAUAAAAUUUUAUUUUCGAUAAGAUAUAUAGAAGAAUAAUCUAAUACUAGGUCCGUAAUUACAACGUGUUUAAGAGUCUAAAUAGUAGACACAAAGAAUUGUUCGAUUCAAUCUUAUAAUUUUUUCAAAUUUCGGAGAAAAUGUAUAAUUCUAAUUAAAAAAUCAGGUUUAGGAAUUCUAAAGAUAAUAUAAUUCUUUUUCUUAACAAAUUCUAAAGCUAAUACUCUAAAAUCUAAAAAAACAAUUGUAAAAAUAAUACGAUUCUUUCUCUUAUUUAGCAAUUAUAAAAAUAAUAUACUUCUUAUUUUUAAUUGCGAGCUUACUAACGAAGUCGACCCGAUAGCUCCGCAUCUAUCGCAUCUAAUGCACCAUCAUUCUAUAAGGCCACUACUACUUUCACUGGACUCACAUGGCGUUAAGGUCACGUGGAGUCAACAAACUUUCUGUUUAAUUUUUCUAAUUUUUUGAGAGAAAAUAUGUAAAAUAGCUAAAAAAUAAUAAUUAUAAAAGAGAUAUAAUUCUAAAUAGUUAAGAAAUAAGAAUCUUAAAAGAAAAGAGAGAUAAUUCUAAACAAUCAAGAAAUAUAAAUCUUAAAGAAAAACAUAAUAGCUAAAAUCUAUGAAAUUGGAUAUAUUUAUCCAAAUAUAAUUAUAAUUUUAUCAUAAUGUAAAUAAUUCUUGAUUAGUAUUGUGUUUGAAGGGAGUGCGGUCCAAAUUAAUUUUUAUCUAAAUAAUAAUAAAUUUUCUAUUAGUAUUAUGUUUGACGGGAAAGCGGAUAAAAUAAUUUUUUAUCUAAGUUAUAAUAUAAUUUUUUUAUUAAAACGGGCCAACAGCUUAAAAUAAUUUUUUAUCCAAUUAUAAUCUUUAACUUUAUCAUAAUUAUUAUCAUAAUUAUAAUAAUUUUUAUUAGUAUAAUUUUUUAAAAUAGGAAUCAUAUAUUGAUUUUAUGAUAAUGUAAAUGAUUCUCGAUUAGUAUUGUGUUUGACGGGCACGGGAGGCGGCCCAAACUAAUUUUUAUCUAAAUAAUAAUAAUUUUUUUAUUAGUAUUAUGUUCACGGGAAAGUGGCUAAAAUAAUUUAUUAUCAAUGGUAUAAUAUAUUUUUUUAUUAAAACGGGACCAUGAUUCAAAAUAAUUUUUAUCCAAUCAUAAUCUUUAAUUUUGUAAUAAUUAGAAUAAUUUUUAUAUUUAUUUAAACUAACAAUCAUCGAUAAAAUAUAAUUUAUAUUUCAAAUUUGUAAGGUAAUACGCAGAGUUUUAUUUUCGAUUUAGUUUUAUAAUUUUUUUUUAAAUUUCGAAUAGAAAAUAAAGGAUUGUAAAAAUAAUAAUCAUUAGAAAAACUAAUAGCAAAAAAUUAGAAUUAUAAAAGAAUAAUAAUUUUUAACUAAUAAAUAGUAAUCAUAAAACUAAAAUAAUUAAUAAAAUAAGAUAUAUAAAUUAGGAAUUAUAAUAUAUUGAUUUUAUCAUAAUGUAAAUGAUUCUUAAUCAGUAUUGUGUUUGACGGGCACGGGAGGCGGCCCAAACUAAUUUUUAUCUAAAUAAUAAUAAUUUUUCUAUCAGUAUUGUGUUUGACAGAAAAGUGGCUAAAAUAAUUUUUUAUCUAUGUUAUAAUAAAUGUUUUUGUUAAAACGGGACCACGGUUCAAAAAUAUUAUCCAAUUAUAAUCUUUAAUUUUAUCAUAAUUAGAAUAAUUUUUAUUAGUAAUGUGUUUGACAGUAAGGAGACUCAAACUAAUAUUUAAAUUAUAAUGUUUUGUUAUUAGUAUUGUGUUUGACAAAAGAGCGGCUCAAACUAAUUUUGAUAUAAAUUAUACUGUUAUAUUUAAUUUUAUCAUAAAAAUAAUAAUUAUGAAUUAAUAUUGUUUUUGACGGGAGGUCUGUUCGAACUAAUUUUAUAUUAGUAUUGUGUUUGACACGAUGGCCGCUUAAACAAAUUUUUAUACUAAUUAUAAUAUUUUUUAUUAGUGAUAUGUUUAAUUGGAAGAUGAUUCAAAAUAAUUUUUAUGCUAUUAUAAUAUUAAUUCGUAUCAAAAUUUAUACAAAAUUCAUAACGCCGCCGCGAAACGCGGCUUUAUUCACUAGUUAUUACUAUAAUCCAGUAAAAUAUAUAAAUAUUUUUACUUUUUGUUGUGAUUGUAAUUAUAAUUUUAUUUAUUCAAAACAAGUUUUUUAGAGCAAAUUAUAAUACUACUUUUAGUACAGCAUACAAAUAUCAAACAAAAAGGUAUACUUGUAGUUUUUUUUAUAAUAUGUAACAAGAUAUAAUUAACAAACAAGCAUCCGAACUCAUUCGGGAUAAACUAUUCUUCUUGACGAAUAAAUAAUUUUAUAAAAACAAAACACUUAACAAAUAAGCAUUCGAACUCAGCCGGUACAAACUCUUAACCGUCAACAACAACCUGAUUAUGAAAAUAAAACGAUUCAAAAAAAUAGUUUUGUUGUUUUCAGGUCGCUUAAUAUGUAGAUUAUCCAAAUUUUUUUGAUAUAAAAAUAUUAAAAUCACAUUUCGAGCAAUCAAAGUGAAAGUAGUCGUAUGACUUUUAUAUAAGCACAUGGUGUGAUCAGUAUUCAAAGUUAUCAGUUAUAUCAUCUAAUAUUGUAGUAAUAAAUGUCCAUAUAAUAGUGGGAAAAAAGUUAUGGUGAAAGGUGAAUUCUAUACGCACUACUUCAAUAGACAUCGGCUAAAACCCGAUGUUAAACGAUUUCCUAACCGAUGUCUAUGCAGGUGUAGAGAAAGGUACCCCCAUUUGACAUCGGUUACCGACUGAUGUCUGGGGACCUCGUUAACAUCGGUUUUAGCUUAAAUCCCGAUGUAUAUUCCCUCUUUUUAAACAGAAAGUGCAUUACAAUGGUUUCUAGAUAGCUUUUAUAUGAUCUAAUUAUGAAACUUAACUAUUAAUUUACAAAGUCAAAAUCAGCCUUUACAUCGUUUAUAACAAUAGAACCGAUGUCAAUAUAAGUUUUAACAUCACUUUUUGAGUGAAACCGAUGUAAAAGUAUGGUUUUGACAUCGGAUAUUUUUUCUGGCCCGAUGUGUUUUAUCUUGUUGACAUCGGCUUUUAAAAAUGUGCCGAUGUAUUUGUUCCGAAUUGCAUCAGGUGCUUUGCUUUUUUUAACAUGUGCCGAUGUAAAAGCCUCUUUCUAACAUUGGUUAUAGAUUCUAGCCCGAUGUGUUGUAUCUUGUUUACAUCAGUUUUUAAAAAUGUGCCGAUGUAUUUGUUUCAAUUUACAUCAGGUGCUUUGCACACGUAGCUUUUGAGCACUUUAUUAAACCGUUCGAAAGGAAACAACUUCUCAACCAAAACAUACAAAACUGCCUACGCCUUAGUUAACCAAAUCACCAGCAAGCCAACACAAGAUCAAACCAAAACAAUACUAUCUAGAUCUAGCACAAAAUCCAUAUAGCAACUUUAAAGUACCAGAUUGUUUCAUUACCAAAAGCCAUCAACAUAUAUUCAAAUCAACAGCCUGCGCUACGCGCGUACAACCUUAAAGUAUCAUAAUUAUACGACCAUAAUAGCAGUAGCAAUCAUGGUAAGUUUACGAAUGUUACGACAUAAUUAAUAAGCAUCAGUUUCAUUUUGCAAAAGUUAAAUCAGAAGCAAAGCAGCUAGCUACAUGAAUCCUUCGAUGUAGCCAAGAGUCUCCAUACGAACAACAUCAAGAUCCUUCCUGGUGUAGGAUUUCCGAUUCUUGCUGGCCCACUGUGCACAUUUAACAAAAAAAAACAAUAAUAAACAAAUUGUUCUAGUAAAAAAAUAGGUACUUGACAAUUCAUUUCUCUGUUAAGUACCAAAAAUCAAAUAAAUAAAUCUUACCAAUUUAAAGAAAUUCAUUUCUUUGUCUUCAAUGAUAUCUUUCAUAUAUCGCAUAACACAAUAUCCACAUUCAAUGCCACCAGGCUGUUUAGGGCAGCCCUAUUCCGAUAAUACAAACAAUAUAAUCAAUCAACAAAGUCAAACAAAUUAAACUACAAAGAACCUAUUAAAUUAAACUUCAUAAUUACUUACUGCGAGAUAAUUUUGGGAUUUUUUAUCACCCUUCCUUUUUGAGCAUUGUAAGACCUAACUGCUCUGUAGACAAAAAUUAAGAAUCGUGUCAAACCUAAGAACUAAACAGAUGUAGAGAUAGAAUAAUAUCAAAUACCUAUGCUAAAAAAAUAUUAAUUACUCCGUUAAUGCAUUUUCUAGUUCUGGAAAACGGGUCGCAUGUGACAAUGGAUUGAGGAAAAAAAAUUCUGAUUCCCAAAUUACGACCAACAUCCAGUGCAUACUGUUGUCAUUAGGUCAAGGUCAAUCUUCUUUGCCUUCUUUACUUCUUUUCCAAAAGUAAUUUAAUUUGCUCUUGUUGCUCUAGAACCUGUUCUCCAGAAAGGGGUUUGACGUGGUUGUCCAAAUUCUUGUUCGCCAUUUAAAAGCUGCUUUCUUCCUUCUAUAAGGAUGAUGCCUAGGCAAAUAGCGACGGUGACCUUGAUAACACAUCUUCCUGCUAUGGGAUAAAUAUUUCGCAACAGUGUCGUCACCACAUACAGGACAUGACAUAUACCCCUGAUUCACGCAACCUGAUAAAUUUCCGUAUGCCGGGAAGUCAUUUAUCGUCCAUAACAACAUUGCUCUUAAAGUGAAAGAAGAAUUGGUACUAGCAUCGUAUACAUUUGGCUCGCCUUCUUCCCAUAGCUUCAGCAAAUCAUCAAUCAGUGGUUGUAGAAAGACAUCAAUGUUAUUACCAGGCUCAUGUGGACCAGAGACUAGUACGGUUAACAUCAUAAACUUCCUCUUCAUGCAUAACCAUGGAGGAAGAUUAUAAGUUAUCAAAACUACUGGCCAACAACUAUAUCUAUUAGUUAGACCGUUAUUAUGUGGGUUGAUACCAUCUGCUGCUAAAGCUAAGCGGAGGUUCCUUGGCUCAUUACCGAAGGUUGGCCACCUAUAAUCAACAUUCCGCCAAGAAGGUGAAUCUGCUGGAUGACGCAUUUGGCCAUCCUGAAUUCUUUUGUCGGAAUGCCAAGUUAAAAGUUUAGCGGUUGAAGCAGAUUUAAACAUCUGUUUAAAUCUGGGAAUAACUGGAAAGUACCACAUUACUUUCGCUGGAAUAUUAACCCUAGCUUUCCCAUCCUUCCCCAGCUUCCAUCGAGAUAAACUACACUUGGNAAUUAUAAAGAGGCAUUAAGAAAAUAUAUACCUCAACACGAGUAGGACCAUUGGGGGCGUAGGUUAUCAAAUCUCGAGGCCAGGCUAGAAGUGAGCCAACCGCUUGUUCGACCGUCUCUAUCUCACCAUGUAUCGGUACCGGAACUUGGGCACCUCCCUGAAUAAUUCCGUCCACUGAGACACGAGCAUGCUCCGGUUUGAGAGGCACUCCAUGAACCGUUGAAGCCAUAUCUUCAUCAUCAAAAACAACACCAAAAGCUACCUUGUUGUCAAUUUUAUCCACUGACAGCUCACAUUUACGCGGCCCCUGAAUUUAUAAUUAUAUGGAUCCAAAUAUGAGCCUCCUUGAUCAGACACAAUAAUUAAAAAAGGCAACUUUGCAUUGGACAUAAAACUUGCAUAUAUUUUUUUACCUUUUCAUUUGGUGGAGGUGGAGGGUNNNNNNNNNNNNNNNNNNNNNNNNNNNNNNNNNNNNNNNNNNNNNNNNNNNNNNNNNNNNNNNNNNNNNNNNNNNNNNNNNNNNNNNNNNNNNNNNNNNNNNNNNNNNNNNNNNNNNNNNNNNNNNNNNNNNNNNNNNNNNNNNNNNNNNNNNNNNNNNNNNNNNNNNNNNNNNNNNNNNNNNNNNNNNNNNNNNNNNNNNNNACACACACACACAUAUAUAUAUAAGCUCAUGUGAUAAUAACAUACGUUAAUUUAACUGCCUAAAAGAGUGAAAAUAUGCUACCAUAGAGGUUAAUUACACUAUAAUCAGGUAAGAAUACACUGUAAUGAAUCAUUCAAAACAUUCAAGGAUAACAAAUUGCAAGCAUUAUACAAAAUCCAAACAGUGUGCAUUCUUAAUCGAAACUUUCAGUGAGUAAGCAAAUUGCAAGCAUUUAAAACAUUUAAAAUAACAGUUGUGCAUAAUAAAUCCAAACUCCAACAAAAAACAACAUCUAAAUAUAAAAACAAAGAACAAAAUUUUGAAAGCAACAUAUAUAAGUAUAAAAACAAAGAACAACAAAAAAUCACAAUCGAACAAAAAAUCGAAAGCAAAAUCAAAAUUUGAGAAUGGGUAUAAAAAUAAAGUACCACUCGAACAAAUCCAAAGCCAGACUCGAACCACUCGAACCCAGACUCGAACCCAAAUGAACUCUGAGUUGUAAAUCGAACCGUUAAGCCCUAAAAUUGAAAGCUCCAACCUUUAAUCCCUGAAAUCCAAGCUUAAUCGAACAAAACACAAGGAGAAAAAAGGGAAAUAAGUUAGAACCAAUCCAAACCAAAACUCGAACCAAUUCAAACCAGACUGGAACCCAAAUGAACUCCGAGUUGUCAAAUCGAACCUUUAACCCCUAAAACUGAAAGCUCCAACCUUUAAUCCAUGAAAUCCAAGCUUAAUCGAACAAAACAAAAGGAGAAAAAAAGGAAAUAAGUUAGGUUAAAUCGAAAAAACGAGAGAAAAAAAGGUGAAGAAGAAAUUUGAUUGAAAGAAAACGAAAGUUUGAAAAGGGGAGAAGCUGUCGGGGGGAGAGAGUUUACCUGUGUGUUUGUGUCUGAAAAGGGGGAGAAUGAGUGUUUUUAUUUGUUUUUUAUAUUUAUGUUAUUGUUUUUGUUUUUAGUUUAGGAUUGACGAAAAAGGGGGGGGGAGACAGAUGGAGGGUUUAAGAAAAGCGGGAGUUAUUUCACAAAAAAUUGGCUAAGGCGGGGAACAAUGUGUUGUCCUUUCUGCAACAAACCGUCUCUAGGCCUCCUUACCGACGAAUGCAUACUUCUUAGGAGGCUUAUACAGCNAUAAAAGACAUCAGUUUGUGUGCAACCGAUGUAAAAGAUAUAGUUUAACAUCGAGGUGAUUUACAACCGAUGUCUAAACAGCGAUGUCUAAUCCACUUUUUCUAGUAGUGACCCACCAUUAUCUCAUGAAUCAAUGCGAGUCUUAUAAAUCUCGAAAAUAUCAUGUAAAUCAUUUUUAGGAAAAUUGUCGAAACACGUACAUGACACACAAAAAUAUCAAAAUAUACCACACUAACAUUCAAUAAUGGAUUGGCACAACUAAAACCUUGAUAACAAAAUAAAGUACUCCACAAGAUCUUACCAAAAAACCUGGAUCUAACUUUUAUUGAAGAACUCGGAAAUAGAAAAAAAUUUAAAAAUACAUGACACAUAAAAAUAUCAAAAUAUACCAAACUAAUAUUGUAAAAGAUUGACGACUAACAAUCUUGAUAACAGAAUAAAAUAUUUCACUAAGAUCUGACCCAAGAAAAUUGGAUCUAAACUUUUAUUGAACAAUUGGGAAAUCGGAAAAAAAAAAAACGGGAGAGCGAAGAUGUCAACAUAUACUGCAAAUAAGCUUCUUCCUUUUUCCAAUAUAUGGCAUCACAUACUCGGUGGUUAAUUUUGUCUUGAAUUGCCUCCAUUUCACACCGGCCGACUGUAGACAUGUCUUCUCAAGUUCUGGAGGCACCUUGAAGGUAUCCUAUAUAAUUAAAUGGCAAACAAACAAGUUACAAUAAUUAUUCAACCAUCUGAUUGUGUGUUUAUAUACAUUUACAAUAAAAUGGAAUGCAAUUUCAAAACUAUAAAGAUAAUCAUACCUCAAUAUCAUUCCAAAUCUUUUGUUUCAAUUCUGUGGCUACUUUGGGCCAACUAGGAAUAUCAAUUGGAACCAUUGUCCUCGCUAGCAUGCCAAUGUAGGACUGUAAUGUGUGUCUGGUAUCUCCAACUGGAAUUCCAAUGCCAUUGCAUCGCACUUUGAAUUUCUUUCCUUGAGCUUUUUUCAAGAUUACUUUCUGCAUAGCACAAACACUUCUUUUUGAUCCACAAGAUGAAUUCUUUUUGGACUGUGUACUAGUUAUUGUCAGUGAUGGUUCUUCAGCUUUAGAAGUUUCCUCCAGCGGGGGGGGUUCUGUUUUUUGUGCUUCUUGCGAUGCUUCAAGUUGUGGAGCAUUAGAUUCAUGUUCUUUUACCUCUUCCUGUUUAUCCCGAUCUUGCACAGUUUUGUCCUUAUGUGCAAUGCCCUUCUUUGCCAUUUUUCAAUAUAUCUGUAAAAUGAAAUUAGCUUAUCAUAAGGCAAUAUUUUAUGCAUAUAUUAAAUCAGCAGGGCAAUAUUAAAUCACAGGGCAGUAUUAAAUCAGCAGGGCAAUAUUUUAUGCAUAUAUUAAAUCAGCAGGGCAAUAUUAAAUCAGAAGGCAAUAUUUUAUGCAUAUAUUAAUACAAGGCAAUAUUAAAUCAGAAGGCAAUAUUAAAUCACAAGAGCAAUUUAAAUCAACAGAGCAAUAUUAAAUCAGAAGGCAAUAUUUUAUGCAUAUAUUAAUACAAGGCAAUAUUAAAUCAGCAGAGCAAUAUUAAAUCAGAAGGCAAUAUGAAAUUAUAAAUAAGAGGACAUGUAAAUUGAAACGGAGGGGAUAAAGGAUUUGGUAUAACAUUUAUGAGAUCGACGAGGUUGAUCUUCUAAUAUUUCUUCACAAGAUAUAUUGAUUUCAUAAAUAAGCAAAUUCAUCACGCAAUAGCAUAGCAGGUUGUCCAAUUCCGUACCUUUUCUAGAAAAUCUUCUAAAAUAAAAGUGUUUAAUUAUAUGCUAAAAUGAUAGAAUUUGGUUAAUUUGUGCUGCAUUUAAAAUUAAAAAGAAACGAAGUUAAGAUUGUCAAAACAUCAAAAGCUCUAAAAAUAAAAUCGCUUCAUACCUUAGAAAUGUGAUAUAUUUAAAAUUUGAUUAAUAUAUAACCAAAUUUUAAUAUCAAAAAUCACUUUUAAUAUUAAACUAUGACCCAACAAUCUCUGAACACAGUUUUAACAUAGAGCGAGGAAAACGUGGGGUGUUUGGCCGAGAUUUAAAAGCCCGGCUUUUAUAUUUACAAGUUAGAAACAUUUUUUCGUAUUUUUUGUAUAAAAAAUCAAAAAGUACCUAAAAUAAGUUGAGAAUGGUAACUUUUGUUUAACGACUUUUACCUGUUUCCCAAACACUUUAAUCAUUUAUAAGUCUUAACAUUCUUCCAACUUCGACUAAACUUCUUUAUUUGAAACAAUAAGCACUUAUUUUAAUCUCAACCAAACAGUCCCACAAACUUGUGUUUCGGUGGGCCAACGACUGAUAUUUACUGUACCAUGGAGAUAUUAAAUAGAAAGUGGGUGCGCAUUGUAUAUACGCAGAGAUGUCGAAGAAUCGGCAUACGGCAAAUUAUAUGAACUUGAUAUACAAUGCGAGCAGUGCUUAAUAUCCAACCAACCAGCUAAAUACGUACAGUACACUUUAGAAGAGUUAUCGCUUAUUCGCUUGACCUAAACAACAAUCGGGGAGUAAAAUGAAAAUUUGGGGAAGUGCGUAUGAAUAGUCAUAUCUUUCCGUAAUCGACGCGUGGUGGUAUCAUUACCUUCGGUACUACGUUGUACACAAAAGUGACAUAAAGGGAGAUGGUAUAAUCGGAGAGGAAUAUACGUAUGUAUGUGCGCAAACUGCAGCUAUACUAUAAUUGUGUUCCAGUGUGCUCAUACUACAAACACAUUUUAAUAUACGCAGGCCGUACAAGGUGAGUUAAGAUUGACUGCCAGAUUUAAUGCUAUUCAUGGAAUUACUGUGCCGCUCCUCAGCCCCUCACUGUUCUUGCGUUGUGUUUUCCGUGGAGAAAUGAAUAUCCUAAAAUAAUAAUCCCUCCGUCCCAACAGAAUUUAUUGGACGGUAGAGUCGCGGAAACGCUUGUUUCUUUUAUACUCCCUCCGUCCCUUUUUAUCUGUCCAUUUUGGAAAAAAAACACAUACCAAGGAAUAAUUGAUUGUAUAAACUUUUUCAUUAAAUACCUCUAAUUAAUAUUUUGAAAAUGAUGGAAUACCCCUACUUUAUGUCUUGAAAACAUGAAUUCAACCAAGUUUUAAAUAAGUCAAGCCUUGAAAAUUGAAAUUAUGGAGAUAUAUUUGAAAAACUAUCAUUAAAUUAGUUUUGAAAGUAUAAAUGGACAGAUAAAUAGGGACAAAUUUUUACUUCCAAAAUGGACAGAUAAAUAGGGACGGAGGGAGUAUUUUGGAUCUUAGCUCGUGGAAUAAUAAGCUACUGAAUAGUUUACGUACAUGUUUGCACGCAUUUUGAGGCUCAUAUAAAUUAUGGUUUCAUAACUUUUUUUCUUGAAUAAAAGUUUAAAAAUCAAAUUUUUAUUAGAAAAAAAAAAUUUGAAAAAUAUAUUAUAGAACUAUGUUUUAAAUGAGCGUGGAAAAACGUGCCAAAAAGUAACGUAAAGAAAUGGGGGGCAGAGGGAGUACGAAUAUUGCAUCUACUUGUUUUAUCUAUUUUUUUUUUUAUUUUUAGCUAUAAUAUAUAUGUUUUUAUAUGAAUUAAUUUUUAUACAUUCAAAAGUUUUGAAAAAUAAAAAAUACUUUAACAUAGAAAUUUAAAGUUACCGAAUACUCAACUGACUUAUAAAUAAACCUAUCCAAAUACUAAAUGAUUUGUGAUUUAUUUUAAACACUUUACUAACUUACAAGUCCUAACAUACUCAUCACUUAUAAUCUAAUUUUUUAGUUUAAGCAGCGAAUAAUUUAUAUUAAGUUAAGCUUAACAUCGAUAGCUGAAAAAUAAAAAAUGAUCCAAAAGUAAGCAAUAACAUAAAUUUGAAGUUAAAGAUUAUUAAUUUUCAAUAUAUAACUCACACUGGUAGUGUGGUUGAGAUUGUAAAAAAUACAACUAUGAUCAUCAAUAUAUUCCAGUUCGGUUAAGAUUGCGAUAUUUGAUUUUAAAUAUCAAACUACAUGAUCUCGAUUGCAAUUAUAUUCUAAAAUCGGAGCCGAACAUAUCAAUAUUCCCCCAAAUAACAGCCUGUAUAAUGUUAAUGUUAACAUUUUUAGUUUGUUUUAAUCGCUGUACAAGCUGUAUGGAAUUUAUGAAACCUAAAUGCUACCAUUACUAGUUAUCUUUGUUUUUCUAUUAAGGGCCAAGUAUUGAUGACUUAUUGUUUAGGCCACUGUGGAAAGUGAGCAGAGCUGAGUCAAAAAAGGAGAGAUCGUAAAUUUAUUAAGAGCAUUUAAUAAUAUAAUAAUAUUUAUGGUACUAGAUUGCGAUGGAUAACUGUUGGAGAUACACCAGAUCUCUCUAUCUCUCACCUGACAUAUCUUUAGCAACCAACCAAUCCUUGUAUCUUGUAUUCAAUACUCAUCCCUCCUCUCUCACUAUAAAUAUACACCCCUGCCCUCAUCACUCCUCACAACUUCUCUUCACUAGCUAUAUCUCUCUCUCUUUUCUUUCUUUUUCUGCCAGUGUAUUUAGAUGGCUUUGUUUUGUGGUUAGUUCUUUCUGUUCAUCUUCUUGAAGAUGUACUUUAGGGUUAGGGUUUUUGACAUAGAUCAUGUUGUUAGGUUUUUUAUUUUUGAUUUCGAAGAGAGAUUGUUGCAGAUGAGAUCUAGAGAAGCUGACCAGAAGCCGGUAUUUGCGGGUGGAGCAUCAUCAAGAUUCACACAGCUUUUUAGGGUUUCAUAUAUGGCCCUUUUGUGUGAUGUGAGAAUCUUGAUGAUGCUGCAGCGGCAAUUAAUGGCUAUAUAUAUAUGCAAAUUAAUUAGCUAGAAUUAUAUCACUAAGGCUAAAAGUUUGCGGUUCUCUUUUUUUUUUAUGGGUGAUAGUAUGUGUUUGUUUGUGUCUGUUAGAUUCAGUAUAUAUAAAUGUAUAUGUUAUUAUAUAUAUCUCGAUUGUGUUAAUAUAUUGUUUAUAUAGUUAAUAUAUUUGUUUAUUAGUUUAUGUUGGUUGAGCACAUGGAUUUGUACCAGGUUUCUGUGAAGAUCCAAGUGGUAAUACUAGGUUUAUUUAAAAAAUAUUUAUUCUGUCUCUUAUCUGGAGUUGGCUUUUGUUUUGCAGUCAUGAACUAGAUCUGGCAGCUGGUUGGCUACUCUGAGCAUCCCAUUAUCCCACUCCUUUAGCGGAUGUUGUUUGUUUGCCGAUCUGCACUGGAUCUCUCUCUCUCUCUCUCUCUCUCUCUCUCUCUCUCCCUCCUCUCUCCCUCUCCCUCUCCCUCCCCCUCCCUCUCUCCCCUUCUCUCCCUCUCUCAUCACUUGAGUUAUGACAUUUGUCCUUAACAUAUUCUCAUAUAAUGUAAACAUGUGGAUCAAAUAUUGUCUUAGUAACCACAAAAUAUCCUUUAUACAAGAAAGAGCUGAUUGUUUGCCACCAAUAAUAUCAUGUGUUGUCUGUCAUCUGUUGUUUCUAUAUGCUCUUUUGUUUUGGACCAAAUAUUUCUUAGAUUUGAUGGUACUCUAUCAGGAUCUUUUAUCAGUAUUCACAUUUGUACCAUUUUGGCUGUUUCAGUAUUUGGGGAUUUCUAUUUUCAAAUUCUUUCCGAUUGUUAAUUUACAGAGUUUUCUUUGACAAGAAUACAUAUAUACUUGGGAUCAUUUAUCGGCCUUUAGGGUUUUGUUUCAUAUUUUGAACAGCUCAUAAGUCAUAAGAUUUGAUCGUGUAAGCCAGCUUUGCUACCAGAUAUAUCUGUAUUUCUUAUGUAUGGUCCUUAUUAACCUGCAGGGUCCAUUGUUUUAAGAAGCGCUUUACUGGGAUUGCUCGUUGAAAUAAAAAGAGGAAAAUUGUAUAUGUAAAAUCUGUAUUUUUGUGCGCACUGCAUGCGCUUGUGAUUGUAAAGCUGGACGAAGGAUUCUAAUAAAACUGUGAUCUGUUUUGUAUAAUUAACGAUACGAAAGUACACGACACAUUAGUGAUGUAUUGGAUUUCUUUUCUGGUGUGAUGUGUGUGUACAUUUAGUCAUUUACUGCUAUAUACUUAGCACCAUCUUCGAUUAUUAGUUGUCUAUCAGAUUGCAAGGGUUAAUGUUGGUGAAGUAUAUUGCACAACAAUGAAUGUAAUUUAUAUAUAUAUAUAUAUAACAAGAAGAUUAAUCGAUUAAUAAAACAAAAUACAAACUCGUAAUUGAUUCAGGCGAGAAUAUUUUGUUUGUAAGAACAAUUAUUCUGCAUUGAAUAAUAGUAUUUUUAAUAUUCUCGCGCUAAAAACUGUUCUCCAAUAAAAGAAGAAUCACUUAACUAAGAAAAGACUAUUGAAGAGUAAAUAAUUGCUUAACUUACAGUCUUACACUGUGAUAAGUUACAUCAGUAUCGCUUCAAAUAGAACAACUCAUAGAUAAUCCAUUUACAAACACGGAAGCAAAACAUUGUUGCAUAUAAAUUACAAUUAAAUACAUAUGUAACGGCUGAUACAAUAUUAAAAUUUAUUAUUACGAUUUAAUAACAUGAACAACAUAAUAUAAACCAGCGGUUUAUUUUAGUUCCAACUGGUCCUCAGAGAAUAAGUUUCGACUCAUUACAGUUCACAAACUCUUGUGUGGUCCAUCAGAGUUGUCAACACUGAUAGCUUUGGUGAUACUUGAAUUUUGACUCUUAUAUAUCUAUUUGAAUAUAUGUUGAGUUAAUAAUUAUUUUAAUUGAUCAUUUAAUAUAAUUUACUCUCUAGAUUUACUUGGUGUUUUCGUGUUUACUCAAUAAUCAGUCUUGUCACUUGCUUUUCCAAAUUUCAAGUUAUGAUAGAUUGAUUGAUUAUCUUUUUAUUUUAUCAAUUUUGUUCAUGCUUGAUUUUUUAUAUAACUAGUCAGUCUUUAAUCUUUUUGUAUCUUCUGUGAUUUUGUAUAAAUGAAAUUGUUAAUCGGGAUUUCCCAAGAACUAGAGUUAGAAAGAUACUCUCUUACACAUAUACCGUUAUUUGAUCCCAGGAAGUCCUUGCUAAUUAAAAUGAUAAUUUAAGCUUUUUUGUUAGUUCUAAAUUAUUGUAUUGUGAUAGUCUAAUUUGAUAUUCUGGAAUUACUUUAAAUUACGAGGAGAAUCAUCAAAUUACAGUUAUUAGUUGUUGCCAGGGUUAAAUAUUCUGAUUUUUCUAAUAUUUUUGUCGUAUUGUAGAUUUGGUUAGGGUUUCGUGUAAGCGAAACUAUAUGGAUAUGCUUCAACAUUUUGUGAAAAAUAUAAGAAUAAAAAAAUCUCUUUACCUCGACCGGAAGAUACACGAAUAAUGGUCAAAUCAUAGAAUAUACUUCGUGUUUUUUGAUGUGGCCACCAAUAAUGAAAAUAAAUAUUUGAGCCCCGACUGGAUCUAGCUACACACAACGCUAGAAACAGAUUCAUUUACAGUGAGAUGAAACCAAACACAUUAUUUAAAAAACGCCGCGAGAACCUUUUGCAUAACAAAACCUCCGACACAACUUAAUUACAAAUUGCCGAUAUUCACAAUUGAAAUUCCUAAAGAUUCUUAAAAUAUUAAUCGAUGCAUACUAAUGCCAAAACCCAGAGAUAGUUAAUUAUUCACGCAUCACCUCCUUAUCCCGACACAAAUACAUAAACUAGUAUAAUAUGUCUCAGCGUCUUGGAGUGUUACUGCGACCUUUGUUUUCUAGUUUAACUGCAGAUUCUAUGUGUAUACAUGUACUACGAAACACUGUUUAUUGUGCUAUUCACCACACAUUGAUAAACACACACAUUUACAUUUACACUUUUAAUAUAUGAGAGGAUCAUUUUGCAGUUGUGCACUUUUAAUAAGGUCAUGUUCAGUAGCUGUAACUUGUAAGCUGGACAGAGAUUGUACUUGAUAUAUAGCUGUAAGCCUAUAACUUGAAGUAAUUACAGUGAUACAGUAGUAUUUGGUUCCCAAAUGGCAAGUUCACACAAAUACUCUUCGUUCGUAGGCCGAAGAUAAUAUUCUUUUGAGUGAUCUGUACGCAAAAGCUACAUCCAUGCUGCCAUGCAAAAGAUACUUAAUCAUCAUUAUCCUCUUAUAAUUGAACUGGUCAAAAUCUUAGGAUACAGUAAUCAACUGCGUUAAGCACAUCGUGACAGUAGAACUGGUGGUUAACAGAAAUCUGAACCUCACACGCAUGCGUUGGUAUUUGGAUCAACCAUUUUGUGGUAUGGAAUGAGAACCUCAUUCCCGCCCGUAGGUAAAUCAUUCCCAUACUCUUCAUUCACGUACCCCUCACUCUGAAAUUUUCACACAAAGCAGCUAGUGAACGUAUACUAGGUUCUUUUGUCCGUUCUGUCUGUUGAAAAGUUUGUUACUAAUUAGGAUUCCAAAAUUUAUUUUAUCGUGUUUUGUUAAGAAGUAAUUAAGACGGGGAGGAUGAUUUUGAAAAGGAAUGAGUUUGUGCAAGCGUUUUAUAACAAGAUUUGAUAAAAAAAAAAUAUUUUUGGACUUGAGAGAAAGGCAUUCAUUUUCAAAAGGGGAUUUGAGUUCUCAAAUGUGUUAGAAAUGGGGUUAUAAAAUAUAAAAUUGGCGAACUAGCAAUAGAACUUACAAAUAAGACUCGAAAAUACUGUCUCAAUAAAAUAAUACAUUAACUUUUUUUUUUAAGGAAAUAUAAUACUACCUCUAUUUUUUAUAUGACGUUUUGACUUUUGGCACACACUUUUAAGUGCUUUGACCGGGUAGUUAAAAAUAUUAUUUUUUAAAAUUUCUUUUCCUGAAUAAUAAUAAAUAAUCAAAAUUUUUAUUUUGAAAAAAAAAAUUCAAAAAAGUAUAUUUUUAACUACCCGGUCAAAACACUUAUGACAAAAAUCAAAGCGUCAUAUAAAAAAAACAGGCAUCUAACUUAUUUUAUCAAAUGUGCUUCAACUACCAUAUAUAAAACAUCUUGAACUUCCUCGUGAACAAGCUGUAGACGGCCCCCAUGUAUAUCAUACUCCCUCCAUCCCAUUUUAAGUGUCCACUUUGCAAAUUUCACACAUCUUAAGAAACAAUUAAUGUAAUGUUUUUAUCAUUAUCUUCACACACCUAUUCACCUUGUUUUUAUAAAUAUUAAUUAUGUAUAGCACCACUCCUACUAUGUAUUUGACCUUUUUUCAUGUUGGAACUAGUAAGUUGUAUUUAAUAUUAUAUUGAAACUAAUAAAAAGUUGCAUGGGUUAAAGAGUAUGACACAUAUAUUGGGAAUUUUUUUUUGGCAAAAUAGACACUUAAAAUGGGAUGGAGGGAGUAUUACUUUUUGUUGGUAUCGUGUAAUGCCACAACUCUUGUGCCUCUGAAUGAAUUUAGUCCAGUGAAGUUAUUGUACACGGCCCAAUGUACCCGGGACAAACUAUUGUCCAUGGCCCAGUAUACGUCAAAUAUUUCAGUACAUCUUUUAUCCGGACUUAUUUUCAAAAAAUUCUAAAAAUUGGUUGAUUAAUUAGUUUUUUUUUUGGACACAGGUUGAUUAAUUAGUUAAUCGAUCGACUAAUUGGUAACUAGACGAAUUCUGAUGUUAUUUAUGAAAAUCGAUUGAUAUAAAUUUCUCAAGUUGAUAAUUAAUUGCUUAAAAAUCAGAUAAAUUAGUCAAAACUCGGUUAGAAUCUCAAAAUUUGUUAAAAUUUUGGGGAAAAAUUGAAGUUAAUUAUAUAUUAAUAAGAUUAUAAAUAAUAUUAAUUAAAUACCGAUUAAUUGAACGAUUAAUGAUCUGAUUAAUCAUUUCAAUUAAUCAUGGAUUUUUUGAUUAUUCGCUGAUCAUUAUCUGAGCUGAUUCGUUUUUUGCUAAGAAACUCUAAUCAACUAGCUUCUUAACCCGUGCAAAGCACGGGCUGUUUUAAAUUAUUUUUUUGAUAUAGGUUCAUCUCUUUUAAAUUGAGAGAUAAUAAUAAUAAUUAAGCCUGAAAUACGACUAACCGCUCUAACCGUUCUCUUAUUCUUCUCUCCCAAUCUUCAAGAUUUCGUUCAUCUUUUCUUUCGACUUUGUGCGGCACAUGUAAUCACAUGUUUUGGAAAUUUGUGGAGUUUAGUCGCAUUCACUAUGCCAUAUACAUUGCACACUUUUUUCUCGGUGAAUGAGUCACUUGUUUUGAAUCUUGCAAAUUGAUGUUGUUUUAUGAGGGAGUUUCGAAUGUUUAAACAAUUCCUAAUUGAUUUGCUCUCCCGCUCGAGGGCGCUUUCACGGCAUUGUCAUUUGAGAAUUGUUGUGGUGUGUCUGCUAUCAAAUGGUUACGGUGUAGCGGUUGUCAAAGCGACGCAAUCGCCAAGGUUGUCUGAGGGAGUUUCAAUGAAGUCAUUCCGGUGGAAUGCAGUGCGAUCAAGGUGGAAUGCAGUUCUUCAUCGGUGUUAAUGUGCAAAUCAUUGUAAGAUUUCAAGAUUUUGGGUUCCAAUUUGGUUGGCACCCGAUCUCUUCUCCCAAGCUUUCAACUUUGCAAUCCGUGUAAGUAAUGGUUCUUGAUUUCUCCGUUUGUUUUCUUCAAUGGACUUCACCACUUAAAUCGAGAAAUUUUUAAGUAAGUCCCAUGUGAAGAAGGCUAUGACCUAAGGUAUUAUAGUUAUAUUGUAUCACACACAAUUUUAUUUAUUAUGCACUAAGCCGGGGUCUCACGAAAACAACCUCUCUACUUUAAGGUAGAGGCAUGGUGUGCGUAUAUUUUACCCUCUUCAGACCCUGCUCUAAGCGGGAUAUACUGAGCACAUUUGGUUUGGUUUGGUUCUUUUAAAUUGAGAUUAUUUAUAUUAUAAAAGUAAUUCAUAUUGUAUAUUUAUUUAUAUUUUAAGUCAUAUUAUAUUGAUAUCCAUAUGUACACAUAUUCUCACUAUGAUAUUUAUUAAUAUAUAAAUACAAAAAAAUAUACACAGUUUAAAAUUUUAUUAAAUAAUUAAAUUACCACCCACCUAAAAUUAUUGAAAAUUUGAUAAAAGCAAUGAGAUUUUUGCUGAAUCAGAGCCCUUGUCAUAUAGUUAUAUAUUAUAUUUAUACUUAUUCUAAUAUAUAUAUAUAUAUAAUUUUUUUAAUCAUAAUAAUUAAAUAUUCUAAAAACCGGUUGGUUGACUAAUUAAUCGAUAAUCAGAAGGAUUUUUAAUCCGAUUUAGUAAUAUUCGGUUAAAUCGAUGAUUAUUUGGUCAAAACUUGAUCAAUUCGAUGAAAAUCAGGUUGAAUAUUAAAUUUUACAAAAUUUGUGGGGUAAAUUUAAAAAUUUAAAAAUAAUUAUAUAUAAUAUAUAUAAUAUUAAAUUAUUUUCAAAUAAUGAUCAUGUUAAUAUUUAUACUGAGUAGGGGUAGAUUAGUCUCUUUGAAUUAAAUUACUCAUUAUUGUUGUGUUAGAUAUAUAAUAGAAUUUGACAAAAUUCGGUUAAAAUCGAUGGCUAAUUGACAAAAAUUGGAUUAAUUGGUUGAAAAUCAGGCCGAAUAUUAGAAUUUACAAAAUUAUUUAUUUAUUAUUAAAACAUAAAUAUAAAUAUAUAAUACAUAUAUAUAUUGGAGUUUUAAAUAUGAAGUAAUUAUUAUUAAAACAUAAAUACAAAUAUAUAAUACAUACGCCCUCCGUCCCACCAGGACUGUUUGCACGCAUUUUGAGGCUCUUAUAAAGUAUAGUUCAAUAAUGUUUUUUUUUGAAUAAAAGUUUAAACGUCAAAACUUUUUUCAGGAUUUUUAAAAAAUAUAUAUAUAUGAUGUAAGUAUACUUUAUAAGAGUCUUAAAAUGCGUGCCAAAAAGUAACGUAAAGAACCUGUUGGGACGGAGGGAGUAUAUAUAUUGGAGUUUUAAAUAUGAAGUAAUUUAAUGUAUAUUAAUGGUUAGACAUUAAUGUCUAAUAAAUACAUUAGUGUUAAAAGUCAAUAAUGACAUUUAUAUAAAAAAAAUAUGUAUUUUGAGCGAGGGGUAGUAUAGUCACUUUGAAUAAAAUUACUCAAGGUUGUUGUAUUAUAUAUAUAAUAGAUUUUGUGUUCUCAAUUCCCUGAAAUUUAACUAUACAUGUUCUUUAUUCAUAAGUCCUAUAUCUGUUACACAUAUUUUAUUAUGUUUUAAUUAUAUUAUAAAAAUUAAUAAUUUUAAUCUAUUUUAUCAUUAAUUUCGAGUACAUAUACUUUUAUUUUAGAAAAAAAAUUGAAGCCUCACGCUUCGAAGGGAGUAUCAUUAGUAUUAUAACAAUCUUCGGAGUCAAUUGUCAUAUUAUACUUCUGACCAGAAAAAAAUAUUGUCAUAUUAUAAUUUAUACUCCCUCCGUCCCACCCAAUUGUUUACAUUGGGUUUGGGCACGGAGGUUAAAAAAAUCUAUAAACUAGUGAAAAAGUGGAAGAAAAGUUGGUUAAGUAGUGGGAUCCAUUAAUUUUUAAUAUAUAAAAGAAAGAUAGUGGAGUAAAAGUAGUGUGAAAAAGAAGAAAAAGUGAUAAAGUGGUGGAACCCGUUAACUAUUUUGGGAAAUUUUUGUAGUGUAAAGAAUUAGGUGAGACGUCCAAAAAUGGAAACUGUAAAAAAUCUGGUGGGAGUAAUAAAGGAUUGGAUAGCUCAGUAAUAAAGGAUUGGAUAGCUCAGUGGUGAGUUUAUCUUUUAUUGUCAAAUACUAAUUUGUAAAGUAUAUAAGCCUGUAUUGUAAAAAUAAAAAGGAUGGUACUGAUAUCUCCGUUAAUAGCGGUAUCUUUUGUUAUUACAUGUGAAAUUCUAUUUACAUUAGUGAUCAAACUCUAUUAGGGUGAAAACAUACAUUUUAUUUCAAAUUAUGGAUUUCAAAUAAUAAAAUUUGAGUUGAGAUUUCAAAUUCUCAAAAUUAUAGUAUACUUGAAUGGGUGAAUUUCAAAUAAAAUCUAAAUCCAAGUUUCUAAACAAAUUAUUUGAUCAAAUAUAAAAUUUUAUAUGAAAUUCAGAUUCCCAAACUAGCUAUAUCACAGUAUUAUCAUCGUCAUCGAUAGUUUUUUAACCCGUUUUAAAAUAUAUAACCCUGUGUAGCUUCACACGAGCACACUUAUUUAAGUCCAUUCUUCUUUAAGAGAAAUGCUAGGUCCACAGAAUUAGAUACAGAAUUGUGUACAGAAUGAGCUGGCGCGCCUGACGUGCAUCUGAUGUGUAAAGUCUGUCUGCCACUAACCUAAUCUACGCUGUUAUUUCAUUUUUAUUUCUUUUGUUCUUUGUUUCUCAUUUAACUUCACUUUUUCUAUAUUACAAAAUUUAUUUAAUUAAUUUUUCCUCUUAUGUUUUAUUACUUUUUUAUUGUUAAAUAUUUAAUCUCACUCAUAUUAUUUUUUAAGAUCCAUUCAAUAUCUACUCUCUCAUUUUAUUUGUCAUCAAUUCUUUCCUAAAACUUAUAUUUUCCUUUUAAUUUGUAUUAAAAAUUUAACAAAUUCAAAUUAUUUUAUUUAAUUAGUUUAUGUUAAAAUUAAUAUGCAAAAAACCACUUGAAUUUACAAAAAUGAAGAUUCUAGCAUAGAAUGAAUUAUACUUGUAUUUAAAAAUAAUUUUAAACUUUCCUAUCAAAUAAUGUUGAAGUACUUUUAUGUUAAACAUGUGUUUUAAAAUUAUGCACGUUAAUUUUAUUUUUUAUGAUUUUUUUAAAAUGUGUUUGUCAUUAUAUAUGUUUAAGAUUGACUAACUAAAUGACAUAAAAUCCAAUUUGAAUAAUAAUAUGCUUUACAUAAAUUCAUAAUUAAGAAAAAUAAUAAAAUUCUUGAUUUAAGUAGCGAAACAAAAAUAUCAAGCAAUUUUUGCUACAUGAGAGAACUCAAAUUUCAACAUUUUUUAAUCCAUCCUCUUAUCUCUUCCCUCCUGGAAAAAUGAUUGAAGAAGACUCAUAUUUGUUCCUCCCAUUUGUUGUGGAUUCAUAUUUCUGAAAUUAUGAUCAUUCCCAAAAACACUUCCCUGCAUAUAAAAAAUGUAUAUUAAUAUAUACAUAACUUAAUAAAAGGGAUUAAUUAAUUUAUUAUUUUAUCUAACCUGUAAUCAAAUGGAGUAUAAAAUGGUAGGAAAUGUCCAUGAACAUGAGAAAGUGAGGAAUAAGGCCAUUGACAAAUUAUUUUGAAAAGUAUUCUCCCCACAAAUAUUUGCAUUUUCCUACAUACAUAAUUUUAUAUUUAUUAUUAGUCAGGAAUAUAAUAAAGAAUGGCUAAUACUAAAUAUUUCAUAUACUUACAUUGUGUGAAGACAGAGAACAUGUUUCAGAAUUUGAAUUUGCAUAUGUGGUCUUUACACUAAUAUCCUGUAUUUGAUCAAAACACAUGAUUAAAUUCUAAAUAGUUAAAAAAUAAAUUAGAAAAGUAUAUAAAAUCAUACCACUUGAUUACAGAUAUUUCCUUGAAACUCUGUUUGUAAACCUGGCUGUGAACUUGUCCUGGCUAAAUUUUGCAGAUAAUCAUCAGCAACAUCUGGACUUGAUUUCAAACUUUUAUCCUAAAUUAACAAUUUAUGUAAGUUCCAUGCACACAAAUUAAAAUAAAUUAGAAAAGUAUAUAAAAUCAUACCACUUGAUUACAGAUAUUUCCUUGAAACUCUGUUUGUAAACCUGGCUGUGAACUUGUCCUGGCUAAAUUUUGCACAUAAUCAUCAGCAACAUUUGGACUUGAUUUCAAACUUUUAUCCUAAAUUAACAAUUUAUGUAAGUUCCAUGCACACAAAUUAAUAUAACAAAUAAACAUAAAAUUAUAAUAUUAAAAUCACAAACCUGUAUUAUUUUAUUUUCAGUUUUCCUCCUGCUUCCUUUCUUUUUCACAACAACUUUUUCAACUGCAGACAUUUUCCUCUUAGAUGGUGGACGUCCUUUACCUCUCACAACUACUGGAUCUGUGAUUUUUACUUGCUCAGUAUUAACAGCUCCAGACACAUUUUUCAUCUGAUUAUCUUGUGAACUGUCAAUAACAUUAACACUGGUAUCACCCUGCAAUGUAUUCUUCAGACUAUCUAUCCAUUCCAUCACCUUUAGACUUUUUGAAUCAUCAUCCAUUGCCAAGUCUGCAACCUCAUAGAAGGCAUUACACAUCUUUUCAAAUCUCUGUGUUUCAAUCUUAACUGCCAUAGCAUUGUAAUUAAUCUUCACACGAGUGUGACAUUUUUUUAUAUCUUUUCUCCAUCUGCGUAAGAUGUACUUGGAAGGAAUGGUGUAAAUCCUUCUAUGAAUGAGCACCGAAAUUGCAUGUCUACAUAAUAUUCCUUUAAACUCAAACAACUUACAAUUACACAUCACUUCUUGAUCAUUUUCAUUCAAGGCAACCUUAAAAGAUAAAUGUCUUCGGCUUUCUCCAAACAUACAAUCUUCAACAACUUUAUACUUCGACUCCUCACUUUGAAUCGCUGAAACUUCACAAUAAAGCUUUCCCUUUAGCUCUUGUUGAAAUUCUUUAAAUUUCACAUUAGUGUAGAUGGACUGAACUUGUUUCUCCAUUUCAUAAUCUGUUAUGCACGGAUAAGUAGAGUUAUAAGAAUUAAAAUCUUCUUGAUUCUCCUUGGCCACUUUAUUUGCAAGUGCAUUAUCAUAUUGUUCCACAAACUGCUUCAAUGUUGUUUUUGAGUUGACAUAACCAUCAAAAAAUGAGUUCAUACUUUCACUUCGCUGUGUGGUGGACAUACCAGCCCAAAAUACAUCCUUCACAUAAAUAGGUACCCAACGACUUCUCUCAUCAUAUAACCCAUUUAACCAUUCAUUACUUUGAAGUUGAAAAUUUUCAAUCAUUUUAUUCCAACUUUCUUCAAACUCAUCUCUACUCAAAGAGUUGUAUACUGCAUUUUUCAGGACAACCUUUAUUGAGUCAUACUCAUCAAAACCUUUCAACUUUUCAGGCAAUUUUUUCAUUAUAUGCCACAAACACCAUCUAUGCCGAGCUUCCGGAAAAACUUCUUGAAUUGCAUUUUUCAUAGCUUUAUCUUGAUCAGUGAUUAUUGCUUUUGGAGGACGCCCGACAUACACGCAAGCCAUGAUUUGAACAACCAAAUAAAAUUAUUUAUGUCCUCUUUUGAAAUUAAUCCACAACCAAGCAAAAUUGAUUGUCCAUGGUGAUUUACCCCAAUAAACGGCGCAAAAGGCAUGUCAUACUUAUUUGUUAAGUAUGUCGUGUCAAAAGUAAUAACAUCACCAAAUUCUUCAUAUGAAGCCCUAAUUCUUGCAUCAGCCCAAAAUACAUUUUUCAACUGACCUGUUUCAUCCAAAUCCAUUGUAUAGAAAAAAUUUGAAUUAUCAGCUUGCAUUCUGAGAAAAUACUCAUUGAUGGCAUUAGCAUCCCCUUCUCCCAAUCGCAAGCGCCUCACUUUGUCAAGAAAAUUUCUACAAUCUUUUUCCAUAAAAGGUACAUUUUCAGGCCCACCAGCUUCAACAAUUAUAGACCGAUAACUCUUAUUUGGUCUUAUGCCUGCAAUAUCAUUCAACUCAAGUUUUUUAUUAAUAUAUGGAUUUAAUGCUCUAUUGCAGCGAUAGAAUCGAGAUUUUUCCGGGCUCAGGGUGUGAUUAUGACUAAGUUCAAGAGAAUUUAUAAUGCAACUUCCAUCUGCUCCAAUUAUAAUAUUUAUUCUUGCCUUGCAAUUUAUUCCAGUAGAAGGUUUCAAGCGAAACUCAUUUUUUAAUUUUGAAGCUCUCUGACCUUCUCUACAACAGGACAAAGUUUUAUAAAUUUUGUCUCCUUCACCCUUAGUUGAUGUUCUUUGAAACACAGCAAACCCUUCUUGUUUAGCAUAACUCUCAUAAUAGCAAAGAAGUUGUUCAUAUGACUCAAAAAUCAUGCCAACCUUAGGUUCUCCUACUUUAUCUACUACUGUUUGAUUUUCCAUAUUCUACACCAAAAUACAUAAAAAAAACAAUAAUAUAUAUCACACACUAUUUUCAAUAUAUGAAAUAAAUAUAUACACACAAAUGAAAUUUAAAAAAACUUUUGACAGUACAUACCUGAUGUAUGUUGCAGAUAAGAUAUAUAUGUUCUAGUUUUUGGUUGAUCUUGUGGCUCCAAGGUGUUGUGAAUGCUUGAUCUUGCGCCUUCAGAUUGAAAGUAUUUUUAUCAGAUUGUGGAAGAUGAAAGAGUUGAGUUACCAGGGAGAUGAACACGAUGACCCUGUAUCUGUAUCUGGAGAACUUAAUCGACACAUGACCAGCUUAUUAUUAGUUUAGUUUUAAAACAUGCAUUACUUUAAAAAUAUUAUUAUUAUUAACCUAUUAUUAUUUUUAUUACUAUUACUGUUACAAUUAUUAUUAUUAUUAUUAUUAUUAUUAUUAUUAUUAUUAUUAUUAUUAUUAUUAUUAUUAUUUGAUAGGAAAGUUUAAAAUUAUUUUUAAAUACAAGUAUAAUUCAUUCUAUGCUAGAAUCUUCAUUUUUGUAAAUUCAAGUGGUUUUUUGCAUAUUAAUUUUAACAUAAACUAAUUAAAAUAAAAUAAUUUGAAUUUGUUAAAUUUUUAAUACAAAUAAAAGUAAAAUAUAAGUUUUAGGAAAGAAUUGAUGACAAAUUAAAUGAGAGAGUAGAUAUUGAAUGGAUCUUAAAAAAUAAUAUGAGUGUGAUUAAAUAUUUAACAAUAAAAAAGUAAUAAAACAUAAGAGGAAAAAUUAAUUAAAUAAAUUUUGUAAUAUAGAAAAAGUGAAGUUAAAUGAGAAACAAAGAACAAAAGAAACAAAAAUGAAAUAAGAGCGUAGAUGCACGUCAGGCGCGCCAGCUCAUUCUGUACACAAUUCUGUAUCUAAUUCUACGGACCUAGCAUUUCUCCUUCUUUAAUUAUGACAACAGGAGAUACAUGGACCUAUUUCAUUUGAAGUUGUUAGCGAAGUCAAAUUCUUGGUAUGGCCCAUUGGAAAAUAGAUCAUACAUUCAGAAUACUUGGGCGCAUGUUGACGCUUAGAGCAGGCCCAUGCAAAUCAGCCUAAAGCAUAGGUGCAUACAUAUGUUAUAUGCACGGGCUCAUUGUUAAAAGAGUAAAUAACAAAGUGGUAUAUCUAUUAUCUAGGUUUACAAAUUUUACAAGAUAGAUGGUUGAAUUUUAAAAAUUAUAUAAUGAUGGUCGGAGUUUAUUUUCACUUUUUAAUAAGGUGGCGUACAUGAAUUUCCGUUAAUUAACCUCUGUUAACUCCAAAAAAUAAAAGAAUAAACGAUAAAGUGGUGGAAAUCCGACCAACAUUUUGUGAAAUUUGAAAAACUACGGCCACCAUUUUGUCGUUUAUUUUUUUAUUUUUUGUAAUUAACGGAGGUUCACGCCCGCCACCUUAUUAAAACGCGGAAGUAAACUCCAGUCAUUACUAUGUAGUUUUUAAAAUUCAGUCAUCAUCUUGUAAAAUUUAGAAAACUACGGCCACCAUUUUGUCAUUUACUCUUAUUAAAAUUAUUAAAAAUAUAGACACUUUUUAUUAUAAGGUAAAGAUCCCGGUAGGUUUAGAACUCUGAGUUGAAAAACUGGAUUAGACUAAGCUAUUUAUAUAAUCUAUCAUAAAUCAUAAUUCAGGUUAUUGCAAGCACCAAAUUGAUGAUUAGCAGGCCAAUAAGAUUACAAGAUUUAAUGUGUUUUUUUAAUUCUUUUCACGCCAUAUACAUAAAAUGUAGAAUAUGCAGAGCUCAACAAAGUCUAUGUGCCUCGUGAUCAUCAAUAGUUUGAUGAUUAGGGUAAUCCAUGUAAUUAUGCUAGGUGAUUUAUACUAUUACAACAAAUUUUGUACAAAAUCAAUGGUUGAGAAAGAAAUAAACAUCUUUUCUAAUCACCCUCGAUUUAAUAUGUAAAUUUAUUUUAUUCGCAUUUUAUUCCGUUUCAUCCAAACAAACACAAUUUAAGAAUCAUGUACAAGCCAAAUAAAUAUAAAAAAUACCGAUAAAGAAAAUGUAAUAAAAAAUUGUAGAAAACAGAGCCAUCGUGCAAGGACGAUACGUGCGAAGAGCCAUGAAAUAUGAUUUUAGAAUAAAUUUAAGGAAUUUCUUUUUGUAACAGAAACAAAAGAAAAGAGAUACGCAUGCAGCAAGUUUUCAUUUUUAAUCAAUGAUUACAAAGUAAUAAAGUAUAAGAAAAAUUAAUGAGCCCCAAAUCUUUCCCUCCCACAUUCUUUGAUUUUGGUCGCUUUAGACAUCCAAAGGUUACGCCACUGGAUGAUAUUUAUGUACUUCUUAACUAAUCCAAAACCUAAUAAAAAAAAAAAAAAGGAACUAAUUAAUUGGAUUAGUGUAACAUGGUCACAUGUAAAUUGGUGUGCCGAUUAGACCUACAUAAUCAAAACUGAUGGUUUGGCCAAAUACGACAACAGCCGAAAACUUGACUAUAAGUGUGAUUAAUUAAAAGAUUAUUAAGAUUACUAAACUGACAAACUUUAUCAAAGUAGCUAGAUACCCAUCUUCAUCAAGACUACAUGUGAUUAGGGAGCUAGGAUUGGGCAGUUUUGCUUAUUUUUAGAUUAUUAGGCUCUUAAUUAGACAGGUUUAGUUAAUUAGGACCACUGAACCUGUAUGUAUGCACUCUUACUAACGGUUAAAAUAAUCUAACGGGAAAAAAAGUUUAAUAGACUUGUAAAUAAGAUUAUGCUACUCCCUCCGUCUCUUAAUACUUUUCCUGUUUGCUUUUGACACGUUUGCCAACGCACACUUUUAAUCGUUAAUAUCUUUAAUUUUGUAUUAGUAAUAAAUAUAAAAAUUUCACUGUAUUAAAGUACUCAUAAAUACGAAUUCAACAAGAUCACUCAUGACUAUAUUUGGUUUUAUAGAUUAAACGUAAGUUAGUAAUUUGUCUCAUGUCAUGAACAGUCCCGACAUUUCAAAUGAGAAAAGCAUUUAGGCACGGAGGGAGUAAAGUUUAUGCCCCCCAAUUGAUGAACCAUGCUUACUUUAUGGGAGCUGCUCCUCAUCUUUGUGAUUAGUUUAACGUGUGUUUUGUAUGCAGAGCUUGUCAUUGAUGAUUUGUUAAUCUUUCUUGUCUUUUUUCUCGUGGAAUUAAUUAUGGAUUAUUAAGCUGACAAGAGGAUGAGAACUUUGACCAUAUUUCGGGUGUGUGUGGUUUGGUACUCCAGAAGAUUGAUCAUGUGUUAUCAGUAAACUAAGAAGUUUUGUGUCAUUUUGUAUCUUGAGAUUUCUAUUGCGGAUAAAAAUGAGAACCGAUAAUUUAAUAAAUUAAAUUUUGUUGUUUUCCGAUUAAUUGGGUCAGACUUCUAUGAGUUUUUAUUUGAGCAGAACCUCGGUCGGUGAUCAUCUAUGAAGACGUUUGGAUCAGUGAUCAGAGUAAGAAUCUUGAAUGACACAAACAAUUUAUGUUACCCGGAGUCGACUAAAAAUGUCCAACAUGAAUACGUCUCAGAUUCGGCAAUAAUUUAAAAAUUGUACAUAUUUUUUUGCUUAGAAUAAGUGUUAAAAUAUUUAUAUCAUAUUCGAGUGUCGAGUGUCCGAUACAGAAAUUCAAGAUAAAAUAAAGAGUCCAGGUAACAUAACAUAGAUGAGAACUUGUUAAUGAGAACGGAAAUGAUAUGAAAAUAAAUGAUUUAUCCAUCUGUCGGUAAUGUGGUUCCCAUUUGAAGCAACUAACUUACUUAUCCAAACACCAACAAUGUGAUAAGAUUACAAUUAUGUUAACUGAACCCAUUAACUAUUACAAUUAUGUUAACUGAACCCAUUAACUAUGAAGCAAACGUUCCAAAAUUUGUUAUGAAUCAAUAACAUGACGAAAAUUUGAUCAUGCAUGUGAGAUGGUGUAACUGUAGGAUACACCAAAGAUCUGACAUUAGUUAAAUACAUCAAGAUUUUGUAUAACAGUAUCUGAGAUCAUGUAUAAAUGAAUCUAAACGAUACAUUUAACAUGGACAAAUUAAAUUGAAGCAAGCAAAUCAGGCCUUCUAAAUCAAGAUCAACCUAGAAACCAGAGAAGACAUAUUGCUUUGGCUGCUGCUAAAACCUAAAAUGAUCCCAGUUAAUAAUAUUUAUAGCUGCCUAGUCAAUUCUGAGAUGCUUGCUUGAUAAUAAAACCAAGAUAAAAAGUUUUAAACUCUCUAACUCAUGGCUGUGAUGCUGCAUACGUUAUAUUGGUAGCUUAGCCGAAUCGAAAAAACCGAAUCAACGAAAUUAAUGAACAUGGUUGCAGUAAAAGAGGAAACAGGAUCUUGUAUCUGCAAUCAUUAACCUAUAUAAAAUUCAAUUCAGAAUCAGCAAAAAGCCUUGAACCAAGAAGAUACAGAGUUGCAGCAUGUAUAUCCAGCCUUCUUGGACUAGUUUUCGCUUCGAAACAUCGAUAUGUGGCAUGAAGUGCUGCUCAAUUCAAACACAAGUCUGGGGGUUUGCAUUUUCUGUCUGAUGUGUUAAGUCCUUUUUUUUUUUCAGUCUUUCUUCAAGUGUUUGCAAUGAAACAGGGCUUCCUGCUGAUUGAGUGAUGCACAAAUGUGUAUCUUAAGGCUCAUGAUAAAGAGCUCCACAUGGGGCCAUGUUGAUCUUGAUUAUAUUCUCAUCCAGUUUGCAGAUAAUCAGUCAAAUUAUGGAGCAGUCAGAGUUAUAUAUGCUACUUCUUUUGAAGGUGGCCACAUGACUGGUGAUCUAGUGGAUUUGUUAUAAAUUGAUUACUGAGAUAAUCAAGAUUAAGGAUGGUAUCUUCUUUGGUUGCGAGAUAUUUUUCACUUUGGUAGAAGGAUGGGAAUGUGGUAGGGCCGUGAUAAGCAUAUUGUUACUUUAAAUUCAAAAGAGCGAUUUCCAUGUAACAAUGAGUUGUCCCACAUCAAUUGUGUGAGGGGCAGAAAAUUAGAAUAGCAACUUCAAUAAUACGAAUCCUUUAGGGGUGUCCAAAAACAAAGUCGUAUGGACUAGGUCCAAAGCAGAUAUUGUGGAGUUAUGGCUUACUUAGUUAGUCCAACAAGUAAUAUCAGUAUCUGUCUCUUUCUAGAGACAUCUUUAAAUGGUAUAUCUGUCUCUUUCUAGACUCAUCUUGAGAUGAGAUUAUCAUGGAGACAUGGAUUGUUCCAAACUGGCUCUGUAAUCUAGUUAUAAUACGAGACAACUCCUAAAAUUACGUCGUAACAAUCAAUCCAUUACUCGGACUCGGUUUUUACUAAUGUACAUCAGUUACACAUAUUACGUGUUGCACAUACGUAUUGUCGCUGAGGAGACAUGGAAAACUACUGAACAUAGUUAAGCUGAGCAAGUGUGUUGGAGUAAUUUGAAGCUGCAAACUGUAAACAUUGCAACUUUUGUGCAAUCUGUUCCCCACCUAAAAAUAUAGCAUGCUGAUGCUGAUAAAUAAGCGGCUCAAUAAUUGAAGCACCCCGAAAGAAAUCAAAAGAUUCAGUACAAAGUUAGUCCGUGAAAUAUGGAUGUCAACCAGCUAGCUAGGUCUCCUUUUGUGUAGCAUAUGCCCUCUUUUCUGAUUAUAUGUAGAAACAAAUAACUGCCCCUUAACCUAUCUGCCUCGGAAUAUCAUUUAAAAUUUUGUAGCUUGCAACAAAAAUUAUAGGACUGUUUACUGUUUAGCUCACAUUAAAAGAAGUCAUUUAUUAUUUAAAAUAAAUAAAUGAUUAUAAGUGAGUAAUUGUGCCCGUUUGGGUAACCAAACUUCUGACUUCUUUUCGGAAGAAGCUGACUUCUAAUUUUCUUGGCUUGUUUGUGUAAAAAGCCAGAAACACUUAUAAAAAGCUACGAAUGAUAGCUUGUGUCUCAGGACUUCUGCUUAUUUCAAAACAGUUUAAUCACUUAUAAGUCUUAAUCUGCUUCUCACUUCUAGUACACUUCUUUACUUUAAGCAAUAAGCACUUUUUUAAGUUUAUCCAAACGGCUCCGUUGAUUUGGAUUUUUAAAUUAUUAAAAAUAUUGAAUAUCAUGAUUUACAAGUUAUUUAGGUUAGGUUUUGCUGUUUGAAGAAACUGUUAACAUAAAAAUUUAUAUUAAUAUGAAAGUUAGGAUCUCCAAAAUUUAUAUUAAAAAUGUGACAUGCAUCAACAAAUUUUAGCAAUAAUCUGAAUAUUGGAGCUCGUCAAACCUUUUCUUGCAUGUUAUACAAAGAAAAUCGAAAUGAUUUUAGUAAGCGGGGAUGUCUCUUUUAUCACAACAAUACAGAAAAAACCAAAAAGGAAAAAGUUAUCACAUGUCAAGUCAAAGCAUGAAAUGCAGUAAAAUAAAACAAACCAAAAAAUAAAGCACCAAGGUAUUACUUGAGAUUAGUGUGGAAUAAUCAGAGAUAAUAUGAUUCCCUUUUUAAUUAGGAGAAGUUAAUCUUUUUCAUUUUAUAAUUAAUAUCUGUGGGUGAUACAUGUAUGUAACACUGUGCAAGUUGAUUGUGUUUGACCAGAAUGACUGGUGAAGACUUUUGGUCUGAGGGCAAGGUGACACAGUACAUGCGUUGCGCCGACCGACACGUGUAAUACAAUGGGCCAAUGGCCCUUGUCCAUAUUAAUAUAGGUUGGGUUCACCUGCCCUAGGCUUUCUAGAACGGCUCAAUAGUUAGGAAUACAAUUAUUUUUGGAGUUCGUAGUUAUUUUCUAAAAGGAUUCUUACUGUAUUUUGAAUGAUCCGUAAGUCGUAUCGAUUCUGGUAUCACGGUGAAUAUUGUAAAAACUCAUCUUUCACAAUAAAAAUUUGUACAUAUUUUAUGAGUCCUUGUUGCUCAGAUAUCAAUUGAUAUAAUUGAAAGUUCUGAAUGUGGGCGACAGAUGAUGUUUAUGUGAAAAUCAAUUGUGAUGCUACUAGUUUCAUAGUUUCAUAGAUGAUGUAGAUUGGAUUGCUGGACAUGUCAUUGUAUUACUUUUUGGAUCAAAGAAUUUGAAUAUUCUAUGUGUGUUAAGCGAUCUGAAAACAAAACGGCUACUUAUUUGUUUAGCUCGUUCUUUGUUUUACAAUAGAUUGUAGUUGACAGUUCGGGGAUUUGUCCUCACUGGAUGCUGAUGAGUAAUUUCCGUUAAUAAAAUCAUUUGUUUGUAAAAAAAAAAGAAUUAUUAUAUAUAUUUUAACUAAUAUGAGUUGCUCAAAAUUAGUCUUAACAAAGAAAUCAUCAAUAUACUUAUAUAAAGGAGAAGCGAGGGGCGUAUAGGUGGCGCCUCUCUGAGAGCUCCGUUAUAUUUUUUCAAUUUUCUAGAAUUUUUGGAUGAAAAAAUAUCAAAAAUAAAAACUGUCUUUUUUAGUUUCGGAUAUACUGGAAGAAAGUUUCAGAACUAUCUUUUUCAAAAUAUCAAAAUCAAAUCAGAAUUUGAAACUAUCAUCAUAUUUUUGAAAAAUGUGUAUAUCAAAAAUAGAAAAUAUUUUUGAUAAGUAAUCUCUUCUCAAAUCAACUUCUAUAAUUGUAUCAAAAUUAAAUCAGAAUUUGAAACUAUCAUCAUAUUUUUGGAAAAGGUGUAUAUCAAAAACAGUAAAUAUUUUUGAUAAGCGGUCUCUUCUCAAAUCAACCCCCUAUAAAUUGAGGUCAGACAUCAUAAAAUUUAAUGCACACAAUUUUUUUUAAGCUUAUUUGUCUUCUCCAACUAAUAUAAUAAUGAGUUACACUAUGCUAGAUAUUUGUGCUAAAUGUAUUGAAUGGUGAUAGAGAUGAUUGGCUGAUAAGAGCAAGAGUUCGUCGGAUGUGGGAAUAAUACAGUCUUGACAUGAUAUUGUUGGAUGAAAAGUUCAAUAAAUUAAUUGUUAGGCAUACAUGUUUGUUCGUUAUUUUUUUAUAAUGUUUGUUUUGUUCAUCGGACAUGUUUGUUGUUAAUUUUUAUAUGAUUUACUUUGUAUACAGGAAAAGAUUAUUCAUGCAACACUUCCACAAUAUCUGUUUGCUCGGUUCAAGCAUCUUUUAAGUGAAAGUUGUUUAUAAAGUAUCAAAAAAAAUAAAGAUUUUUGCAACUCGCAAGCAAGGUCAGUUAUAGAUUGCGAUCGCAUGGAUUUAAAUUGAUGUUUUUGCGGACAACCAAUCCAAAAAAAAGAAGGAGGGAAUCACUAAUAAACCUGUGAAUAGAUUGGACUUCAUACAUCCCGAGAUGAUUAAUGUUCGUACAACUAGAACAUAAUGUCUAGGAUGGUUUCAAAGUUGUAUCUCAAUAUUUUUUAGACUUUUACGCACCAAUGUUAAACACAUCUAAAAUUAAAAUUUGUCGUGCUUUGAAUCAUUUGCAUCCAGAUUUUUAUUUUCAUUUUUCCACUCAUGAAUUAUAGUCCAAUUUUACAAUUUUAUAUAUUAAUAUUGGUAUUGUAUCGAGAUGUUUAUAAUAUAAAUUUAUUUUUAUUCUAUAAAUAUUAAUUUUAAAUCAUUAAUAUAAUUUUUAUAAGUUGCCUCAAAUUUAUUUUAUUUUAUAAAUAUUAAUAUUAAAUUGUUAAUAUAAUUUUUUAUAACCCGCCGCAACGCGCGGCUUCUCAACUAGUUUGAAUAAACAGAAGAUGAGAUCCGUAAUAUUAAUCAACUACUAAAGUUCAAGUAUUUGGACUAUCAAAUUUUUAACAUUUUAAAUUUAAUAUAUAAUAUAAAUUUAAACAUCAAACGUUUUAUUUACUUAUAAGCAUAUAUUAAAAAUAUUAAUUCACUACUCUGUGAUUUAUUUGUCAUGUUCAUUUAUUUGAAUGCUUUCUAUAUAAUAUCAGAGUUUGAAAUUUUCUUUUUAAAUAAAAAAUGAGAAUACUAUUAUUUUAUUCAAUUUAUCAAUUUAUUGGCCUUAUAUGUUUAUACAUUAAAAUUUGAAUUUAUUCACUUAAUUUUAUUUCUUUGGUGACACAUACGGGUACACCAAUAUAAGUUAUACCUUGUAUAAUAAAAUUAUGUAUAAAUAUUUAAAUAUUCCAUAUUAAUCUUGUGAGAAGUUAAAUAUGCAUAUUUUCGCCCAAACCUCUUAGAUAUUUUGCGUCAUUUAAAAAAAUAAAAAUAAAUUUUGAUGCAUGGCUUGUUUAAUGUUCCCACACUUCACAUGUGAGUAGUGAGUGCAAGAUCUACUGGUUACAAACUUGAUCAUUCUUGUCUUCACUCCUGUCUUGUGAAAAGAAUCCGUCAAGUAAUUCAAUUAAAACAUGUUAUUUAUAUAAUAAAUGAGGCAAAACAUCACGCCAAGGGCCCUAACCUUAAUUAUUGAAUCAUUGAAAUCAUGGGUAUAGGAUUCUAUUGUCAAUGCUCAUGCUCAUCCUGUGCCCAUGGACCCAUUUCUGUUGUCACUCACCAAACCAAACCAAGGGCAUGAACCUGUCGACCAUCAUCUACUACAAAAAUGGGAGAGUAAAGCUCGGAAUCAGAAUUUCGAAACAUCCGAGUCAGGAUAUUUAAUUUCCACAAUUUUAUCAAAUACCCAAAAAUAGUAGAACUAAAAAAAUAAAGGGUCCGUUUGGUUGAGAGAAGCAGAAGCUGCUUCUGGUUUCUACUUCUCUUGACCCGUUUGUGUAAAGAAUUAGAAGCAUUUUUAAGAAGCUGAGAAGAAUAGUUUCUGCUUUUUUUCCAAACAAUUUAUUAACUUAUUUACUUCUCACUUCUACUUCACUUCUUUAUUAUAAGUAAGAAAUUACUUUUUUUAAGCUAACCCAAACGGUCCCAAAAUUUACUCACUUUUUAAAGACGAGAAAUAUUAUACUAAAUUUGGAUUUUAGCUGAUCGGUCGAGAUUUGAGUUCAGUUUAUGACAUUAAGUUAGCCCCUCUCUAGUUGGUCUACUGGGCAUCAAUAACAAUGUUCAUUCAUACUACCCCGUAAGAUUUUUUGUUUUUACCUAGCUCCCGAAUGUUACUACUCGGUUAACAUUAGUACUUGUAGUAAAAGAAGAAUGACCAGAGUGGUCAGUGGAGAAAGGAGGAAAAUAAAUGUCAGUUACUACAUUACUAAUGAAGGGUGUGUUUGUUUAUGAAGUUGGUUUCAAUUGACAUAUUGAGGAAGCUGUUGGCCUCUAUGUUCUCUGUACUCAAAGUGGGGCUGUGUCCUAAAAGAUGCAAGAGAGAAGGCCAGUGGUUGUCCUGUCACAUGGCAGGUACCUAUCAAACAAGAAACUUAUUUUAUCUCUUUUCUUGGACGCAAGCAUUUUCUUCACUAUAUUAUCAACACAUUAUGCAUAAUAAUAGAUAUCCUGCAAGACUGCAGCUUCAUUUCAUUUAACCCCGCAGAGAUCAUACUUAGACCAUCUACAAUGCAGGGACACAUUGUGCCUCGGGGCAUGCAAAAAAGAAGUGGGCACCUCAUAUACACAUGUUUAGCAUUGGAGAGAAGUUAAAAAAAGCGGCCAUGGACAGCAUGGUGUCCCUGGACAACUUCUGUAAAACCUGCUUAUUUAUAUUAUUUUAUUACAAAAACUGAAAAAUGCUGCAGCUACUUUAUACACAUACAUCAACAAUUGAAAUGAGGAAACGGUAAUAUUAACGUUACGAAUGUAACGUUAAUAUAUUAACGGUAAGAUUUUUUUUUUAUAAAUACCUAAAAAUUCACAUUUUAUUAUUCACACUCUUACUUCUUGAAAAAUUAAAAUUUCUCUCAAAAGAUGAAUCCAAAUAAUCCCCCACCUCCAAAUUCUACAAAUCCGAACCCUCAAUUUCCAUAUCCAUAUCCAAAUUCUUAUUUCCCAAAUCCACAAAAUUUUAAUUCUCAAACCCCAAAUUCUCAAUACCCAUUUCCACAUUCUCAAAAUUCUCAAUAUCCAUUUUCAUAUCCUCAAAAUUCUCCAUAUCAGUAUCCAUUUCCUACAUUUUCAAAUUCACAAUUUGAAACUCAACAAUCACCUCCUAAUUUCGAAAAUUCUCCACACUCACAAGUGCCCGCCUUUAAUAAUAGAAAUUUUAUUGAUCUAAAUGAUGAUUUUGAGGAAACUGAAGAAGUACGAGAAAUUACUGGACAGUGGAAGUGGGCUGAAGAUAAGCUUUUAAUAAGUGCAUGGUUGAAUGUGUCAAUUGAUCCCCUAGUGGGCACUGAUCAAAAAGCCGACGCAUUUUGGGACCGAAUUCAACAAUAUUGCGAGGAAGAUAAUCCCGGUGUCAUCAAGAGAGGAGCUGCAGCUAUGAGAAAAAGGUGGCAACGCAUAAAUGAAGGUGCUCAGAAAUUUGGAUCAUGUUAUGAAGACGCUUAUAAGAAAAUGGGGAGUGGUGCAAAUUUGGAUGACGUAAAUGAGAAAGCUCAUAUUUUGCAUUCUGCCAAAUACAAAAAGAAGUCUAACUUUGAUAAGCAUUGGUUUGAGCUUCGUAGACAACCCAAGUGGAGAACUCCUUCAACCACUGACAGUUCGAAAAGAACUAAAAUAAGCAGCUCUGGAGCUUACUCAUCAUCGGGAAAUAACGAUACACCAACAAGUGAGAAUGUUGCUGAAUCUCCUGUUCGUCCUAAAGGUAGGGAAGCGGCUAAAAGAAAGGGAAAGGGAAAGGCAAGAGCGGUACAAGCGUCCGAUGAGUGGGAAGAAUUACGAGCUAGUACAUGUCGAAAGCUAAAUCUAAUGGAAGCAAUAAAUGAAACUCGUCAAAAGGAAAUUGAGACUCGAGAAAAAGAGAUUGAGGCAAAGCAAACUGAAAUGGAUUUACAAGUCAUUUUGGCAGAUACUACUAAAAUGAAUGAUAUUCAGCGGAUGGCUCAUUCAAAAUUGCUUGAAAAAAUUAUGGCAAGGAACUAGUUUGUUUUUAUUUGUUUGUAAUGUAGCCGUUGGAGGCUAGUGUUUGUUUUCAUUUGUUUGUAAUAUAGCCGUUGGAGGCUAGUGUUUGUUUUCAUUUGUUUGUAAUAUAGCCGUUGGAGUCUAGUGUUUGUUUUCAUUUGUUUGUAAUAUAGCCGUUGGAGUCUAGUGUUUGUUUUCAUUUGUUUGUAAUAUAGCCGUUGGAGUCUAGUGUUUGUUUUCAUUUGUUUGUAAUGUAGCCGUUGGAGGCUAGUGUUAGAAUAUAUUCGUUUUUUUCUUCUAUAUAAACUACUUGUGUUAGUUUGUUCAAUUCACUUUACAAUGGAUCAAACACCUUCACUAGAAAAGUUUACUGAAGAAUUCAUCGAUGAGUUUUGUUUCGAUGAUGCUGAAGACAAUCGUCGUCUUGAGUUGUAUCAUGAAAUAUACGGACAGAGCUCACGAUCCAAGCCUCGAAAAAGUAUAUUCAGAGACCGUGAAUCAGGUCAUCAGCGUCUCAUGAAUGAUUACUUUUCACCGAAUCCAGUAUAUCCUGAACAAAUCUUCCGCCGAAGAUUUCGUAUGGGAAGACAUGUUUUUCUGCGUAUUGUGGAUGCUCUUUCAAAUUCUGAUCCAUACUUUCAACAAAGAAUCGAUGCAGUGGGAAGAAAAGGCUUAUCACCUUUACAAAAAUGCACUGCAGCAAUACGUAUGUUGGCGUAUGGAGUAUCUGCUGACGCUGUUGAUGAUUAUGUUCGUAUUGGAGAGACUACGGCGAUUGAAUGCUUAAAGAAAUUUGUCUCUAAUAUCAUUAUGAUAUUUGAGAGUGAAUACUUGCGCAAGCCGAACUCCAAUGAUGUAGAACGUCUACUACAGAUGGGCGAGGCUCGUGGAUUUCCUGGUAUGAUGGGCAGCAUUGACUGCAUGCACUGGCAGUGGAAAAAUUGUCCUAAAGCGUGGAAGGGAAUGUUCAUGAGUGGUCACAAAGGAGUUGCAACAAUUUUACUAGAAGCUGUUGCUUCAUCUGAUCUAUGGAUAUGGCAUGCAUUUUUUGGAGUUGCUGGAUCAAAUAAUGACAUAAAUGUAUUAGACCGAUCACCAGUAUUUGAUGAAGUGUUACAAGGUCGUGCUCCAGAGGUAAAUUAUACUAUCAAUGGGAACAAUUAUAAUAUGGGCUACUACUUGACAGAUGGAAUAUAUCCUGAAUGGGCAACAUUUGUGAAAACAAUAUCACGUCCACAAGGUGAGAAAAGAAAAUUAUUUUCGAAAUAUCAAGAAAGUCAGCGAAAAGAUGUUGAACGAGCGUUUGGUGUGUUGCAGUCUCGUUUCGCAAUUGUUCGUGGUCCUUCACGUUUUUGGGACAAAGCGGAUCUUGGGAGAAUUAUGAGAGCAUGCAUCAUAAUACAUAACAUGAUUGUUGAAGACGAGAGGGACACGUACGCCACUCAAUUUGGUCCUUUACCAACUUAUGAUGAUGCAACAAAUGGCUUAAUGCAACCAAAUUUAGGUGAAGAACCUUUUAUCCCGUAUGAAACGUAUAUUCAAAAUAUCAUACAGCUGCGUGAUAAACGGACACAUCGUCAGCUCCAAAAUGACUUGAUUGAGCAUAUCUCGCAGUUUCACAACAAUCGUUAAUUUUUAUAUUGUAAUUUUUAAAUUUAAUGCUUUCCUGUGUGAUGUUUAUGUAACAUUUUAUCAUUUAAGUUUUUAAUAAUAUGAUGCAUUUUAAUUACAUGAUAUGUUUUUUAUUUUAAUAAAAUUUUUUAAAAAAUAAACACAGAAUAUGAGAAUUAGAAAAAUUAAGUUAAAUUGUAACGACAUAGCAUACGUAAAUUUACUACAAAUAUGAGACAAUAAAAUAAUUAAAAUGGGUCCUACAAAAAUAAAGCAAAUGGGCUGUACAUUGCAUGAGCUUGGAUAGUUUUGGACGGUGGACAGUUUUGUGAUGAGGUGGUAUCCAAAUGGGGCCCAUUGAAGAAAAACUUGUCCACAGCAUUGUGGAUGGUCUUACUACAUUGAUUUCUGCAAUUAGUCACAGGUACUGCUGGCCAAAUGAGAGGUUUCGAACCACUCGUGCAGAACCAGACUGUUAAUUAUUCGUUUAAAUUUAAUCAAGUAGCGGUUUGAACCGGUCCGGCCCGAAUUGUUAAAAAUAACGAAUCGAAUACAGGUCGUUAAGUUUAAAAUCACAAUCGCCCGCAAAUCCGACAAGUUGGGCAUAUUUGGGAAUCAACAAAUUAUUCGUGAAUUAUUCAGCCCGCGAAUCAACUCCUGUUGUUCGGUUACGUGCUUGUUUUUCGGUGCACCAUGGUUAACGUGUGUUAACACUUGUUUGAAUUUAUUUAUUUGAUUUUUAUAAUUAAAUUAAUGUAACGAUGCGGUCUGUUCCAUUUUUUUAAAGAGGAUAAUGGUCAGUCAAAGGUUGUCCUCUACUCAUUCGAACUGUUGCCAAGUCGACCCAGGUCGAUUGCCCUAGUGGCCAAGACCAGUUACAAAGACCAAGUCCACCACAACGUUAUCUUCUUAUCACUCGUUGUAACUGGCAACGCUUCUUUUAUAUGAAUACGUUUAUUCGCUAUAAUGCCGUUGUAACUGGCAACGCUUCUUUUAUAUGAAUACGUUUAUCCACAAUAAUGUUCAUGUUAUUCGUUAUACUUAGUAAUAAUUUUAUUAUACGAAUACAAUUAUUCAGUGCAACGCUUUUUUAUCCGUUAUAAUAAUAACACUUAUGAACAAAACUUGUGAUUUUUUUUAAUCUUAUCACGCUUUUUAUUCGCAGAAAAAUAUGUCACAAACUGACCCAAUUGUUGAUGAAUUAUUGGCGAUUCAUUAUAAAGGACCCUGUCUAGAUUGUUAUUAUCGGUUAUAACUAGUAACGCUUCUUUUAUAUGAAUACAAGAAUACUCCGUCCGUUCCUUAGUUGUUUACACGAGGCGACGGGGGCGCAACAUGUACUUUAAUGCUUUCAUAAAAUAUAAUUUGACAAAUUAUUUUGAAUUUUAUUUUUUUGACUAAAAGUUUAAUAUUUUUAUUUUUGGGAAAAAAUUUAAAAUAAUUUAUGAAAUUCUAUUUUAUAUAUAUUUUAAAGUACGUGUUAAACAAUGUAAAAAGACCGUAAAAAAAAGAGGGAUAAAGGAAGUAACACUUUCUUUUGUAUCUAUACAAUUAUCCGUGUAAAGUUUUUUUACCCAUUAUAUAUAGUAACACUUUGAUUUAUAUGAACAAAAUCUAUGAUUCUUUUUAAUCUUAUCAAAUUUUUUAUUCUUCAAAAUAUGUCAUACAUUGACCUAAUUAUAAACGAGUGAGCUCUGCAAUAUUUAAUCAUGAGAGACAUAGUCUACAACAUUUACGUUUUUAUUAUCCGUUAUAACUAGUAACAUUUUUAUUUAUGUGAAUACGCUUGUUUAAUAUAAUGUUUGUAUAUCCGUUAUAAGUAGUAAUAUUUUCUUUCUAUAUGGAUACGAUCACUCAUUAUAACAUUUUUUUUACCCGUUACAAAUAACAACACUAAAUUUAUAUGAACGAAACUUGUGAAUAUAUUCGUCAUCCCACUUCUAAUAUAAUUCACAAAAAAUAUAUCACGAACUGACCCAAUUAUGAAUUAGUUUAUGUUACUAUGUUUAUAUGAUCACCAGAAUGCAGAAACAAUACAAAGAGGAAGAGAGAAAUGUAAAAAAAUCAUAAAGAAAUGAGAGGAACAAAUGAAGCAACACUUUUUUGUAUAUGUAUACAAUUAUCUGGUGUAAAGUUUUUUACCCAUUAUAGAUAGCAACACUUGAUUGAUAUGAAUAAAAUCUAUAAAUUUUUUUUUUAAUCCUAUCUCAUUUUUUAUUCGCCAAAAUAUGUCACAUAUUGACCCAAUUAUAAAUGUGUGAGAUCUGCAAUUAGUCAUAUGAGACAUAGUCUACGACAUUUACGUUUAUUAUCGGUUAUAACUAGUAACGCUUCUUUUACAUGAACAUGCUCGUUCAAUAUAACGUCUAUACAUCCGUUAUAACUAGUAAUUUUUUUUUAUAUGAAAACGAUUACUAAUUGUAACGUUCUUUUAUCCGUUAUAAAUAACAACACUAAAUUUAUAAGAACGCUUGUGAAUUUUUUCGUUAUCACACUUUUAAUUCACGAAUAAUAUAUCACGAACUGAUCCAAUUAUAAAUGAGUUUAUGUUACUAUAUAUGUUUAUAUGAUCGCCAGAAUGCAGAAACAAUACAGAGAGGAAGAGUGUAGAAAGUGAUAGCUCCAGAAGUUGAGUAAAUAUUCAUUCCAUUGUAAUAAAUAAAACAUACAUAUCUCCUCAUUAAUGAAAUUGAAAACCGAACUAACUAUAUACUCCCUGUCCCAUUUUAACUGAUGUUUGACUUUUUGACACGUAUAUUGAGAUGCAAAAAACCUAUAUCUACACUUAAUAAAAAAAUUCAAUUUUUAUAUCAAAUUAAAGUUUAGAUUCUAAACUUUUAUUUGAUAUAAAUUAUACAAAGAAUAAUUAUGUUUAGAUAUGAUUUUUUUAACACCUUAAAAUACGUAUAAAAAAGUCAAAAGCAGUUAAAAUGGGACGGAGGGAGUAUAAACACUGUCCGUAUGUAUGCAUCCUUUUAACUCAGAACAGAUUCUGUUAAUACAUUUCCUCAAAUGUCCAUGACAAUUCAUAUUACUUUAAUCUUCAACUUCAUAACCUGCUAUUUCAGUUUUAACCUCUCUCACUGGAACUUUAACAGUGACAUCACUCUUACAGGCUCAGUGAGAUUUACUUUACUUGCAUUUAGUGCCUGCCUUUAUUCUUAAGUGAUCAACCCAUUUAUUGUGUUAUUUAUUUAUGUAGAAAAAAACUGACAUUUUAUUUAAGUUUCAUUGGGAUUUGUAGUGCUAACUCUCUCCGCAUGAUUCUGAGUUCAUCACUUCAAGCAACAAAAACACAUUUUCCUGGUUAAAAGAUCUAAACCCUUUAUUUGUUUGAUUUAUAAUUUAUAGUAUAACUUUAUAUAAGAAAAAUAUCGGGUCAUUCUGAGCUCAACCAGUGUUCUGAAGAUCUCCGAUUAAUUUUGAUUAUUUUUUUAAGGUAUUUUUACGCGGCAUGGAUUGGUCGAUUGACUAAUCUUGGCUUGUUAACCCGCCGAUCGAUUUAUCGACUACACUAUGAUUUAAUUGAAAAUUAAUUCAUAAAAUCUACUACAAAUCCUGAAUUCAUAUAUCAACUGAUCCGUUCUGAUUUUUGAUUUUUAUAACCAUGAAUUUCAAUCUAUAAAAUUAUUCGAGUUGAUUAAAUAAAAGAAAGGGAGUGCUAGUAAAUAGAAAAAGGUGAGUCUGCUGUAAACAUACAAGGCCCCAGCCCCCAGGUGAUAACCACUGCCAUACGUACCCAUCUACUUUAAACUUCUCUUUUCUCUUAUAAAUACUCCCCCUUACUCAUUUCAUCUCUCUCAGUCUCUUUCCUCACAAUUAUCAUCUUCAACAAACCCAAUCACACAGAACCACAGUUUAACUCUCUCUCUCUCUCACCUUUGUGUAGUCCCAAAAAGAAACCCAAAAGUUGCUCGAGAUUUUACUCCAACAUGGCUGCAACAACAGCUCCUAGUGUGCCUAGUACAAGUGGUGGAGGAUCAAGAAACACAGAGCUCUGUCUAGAUGAGAAGUGGAAGCUCUCCAAGAAAGAAGGCUCAUUCUCCUCAAGAAACUCAGCAUCCAUGAACCAAUCCAGCUCAAGAACUCAUCACUCAUCUUCUAGAAGAAGAUGUGCAUUCACAAGAAAGUGUGCUAGGCUUGUCAAAGAACAGAGAGCCAGAUUCUACAUCAUGAGGCGCUGUGUCACCAUGCUCAUCUGCUGGCGUGACAAUUUCUCUGAUUCCUGAUCUUUUUCAACUUUUUUCGAGAUUUUAUCUUGUGGGUCAGUUUUUUUUUUCUUGGUUAGGAGGAUUCAAGAAGACCCUUUAUAUGUAAAUACAUAUGUGAUAUGGCUAUAGAUUUUUGUUUUUUGAGGUCUAAAUCUCUGUAAGAGACACAGAUUCUUUAUGUUUAUGUAGGAUUUAUUAAUGUUAUGAAAUACAAACAUCAACUCAAUAUAUAGGUGAUGCCUUUAUAAAUUUCAGUCUUGAUGAUUGACUUGAAUUGAUGGUGCUUCUUGAAAUCUCUCCGGGAGAGAUAGGGAGAGAGAGAGAGAGAGAUUCCCAUUGAAGCAUAGCAGUGGGCAGUGCAGCACUGUGUGGAUCCGGUGUGCUAGCCUGACACUAAUCUUAUUUUAUUACAAUAAUUUACUAUAGAUUAUCUUGUAGCUCUAAAUUUUUUACCAUUUUUUAUUACUAGCGUAGAGUAGUUCAAAAUAUGUGGCAGUCUCGCAAAACUGGAUCAACGUGGGAGAGAGAAUUGACAACUUUACUUUCGUUUCUUCUUAUACUAAUGCCACUUAAUAAAGAUGCGAUUUUUAUAUGUUACCAUUACUGCUGAUCAGUGAUCAGUAUUAUAUUGAUUUGAUUUCAACGGUGGUCAUUUUAAGUUGAAAAAAUUUGGGAUAGUGGUGCAUAUGACUUUAUUGUGUAAAAUGUACGAGAAUGGAUUUUAAUAGUUACCAAGAGAAAGUAAAAGGUUAAAAGUUUUACCAGGUUUUCUGCAACUAGUACCAUCACUUUCAUUAAACAGAUUCCACAGCUGUACGUAUAUAUCACAAGAUUCACCGCGGUUAAAGUUCACUCUACCCGGUGUAACACCUCCACCUCUCGUUUAACUUAUAAGUUACUUAUAAACGGAAAAAUCUAGCACCUUUUUGGCAACCAAUAUUUUCAUAAAAUAAGUCGUUCUUUUAUUUAAAAAAAAUUUUGUUUUAGAGUUAUUUUGGAUGUAGAUGUUAAAGAAGUGUUUCAUAUUCGUUAUUUGACAAAAAUAUAAAGACUUAUUUUAGAAAAAAGUAAACUAUUUUUUUAUAAAUAAGCUCUUGUUUUUGGAAAAUAAGAUUAACCUAAUUGCAUGUUAGUAUUUUUGAAAAACUACUUAUAAGUCAUGGCCAAAUAGUCAUCGUACAAACUCGAUUGCGAGAUAUUAUGGGGCUGUUUGGCUGAACUUAAAAGAAUUGAUUUUUUAUUGCUUAAACUAUAGAAGUGAAUUAUAAGUGAAAAGUUGGCUUAAAUUUAUAAGUUAUUAUUAGCUGUUUUUAACCAGAUCGAACCUAAUUGGUUGUCACUUCCAAUUAUUUCACAAAAUAUUUACUGAAAUGUAAAAUUUACUGGAAAAUAUUGUUGGAUGAGGAUAUGGAUGAAGUCUGCAAGGGCAAGGAAAAAAAGACCAUAUGGCAGCUGCUACAACUGUUGCUUAAAAUCUUUGACCACAACAGCUGCUGGACCACUCUCAGGCUUUGACUCUUUCCGUGGAGUGGAGUGGAGGCCAUAACUUUGGGCUUUUUCACACUGCUGUGCUGCUCACUCUUUUUCACUUGUGAAUAGGACUGGGUAAAACAUAAAGUAAGGUUAAAGGCAAGUAUGAGAUUGAUGGCCUCUGCUUUUCAUACUUAAUUCUUUUUGCUAUUAUUCAAUUCUUGACCAUUUUUAUGUUUUCUAAUUACCUGGAUUACGGACUACUAAUCAAACGGUGCAAGUCUAGUUUUAUUUUAUAUUUCUCUAUUUUCACACGAAGUAAUAUACAAAAUUUCUCUUUGACCAUUUAGGUGAGUUUAAAAUAAGCUCUUCUUGAUAAAGUAAAGAGUUGAAGUAGAAACAAGUUAAGAAUUAUAAGUGAUUAAAGUGUUUAGGAAAUAAGUAGAAGUUACGAAACAAAACUUUUUAUAAAUAAUUUUUAACUUUACGGUACGAAUAAGUGGUUAUAACUUAUAGAGUCCGACCAAACACUCCCAAAAUAAUAAAUCAUCCUCCCAGCAUAUAUUGAUGUUCUAUCGAUAUUUAGAAGUGACACGUAUUCAGAACUUAGAAGUAUAGGUUAAAAAUAAAAUUCAUGAGUAGCAAUUUUUUUUAUGUUUAGACGAGCUCAGAUAUUGAAUUUGCCAACAAAAUUGAGAAUUUUCAACCAUCAAUCAAAUAAGAAUAAAGAACGGUUAAGAUAUCAUCUGACUCAUAUAUCAUGCGUUAGUGUUUCGAUUAUGACAUUAAUCACUACUCUUAUGAUUGUUUUCACAAAGCGUGAUUCUAAUUGGGAUCAGUGUAAGGGGUAAUCUGUGUUUAAGAAUUAAGAGAUCCUCCUCAACAUUUGUGCUCGAUGUAGUUGGAUUGUGUGGGUCAUUGUGGCAAUAAUGGUAAAUCGAAUUAGAUUUUGGGUGCCAUAUUUUCAAUAAUUGGAUUUGCUUUAAACUGUUGAACUUGAUUAUUUUUCUCCUCGCAAUCGACAGGUAUAUCACGCUGAUAUAAAGUUUGUGCAUUAAUCAUUUCUAACCUUAUCAUUGCUAGGGCGUGCUUUUUCAUUUUGAUUUAUUAGACUUCUAUUCUACUGUAGCCAGAUCUUCGUUCCCUCCCCGUUUUUCUUGGAAUACCAUCGCGAUUUUACGAAGUGGCUGUUUGGCGGGGCUUUUAAGCCAUGCUUCUGGACUUUUAAGUUAGAAGCACUUAUUUCGUACCGUUUGUGUAAAAAAUCGAGAAGCACUUAUAAAAAGCUACGAUUCCUAGCUUUUGUUUCAUGACUUCUGCUUUUUUCCCAAACACUUUAAUCACUUAUAAGUCUUAACUAACUUCUAACUUCUACUUCACUUUUUUAUUUUAAGCAAGAAGCACUUAUUUUAAGCUCACCCAAACGGCCCCGAAAUCUCACUCAUUUAUUGAUGAUGCAGAUCUUGUAAUUUGUUGUGAUUAUAAGGGGCUAGGUAGAAGCAAGAAUCUAGGUUCCUAGAAUGUCGAAGUUACCAUGUCAAACUUGAAAUUUAAUGUAGACGUUCAUCUGAAGUUGUUUACAUAAGUGAGUUGCAUGAAAAGCAAAAACGACUCUCGACAUCAUCUGGUGUCCGAAAAAGAGUUUUAUGCAUUUCGGGUAAAAACGUAAACAGAAAUAAACAUAUUCAGUAUAUUUUACUCGAAAUAUCAAAAUAAGAAGACUUUAAAAUGCGUGUUACCGAGCACAAUUGGAUAACCCAUGUGGUGGGUUUAUCCUCUGUUGUCUCCGAAAAUCCGGGUUCGACUCUGGCUCAUCCGAAUAGUAUUAGAAUGUGUUACCGUUACCACUAACCACUAAAACGCUAAAGUCUUGCAACACUAUGGGUAAACCUAUAUGAAGGCUCUGCUUGCGUUGCAGAAAACAUAAAAGCCAAAAUAAAUGCAUUUUGUACUGAAAGCAGUCCAAAAAAACCAUAAAUACUCAUCUUGACAAGUGCUAGGGUCAAAUUCUCAUAUCUAAUCUAUAAGCACAAACUUUAAUGCUCCUGUAAGGAUAGUUCGAAAUAUUGUUCAGUAACUUAUUUUUUAAGUACGUGUCAAGCAGUGCACGACAAAAUUGAAUGAGACAAAGAGAGUAAAAGGUAGUAAAUAUGUAAUCUAUACUAUAUUAUUAAAACUAGACAUACAAAAGGUAGUCCAGUACGGUGCAUCAUAAAUAUUGGAUCACUUAAAUCAAAUUAAUGAGAACCGUAAUAUUGAAUUAUAUAUAUUUCACUAAAAUGCUACUAAAGUUCUGAUGUUCAAAUUUCGUCAAUAACAUAAUAAUAUAUUAGAGGUGCCUCGCUUUCCCACCACUAAUCACGGCCUUUUGAGUGCUGGAACAUUUUCUAGUACGGGAGCUGAUUCACUACAUUAAGUUACACGGGAGAAUCUGCUUUGAGAAAUUGGCAAGAGUCAAAAAGGAAAGAACAUAGGACGAUUAAAGAGGGUCUCUAUAUUUUAUAGUGAGGAUUAGCGCUGUGUUAAAGAUAACUUUUUUCUAUAUGCCACCAAGCACCAAAUGGGACACAUUUGGAGCUUAGGGGGAUACCUGUCUCUCAGCUAGAACCACGGUUAACUAACAACAAAGGGUGAGCCGUAAAGAAAACGCAUACUCAGUGAAUGAGGUGGCCACACUAUCCCAUAGGUCUGCUCCAGCUCUUUUAUCCCUCGUCCUAAGUCCAUCUAAAACAUGUACCAUGUCCCAUUGGUUUCAGAAUUCAGAAUGUACCAGUAACUAACAAUAUUUCCAUCAUGUUCAGCUGUGGCAUGGCCUUAUUCUACUCAACUACCACCAUCGAUUUAAUCCCACCUUCAAUUAAUUCUCUGAAAUUAAUGUCUAUUUACACUUACUUGAACAUAUGAAUGAUCUCUUCACAAUGAUACCACUCAUCUUACAACUAAACUAUUGAUUUCAAUUAACCAGUUAACUAUCAUUAUAUAAUAGUAGACACCAGGAGAAUUAUUUUUUUAAUAUUCUCUCUCUUGAAGCAGAAAAGCAAUUAGGUAUAUUUAUCUUCAAUCGCCUUAUCUUCAAGUCUCUUCUCUCUAAUUAUGUUUCUUUCACUAAAUUAUUGCUAAUACUAAUCUACAACUUAGGGUAUUUCAAAAAUUUGACUUGUGCCAUUCGCAAAAAUUCAUUACUAUCGGAAUUAUUGUAACAUCACAAGAAGUAAAGAGCACAACAGUGCCAUUAUGAAUUCCCCAUUAAAUUAUCGUGAUUCAAGUUUCACCAUGUUUGAUCCAAAUAGUCCCAUAAAGAUUCAACAUGAGCUUUUAUAAUUCCUAUAUUUGCCCAAGCAUUCAUUUGAUCUAUUUUCAACUAUCAAUUAUAUGCAAAUUAAUUUAAGUUCCUUCAUCAGUUUAUACCUAGACACACAACAAGAAUGUAAUGACGUAACAGAUUAACCAUAAAGAAACAUUUCUAGGAUAUUAAGGUACUUUGUGCCUACAUAUUCGAACAUAAGAAUAUGAAUACUAUCUACUUUGUCAAAACAUAAUCCAAAAGGGCAAUCUUAAAUAAUACCAUAAGGUGUGAUAUUAAGCAAUAUGCUUCAACAAUUAAGAGGGGUGUAUAGUGCAUACCUGAGGUACAAGAUCUAAUAAAGAUGCACAUGGGAGCACAGAUCGUUUAUUAAAGCAACUUGCAAAAUCAUAUGGCAUAUUCACCAGCAUAUUCUCUAAAAGCCGUCAUACGUAAAUUUUCCCGGUUUACUUGGAUAAAGAGGAUAUGGCAUAAAAUAAUGAAACUUUACAAAUUCAAAAUCCGUAAAAACAUCUUGCAAGGAAAAACUAAACAUAGCUAACUACAAGUGGAUAAACAGAUUACAAUCUAAGAAACCCUUCAGAAAUGUCAUAUUUGCGCAUUCUCAGUGUAAAAGAAUCUGUGUACCUUAUACUUCAAAGAAGUCAGCUCAGAUAGUAAUAAGGCUCUACCUUUUCAGCUAACCUUCUGCACAAUAAGGUGCCGUAAUAUAAUGAAUUAUUCCAGGGGAGUUCUGUUCAUCAAGAUUAAGUCGUCCUCUUUAUUAUGUACAAGAUCCACAAUCAUGUAUGUCUCCCAAAAACAUAGAAUGUUCAUCUUUCUGAAAAGACAAUUACUAGCAUAUUACACAAACAUACUUGUAUUCAUGUUAUCGUCGAUCAAAAGGCAUGUGUCUAGGUGAAGAAGAGUUGCUAAAUACCGACGUCACCGAAUUACUCCUAACAUUCACCCUAGAAUCAGAACUUGAACUAGCAUCCAAUGAUCUUGAACCGCCAAAACAACUAAACAAAUUCCCUAAAACUCGCCUGAACCCACCUCUUUCCNNNNNNNNNNNNNNNNNNNNNNNNNNNNNNNNNNNNNNNNNNNNNNNNNNNNNNNNNNNNNNNNNNNNNNNNNNNNNNNNNNNNNNNNNNNNNNNNNNNNNNNNNNNNNNNNNNNNNNNNNNNNNNNNNNNNNNNNNNNNNNNNNNNNNNNNNNNNNNNNNNNNNNNNNNNNNNNNNNNNNNNNNNNNNNNNNNNNNNNNNNNNNGAAGCCCAGGAAAUCCUCCUCGGAGCCCCAUUAUUAUUAAACCCGCCGUCCAUCUCUGUAAACACAACAGGUAAUUCUCGUUCACCUCUCCUACCACCUGAAAACCUCCCCACAGCAAAUCCACCUCCCGGCAACCUCCAUAUCGUCAACCCAAUACUUUCAUCUUCAUUAUUCUGCUCCACAUUUUCCUCAUUCUCAACUCCACUAGACUCAAUAGGCAAUUCAUAUCGACAAACAGGACAAGAAUUACGAAUAGACAACCAAGGCACAAUACAAUCAUAAUGAUAAAUGUGCUUACAAGGCAUUUCUCGAGCUUCGGUCCCAAACUCAAACAAUUCAGUACAAACAGCACAAUGCAGCUCACUACAAACAUGAUCAUCACCAAUCACCACACUGGGCAUCGACUCAAUCGCCACUUUCGAAGCCGGUGGAUGAUCAAUCCUCCCAACUCCAUUCGCUUCAAUUUGCGAUAGCUGAUCCAACAACCGAUCGAACCCCGAACCCAACAAAGACCCCGACACACUAUUCGGCAACGGCCUCAAACCCGACCCGGCACCAUCAUCAUAAUACAACUCAAAACCCGACCCGGACACGGAUCCGGAACCCGACCCGGAAUCACCCAUUUGCUCAGACCCAUCACUAUUUCCACGAAGAACAAUGACAGGAUUGAACGGAGACCGGUCGUCGCCGGUGCGGCGACUUCGGCGGAUCGCCGGCGUGGAAUUCUGAUCUAAAUUGGCGCGAUUUCCGAUCAUGAACAAGCGGUUUCGGUUCGGGUUAUCGAUGGACUCCACAAACCCGGCGUUACAAUCGGGGCAAGAGAGAUUAUUAAGAGAUUGUUGAUUUAAAACCCUAACGUAUCGGCUGCAUCUGUAGCACCAGUGAGAAGAAGAAGGCAUGUUUGUGUGUGUGAAAUGCAAACCGUAGAAAUUUGUGUGUAUAUAGUGCGUGUAGAUCUAGAGAGUUUAAAGAUAGAAGUACAACUAGUGCGUGUGUGUGUCUGAAAAUGAAAACUAAAUUUUACAAGUAACUUGUGUGUGUGGUGUUUGAUUGAGAAUGUGAAUUUGGGCAGGUCGAGGGGACUGAGCAAAAAAUAGAAUAUAAAUUAAAAAAAUUUAAAACCGCAUCGAACGGUGUCAAAUCGAAUCUGAAACUGAAAUCGGAAUUAAAAAUUUAAUUGUUCGAUUCCGGUUAUAAUUAGAAAUCUAGCCGAAAAAAUUGUGUUGGUCUAAUUUUUAAAAUUAAUAUUAUAUAUUUUAUUAUUUAUAAUUUAUAUAGAAUGGCGAUUGUGGCGGGGUCGCGGUAAAGAACGUUCAUCCGGCGAUUCAAUCGGACCAAGAGCGGGGCGACCGUUGUGACGGAGCCGCGGCGGAAGACGUUCACUCGGCGAUUCAAUGAGAGCAAGAGCGGGGCGGUGAAUUAAUCCGACGAUUAUGUUGAUGAAACUGUGAAAAAGGAGAAGAAGAUAGAGAGGGAGGUGGAGAGAUAAGUAAUAAAGAAAUGAAAAAGUGAAUUAAAGAAAGUAGAAUAUUUGCAAAUUUUAAAAAAUUUUAUAUUUGAAAGAUUUUAGAGAGAGUAGUACUCCCUUUGUUUUCUAUCAUUUGACGUUUUGACUUUCGGCACACAUUUUUAAGUCAUUUGACCGAUAGUUAAAAAUAUUAUUUUUGAUUUAUAUUUUUUGUGAUAUAAAUCAAUACCUUCCAUUUCAUGCAAAUUAAUCACUCAACUUUACAUCACCAUUUUAAUAUUACACUAAUAUCACACUAAUGAUAUAGUUUAAAUGUAUAGCAAAUUAAUCACUCAACUUUGUAUCUAUUUUCAAUUAGGUCAACGGUUAAUUUUAAAUUUAUAACUUUCAAAAUUAUGAUUUGCAUCUUAAAUUUCUAUCUUAAAUUAUGGUUUUAAAACUUCUAUUUCUUCUCUCAAAAAAAAAAAAAAACUUCUAUUUCUAAUAACUUUCAAAUUUAACUGAUAAUAAAUCAUGUAAAAUAUAAUGUUAGAAAAUUUGAUUUCUCUCUCCGCCUCAACAUUCUUUACUGGUUACUCCCUCCGUCCCUAAAUACUUUUCCUGUUUGUACUUUUCACGUUUGCCAACACACAUUUUUGAUCGUUAAUAUCUUUCAUUUCGUAGUAGCAUUAAAUAUAAAAAUUUCACCGUAUUAAAGUACUCGUGAAUACGAAUCUAACAAGAUCACUCAUGACUAUAUUUAGUUUUAUAGAUUAGAUGUAAAUUAGUAAUUUGUCUCAUGUUAUGAACAGUACCGACAUCAUAAACAAGAAAAGAAAAAAGAAACGGAGGGAGUAUCGAUUUUCUGUUGGCUCAGUUGGAAGGGAGAAGAAGAGGAGAGGAGAGGUAGAGCUGACAAUUUCGGGUUUCGGAUCGGGUUCGGGUCGGGUUGACUGUUGUGGGUCAAAAAUUUUACUCAAUCCGAACCCGAUCUGAAAUUUUAAUGGGUCAGAAUACCCAACCCCAACCCGAACCCGACCCGCACUACCCGCGAGUAACCCGAACUCGAUCCGAAAAAUAAUAUUAAUUUAUAAAUAUAUUUUAUAAAUAAUAAAUAAUUAUUAUUUUAAUUGAAAUAAAUUAAUUUUUAUUAAAUUAAAUAAUUUUUUAUUAAAUUUAACAGAUAAAUAUUAUAAAAAUAAUAUAAAUAUAUAUAAUAUUUAAUUAUAUAUUACUUAUCGGGUAAUUUCGGGUCAAUUUCGGGUAACCCGAAUUCGACCCGUUUUUUCUGGGUUGAUUUUGGGUCAACCCGAAUUCGACCCGAACCCGAAAAACUCCAACCUGAAUUCGUAUUUUACGAGUCAAAUUCGUGUCGGGUUGUCGGGUCGGGUCCAAUAUUGUCACACCUACCUCCUAAGGAGAGGGGGGCGGAAGGCUGUUGGUCGAAGGAGACAGGAGGUGAUUGAAAUCGACGAAGGGGAACGAAGGUAAGAUAAUUAAUAGCGGUGAAAUAUUUUUAAUAUACAAUGUCCCAGUUGAAAGUUAUAUCGAAUUAAAUAAUUCGUCUGAAAUAUUUUUUGGAUUGACGGCCCAAAUAAAUAAUUUACUAUAUUACAUUGAUGGUUUAGUUAUUUUUAUUUUUUUUGACAAAUGCAAGAAGAUUUCAUUAACUUGAAUAUAAUACAGUCGGGACAAAUCCCCAACUGCCGAUACAACCAGGUGGUAAAACAAAUAACAUACUAAAAACAAUUAGAUGAUUUGUUUCCUGAUCGUUUAACACAUAGAAUUUAAAAAUUCUUGAAACUAAAAACGAAAUCAAAGACAUCCCAAGUGAUCCAAACUGCACCAACAUCUCUCGAAAUAGUACCAUCGCAAUUGACCAUAUCACGUAAAACCCAUUGUUAGCCCAAUGUUCAGAAACACCAAUCGCAUGAAUUGAGAUUGGAGAAACGGCACCACAGCUAUCUACGUGCCGGACACCAGCUAUAGACAUGCCGAAGGCACCCCAGCUAUCUACAUGCCGGAUACCAGCUAUAGACAUGCCGAAAGUGUAACCCCGUGAAGAAUGAACAAUCUUUUAUUGUGAAAGGUGAGCUCUUACAAUAAUCACCACCGUCUCAGAAUCAAUACAGUCUUUGCAGAUCACCAAAAAUAUCAAUAAACUCGUUCUCAAUAUAUCCAACAUCAAAUGAACCCAAUCACAAUUAGACAAAAACAUAACAAAACACUCCAAAAGGAGAGACAAGACACACACUCCAAGAGGAGAGACACACAAACACCCAAAAGAUUAGGUUUUAUUGAAAGGAAAUUAACGAGAAUAAAGGAAAAAUGAAGGGGUUGGGGCUUUCCACCGGAGAAAACCAGUGGAAGCCCCUUAAUUUACUUGAAAAUGCACAAACCCUAGAUGAGAGGGAGAGAGGAGGGAGGCGGCUAAACCCUAGAUGGUUUAGUUAUUUAAUCACAUGGAUAGACAUUCAAAGUGCACGUUAGCGUUGAAGAUAAGUUUGCAUUGAGCAGAUUGCAGAUUAGUUGAACUUGAUUUUGGGUAUUUAGAUUCUGCAGCGUGGCAUUCGAGGAACUUAAUUUAAUGGUGUAGAUUUGUCGACACAAUUCACAGGCUCAACUAAUACUCCCUCCGUCCCACCGGGUUGUUAACGUUCACUGUUUGCACGCAUUUUGAGGCUUUUAUAAAGUAUAGUUCUAUAAUGUUUUUUAAUUUAUUUUUUUUCUGAAUAAAAGUUUAAACAUCAAACUUUUAUUCAGAAUUUUUUUUAUAAAAAAAAACCUCAUACAACUAUAUUUUAUAGAAGUCUUAAAAAGCGUGUCAUGUUAACAAUUCAACGGGACGGAGGGAGUACUAAACAUAAGAUAUUGGCAAAUGGCAAGGUAGGUAACAAUAAUAGUGGUGAGAGCGGUGCAAUUUUAAUUUGAUAAAGCAAAGAGAAAAAUUCAUCUUAAUCGAAAUUUAUUUUUCUUUCAAAAGUAACACCAAAAUAUUUAUCUUUAAGAAUAAUUUAGAUUUUGUUUUCUAUCAUUUUCUGUUUUCUGUAUUCAGAACUAACUAUUUAUUAUUUUUAUAUUUAAAGACUGUUAUCUUAGUAUAUAUAUUCUUAAAAAAUUUUAGAAAUAAAAUCAAAUAUUAAAAUAUCUUUUAAAAUUAUUCUUUUGUCUUUUCAAAAAAAUAAUUUAAUUACGAAAUCAAAUAAUUAAUAUACUAAUAUAUGUUUUUCUAUAACUAAAUUAAUAUCAAAAUUUUAGUGAAUAUUUAAUUUUUGAAAAAAAGAACGAGCAUAAAGUGAGCCCUCAAGGUUGGUUGGAAAUCAAAACAGAGUUUUCCCAAUGCUAGGCUUCUAUGCUUGACAAGGUGACGACGUGACGCUCGCACAUAUGAAAGUUUUCUAUUUCGCCGAAUUGUACAAUUAAGUUAACCAAUUUUAAUUAAGUUAACAAUUUUACUAAACACUAGCUUAUAGCCCGUGCAAGACACAAGAGCUUUUUAAUUAUUUAUAAAUUUUUUAAAUAUAUUUUAAAUGGUGCGAAAAAAAUUAAUUUAUAAAUAAUAAAUCAAAAUUUUCAAUAAAAUAAAUUUUGAAAUUAUGAUUUGUUUAUAAGUUAGAACUGUUGUAAAUACAUCAUCACAACCAUUAAUGACUUCAAAUAAACUAUUGUAAUCAAGUCAUUCCUUGUCUCGUAUGUAUCAUGUCAAAGGUAUUAAAUUCUUUCUAUCAAAUUGUAAUAAAAUUUUGAGUUGAAUAUGUGAGGCCAACUUCUAUUAGAUUAUAUUUAUAAAUAUAUUUUAUAUUAAAAUUAUUAUAAUGUGAUUUAAAUAUUUUUCUAAAUUAUGGUUCUAGAUUAAAACUGAUAAAUAUAAUUUGUUUUGAAUUAAGAAAAGGAAUCAUAAACAUGCAAUAAGAAGGUUGUUUUGGAUUAAGAAAAAGUUUUUGUAUUCGUUCCUCACAUAAACCCGACUUAUUAGUUUUAAAAUAUAUAUUUUAUAAAAAAUUAUGACGGUGCGAUUUAUAUAUAUAUAUAUAUAUAUUAUAUAGGCUCAUGAUCAAAUAGAAACCACUUUUAAAAUAAAAACUAGAAACCAAUACAAGUUAGUGAUAUUCGCAGUACAAUUUAAUGAUAUUCUCUUUAGGAUUUAGUGAUCUGUGUUGCAAGAAUUAGUGAAAACUUGCAGAACAGCCCGGAAUCUCCAUAUAUGUUCCAAAAACUGCUCAAAUCUCCAGAUCUGUUCACGUUUUCGAUUCAGAUGGUAGUGACGGUGGUGGAGAUGGUGGAGGUGAAGGUGGAGAUGGAGGAAGGAUGAUUGUAGCGAAAGUGUGGGUGGCUUGAAGUAGGUGGUUGGAGCUUUGCCGGAAUAGUGGCGGCUCCGCCGCGUUUUGAAGUUGAGCCGAGGUGGAAAAAGAAGUAUGAACGGGGCUGAAGAAGGUUGAAGCAGCGACCAAGACGGGGUUGGUGAAGAUGGAGGUGGAGAUUGUGUUGUCAGAGAAAUAAUGUAGGUGGAGAUGGAGGGGGCGGGCGGCAUAGAGGUGGUGGUGGUUAUAGAGGAGGUGAGACGGAGGUGGUGGCAGUGGCGGAUGUGGAGGUGGGGUUGGUGAAGAUGGAGAUGGAGAUGGGGUUGUUUAAGAAUUUGGUGGUAUCUGUUUUAGGAUUUAGUGAUAUUUCAGUUUGGUUUUUAGUUUCUAGACUAAAGAGGUUUCUAUUGGAGUAAAACUCUCUCUCUCUCUCUAUAUAUAUAUAUAGGGUCUUACUCUGGUACAAACCACCUUAGCGUACAAACUACAAACUAAAAUUAAAAAGUCUCUAAAUCAAAUUGAAAUAUAGCACAUAUGGUAUCUUAAUUUAACGGUGCUUAUUUGUUCAAUAUACGAUCCAACGGAUGAUAAGCUUUUGGACCAUGGAACCAUGCGACCAAAUUAUCUCCCUUACGCUUAUUAUAUAUAAGUAUAUAAUAUGCAAUGUUAUGCAAUUAAGUUAACAUGUUUCAUGUGUUUAUUGUACUAGACGAAACUUGUAACACCUUUUUUUAUAAUCCUAAAUUUUAAAAAAAAUUAAUCAUCACAUUUUUUUAUAGAUAUGUAAUUUUUAAUUUUUAUUUAAUAUUAUUUUUUAAAUAUCCGAAUUAGACCCGAACCCUAACCGAAACCCGAAAAAACCCUACGAAUCGGAUCUGGAUCUUCAUUUUCCAGAUCCGGACCCGGACCGGAACUGACCCGAAAUAUAAUAGAUCGGGUCGGAAUCUAAAGAAACCCGACCCGACCCGUUGCCAACCCUAUUUAAUGCGUAAUAUGAAUUCAAGAUGUGCGUUUGAUAUUGCAGCUUAAUUAAUUUGCUAACAAUUAUAAUAUUAUAUUAUAAGAGUAGAGUUUGCUGUUUUGAGAGUCGACUUCCAAAAUUAGGGUUCUAAUUAGUCAUCACUUUUUUUCUCUUCCACCUUCAUCCUCUUUAUUAAUUAAUCAUCUUCCUUUUUUCAUCUUCCGUCUUCUAUCUUAUUUAUUGAUUUUAUUGAUAAAAUCAUGAUCUAACCCUUUUUGGGUGAGUCCUUGGUCAGUGCCUUGUCAUCAAGGUUGUUAGUCGUGCUCAUCUUUUUGGGAUGUUUGUGUUUGUUUUGAUAUUUUGGUGUGUUUUGUUAUGGGUUUCGAUAACGCUUGUAAAAAAAUUUUACAUGGUACUUUGGGUGAUCCGUAAUGCUUGUAUCAAAUAUGGCACGGUGGUGAAUAUCGUGAGAGCUCAUCUUUCAAGAUAAAAAAUUGUUCAUGUUUUAAGGUCAUUUAUUGAUUCAAUAUCAGUUAAUGUAACCGAUAAUUUUGAAUAUUACACUACAGAUACAGAUACUGUUACGUCCCUAGCUGAUGUAAGCUCAAUAUUCGAUUGUAUAUUUAGAUAUUCAAAUAUUUUAGUUAUGAUAAAAUAGAACUCUACAGUUCUGAGGGGUAGUUAGUCUCUGGAGCGGGACGGGUCGUAAUCAGAAUCGAGUUUAAGGUAUUAUUUUUGAUAUGAAUAUGUUUAGUCGAGUGUUGUAACUUGUGAUGAAUGUGUACUUUCAAAUAUUAUUUUGUUAUUGAUUCAAUUAUGUAUUUUUAGAUGAAAAAGCAAAUACUUUUAUUAUUAUUACCAACAUUUAUUUGUACAUAUGAAUAUUAUUUUUAUUAUUAAUAUUUUUCGAUGAAUAAAAAAAAUCAUUAAUAAUGAUACUCAUACCCACAUCUCACCCUAUGUUUCGAGAAAAGUUCUAACCAAACACUAGGGGUGUAUUUAACUAGGAUUUCAAUGAAUUGUUUUUAAUUUGUGAAUUUCACUGAAUUGUAUUUGAUUUUAAUCUGGUGCGGAUUCUUAAUAAAAUAUCGUAGAAUUGACAUAGAUUUUUUAGGAUCUAAGUAUAAUGUUUCGAAAUCUUAUGAAUUUUGGCUAGAUUUCAAAAAACUUAUAAUACAAUGAACAAUCCUGCAAAAUUCAUCAAUAUAUAUAUAUAAAGGAGGAUGCGAGCAUCUCUAGAAUUGUUCGAUUCAGUCUUCUGAUUUUUCUUAAAUUUCAGAGAGAAAAUAUAAUUAUAAUUCAGAAAAUUAGGUUCAAGAAUUCUAAAGGUAAUAUGACUCUUUUCUUAUUAAAUUCUAAAGGUAAUACUCUAGAAUCUAGAAAAAGAGUUCUAAAAGUAAUACAAUUCUUAUUGUUAAUUGUAUAUUAAUAUAGAAAUUAUUAAAAAAUUACAAUUCUAAAAAAUCUAGAAAUCCAUUUAAUUUUUCCUAAUUUUUUUUUUGUAAAUUAAUAUUCAAAUUAUUAAAGAAGUACAGUUUUUAUUAUAAGUAAUCCACUAAAUAGAUCAUCGUACAUGUUACAAAAACUCAUGUACAUAAAUGCUACCGCAAUUUUAAUAGAGGAUGCAGGGCGGUGACGUGAUGUCUCUAGAAUUGUUUGAUUCGGUGUUAUAUUUUUUUUUAAAUUUUGAAUAGAAAAUAAAAUUAUAAUCUAAAAAUUAUGUUCAAGUAUUGUAUAGAUAAAAAGAUUGCAAAGAUAGUACAACUCUUUUAACUAUUUAGGAAUCAUAAAAAAGUAGAAUUAUAUUUAUUCAAAAUAACAAUUAUUGAACAAAUAUAAUUGAAAAAUACAAUUCUUAUUUUCAAAAGUUAUAAAAUUUAUAAUCUUAUUUUAUUAAUUUUUUUCAAAUUAUAUAUCUAAAAAUAAAAACCAGCAUCUUCCAUAAUCUUAAAUUGUCUAAACAUGUUUGUAGCACUAAAUUCACGUCGUUCCAUCGUGACUAAAAAGAUAACAUCUCUAUCAUGAAAACAUUCUUUUGAGAUCUCCGCAACCUCAUUCAAAUAAUUUUAUUGAAUUUUGAACAAUAAAAUUUUUUUCUUAUAAUUUCUUAAAUUUUGAAUUGAAAAUAUAAUUAUAAUUUAAAAAAUCAAGUUCAAGGAUUCCAAAAGAUAAUACAAUUUUUUUUUUGAUUCUAAAAGUAAUACAAUUCUUUUUUUAUUUAGGAAUCCUAAAAGGAAUAGGGUUAUAUUUAUAUAAAUUAACAAUCAUAGAUAAAAUACAAUUUAUAUUUAAUACUUGGAAAGUAAUACGUACAAUUUUUAUUUUCGAUUUAGUCUUAUAAUUUUCUUAAAUUUCGAGUAGAAAUAAGGAUUGUAAAGAUAAUAAUCAUUAAAAAACUAAUAGCAAAAAAUUAGAACCAUAAAAAAAUAAUAAAUUUUAACUAAUAAAUAGAAAUCAUAAAAUAAAAAUAAUUAAUAAAAUAAAAUAGGAUAUAUAAAAUAGGAAUCAUAUAUUGAUUUUAUGAUAAUGUAAAUGAUUCUUGAUUAGUAUUGUAUUUGACGGGCACGGGAGGCGGCCCAAACUAAUUAUUAUCUAAAGAAUAAUAAUUUUUCAAUUAGUAUUAUGUUUGAAGUGAAAGUCGCUAAAAUAAUUUUUUUAUCUAUGUUAUAAUAUUUUUUUUGUUAAAACAGGACCACGGCUCAAAAUAAUUUUUAUCUAAUUAUAAUAUUUAAUUUUAUCAUAAUUAGGAUAAUUUUUAUAUUUAUUAAACUAACGAUCAUAGAUAAAAUACAAUUUAUAUUUAAGAUUUGUAAGGUAAUAAGUACAAUUUUAGUUUCGAUUUGGUCUUAUAAUUUUGUUAAAUUUCAAGUAGAAAAUAAAGGAUUGUAAUGAUAAUAAUCAUUAAAAAAACUAAUAGCAAAAAAAUUAGAACAAUAAAAGAAUAAUAAUUUUUAAUUAAUAAAAAGUAAUCAUAAAAUGAAAAUAAUGAAUAAAAUAAAAUAGGAAUUAUAUAUUAUUUUUAUGAUAAUGUAAAUGAUUCUUGAUUAGUAUUGUGUUUGACGGGAACGGGAAGCGGCCUAACCUAAAUUUUAUCUAAAUAAUAAUAAUUUUUCUAUUAGUAUUGUGUUUGACGGAAAAGUGGCUGAAAUAAUUUUUUAUCUAUGUUAUAAUAUUUUUUUUUGUUAAAACCGGACCACGAUUCAAAAUAAUUUUUAUCCAGUUAUAGUCUUUAAUUUUAUCAUAAUUAGAAUAAUUUUUAUUAGUAUUGUGUUUGACAGUAAGGAGACUCAAACUAAUAUUCAAAUUAUAAUGUUUUGUUAUUAGUAUUGUGUUUGACAAGAGAGCGGCUCAAACUAAUUUUGAUCUAAAUUAUAAUAUUUAAUUUUAUCGUAAAAAUAUUAAUUAUGGAUUAAUAUUGUCUUUGACGGAAGGGCGGUUCAAACUAAUUUUGUUAUUAGUAUUGUGUUUGACUGGAUGACCACUUUAAUAAAUUUUUAUAGUAAUUAUAAUAUUUUUUUUAUUAGUGAUAUGUUUAACCGGAAGAUGACUCAAAAUAAUUUUCAUGUUAUUAUAAUAUUAAUUCAUAUUAAAAUUUAUACAAAAUUUAUAACGCCGCCGCGAAGCGCGGCUUUAUUCGCUAGUUAUUUUAUGAAGUUCAAAAAAUCUAUAAGUAUUUGAAUACUAUCAAAUUUUAAUGGAAUUUAAACAAUCCCAAUAGAAUACUAUUGGAUUUUAAAACAUAAUUUAAAAUCCUAAUUGAAUACUACAAUAUUUUGUAGAAUAAUUUUAAAUCCCAACUGAAUAUUACAAAAUUCUAUUAUAUUUUUUUAAAUCCGAGUUGAAUAUCCUCGAAUUUUAUGAAUGAAUUUUUUUCUUCUUAAAUUCUCAAUUAAAUACAUCCCGUAGAUAUGAUUUCUUUGAUUUCAUAUUCAUUUUUUACUUCCGAUACCAACCAACCAAAUCACCCCAAUAUAUGUUUUAAAAUAUUUAUUAUAAAAAAGGAUGCAUUUUUAUAACACAACAAAAAUACAAAAUUGAAACAAUAUUUUAUUUAGAUGGCAACAAGAAAGGUAUGAAUCUAAAUGAUUCCAAUUUAGCAAAACAUAAAAUCAAGAGUUAAUUAGUGCCCCGUUUGUAUAGUACUAAAAUUAAAAAUAACUAAAAGAAUCUCAAAAAGGGAACGAUAUCCAAACCCAUUAAAACAGCGUAUCCUUGAAAUAAAACCCUAACACAGUCCUGUAAGAACAAUCACCUCUAACUCCAUCUCUACCGUCCAUAUUAUCAAUCCAACGGUCCAGAUCUCUUCUCAGAUCACGCUUAUCAGUCUCUGUCCUGAGCUCACUCCUCUUUUUCACACACACUCGCACACUCUUAACUCUUUUCUCUAUAUAAAAAUGUCAUCUUCAGUCGCCGAUCAUCGAGUAUCCUCAUCGCAAAAUUAAUGAUAUUACACACAAAAUCAGCUGUAUCUAUAUGUUUAUGACACAUUGUAUCGAUUCAUGUAUUUUGAUCGGUGAACUAAGUGAUUAAAGCUUAAAGUUUUGAUUUUGAUCGGUGAAUUAAGUGAUUUGAGGUUAAAGUUUUGAUUUUGAUCGGUGAAUCAAGUGAUUUGAGGUUAAAGUUUCGAUCUUUGAUCGAUUUCUGUUAAAUUUGAGGUGUUUGUGUUUGGGUUUAGGUGAAAUGAUUACGGAUAGUUAUUCGAAGAUGAUGUCGGAUAUCGGAAUGCGAUCGAUGAUGCAGAAUGAGGAUUUAGGGUUUAUGUUGAGGAAUCAGGAGAUUAGUGAUAGGGAAAGNNNNNNNNNNNNNNNNNNNNNNNNNNNNNNNNNNNNNNNNNNNNNNNNNNNNNNNNNNNNNNNNNNNNNNNNNNNNNNNNNNNNNNNNNNNNNNNNNNNNNNNNNNNNNNNNNNNNNNNNNNNNNNNNNNNNNNNNNNNNNNNNNNNNNNNNNNNNNNNNNNNNNNNNNNNNNNNNNNNNNNNNNGGGAAAGAGAUAGAGAGAUAGAUUUGAGUAUGUAUCGAAGCGGUUCAGCUCCGCCGACGGUCGAAGGAUCGUUGAAUGCUGUAGGUGGAUUGUUGAGUGGUGGCGGCAGUGGUGUUAGUGAGGAGGAAAUUAGGUCUGAUCCGGCUUACAUUUCGUAUUAUUAUGCGAAUGUGAAUAUGAACCCUAGGUUGCCGCCGCCUUUGUUGUCGAAAGAGGAUGGGAGGUUUGCGCAGCGGAUGCAGGGGGCUGGGAGUUCAGCUGCUAUAGGUGAUAGGAGGAAGAUUGGGAGGGAGGAUGGUGGUGAUGGGAGUAGGUCGUUGUUUUCGGUGCAGAUGGAGAAAGGACAGCAGCAAGGGAGUAAUGGAGAGUGGAGUGGUGAUGGACUUAUCGGAUUGCCUGGUUUGGGAUUAGGUGGCCGGCAGAAGAGUAUUGCUGAACUUAUUCAGGUGAAUUUAGUUGGUAGUAAUGAAUUCUUUUAUUUGUGAUUUGUUUCGUUAUGUUUAUUUAUGUUAUACACUGUUAUCGAUUUGUAACGUUGCUGAUUGUUUGCGUGUUGGAUUGAAUUUAUUACUAAGCAGUGUUGAUGUAUUUUGGAUCUGUCAUACAUUAUGGUUUUGUUCUUCAGCAGGAAAGUGUGGACUGUUAAGUUCAUCUUCCUUUAAGUUAUUACUUACACAUAUAACAUAUGUAUAUAUUAUUUUGAUUGAGAUUAAAAGGAAUAUUCUUUACUGCUACUAAUGUGAUCUUUUCCUGAUUUUCUUAAAUAACCUGUUAUAGAUGUUUUUGAUUCAAAUGUUCAUCAUUGAUGGUUGAUCUUGUUUAUUUUAAUUGUUACUUGUUAGUUUGAAUUUAAUACUUAGCUUUGUUCAUACUUUCGCUACAUAUUGAGUAUAUCAAAUCCAUGAUAUGUUAUGUGCGAGUUUUGUUUGUGCUUAGCGGAAUAGUGUGGUUUUUUGAGUUCCUUUUCUCUCAAUUACUACUUACUAGUUUCUUAAUGUAACAUUUUUUAUGUAAAGGUAUAUUUGAGAUUAAAAAAAAUUAAUUUUCCAUGACCGAGUUUUUACAAAUUCAGUACUAAGACUCUAACUGGUCGUACUACACAAUUAAUAUAUUACUAUCUAAUUAUAUUCAUUGUCAGGUUGUGGAUGUUGCAUAGAUUUUGGGGCCUAUAGGGUGGCUGUUUAUAUUGUUUUCUCCUAUCCCUUUAGUUAAACAUAAACUUUGAAUCAGUUGGGAUGAUUUAGUUAAUCAGAUAUGGGACUAAUUAAACUUCAGUCCAAAAUUGUUUAUCUGUUUUUGCUGUAGAAACCAUGGAUUGAAUUAUUGUUUCUUGUAAAUUCUGUUUGACAACUCCUCUUUCUACCACUCUCCAUUUUUGUUAUUUCAUAUUAAAAAGUUGUUUGUCAUAUGCUUUUAUGGGAUGCUUUACUUCUCUUUUGUCUCUCCAUAACAUCUUUACUUUCACCACCCUUGAAAUUAACAUGCUCUUCCAUUCACAAGUUUAAAAUCACUACAGUUUGCAUAUUAUUAUAUACUUGAGGUUCCUUUAAUCAAGAGGUUAAAUCUUCAUGCAGGAUGAUACUACUCAUCAGACAUCUGCUUCGGGGCACCCUUCUCGUCCAACAAGCCGUAAUGCUUUUGACAAUGGUGUUGAACCUUCUGAAUCUCACUUUGCACAGUUUAAGCAGGACUUGGCUUCACUGGAUGCUGUGCAUGCUUCUGCAAACAUUCAAGGCCUGUCUUCUACUCAGAAUGUUAAUUCCUCGGUUUCACAUACUUAUGCUGCUGCAUUAGGUGCUUCCUUGUCAAGAAGUACGACUCCAGAUCCGCAGCUUUUAGCUAGAGCUCCUAGUCCUCGAAUCCCUUCUGCUAGAGGAGGCAGAAGCUCUCUGGAUUUACAAAAUGUUAAUGGGUCAAUUUCAUUCAAUGGUGCAUCUGGGCGUGUGAGUCAGCAAGCAGAUCUGGUUGCUGCUUUGUCAGAAAUAACUCUAUCAAACAACCUUCUGGAUGAAGAGAACCAUGCCAGGUCUAGAAUUCAGCAAGAGAUCGAUGACCAUCAAAAUUUAUUCCAUCUGCAGGGUGAUCAGUACAAUAAUAAACAACAUCCAUACUUAAACAGGUCCGAACCUGGGCAUUUGCAAUCUAUAUCCCAGUCAGGCAAAGGAUCUUAUGGCUAUGGGGUAAGGGCGGAACUGAACAACUCUUCUUUAUUAUCUGAUGUGCAAGUCAAUCUUCACAAGCCUUCGCUGGCAUCUGCAAACUCUUACUUGAAAGGGCCAUCCACACCAACACACAAUAGUGGAGGAAGUUCACCUUCUCAAUAUCGUAAUGUUGGUAGUCCGAAUUCAUCAUUUUUAAACUAUGGUCUAAAUGGGCACAACAUCAAUCCUGGAUCGCCGUCCAUGCUUGGAAAUCAGUUUGCAAGUGGAAGUUUGCCACCUUUGUUCGAAAAUGUUGCAGCUGCUACAGCUAUGGGGGACUCCAGAAGAAUGGGUGGCUUGGCCCUGGGGCCCAAUUUAAUAGCUGCGGCAGCAGAGUUGCAGAACCUCAGCAGAGCUGGAAAUCAAAAUGCAUUGAAUGGUCUUCAGGUUCCACUUGUAGACCCAUUAUAUCUUCAGUACUUGCAAUCAAAUGAGUUUGCUGCUGGCGAGGGUUUGAAUAAUUACAUGGAUCUUGCUGGAAUCCAGAAAGCCUACUUAGGGGGUGUCCUUUCACCCCCCAAAUCACAAUAUGGUCUUCCUUACCUCGGAAGUCCAUCCAGUCUGACUCAUGGUUACUAUGGUAACCAAGCAUAUGGACUCGGAAUGUCAUAUCCUGGCAGCCCAUUAGGUGGCUCCCUUCUACCAAACUCUCCCUUCGGACCAGGUAGUCCUAUCAGACAUGGCGACAGGAGCCUUCGCUUUCCCUCAGGAAUAAGAAACUUUGGUGGGGGUGUAAUGGGACCGUGGCACCCCGAAGCUGGUGGUAUGUUAGAUGAAACUUUUGCAUCCUCUCUCCUGGAUGAGUUCAAGAACAACAAGGCUAGGUGUUUUGAGCUUUCGGAAAUUGCCGGGCAUGUUGUGGAAUUCAGGUAUAUCUCAUUGUAUGCUUUGAAGGUGAUGCAAUUGUAUAUAUGUAUAUUUAUGCUUUCUUCAGAGGGUCAUUGGUUCUUAAAAUUGUCUGAGCAGUGCGGAUCAGUAUGGGAGUCGCUUCAUACAACAGAAACUUGAAACUGCCACAAGUGAGGAGAAGAACAUGGUUUUUGAUGAAAUCACGCCACAAGCACUUUCACUGAUGACUGAUGUGUUUGGCAAUUAUGUCAUUCAGAAGGUAACUUGCUUGCAUAGUAAUUUGCAAGUAUUUUUUUUCUUCGUUUAGUUAAUUUUUUAUGUUUCCUUAAUAAUGUACCUAAAACAAUCAUCAUUAAGUUUCAGCCUUAGUUGCAAUUUUCUCCUUUUUUGAUCUAGUUUUUCGAACAUGGAACUGCAACACAAAUAAGAGAACUGGCUGAUCAACUCAAUGGGCAUGUUUUGAACCUCAGCCUUCAAAUGUAUGGUUGCCGAGUGAUUCAGAAGGUAAAUAUACUUUGCAACGUAAUCAACAUUGGUCUAAUAUAUGUUUCAUUUUGGGACGUGGCUCUUGGGUUUCAUAUCAUUAUCUGCUAGCCUUUUUCAUACACUAAAUACAGCAGAAUGCAUAGGAAUUCAGAUACAUAGCAUAUGGUGAUAAUCCUGAGAGGAAUUUCAUCCUCUCUAAUAUUUAGUGGAUUGGUUUUAUGUAUUUCAUUGAAAAUAUUACAAAACUAUAUCUCAACUGCAGACUAUAUUAUUUACUUGCUAAGCUUCUAAGAUUUAUGAGCUUAGUAGAAAGGGGUGACUUUUAAUAUACUUUUAGGAGGUCUUUGCAGAAGGAAACUAACCAGUUAACUUCUAUGUCAAAGAUAUGUAAUCUAUAAGCAGAGAUAUAACUAUAUCUACCACUUGCAAUAGUUGGAUUAUCAUCACUCAUGUCGAAGGUUCUGAAUACUGUUUUUUGUGAAAAAUGUUCACUAUGCUUAAACUUUUGUUUUGGUUUUAAUUUGUCAAUAGUUUUUCUGCUAUGUGUGUAACCUUGCUGUAUUUAUCCAGGCCAUUGAAGUUGUUGAUCUGGACCAGCAAACUAAAAUGGUUGCAGAACUUGAUGGCCACAUCAUGCGCUGUGUACGAGAUCAGAAUGGAAAUCAUGUUAUUCAGAAAUGUAUUGAAUGCAUCCCUGAAGAUGCAAUUCAGUUUAUCAUUUCUAUAUUUUAUGAUCAAGUGGUGACAUUGUCCACCCAUCCUUAUGGUUGCCGUGUAAUACAGGUAUUUAAGCAAAACUUAUCAUAGCCACCUUUUUCAUCAACUUUGAAAUGCUUGAAACAUGCAAAUAUGUGUAUAAGUGUAUUUGACUGUGUAUAUGUUUAUUUUCAUGUGACAGAGGGUUCUGGAGCAUUGCAGUGACCCAAAAACUCAACAGGUAGUGAUGGACGAAAUUAUGCGGUCUGUCUGCAUGCUGGCUCAAGAUCAGUAUGGAAAUUACGUUGUUCAGGUUUGUAAGCUUUUCAAUAAACAUUCCUUUUUCUUUCAGUUAUUAUUAUUAUUAAUAUAUUUCUAAAUGAUAUUGUAAUCUUCGUAUUUUAAAUUUCAAAUUGGCUAUAUGGAGUUCUUUUAAGAAAGAAAGUAUGAGUAUGCAAAUUCUUGUUCACUCUACUAGAUGCUAGCAUAUUUAGUCAACUUCUUCCAGCUCUUGUUUUUGUGGUGCAUAUGCAAACCACUCGAAUUAGUUUUAUUGCUGCAAAAUAUGUACAGUAAUAUUUACAAAGCAGUAUUCUACUACAAUGAUUCUAUUGACUAAAAAGUACCGUAGUUAGUCUUAUGUUCCUCCCUUUACUUCUUGUGAUUGCCCUUUAAACUAGGUAUCUGGAUUUGUGUUGUCUGCACAUUCUACUUUAGUAUUUCGGUUGUUGGCAAUGUUUUAUUAGAUUUGUUUAUCCAUGGAACUUGCAGUAUUUCCGUAGUUAGUCUUAUGGAGCACCUUUCCUUGUUGAUGGUUUUCUAUUUUGCAGCGUAUGGUUAGUGAUGUAUAUUUGUUUCUCAAAGUAGUGAGUCAUAAGAUUUCUUUGUCCCAAGUCACGUAUGCUUCUGGUUCAAUACUAUACUGGCGUUUAGCAGCUUGAUUGUUCAUCUUUGGCUGCUACGACAUGCAUGCAAGAUAUUACCACUGUAUUGCAUUGUUUUUGUUUCAAUUUGUUUGUCAUAAAGCUGUGGUGCAACCUCGUCUGUAUGCUGACUAGUCUUUGUGAUUCCCUUGGCAGCAUGUGCUGGAGCAUGGGAAGCCUCAUGAACGUACUUGUAUAAUUAAUAAAUUGAUAGGCCAGAUAGUUCAGAUGAGCCAGCAGAAAUUUGCUUCCAAUGUUGUGGAAAAGUGUUUGACUUUUGGUACUCCAGAAGAGCGCCAAUCCCUAGUUGACGAGAUGCUGGGAACCACUGAUGAAAAUGAGCCUCUCCAGGUUCGAUCAGUUUCUCAUUUCACUUAUAUAGUUAAAGAAGCUCAAUCUAAGACUCGUUUUUUAAUCUAGUACACGUAACAUUCCUAUUUCCUGGUGAUCCUUUUCUACCUCUGGAAUUUUCUUUGACUUGGAAUAACAUAUCUACAGACUACAGUAAUUGAGUUAAUCUACCAGUUUCUGAAUUUUUUCGCAUGUACUGUAAAGCAUCUUUUUUGUGCUUCUGUUGUCGUGGUAUAUUCCUGGUUUAUUGUGUCAUUGAACUUGAUUUUGCAACAUUUAUAGAAAUGUAGCGACAUGCAAUUAAUUAAAGGAGUUUUUUUUUCGGGACAAACCAAUCAACUAAAGGAGUUGCUCUGCAUUUUUGUUCUUUUUACGUCAGUGCGAGGCAAUAUUCUACCGGCUCACCAAGUGAAGUUUAUAAAAUUUAUUGGAACCUGUAUCACUCUAGCUGAUGAUUUAUGUAUAGUGCACUAGAGAGAAGUUGGUUUUUUGUUGGGUCACUUGGAUGCUCCUUUUUCACAUGAUGUGCAAGUAUAUCUGUAUGAAGUGUAAAUUAAUGGUGUUUACAAUUUAAGGAACACUAUAAAAGUCAUAGGUGUCCUGGAAACGACUGUAAAGUGUAUUGUUCGUAUAUUAUGACAUUUAGAAUCAAGCUUAUUCAUAAUUUCGUACUAGGAACCCCAGUUUGGGGUUUGCACUGAGUGUCAUGCUUUCCCUUAUCACAAGUCCAUACAGGAGAAAUAAUUAAUCACAUUUACAGAACGAAAAGUGUAUCAUUUGUAUAUUAUGACAUUUAGAAUUAAGCUUAUUCAUUCUAGGAAACCCAGUUUGGAGUUUGCUAAACACCUUAGCACUGAGUGUCUUGCACUCGUGCUUUCCCUUAUCGCCAGUCCAUACAGGAGCAAUAAAAUAAUCCAUCACAUCUACAAACUAAAAAUAAGGAUGGCACUAUUCUCUGAAUCAUAUAUACAUAAAUAACUACAGGUAAUGUUUUUGUUUGAAGUAGAGCUAUAGUAUUGGCAAGCUCUCUCAUAGCUCCUGUUAUAUAAUGACUUUAGUUAUAUAUCUGAGAUCUAAUUAUGUUUGCCAUUUCUGACUUCAGGCAAUGAUGAAAGAUCAGUUUGCAAACUACGUUGUACAGAAAGUGCUGGAGACUUGUGAUGACCAGCAGCUUGAGCUUAUACUUAACCGUAUUAAGGUUCAUCUUAAUGCACUGAAAAAAUAUACAUACGGAAAACAUAUAGUUGCGCGUGUAGAGAAACUCGUUGCUGCUGGAGGUAUUUUAAAUAUCCCUUGAUCCUACUUUUACUUUUUAUACGUUUUUCUAUGAGUUGGUCUUAAUGAGCUGAAAUUAUUCAACUUGUCAUAUAUAACAAAAAUGUAAACUGUGCCUCGUAUCUUGAUCUUGUGUUAAUAAUUGCUUAUAAUCUGUAUAUACAGAAUUGUAUAAUUUUACAAAGUUAUGAAAUUUGAUAUAAUUAUCUCCCACUUAUUUACAAUUUGUCAUGCAUAAUGGUUGUAUAACAAUAUUUUGAUGGCUGAAUUGUGAGUGGUUUAUUGCAUCAUCAAUAGAGUACAAAGAAAUUUUUAGGGGUGAUUAUUAUCCAGAAUUUCUUGUUGUUGGUAAACUUGAGUCGGUUAUGUAUUUUACCCUUUCAUAUCUACUGCAAGACUUUUGACCCGUUUUAAAAUUUAAAAUCUUGCAGAAAGGAGAAUUGGCGUGCUGGCUUCAUAUUCUGCUGCUGCCGCCGCAGCCGCCGCAGCCGCUACCUAGCCUACAAAGAAGCUGUACAGCUAACUUGGUUUAAUAUAAUUGCCUUUCUAGUCUAUGUUUUCACGUUUAGCUGUGUAUUGGCUCAAUUUAUCUGUUUAUUAAGAUAAAUAAGAGCCAGUUGCAAAUAAAAUCUGUUCUUUGUAAAAUGUACAUUGUUAGUUUUGAGGAUAUACCUAGAAUCAGGGUGGCUUAGCUGAGGCUAAGAUGGUGAAACACACCCAAUGCCCCUGCAGAGGAGAUUUAAAAAAGGGUCACUGUACACAGUGGUGUAAGAAAGUGGGAGAAAGAUGUAGAAGUUUGUCAUCGUGACUGUACAAAUGUUGUUGGGUGCAUAGCAUAGCCUUUGAUGUUUAGAAGUGGCCAGAAUUUUUCCUUAAUAUAUGUAUGAAUUUGUUUAAGUUUCCCUUAAUUAUAGAACCUUUUCCGGUUUUCCCUGAAUGCCUUGAUAUUUCUGGCAAUUGCCUGCUUGGUUGAUUUACUGUCUAUGGUUUGUUUCAGAGCUUGUGUUUUAUUUCAAAUUUUGGAACUGAAUUCCAAAUUCCAUCAUUACAAGCAGCCUUAAGUUGUUUUUGUUUGUCGUUUUUAAAGUUGCUCAUGUCGGUGGAAAAGAAAGUUUCUUACAAAAUGAUGGAAAGGGACUAAUUUUAGGCAGCAGACUUGAUAUAAUUCAAAUUCUGGAGUACUACUCUAUGAUAUACAACUGUUUUCCUGAAUCCAAGAUUCAUAAAAGAGAUGCGCGGCAUAAUUUUCACAGAUGACUCAGAUUCAAAAUCGAGUCGACUCGAAUUCUUCGCAAGCGACUCGAACUCGGCUCGAAUAGGGGAUAUUUGUUUAUUUUAACGAUCAAACUCUACUCGUUAUUUAUGAUUUUUGACGAACUCAAGUUUGAACAAUAAGAAUUAUUUGUUUCUUUUAACUAUCAAACUCGACUCGUUUUUACUUCAACACGAUUCAAUUAUGAUUUUAGAAAUAAAUAAAUAAAAUGUCUCCCAAUAUCAUUUAGUAACACCUGAUAAUUUACCGUUUUUAAUUUGGGAAUAAAACGCUAGAUCGUGCAACGUUUGGUAAUUUAACCCCAACAAAACGCUACACGAAGGAGCGUUCUGUUAGGAUUUACCUAACGCUAGACGAUAUAGCGUCACAAAACGCUAGACGAUGUAGCGUUUUAUAUGAUUAUCUAAAACACACGAUGUAGUAUUAAUAACGGAUAUCUUGGAUGAUUUUUUCAGAUACAGAGAGGGAAAAACAUUGGCCCUGUUUGUUUCCGAGAAGCAGAAGCAGCUUCUGACUUUUGCUUCUCUUAAACCGUUUGUGUAAAUAAGUAGAAUCACUUUUAAGAAACUGAGAAUGCUAGCUUUUCUCCCGGAGCUUCUGUUUUUUUUCCAAACACUUUAUUAACUUAUUUACUUUUAACUUUUAAUCUGCCUCUAUAAUUUAAGUAAUGAAUCACUUUUUUUAAGUUUCCCCAAACAGCUCCAUUGUUUAACUAAAGAGGACCUUUAAUCCUUCAUGUAUCAUCGGAUGAAUCUUCACAAAUCAAAAGUAACAUAAACCCUAUACCACAUUUCUAAUUGCUACUGAUCUGCAAUGGCUGCUACCUCCUCGCUGAAGAAAAUGUGGGCUUCUUCAACCCUCCUCGCUAAAACCCAAUUCGCUUCUUCGCUAGCUGCCGCCUCUCCCUCUACACUCUUUACCACCAGCAAUCUCUCCCCCAUUCGCCGCGCCUUUCCUCUCUCAGGUUGUCAUCUACCUCUCUCUCUCUCUCAGUCUCUCUUCCUUCCUCUCCCUCUCUCUGUAUUUUCAUCUUCAGUUUGGUGCUAAUUAUUCCUAUACAUAUAUUUUUCACUCUUCAAGGUAUUGAAAUUACAUUUAGAUUUAAUCUGAUUUGUGCUCUUUUCAUUUGAUUGAUUGAAAAAGAUGUGUUUGAUCUGAUUUCUGCGCCGACCAAGAUCCGCCUUGCAUCACCAUUGUUCAAUGGAAUUGGUUCCAGUGUCAGGCCUGGCUGGGAGGCGGAUCGUAUUCGUAGCUAUAGUACUUUGAAUGGACUCGGCAAUCAGGAUAUGAUUCGACUCGCCAAAGAGGAGGAUGUUAAGGUUCCGGUUAAAAAGAAGAGUUUCACCAAAAUAUGCAUGGUUAUUAAAACUUUUGACAACAAAAAUGCGGAGGAACAAACUUAUCCAGCUCACCAGAAUAAAAUUAGAUUGCCAACAAAACGAUCCCUGUUUACUGUUUUGCGAUCGCCUCAUGUUGAUAAGAAGUCAAGAGAACAAUUUUUUUUGACAACAAAGAAACAGCAUCUGGUCAUACAAGCGGAAAGGCAUGAAUUGGCCAAGAAGUACUUUUGGUUGAAGCGCCACCGUAUAAUGGGAGCUCAAUUUGAAGUCAAGUUUUUUUGCAAGACCCGUUUUCAACUUGCAAGGGAAAGAGAUGGGUUAAGUGAUAGCAGGGAGAGCGAACCUGCUCCAGCCCUAGCUUCUAUUUGAAAUUGAAAGUGUUGGGACUUAGGAGAUAUGACUGUCGGAUGAAUUUGCUGGAGAAGUAGUAUAAACUUGAUGCACUUAAGGCGGGAGUGUUGCAGGUUGCGGUUCCUGAGUUGUAUGCAUGCCGCUUUUAAUUUUUGUUGCUAGUUUAUUGCUGUCUCCCUACAAUUUCUAAUGGUGGUUUGUCAACCUUUGUGUUGUUGUUGGUGUUUACUUUUCAGAGUCGCUUUCCUGUGAACACAAUUUUACUUGGCAAAAAAGAAGAAAAGAGGACUGAUGUUUUCCAUGUUUCUAUUGAUUUUAUAUAUAAUUUUCUAAUGUAGUUGGUCUCGGAGCAGUAGUGAUUGUGAUUUUAAGUUUUAACUGGUGAAAUGCAAUUGAAUCCUUUGAAAUGGUGAAAAUGUUGAUAUAGAUGUUACUAUGUGAGUUUAUUUGUGAGUUCAAAUCUUGUUACUUAUAAUCAAUGUUGUGUAUACUUUAUGGUUCUUUUAUCUUCUCUAGUCGGUUCAUAGAAUUCUGAUGAGAAAAGCAGAUUUUAUAGAUUGUCGAUGGAUGAUACUUGUUUGAUUUUAAGUCCAUGGGCCAUGGCAUAGAAGUGACUUACUAGAAGUAAAAGUGCUCUUUGAUGAGAACAUUCUAUGUCAUUUAUGAAUGUUGUGAAUAUACUGAUUUUGUUGAUGAUACUAACUAGUAUUACAUAUGUUUGAGUUCAUGAUCCUCUUGUCAUCUCACAUUACCUGUUUGAAGAGAUUUGGCGGGCUCCUAUUCCUUGAUUGUAGCCUCUUGGGUGAGUAUCUAUGUAAAUUAUAAUAUUUGAUGACUGAUUUAAUCUUUUUUGAUCUUUCCACCCUUCACUUUUAUGUUAUACACUACUUAAUAUGCCAUUCACUUUACCGUGUAUUCUAUGUAUAUUGAGUAUACUUUAUACUAGCUAUUGCUAUAAAAACAUUAAAUAGAAUAAUUGAAGCAAAUGCUUCCAGAAAUGCAUAAACUACUAUCGAUAAAACUAUCUAAUUCGUUAAUUUUGAGGUCCAAUGUCUGUUCUUACAACAUUUAGGAAGUUUAUAUAUGCGUAUCCAUAACAGCGAACAUGUCAGAAGCUAUUGGUUCUGAAUGUUAAACCAGUGAAACGUCAUCAGUUCAAAUUAUAUGCUUGCAGUUUCCCCCAGCUUUUUACAUAUGAAACUUUAUUAUCUGCAAAUAUAACUGAGAUAUAUGUAUGACUCAAUUUUCGUUUUCUAGUCUAACGUCAGCCACCAUAUCUGUUAUUGCAAUAACUAAAAGAAUAAAAUCAGGAAAAAAAGAAAAAGAAGAAGAGAUAUGCAUGUUAAAAGAGAGUACUACUGCAUAAUUUAUAAAAGUACAGCCGCCGAGGGAGACCUCGAAAUGUAGAGAAAACACACAUUGAAAAUGACUGUACUAGUGCAUUUUCCUACUCUUUUCAAAGUUGUUUAUUCAAACUUUUCCCUGGCUGGCGGGCUGGCGGGCGCUUUAAGCUUCACCACACUUCUAUCUACGAACAUGUUCAUAUCAGAUAUCCCUAUAAAUGUACAUGCGAGGUGUUCUAAGGAAAUACAGAGCAACUUCAACUAAACACACAACAAAAACCAAGAGUGAGGGAACAAUGGGUGCAGGUGGGCGAAUGUCGGAUCCUCCUACAGCCAAAAAAACUGAAACAGAAGCACUUCGACGCGCUCCUCAUGAGAAACCUCCUUUUACCAUUGGUGACCUCAAGAAAGCCAUUCCUGCCCAUUGCUUUGAAAAAUCACUCAUAACUUCUUUUCGUUACCUCAUUCAAGAUCUCCUCAUGGCCUAUGCCCUCUACUUUGUUGCUACUAAUUACAUUGACCAGUAUCUUCCCCAUCCAAUCAACUACUUGGGUUGGGCUGCUUACAUUGCUGUCCAGGGGUGUGUCUUGACGGGAGCUUGGGUUGUAGGCCAUGAAUGUGAUCAUGACGCCUUUAGCGAUUAUGGUUGGGUGAACGACCUUGUUGGCCUUAUUGUCCACUCUUCUCUCAUGGUCCCUUAUUUCUCUUGGAAAAUUAGCCACAGACGUCACCACGCCAACACCCAGUCGCUUGAGAAUGAUGAAGUUUAUGUUCCCAGAUUCAAGUCCAACAUCAGGAACUACUACAAAAUUCUCAACAACCCACCCGGUCGUGUACUUGUCUGGGUUACCACACUUCUCAUAGGUUUCCCUUUAUAUUUGAUGUUUAAUGUUUCUGGACACAAGUAUGAGAGGUGGACUUCCCACUAUGAUCCCCAUAGCCCACUUUACACAGAACGUGAGCGCAAGCAGAUCAUUGUGUCUGAUCUUGCCAUUCUUGCUGUUAUCUAUGGGCUGUACAAUCUAGUAUUAGCCAAAGGAUUUGUCUGGGUUUUCUGUGUUUAUGGAGGUCCAUUGCUCGUUGUCAACGGAUGGUUCACAUUGAUCACCAUCCUCAACCACACUCAUCCCUCUGUGCCUUACUAUGAUUCAACCGAAUUACUCCCUCCGUUUCUUUUUUCUUUUCUUGUUUAUGAUGUCGGUACUGUUCAUAACAUGAGACAAAUUACUAAUUUACAUCUAAUCUAUAAAACUAAAUAUAGUCAUGAGUGAUCUUGUUAGAUUCGUAUUCACGAGUACUUUAAUACGGUGAAAUUUUUAUAUUUAAUGCUACUACGAAAUGAAAGAUAUUAACGAUCAAAAAUGUGUGUUGGCAAACGUGAAAAGUACAAACAGGAAAAGUAUUUAGGGACGGAGGGAGUACUGAAUAUCCAAUCAACUUUUGUCAUCUAAGCAUUAAAGAACGAAUUUUGGAACGUGGUCCCUAGCAUUUCUCGUAUGGAUUUGUUUAAGAUUCCCUUAGAUAUAGAACCUUUUCCCUGAAUUUAUUAACUUUUGAAGUGAUAAAAAUUGGAAUUUGGUCAUCAUUCUCUUCUCUUGAAAUUCGAUUAAUCACUCCCUCUCUUCCUUUCUCUAUCACUGCCUACUCAACAGUUCCGAAAUUCUUGACAGUCAUUCCAAUUAAGUUUUUGCUCAUCUGAGACAUCAUUGCAUUGUCUAUAUCCUUGAAAGUCAUUAACUUCCAUGGAAUACAUCUUCUUCUCUGCUAGGAGAAGUGUGAAAAAUUCUGCUACAACAGCUUUCAUUCUGUGCAAAACCUUAUCUGACAUCCUAUGAUCUGUUACCUGAUAAACACAAUUUUGUUUUUUGUUAUAUUUUUUUAAAAGCACACACAUAUAAAGAAUCAUACCUGAAAAAGUCCCCACUCCUUGCAAGCAAAAUCAAGAAUUCUCCUUUGGCUUUCAUCUCAAUUUGCAAGCUUUGACAAAUUUAUGACAGGGAUUCGUCUGAAACUUGACUGGUCUCGAUGUGCAAAGGUCUGUCCUCGAGUUUCUUUAUGUACCUUUCGGGAACACUCUGAGAAUCAUUUCUUGCUAGUUCUUGAACACUUGGUACUGAUCAAGAACUUCCCAAACCUGACCCUUCACUGUCCUCCACAAUCUUACUUUUAGCCUCUGAACUCAUUUCAAGUUGUAGCUUUGCUUACCAGUGAUGAUACUCUUCUUUGAUAUACCCAUUAAAAGCAGUUCAAAUAUUGCUUUUGUUUGACAUGUCAAGUUUGCAAUUACAAAAUCAGCUAGUCAUCAAAUAUUGUAGUGUACUUCUCAUUUGACGCUAAAAAAACAAAUCAGACAAACAUAUCCGGUAUAUCCAACUUGAAAGCAACAAAAAUUACUACAAAACAUCUGAAAUCAAAUUACAAUAGAUAUUUUUAACAAUCUCAGUGACAUGUUUACAUCACUUAGGAGGACAAAAUGUAAUAACAUACCGGGAAGCCCUACAAGUCUUGAGCGCAGAGGAAUCAUCAAAAGCAUAACUAUAAGCCCUAGGGCACAUGGCUUUGAACAGAUGACCAAAAACACUAGGCUUACAAAUUUUCGGAUUAGCAAACUCCCCUGUACAGCAAUACCUAUCUGAUCUUGCAGCCAUGCAAGCACUCUUACAAGCCACCACUUUCCCAUCCUUCUUCACCACCAAAUUCGAAGGACAGAACACAUUCAAGUCCUUUGCGCAUGACACCAUGUCACAGCCUGCACCACCUUCCGGUCUCAUUGCCACUGGAACAUUAAAUCCAUCAACCAACGACACGUCGUAGUAAUGCAAAGCGGAUUCACAGGUUCCAAAUGUCAUUUCCACCAGAGUUGUUGGUGGAGUUCCUCCUGUUCCAUUGCAAUGCAGAAAACCUCCACAAUCUCCUGACUCACAGUAGCCUCUACCCGAGUUGUUGUCGAAGCAACAGCCUUGUCUAGCCCAUAUUCUCCCUGACCAUCUUUCGGGGACAUCAAUUAGUACUUUCUCGGUGCUGUAGAGGCGGAAACCUCCAUGGCUAGGCGUCUGGUGGCCCGUUGUCGCGAGGAUUCCAGGCCAUAUGGUGUCCUUGCAGUUGUUUAGUAUCUUGAGUUGAAUCCCAUCUGUAAAAACACAUCAAUAAGUAGUUACAUUGCAAGCAAAUCUUAUCAAAUAGCAUUAAAAGAAGCGGAAUAGAGAUUGAACUUACUAGUAAAACAGAGAGUUAUGAAGAAGAAGCAGAGGAAGAAAAGAGUGGAGGGAGACAUUGUUGAGGACAUGAAGAAAGUGCAGACAGAGAUAAUGACUUGGUGGUGGUUUUAUAACUGCUCAAUGCUCGUCACUGCAUGACACCAUGACUCCAGGAGUAGCGGUUUAAGAAAUGGUGCAUGCUAUGCCUUUUUACGAAUAUAACCAUAUAAAAUAUUAAUAAAAUUAUAUGGUAUACUGUGUACACAUUUAAAUGUGGGGUAUUGGAUUCACAUAUUUCAAAGUUAAAUAAAAUAUAAUUUAAUGGUUACAAUUUAAUUUUUUGAUAACAUUUUUUAAACAUGUGACAAUCUGAAUACCCCGUUAACUGAUGUUUGUCUUUUUGACACGCAUAUUAAGGUGUAAAAAAAAUAAUAUCUACACUCAAUAAAAAUAUUCAAUUCUCAUAUCAAAUAAAAGUUUAGUAUCUACUUUUAUUUGAUAUAAAUUUUGCAAAAAAUAAUUAUAUUUGGAUCUGAUUUUUUUAACACCUUAAAAUACAUGUAAACCGCACACGCACACUGAGUUUACUUACAAUUACGGUUGAAAUUUCACAAUGUUUGCUGAAACUUAAAAAGUUAUUUGGCUAAAAGUUCGAAUUUGAUAUCCAUUGGAGGCGAUUUUGCUGUUUUAUUAACACCAGUGUCAAGUACAGGAUCCUCCUGACAUGCUAAAGGGAAGAUCCUCCUGAUACCAAUAGAGCCCUGUUAGGUUUUCAUUAUCCACUAUAACACAUAAGCUUAUGUAUUAAACUCUUCUCCUCGUACUUUGAAAAAACUAGUAACUUAACAUGGUACCAUAACUAAUCCGACCUGCGAUUUUGAGUGAAAUUUGAAAUAUAGAUAUUCAUGAACAAACCCGAUACUUCAUUUACAACUCCACUCACUCUAGUACAUGAUUACAACUUUAAAGUGAGGAACAGAGGACAACAUAUUAACAAAUAAGCAUUAAGUAGAGGUUAACACAAUCCAGCAACUGUUCUCAUCUCAGUUUCUUUAGAGUCUGACAGAAUAUUCCAGUCUCUUACUACAUGAAUGUCAGAAACAAGAGAAAUGGAUCUCAACUGGGAGGGAUGCUACUAGGGGUGUAAUCGAGCCGAGCCGAGUCGAACACUGUCAGGCUUGGCUCGAGCUCGAUUGAAAACUUCGGGGCUCGAGCUCAUUAACAUGUGCUACUACUCGGUGCUUCCUGCUGAGUAGCUGAAAAUUAGAGAUUUAAUCCUUGUAUCUUCACAUGGAGGAAAGGGAAAAAGAAUCCUAAAAAAACUGACAAGACAGAAUAAAGAUACAUGGCAUACCCAAACUCACUAAUAUUUCAAUUACAUGCCCUGGAAAAACUUAAAAAUUAGGCUCCAACAGUACACUGCUGGAGUGCUGGUAACUCCUUAUUUAUGCGGGGGUAUGCUCGAUGCUGAUAUUCAUGACAUCAAAAAAUCAGCAACUAUAUCUGCUUCGAAUAAGUAUACUUCGGAAACAAAUUACACAAAGGAAUUGAGAUCCGAGCAUAUGAAGAACUUGAUGUUCAUCGAAGAACUGCACUAGUAAAACUUACAAAUCAUGAUGAGAAGUGUAAUCAUAAGUCAUAACAAUAUCUUCAUAUUUGAGACCUAAAAAUUCAAUCUUCCAUCACAAAAACUCUUGGUUGUAAAUUAUUUAUAGUAUGUGGUGGAUAUUAAAAGCUACCAAAGACUAAAAGUUAUCAUCAGGUAAGGGACCACAACUUCUCAGCAUCUGGUGUAUGUUUAUGUGGACAUAUGCAGAUCAUUAAAUUUCAAGAAAAUCUGGUAAAUAAGCUAGCUCUAUCUAUCUAAUUAUCUAUGCCUUCCCAUUGCAACACUAACAGAAAAGAAAACUUGAGUACUGUUUAUACAAAAAUUCGGCACUCAGGAGAUUUUAUGCAUGAUAUCUUAGAUUCUCAAGAAGAUUCUAGGAGUUUGCAUUCGAAGGCAAAUGAUGGUAAGAAACUGCAGGCUAAUUAAGAAAUAGCAAGAAGAGAGAAUGGUAGUCUAUGGUGUAUCAUCAUGCGAUUUCAGCAGAUGCUCAAUGCCAUGUUCUUACCAUAGAGUAAGCAGUGUCAAGUGUAGCUUGGAUUACAACAGCAGCAAGGAAAGAGUAGUAGUAAACUCAGUGAGAACCAGCAAUCGUGCAAUGACAAUUGGCUUAGUAGCAACAGCGGCGGCGGCAUCAAUGUUAAUGUCGGUGAUGGGAUCAAACGCUGUAAACAUUCAAAGCCAACUAGAUGAUGAGACUCUGUUAAACAUACCACAAAGUCUCUCUGGGGCGUGUGUGGAGAGUAAAGACUGCAAAAAGGCCAGGAUACAAAAACCCAAGUCGAGAAAAGCAGAGUCCUGCACUAGAAAGUGUGUUGCUACCUGCAUCCGUGGUGGCGAUGGUUCUCCUGGUGAAGGCCCUUUAAAUGUAAGGAAACCAUUAGUGGUUUUCAGGCCAGGAUUCCGGACUCGUCAGUAUUGUUUGGUGGAAUGCUCUGAUAUAUGUAACUUGAUCAAAGACGGAGAAGAUGGUCCCUGACUCAUCUUCAUACAAAAAACUUUCAUUAACAAUCUAUAGAUUUUGUUCCUGUUCUUUAUAGGAGCUGCUCCUUUUAUGUUUUUGGUCCAAUUAAACUGUACAAUGAAACAAUCACUGAGUCAAUUUUACUAAAUUCUUCCAAGCCUCUUUCAAGUUUACUAAUCUGAAUAACACAAUAACCAUUUUCAAUUUCAGUGACUAUGCCAGAAAAUGGAAUUAUAUUGUACAACAAGUUACAUGCUUUUUCAAUAGGGAUAAUAUAUUCAUACGUCCCUAAACUAAUCCACUUUUAUUCGAUAGGUCCCUAAACAAAAGAUUCCUCAAACCGGGUCAUUAAACUUUUCCAAACGCUGGAAUCUAGUCCUUCCGUUAAGUAGAUACUAACAGAGUUAGAAUCUUGCUGAUGUGGUGACACAUCACCCGCUGAAUCAUGCUGACAUGGCGACACAUCACCAGCUGAUUUGUACCUACAUUAAAAAAAGAAAAAUGAAAUUAAAAUGAAACUAAAGUUAAAAGGAUGAUAUAAAAAAACUCCUUCCUCCAUCUCUCCUCUCUCCCUCAUCUCCCUCACUAGCCACUGCCACCGCCUGGCCGGAGAAAUUUCCGGCGACCUCCCUCGUUGCUCUCUCUCUCUCCUGUACGCACACCUCACCUCCUCAAUCUCCUCCCCGCACCAAGCUCACCACCGCCGCCUAUCUCUCUCCCCUUCUGCCGCCGUGAGUCUCCGUCGCCGACGCGAGACUCCGGCCUCCUCCCCACAUUUUCAUGCCCUUCUCCUUUCACACACAACCAAUCAACCACAAUUAAUUUACAAAUUAAAAACCCCAAUUUCCACUUAUAAACCCUAACCCCGUUUUUGUUUUACAGAUUAUGGGGAAACAAGUUUUUGUAUACAUAAGAAAGGUGUGUGUAUUGAUAACCAAAACUUCAGUUCAGUAGAAGGGGGAAAAAAGUUAUCUCUCUCUGUGCUCAUCAACUUAUCUCAGACUCCUUGCCCUUUCAAAAAGUAUGAUGGGAGUGAUGGGAGUGAAGAUUACCAUAACAUUUUCUGUUUUAAGUAAGAAUGAACUUGAGUUGCUGUGCUUUACUAAUUGUACAAUUUCAUUGUUUUAAUGUCUGUAAGAAUCAGCAGGUGAAUUUCGUCAUGUCACCAUGAUUCAGCGGGUGAUGUGUCACCACAUCAGCAAGAUUCUAACUCUGUUAGUAUCUACUUAACGGAAGGACUAGAUUCCAGCAUUUGGAAAAGUUUAAUGACCCGGUUUGAGGAAUCUUUUGUUUAGGGACCUAUCGAAUAAAAGUGAAUUAGUUUAGGGGCGUAUGAAUAUAUUAUCCCUUUUCAAUACAUUAGAUUUUAAUUAUAAGAGGUAGCAAGGAUACAAUUGGACCAAUGUAUGCACGAAGAUAUCUGGCCAAAGAAUUUUAAGGUGUAGGUCAAGUCGACAAUGUUAUAAUGUGAACGACAUUAAUAAUACGAGGCAGUAAGGAUUCGAUUAGGACCAAAGUAUUAUAGAGUUUUUAGUCCUUGACGAUACUAGAUACAAAAUUAAGCAUCACGGCCGGGAGAAAACCUAGUAUUACAGGGAAAUGUAAAAUGUAUAAUGUACUCGAAUUCAAUUUCCGUCUGUCAUCCUCCUGUAUUGGAAGAUAAAAAAGAACCUCUCAAACCUAUUUCAAGUUUACUGAACUGACAAGGAUACAACAAACGUUUUUUCUGCUACUAUACAACAAAUUCAUUUUCAAGAGUUACACAAGAAAACGGAUCAUUUUCUUUUUAUUUUUUUUUUUUUUUUUUUUUUUGCUAAAUAUCAUUUUCAUUUUAUUUCUUGCAUACAAACAAAUUUAAACACAGACAAAAACAAAUAACAAGUAAAAAUUACGAGAGGUUCAUGUUUAAUACUUACCUGAUAAAUCUCUACAUUCAUCCAGACAUCAAUCAAGAUCUUAUUUGGCAAGAAGAAAAAAAACAACCUUGAAGAAUUCAAUCCACCGGACAAUCGAAGAUGACGGUUUAAUUUGCAAGCCUAAGCGGUCCAUCCAGGUCAAAACCGGAUCCGAAAUAGGCAACCGAAACUCCUGGUUCUCCAUCCCUCAAAACCGGCCCAACAAAAAAACUGACCACAUAUAGACCGGAACUUUAGGUAACCCGGAUCCAUUUUGGCUAUUCACCACUUGCCUUAACCGGUUUAUCCGGUAAUCCACCCGAUUCUUCUUCUCAAUUACAAUCCCUAACCCGGGUCUUUUAUAUCUCUAUACAACUACACACACAAAAUUCUCUCCCAAAAUUCACAUACAAGAAAACCCACAAAAAUCAAUCGAAGCCCAGGUAAUAUUUUUACCCCAUGAUUGUAAAGUUACCAUCUUUGUUGCUGUUAAAGUUAAAUUCUUGAAAUUCAUGUUACUUUUCUUGAUUCUUGAUAGAGAUUGCAUUAUUAAUUCAAGAAACAGUGUGGAUUGUUGUAUUUGGAUGUGAUUUUUGUUGGUUUUGUGUGUUUUGUGAAAAAGAUUGUAAGUUUGUUAGAAAUGUCAUCUAGUAUGGAACUUGUGCCAGUGACUUCACAAAAACAUGACCCAGCAUGGAAGCAUUGCCAGAUGUUUAAGAAUGGGGAUAGGGUUCAGCUUAAGUGUGUGUAUUGUACUAAAAUGUUUAAGGGUGGUGGGAUUCAUAGGAUUAAGGAACAUCUUGCGGGGCAUAAGGGUAAUGCCUCGACGUGCCUUAGAGUCCCGCCUGAUGUUCAGCAGAUUAUGGAAGAGAGUUUGAGAGGUGUUGUGGCGAAAAAGAGGAAGAAGCAGAAGCUUGCGGAGGUUAUUUCGGGGUUUGAUCCUUCUACUAGUGAGGUUGAUGGUUUGUCGGGUCAGUGUGAUUUGAGUGGUGCUGUGAGUUUGAUCCCGAAUGUGGAUGUGCUUGAUCCGAAUUCAGGUGUUUUAGAGGAUGGUCCGAGGAAGAGAGGUAGGAAGAAGAGGGGAGCGAAGAAAGGUGCUGCUAAUACAGGUUUGGAUGUCAUUCCGUUGGAUGUUGUGGGAGGUGGUUCGAAGAGGGUGAAUGAUCAGGUUCAUUUGGCGAUAGGAAGGUUUUUUUAUGAUGUUGGUGUGCCUUUAGAUGCAGUGAACUCCGUAUAUUUUCAACCGAUGCUUGAUGCGAUUGCUUCACAAGGAGCAGUGUCUGUUGCUCCGAAUUAUCAUGAUCUUAGAAGUGGGAUUCUGAAGAAUUCAGUUCAAGAAGUAAGAAAUGAUAUUAAUCUAUGCAUGAGUCAUUGGGGACAUAGUGGAUGCUCUGUUUUAGUUGAUGAGUAUGUUUCAGAAAAGGGUAAAACAUUGAUAAACUUUAUGGUGUAUUGUUCCGAGGGGACAAUAUUUUUGAGGUUUGUUGACGUGACUGACAUAAUGAAUUCAGAAGAUGCUCUCUUUGAAUUGCUCAAGGAGGUGGUUGAGGAAGUUGGAGUGAGAAAUGUCUUGCAAGUGAUUACUAAUACUGAAGAUCGUUAUGUUGUUACAGGAAAAAGGCUAAGUGAUACCUUUCCUACUGUUUUCUGGACUCCUUGUGCAGCUCGCUGCAUAGACCUGAUGCUUGAGGAUUUUGGAAAAGUCAAGUGGAUCAUUUCAAUACUUGAAAAAUCUAAAUAUAUAUCAAGAUUUAUCUACAAUCAUAGUGUAGUUUUAAAUAUGAUGCGGAGGUAUACAUAUGGAGUUGAUCUAGUUGAACUUGGGGUUAGUAGCUCUGCAACAGACUUUGCAACUCUGAAGAGACUAGUGAAUAUCAAGCCCAACUUGCAAUCCAUGGUAACGUCAGAGGAGUGGAUGGAAUGCCCAUAUUCAAAAAAAACCGAGGGAAUAACCAUGUUGGACUAUAUCAGUAAUCAGUCAUUUUGGUCAACAUGUUCAUUUGUCACCCGUCUUACAGAUCCAUUAUUGCGGCUUUUGAGAAUAGUAAGUAGUGAGAAGAGACCUGCAAUGGGGUAUGUUAAUGCUGGAAUAUAUCGAGCAAAAGAAAGCAUUAGAAAGGAAUUUGAGGAUAAGAAGGAAUAUGAAGUUUAUUGGAAUAUUAUAGAUGGCAGGUGGGAACAUCUUCAGCAUCAUCCACUUCAUGCUGCAGGUUUUUAUCUGAACCCCAAGUUCUUCUACGGUACUGAAGGAUCUAUACAUCGCCACAUUCCAUCCUCAGUGUUUGAUUGUGUAGAGAAGAUGUUUCCUGAUCCAAAAAUCCAAGAUAAAAUAAUGAAAGAAACAACAUCAUACCAUAAUGCUGCUGGAGAUUUUGGCCGGAAUAUGGCAAUGAGAGCUAGAGAAACAUUACUUCCUGGUAAUUGUAGUGUUCAGUGUUAUUUUGCUCUUAUCUAUAUUUUAUGCACUGACCUUGCUUUUUUAUUUUGUCACUACUCCCUCUCUCUGCUCCACAAGAGUGAUCACUUAGAGCUCAGAAGUUAAUCUACGAGAUCUUUAAAAUUCGGAAGUAAUAUGUUUUUUGCACAAUCACCACACAACUAUGGAGUAGGUUAGAAGUAUUGCAAGUUGCAAGAAGCAUUAGUCUAAAUCUUUGUAGGAAUCAUUAUGUACAUUCAUGUAUUAGGAUUUUUUAACUUAAAGGGUUGAAGAAAACGGUAUUAGGUACCUUUAAGGAAGAACAUCACACAAAAAAGGCCAAAGUUAUCUAGUGUUUGAAGGAAGCGGCAUCGUAUGCUGACCAGUUUGCCCGCGGAUAUGCUAUAUAGUACGAUCUGAGGUUGCUUGGCAUGAACAUCUUUUACUUCACAGCUCGGUCUAUUAAUAAGUACUUUGUAAGCAAGAAAUCACAUGAAUGGGAUUUUCCAUUUGACCAGCAAGCUCAUUGGUCUUUAUUUGUGAUUAUAUCAGUGUUUUAAAUAGUUACUUUUCUCCAGUAUAGUUCAAUUUGUGAUUUAUAAUAUUAUGUAGGUAGCGAGCUUUUUCUGGCUGUCUCGUAGGUUUUCUGUAUUUUUAGUCAUGCUUUUCAGAAACUUUUGGAUCUUACUUGCUUCCUUCAUGUGGCGACUGUUUUGAAGUUUUUUGUUAGAUCUUGACACAGAAGUCAUUUCUUCAUCAUCUGCUAAUUGUUAUAAGUUCUGUUUGCUUUAGCUGAGUGGUGGUCAACUUAUGGAGGUGCUUGUCCAAAUUUGUCGCGUUUGGCUCUCCGUGUCCUCAGUCAAACUUGCAGUUUGAUGAGUUGUAAGCCAAACAGACAUUACUUGGAACAGAUAGACAAAACAAAGAACUGCUUAGAGCAUCAGAGGCUUACUGACCUUGUAUUUGUGCAGUACAAUUUGCGGCUGAGGCAAAUGUAAGUAAAUGGAAGUUUGUAUAUGUUUUCAAAGGUUCACUUGUUUGUUAAAAGCCUAUGUAUAAUUACUUUACCUUGCAGGGCUGUGAAGAAUAGAGAACAUGAUGCUGCAGAUCCUAUUUCAUGUGAUAUCAUUAAUACAAGCGAGGAUUGGGUUACAGAGAAUGAAGUAGGUAUGGAGGACACUGGCAGCGCGGAUUGGAUGAAUGUUGUCCCGCCUUUAGGCCACAUGACACUCUUAGGAUCAGAAAUUGAGGAUAUAGAGGCCUUAGGUGCAGGUAAUCACCAUAGUUGCGUUUUAUAAAUCUAAAACUAUUCCAAAAUACAAUGAUCUUCUCUAACUUGAUAUAUCCUCAUGCAGCUGGAUUUGAUGAUUAUGAAGAGGUAUUUAAUGGAGUUAAAGAUAGUGAAGGCGAAAAUGGUGAAGACAGGGAAGAAGACAAUACAGUGUAGUCAAUAUAUUUGUUAUGUUCCGAUUGGCGGAAAAAUUUUAGAGGAUCUGUUUAAAGAGGUAGUUUAUCGUUAAAGGUCAAGCAGCUUAAACUAGUGAAGACUAGCUGUGAUAUUGCUCAAACUUCUUGUUACUUGCAAAUUAGUGUAGCAAGUUGAGAUUGAUGCACAAGUACAUUAAAGCAAGAUGAUUUCUUUUCAAAAUGAGAAGUGAAGCAUUAUAUUUGAACCAGCAUUAGUCAUCUGCUAAGUAUCACCCAAUAAUUUACUCUGAUUUUUUCAGUACUGUAUUGUUCUGUUGAAUAUGAAUGUGAGCAGAAAAAUGAUAAUAUAGUGUCAGGAACCUGUCUUAAUAUUUAUAAAGAAAACUAAACAUCAGCCCGUCUAGCUCAGUUGGUAGAGCGCAAGGCUCUUAACCUUGUGGUCGUGGGUUCGAGCCCCACGGUGGGCGACCAAUUUUUUCUUUUUUUUUGAUUUAGAGUAUGCACUUUGUCGCUGAGUAUCUUAUAGAAGAGCCUGUUGGUGUGUACGUUCAGGAUUUUGUUUUUGCAAAUCCAUCUACCUCCCCUAAAUCUGGGGUUCUCUAGGCCAAACUAUCUUUAGCAAAAUGGGCCUCGUUUCUUGUUUGGUUGCUCUAACAAAAUAAGCUGAGCGGACAUGCAUGCUCUCAAUGUAUCAAGUGACCGGUUCUUCUAAAACCUCGAGAUAUUAGGACGGCUUAGCAGGAUUUUAUUGCAUUCUAACCCAACGAAAUUUCUCUUUGGGAAUAUGAUCUCCUUUCAAAGCAAAAUAUAAGGGUAUUUAAUUAAUACAGCCUAUUAAUAAGAAUAGAGUUAGAUGCAAAACUUGACAAAUAGAUCCAAAGAUGAAUUAUAAACCAUAAUUAGAGAGGCCUAAUAUAACAGAUUAGUUUAAAAUAAUUGUAGUUUGGUCCAGGGACUACCUCUAGAAAAAGGGGCCAUGAGCUAACUAGCAUCCCUACCACAGCACACCGAAGAAGACAUGCAUUACCAAUACAACGAUAGAGAAAUCCAUCUCCAUCGUUUAACUCAAAAGUGAAAGACUGCUGCUCCACCAUCCAAUGACUCUGUUCUUUUCUCAUGCAUGCACUUUACUCGAAAUCCAAAUUUUCUAACUGCAGAAAGACGGAAAGCAAGAAUUUCUGAUAAUGAAAUUGUAGUUCACAGACAUAAAUCUAGAGCAUUGGAGCAGUAAAAGAACAGUAGUUCAAGAACUUACAACUGUAGUUAUCUGUAAGGACGGCCUGAGAUUCUACCUCGCUGAUGAGCAAACCAGAUUAAGCAGUUUCGGGGGUUUUGUUUUGUGAGGCCGACAACAGAGGGCCCUGUUGUUGACACUUGACAGCCCUCCUAUCCACCACCUACACUCGAUUUAAUAAGAAACAAACAAUCGUUAAGAACCAGUCCAUCUAAAACUUUAAAGUGUUAGAGGAAUGCCCCAAAUGGAUCUUAUACUAUAUUUCAACACUCCCCUCACUCAGGCGCCAGCCAAACCAGAGCUCUGAUACCAUAUUGAUAACCAGUCUAUCUAAAACUCAAGGUGUUAGAGAAAUGUCCCAAAUGGAUCUUAUGCUAUAUUUCAACAGUAUUCAUACAAAAUAAUAAAUCGGCAUGAGUCAUUCUCUCUACAUCUAUUAACUAUCAUUCUCUCUACAUCUAUUAACUAUUCCAGAUGAGUAAUGUUAGCCAUCACUGCCUUAUUUCUAGGACCCAACUUGUAAAUUACAGUACAUUAUCUAUCAAGAUACCAUAACUAAAAGUACUCAAAAUGGAACAAACCUUUUUGAGGUACAAAUUAGGAACGUUAACCGAAUUUCAGAAUACAAAUGUUUGCCAUAAAGCAGACCUAAAAGAGAUUUACUUUAGCUAAAGUGAGAAUGUCUCUUGGCUACAGCAAAACCUACUGACCCUUCAAGUGUAUAUAAAAGAGUGAACUGAGUCGAAAGCUAAUCAGAAAACAAAGACAAGAUCACAAGAUAGUAUUGGUAGAAAGCUAUUGAGGCAAACAAAUAAAAGGUUAAAACAAUGACAGGUCCUGGUUCUUCGUGUGGAGCAUGCAAGUUCCUAAGGCGAAAGUGUACAAGUGAAUGCGUUUUUGCUCCUUACUUCUCUUAUGAUCAGUCAGCUAACCACUUUGCAAAAGUUCACAGGGUGUUUGGAGCUAGCAAAGUUUCCAAGUUAUUGCUACACCUUCCGGUGCACAGAAGAAGUGAUGCAGCCGCCACCAUAGCUUAUGAAGCACUUGCUCGGAUGCAUGAUCCUGUAUAUGGUUGUGUCUCUCAUGUCUUCGCUCUACAACAGCAGGUUUUGUGUUGUCACUCGUCGUAAAAUGCCUAAUUUGUUAUUCUUGAAUUACAUUACCAAAUAAUGAAUUCUAAUUCACCUACACUGCAGGUAGCAUGCCUGCAACAUGAGAUCGACAUUCUUAAUAAUCAAAUGGCCAAUCAAGCAUUUCAAGCACGCAAUAAUGGAGCAUUUGGAGCAACUAAUAACCCAAGUGUUGGAUUCCAGUUUGAUUCACAGAACAACGAGAACAUGACUAAUUGUGCAACUCAAAGUCAGAUGCUUUUAAACGGAGGGGUCACAGCAGAUAACCAAGAAUUCCAUUGCCAGAUAAAUACCACUCUUCCUACUCUAUAUGGCUGUGAGGAACACAUGUACAAUGUUCCUUCUGAUAUAGACCUUCCUGAGUCAGUCUCUGGAGGGAUGAAUCAAGAGAUUUAUGUGCCAUUUCUAUGGACGGGCAGCAGUUGCAGCAGCUAAAGCUAAAGAAUAAAAUGUAAAGUUUAGCGGUGAAGGUUACAAGCAAAAAACCACAUAAGCAGCAAAACCUUGAAUCCCUGCAUAUGAAAACAAGCCUCAUGAUCAUCGAUACUUGCAGGCUAAGAAUUAAGAUUCAUGAACAAUGUACUUUUCAUCCAACACCAUCAAUGUAACACCCCAACCCCCCACCACCAAAAAAAAAAAAAACAGUACACGCGCAGCUAAGUAAAUCUUGUUCUAUUAAGUCUCUUAAGCCUCAAAACUAAAGGCGAAAAUUUGUUCUGAUUUAUUUGACUUCAACAAUGAACAACUAAAAUUGAUUCAACCAUAAACAAUGAAUCAGAUAGAUACUCAUUGUCAGGGACGGAACCAGUAAUUUGGGUUGGAGUGGGCUUGACAAGUGAAUAACGAAGAAAAAUCUACUUUCAUUCAUGCUAGGAAUGAAAAAAAAAAUGAGAACUGCACCCAUUGAAUCUACUUGAUUAUAUUGAUUUUGGACUUAGUUGAUAGUGGGCUUGGACUUACUUGAUUAUAUAUAACUACUAAACUUUUUUUAGAAAAACUUCCUUGGGCUUAAGCCCAGGGAAGCCCUUCUGUACAUCCGUCUCUGCUCAUUGUUCCUCCCAAAUUCAGACGACAUUUGCAACAAACUAUAACAAGAUCCAUAAUAUCCAAAAUGGCAAGCAUGAUGUCCAUCUUGACAUGUCAAAAGUUAUUCUCAAAAAUUCGUUAAUAGCCUGGUGAAAGGUCAUGGGUAAUUCCGAACUUCCGAUCAUGGAUUUCAUACAGAUCGCCAUUAAAAAAUAUUGCAUGACAAACAGAAACGAUUGAAAAGGUUAGCAUUUGAUUUAUUAACCAAUACAGUGCUAUAGGUUCAUCUUCCAACGUCGUGUUCCUCUCCACAGGCCAAUUGAUCUUUUUAAAAUGAUGAAAGAAAUUGUAAAUUUUUCAAGCUGCAUCCGUCUGUAAAAUACCAUCUUCUUUCCAAAGAAUACGUAUGGUGCAUACAGUCACAGUUGUUCUAGUAGUUCUGUUUGAAAUUAUCCGGCAAGCUUCCUUCUUGCACCAUCUUACAUAAUAUGUUACAUUAACUUAUCAAUAUUUACAACAAAAAUCAAGACUAAGAUAUUCAAAUACAAGGAGUAUUGAAAUAAGAGUUAUUUGCAAAUUACACCCCUGCACUUGAGCCCAAACACACUCUAGUAUACAUACUUUUAAAAAUUGCAUUUCGCAUCCUCUUACUAGUGCAAUUUGCAAUUAACUCUUAAAAUAGCCAGGGGAUGCGAAAUAGUAACGGACCCAAGUGUAGGAGUGCAAUUUGCAAUCUAACUCUUCAAAAAAAAAUGUGCGCCCAGACUUGAAAAAAGUCAUAAUAUUUAAUAUUUUUAAUUUUUAAAAAAUUAACAAAAGAGGCAUUUAAAUUGAGACACGUGGAGCGAGAAACAUACAUUAAAGAUCAUCGAUGUGGUUUGAAAGGAUGCCGCGACGGUAUUCCAGCAAGGAUGAUACUAACAAUGUUUUGAACUGCUAGAUGAUUCACGUCUCAACUAGAUCUACACCCUUAUGUGUGGCGGUGCACAAACGUAGUAAUCCGUUUGGAUAAACUUAAAAGAAGUGACUUCUUGGUUAAACUAGAAAAAUGGAGCAGAAGUGAGAAGUAAAUAAGUGAAUAAAGUGUUUGGAGAAAAAAGCAAAAGCUGUGAAAGAGAAGUUAGGAUUCUCAGUUUCUUAAAAGUGCUUCUACUUUUUUACACAAACGGGUCAAGAAACGCAGAAGCAGCUUCUGCUUCUGCCAAACAAACAGGCUCAUCGUGUGCAAACUACAUGCAUAUCCUUGGGUAAUGAUUGUUGAUCAUAUACACGUGCAUAUUCGAACCGGACCCUUGAUAACAGUUAGGACCAAAAUAGUUGAAGGUUACCUUCUAUAUGGAAUGAAACUCAUUAGCAGUGGGAAAGAAACUCUUAAAAAUGAGAACAUAUUAGAUACUUUUAAUGAUUUUCAUUAAAGAUUAGUUCAAAGCUCGAUCAUCCUCAAAUAUUUUAACUUAAGAGCCAAUAUAUAGAAGAGUUCUCGAAGAUCAUCUAAAAGAGAAAUCGGGGAGAACCAUACAUGUAUAGAUUUAAUUUUCCAGCAUCGACUAUAUACAUAUCAGCCUACGCCUACCUCGACUAAUUUAGCACCGUCGGUGAAUCCCCGAGCCUAAGCUCAAGGUCAAUGCCGUCCUUAUCACUACUUGAACAAUCUAUAUACAGUAAACAAUCCGUCCUCCGCCUCUUAAUAUCACCACCGACACCGGUACGCUCAGCUCCUCGAUUUCCUUCAACACAAAAAUUUAAUCCCACGGAUAAGCCAGUCUCAACCGCUGAUUCUUUCCUUAAUAUAGGGUUCCUGCAUGCAAGUUUCUUCGUACCUUGAAUUAUUUUAACCGCCUCUGUUUCAGAAUACAAGCUGUUUGGAGAUUUCGAGUUAAAAAAUUUAUCAGCUCCACCAGUUUUUAAACAAAGAGGCUGAUUUAACCUAGCUCUGUCUCUUCUAUGAACAUUCAUGUGACCACCAAGCGCUUGAGCCGACUUAAAUAUUCUGUUGCAGAAACUGCAAGAAUAACAUCUUGGAGGCCAUAUGAAUCCCCCUAGAAGCCCUUCUCCGACGUCUUCAGCGAAAGCUUGUUCUUCCCAUGAUCUCAAGUAUUGUGAAUAAUGCUCCAUGGAAGGUAUACAAGGUUGAUAUAUGUGGUGGUGAAGAUGAAGAGUAUAGAGGUAGUUAGAGGUUGGAAUAUAUAAUUGAGAAGAGAUUGGAUUGAGUGUAGGAAAAGAUAAAUAAUGCAAAAGUCUAUAUUUUUCCAUGAUUUGGAAGGUGGUGUGUGCCCUCAUUUGGAUCUUUCACUGUAGUUAUAUCAGUGAUGUUAUAUGAUUUAGCAUUUUGCUAUCAAUCUUUGUUUCUAUUGCUGGUAGCCUGCUGCUUUAUACUCUCGUUGUCCCAUUAUAUUUUAUACUUCUAUUUUUGAAUGAUCGACAUGCAUUUUAAGAUAUAUAUAAAAUCUGUUUCCAUAAUUUAUUUUUCUUUUGAAGUUUAAACAAUAAAUUUUUAUUUAAAAAGGUGAAAAUAAUUUAUUAAAUUAUAAUUUAACGGAAUUUCAAAAUACGGGUAGAAUCCCAUCAGCUAAUGUAUACAUCUCAAGGAGACGGAUCGGAAGUGUAUUGCAUUUGGGGGGCCCAAGUAAAGCAGCUCGUGUAAUUGUCACCGUAUUAUGAGUUCCGACUUCACACUUACACAGUCACACACAGGAGCACUUCCUGACGUUUAUCGGGCAGAUUAUUUGUCGGUCGAAAGCAUUCGUCGGUUGUAAAUAUUGGCAUAUUGCAGUCAUAAUGCACGAUAAUAGUGCAGUUAUGGUUGCUUUAAUGGCUAGGGUUCCGUCGAAGACAAGAUUACUCUUUGGUCUACGUUUGAUCUGUUAGUGCUAUAAUGAAGAUAUAAUUUGAAAACCUAAUGUCAUAUACUGAAUUGUCCUAAAGAUGCGAACUCCUUGUUUUUGUUUGCUGGGGUAAACACCAGUUAGAAACUUUUUCUUAAAAGUCGGUGAUUAAUCACGAUUAAUCAAUGAUUAAUUCAUGUUCCGUAGCUCGCCGAACUGAUUAAAUCUUCGAUUAAUCACCGAUCAAUCCGAUUAAUCCCCAAUCAAUUCAAUUAAUCCCCGAUUAAUCCUUGUUCCGUAACUUCACCGAUUAAGUCCGAUUCCCGCUUUUUACAACACUGGUUAGAAAGCAUAAAGAUAAAAAAGAGUUUUUGUGAAUAUGUUUUUAGAUAAAGGAUGUUUUUAAACUUAAGAGCUCUUUAGAAUAUUGUUUAGAUCAAAAAUUAAUGUUGUCAGGGAAGCAGUUUUCAUAUAUUUUUUAAGGCAAAGAAAAAAAAAAGAUAUCUUCAUGCUUUUGUGAGAGUUGUGUGGACUUCAUUUUGGUUAUAAGUAAAAAUAUUAAUCUUUGAAUUAUAUCAAAUAUCAAAACUUUAAUCAGAAUAUCAUUCAUCUGUAUGUUUUUCAUCAUAUCAUCUUUUUUUUUUUUAAAGAAAAGGAGAUAAUUUAAUAAAUAAUAGUCAAACGGCAUCUAUAAGAAUGAUCGAGUCGAACAAACAUAGAAAAAAUUAACAUGCCUGUCUUCAUACCCAAGAUGGGACAAAUAAGCAAUGUUGAAAUUGACGAUGGUACAUGUAUAGAUUCUUGCCCUGUGUUGACUAUCUUUUUCAAAAAUUCUGUUUGAGCUAUCAACCACAAAUGCAAUUCCGGAAAGCUUUUAUCGAUGAAUCCAAAUCAACUCUCACAAAAGAAGGAGAGAAAAAUCACACACUCUCAACAGGGAGAGUCAAACUAUAAUCAAAACAAACUAGAGAAAAUUCAACUACAAACUAAAACAAUUAGUUCUGCACCACGACGCGUAUAAUAUAAUCGAUCCACUCACAAAUCCAAAAAGCCUUCUGGGAGCGAAUAAGAACGAAAAUUGAAAGUUUCGGUGAUAUAGAUCUGAGAAAACUUUCCCCGAAAAGAGAGAUUUAUUAAGAAAAUCAAUGAAAAAUUAAGAACAAUCAAAGAACUAGCAAUCAAACGGAAAGAUUUGGGGUUUUCCACCAGAAAACCGAUGAAAGCCCCGUCGGGGAUGAAAAGAGGAAGGCGGCGGGGCAGAAGAGAGAAAAAAAAACUUCCAUCAUAUCAUCUUUUAACAUCUCACAAAUAAAUUCUUUACAUUAAGGUGAAUUAUCACACUAAAUUAAUAAUAGCAUUAAUUAAUUUAUUAUUCAAUUUAUUGCAUAUAAUUAUAUAAAUAAUGACUAGUUAGCUAAAUCAUUUUCUUUGCCAAGGAGCUAAUUAUAUAUCAUUUCUAUACAAGAAGAGAUCACGUUAGUCGAGCUAGAAUUUUAUUUCUUGCAGCCGCCAUAUCUCAGUAGUACUAAAGGGGUGUUAGGUUUAUCCCAUAUAACAGGAAUCGGAACAUCAAUAUAUCUAUAUAGAUUAGUUAUUUUAGAAACUCAAAUCUAUUUUGAUGGUUAAAUCAUACAUUUCUUUUUUCCCCAAGUAAUAGUAAGAUUUAAAAUUGCAAUUGAAAACAGAUAAGGCUUCAAAAAAGAACUUUUUUUUUUUAGACAGAGGUUUCAAAAAAGAAUUUAUUUUUAAGAAAGAUUAACAUAUGCUAACAUUUUCUUUAAAAGUUUAAAAAUAUUGAGAUUUUUUGUAUUUGUCAUUUUAUUAGAAUAAGUAUUAUUUUAGUAAUAAUAUAUAUUUAUGAUAAUGUUUGGCUGAACUUUUAUUGUGAAAAUAAUUGAAUAUUUUUCGAAAUAAUUUACAUUUACAUAUUAUUUUUUGACAUAUAGUAUUCAAGGAGAGUUCAACAUUUUUUUACUUGCAAUUUGCAAAUAUAAGUAAUUAUAUCAGAAAAAACAUAUUAUAUUCUUUUUUCUCAGAUAUAAGUGCAUAUUAAUGUGCUAAUUAAAACUAAAACGGUUGCAUUAGGGGAUUUAUAUAUAGUUUAAUUUAAUUUAAUUAAGAGUCAUGUCAAUUUGCUAAAGUCAAAUAAUGCCUUAAAUAAAUCGGUGGUUGGAUUGGAUUUUUCCUCAGCUACGUUGCCAUAUACCCAUUAUUCGUCGUCAGCACACAUUAGACCUUGACUGAACACAAACAAAGAUAUUAAAUUAAGAGGAUACAAAAGUUAUUAGUAUUUCUCAAUCAUGUUACUCCCUCGGUCCCGCCCAAUUCUUUACAUUGGGUUUGGGCACGGAGGUUAAGAAAUAUGUAUAAAGUAGUGAAAAAGAGAAAGAAAAAUGGGUGAAGUGGCGGGACCCACUGAUUUUUAAUAUAUAAAAGAGAGAUAGUGGAGGAAAAGUAGUGUGAAAAGUAAGAAAAAGUAGGAAAGUGGUGGGACCCAUUAACUAUUUUAGGAAAGUUUUGUAAUGUAAAGAAAUGGAUGGGACGGCCAAAUGAGAAAACUGUAAAGAACCUGAUGGGACGGAGGGAGUAUAUACUAGCAACUUCGAAAUUUAUGUCUCUUAUGCUAACUUUUUAUCGGUAUGUUUAUCAGUUCCAAUUCCGAGCUACGUAGGUAAAGAUUAAAUCCAAAGUCCAAACCCAUCUUAUAUUGUAAAUCAUAUGCUUUAAAUAAAUUGUUUUUAUAAGUUGCAAUUAUGUACAAGAUACUAAUUAGUCAAAUUACUAGUCACGGGUAUUAGAGUUGAACUUAAGUUUUAGUCGUCGGUCAUAAAGAAUAGAAUAAGUAUAAUUAGGAAUAUAUUCACAGUUAAACACCUGUAUCUUUACCGGGAUUUAUCUUGUGUUUGAUUGAGAUGAUAGACGACCCGAUGAAAUAUAAUCAUUGAAAAUAAAAAAGAAAUAACAGAAAAUACAAAGAAGUAUCCUAUAAAAAUUGAAGAUAUAUCCGAAUUUUGUAAAUUAAAUGAAAUUCUAAAUAUUCAACUAAACAAAAGUUCAAAUUUUAUUCCAUCCAUUUUCAUUCAUCCAAAUCAAAUACAAUAUUAGAUAAAUUUACUAAUGAAAUGAAAUUUUCACUUAAACGGGUGUUUAGAAAAAAUGUCUAUAAAUUUAUUUUUUGAGAAUGCGUUCUCGGAUCCUUUUUUUUUAAUCAUUUCAUUCAUCAACUAUUCGAACUAGAAAUUUAAUUCACAUGUCGUGGAAAAAAAUGCUCAGAAAACUCAUUUUACUCAUUAUUAUUUCAUAUUUUUCUUUUUUUUAUAACUUUGAUUCUAUUUCAUCCCCAUUUCAUUUCAUUCAAGUUAACACAACCUUGUAUAAUUUUACUUCCGUUUAGAAAUAGUAAUUUAUUUUGUACACUAAAUAGUUUAAAUUACCUAUUCAUCAGGCUUUCUUGACAUAUUCCUAAAAUUAUCCUUAUUUUUUAUUUUUAAGAUUGAGUCUAAUCUGCAUAUUAUCAUUCCACGUUUUUCAGGAUAUCAUAGAUACUGAUAUUCAAUUAAUAUAAUAAAUAUUGGUGUAUAUAUAUAAAAGAUUAUUUACAUUAAAAAGUGGGCACUUAUCUUAAAACAAAAAGUACCACGGGUGACUCAAGAGAGUGCUUGAUAAAUUAGGUCCGGGAAAUAAGAAUUUUUCCAAGAAAUUAUCACAUUAUAUUUUAUCAUGUUUUCGAGACUGGAAAAAAAUUACUACUCCAUCCCAAAUUAGAUGACCCCGUUGACUUUGAGCACACAAUUUAAGAUUCAUUGACCGCAUAGAUACGUGACUUAUUUUUAAAAUUUUAUUUUUGCAAAUAAAAAUUAAAAUAUGAAAUUUUCAUUUAUAAAAGAAAAAAUAAAAAAAUAAAUUUCGGAAGUAGACGGUCAAUGCACCUAAAGUUACGUGCCCAAAGUCAACGGGACAUCUAAUUUGGGAUGGAGGUAGUAUUUUUUAGUUAAGUCUUAAACACAAUAUUGUGAAUCACCCCGAGGGAAUCGUAAUUAAUGAUGGAGAAACGGGGUCAAAGUGCAUAACCGACUUUAAAAACAGAACUUAAGCAUAUACUAAUAGUAAUCUAGAAACGGGGUCUAUAACUCUAUAUACGUAUAAAUCAGAAUCGCAUGCUAUAUGUGCUAUUCAGUUUGAUGGCAUAAUUACUUAUUUUUACUAGUGACUGGGAUCUCGAAUCCACAUGCUAUAACAGUUUAUCCGUGGGAAAGGCCAUCCGUAGCUUAUAUACGUAUAAAUCAGAAUCGCAUGCUAUAUGUGCUAUUGCUAUAUGUGCUAUUCAGUUUGAUGGCAUAAUUACUUAUUUUUACUAGUGACUGGGAUCUCGAAUCCACAUGCUAUAACAGUUUAUCCGUGGGAAAGGCCAUCCGUAGCUUUCUUCAAUAAUUAAUUGUUUAGAUCUUAACUAAUCUCAUUAUACUUCCAUUAUCAAACUUAAUUGUAUUGUAUUACAAAUUUUCUUAUUAAUUUACUGCUAAGUACCUUCUUAUAUUAAUUAGAUCUACGCAUAUUUUAUCUGUCAUUAUCCGCAACUUGUUUGAAAAAAAGAUUAUACCCUCCUCCUUACGAUGCAUUAAUACAAAGACGUGAAUUCAUGUUAGAUUCUAAUAGUGACUAAAAUAAUCUAUAUUAUUUAUAUUUGACUUUUAGCAUAAAUGAAUAUAUGGAAGGUAUUAUUUUUAUCUUUAAUUGCUAACUUCUUGUUUCUAGUCAAGAAUGUUUUUAGAAAUUUAAUUUAACACCUAUCAAAUUUCAAAUAACUUGUAAAUUUGUUAUAGUUUUAAAUUUCUUUCCAAAAGUUUUGAAUAGUUUUCAAAUAUCUUAAACAAUUAGAAAAAUAGAACUUACCAAUUUUACAAUUCGAAACUCCCUUCCAAUAAGUCCGAAACUGAAAAAGAUAGUUUUAAAAAAAAAAUCCAAUACUGAAAAAGACAGUUUUCGAACUUUCUUUCAAUAUAUUCAAAACUGAAAAGGAUGAUUUAAAAACAUUUUUAUAUUCAUAAUUCAAAAUUUUCAGAAAAUUAUAAAAAUAGAAAUGAACUAUCUGAGAGACGUUCACCUAUAUACCACUCGUUUCUCCUUUAUAUUUUAUAUGAGUACAUUGAUAUUGAUGCCAUUAAUUCCGGUUACCCAUUUUUCUUUUUUUCUUUUUUGAGAGUAAUUGCGAUUAUCGAUUGAUCGAUAAAAGAAUUCUAAUACUCAGAUUAAAAAUUAAUAAUGAAAAGGUAGUAUACUAUAAAUUUUAUAACUUUUGAAAAUAAGAAUUCUAUUUAUUUAAUAAUUCCUUUAUAAAUAUAUAAUUAAAAUAAGAAUUGUAUUAGCGUGCAAAUCUUAAAUAUGAACUGUAUUUGUUUUAUGAUAAUUAUGUUGAAUAAAUAAAAUCCUACUCCUUCUACGAAUCUUAAAUAAAAAAACGAAUUGUAUCACCUUUACGAUCCUUGAACCUGAUUUUUAGAUUAUAAUAUCUUUUCUUUUCAAAAUUUAAGAAAAUUAUAAAAAAAUCGAACAAUCUUAAACACGCCAGCUCACCGCCCUCGUAUCCUCCUUUAUAUUAUACAUUGAUGAUUAAUUUCACCCGCCGCUUCCUCUCCCCCUCCUCCCUUUGCCUUACACUCAAUUUAAAUAACCCUAGUCACGGUAGGAGAUUCAUAUUCACCUUUCUCUUGUCUUUUUAACUUUCUGUUAUAAUAAUUUUCAAUAAUCUUCAUCUUUUGGGUGAGAUUUUUAAUUCUUGCAUCCAUUAUUUUGGAUGUUUUAUGUCUCUAUUUUUGAAGUGGUUUGUGUUUUUUUUUUUGGAGUGGUUGGUGUGUUUUAGUAUGUUUUGGUGUGUUUUAUUUUAUUAUUUUUGUCAACUGAUAAUGAUUCAAUUGGUGGAUUGAGAGAUCUGGAAAACCCGCUUUGAAUCUGAAAUGGUGGUAAUUAUCACAAGAACACACCUUUCACAACGAAAAAUUGUUCAAUAUAUGUGGAUAUCUGUACCCCACCCUUAGUUGGCGUACCUGACGACUGACGGGUAUGAACACAGGACUAUCACCUGUUUUUUAUGUGCGGAGGUCAAUUGUGACGCUACUAUUUUCAAGAAUGUUGGUGUCGGCCGUAUUGCUUUGGAAACUUUUAUAAUCAUUUUUAUUGUCAAGAAUAUUUAUAUUCUGUUUGUUAAGCAAUCUGAAAAUAAAAUGACUAGUUAUUUUGGCUCAUUUUUAUUUUUAAAUCAACUUGUAUUAUCAGUUCGGGAUUCUUCCUAACUGCGUUUCCAUGUUUUCAUAAACGCAUUUUGUCAACAAAAAAAAAAACACGUACAUAUUAAAUUAUUAUAAACGAGCAUCUGAAAUGUCAAAUAUAUCUUUUUUCCUUUUUUUUUUUUUUUGAAAUUGAGACUUCUCAUUAAUUAAAACACUAAUGCGUCUUGAAUUUUCAACAAUCUUGGGUAGUGUUCUCGAGCUGGGCUACAUUCGGCCCAUAAUGGUUUCAGUUUAAAUGCAGGCCUUUUGAUUUAUUUUGUAGUUUCCGUUUGAAUAUCUUUUUUUUUUUAAGAUGAGAAUAAAUCUCAACGAGGAUCGGCAAUUCACCGUGAUAAUUUUUUCAUUUAAGAAAACUUAUUAUCUAACCGUCGGACAUGCAAGAUGACCGGGGAAAUUUAGACAAUAAAAUUUUAAUGUCCGAAAAUAAAAACCGGUCUUCUUCCAAAAAUCCUGAAAAUAAGCAAGAGAAACAAGAACAAUAUAAGUCGAUAUAUUUAACAGAUUAUUUUAAAAUAUUCCCACAAUCAUGAUAACUCAUUAUUGAGACAAUUAAGCUCUUAAUUAAGGCAUAAUAAUAAAUCAUUAACGUCCUUAAUUAAGACACAAUUAACGCCCUCAAAAAAGGCACAAUUAACGCCCUGAAUAAAGAGGUACAAUUUACGCCCUCAAUUAGGAGGCCCAAUUUUUACGCCCUCAAUAAGAGGCACAACUAAUUAAGCAAACAAAUUUAAGCAUAAUUGAAAUGCUUUACUACACAAGCACAGAUUUGGAUCAAGACACAAUUAAAUACAAGUAGUAGGAGCUAAAUACAGAGUAGUCACACUAUACAAGAAAUCAAAAGCAAUCAGCACAUAGCACAUGUCAUGACAAUUACAUAUAUAACAAUACAAUUUAACUAGUGAAUCCUUACUUAAAAAAUAAUAAGAUUUUAACCAACACACAGUUAAGAAAUUCACAAAAAUCAAUACAAUUUAGAGAUCAAAGUUAAAACUGCCUUAAUAAUCCUGAUACACUAUUAAGCUUCUAAUAAAUAAACAAAGGACAAGUAUUGUUUACUGUCAAAUAGGUACAUCUAAAAAAUUAUCACAUAAGCAGUUGGCAAUUAAACAAAUAAAGAAUAAUAAUAUACAAUUGAUAUGGGUCAGAAAUAAUAUUUAAUUGUUAUUAGAUAUUAAAAGCCCAAGAAUACUAAAGCCCAGUUAAACAAGGCCCGAGGCUCUUAAGUAUUAAUUAAUUUCGUAGUUAAUUAAUAGAGGCCCAGUCAGAGGUCUAGUUACAAGUCCGAAUUCUACAAUACAUCUGAUUCUAGCAGAUAAAUAUUCAGGAGUUCGGAUAAACGUCAACAACAAGAAUAAGAGUUCUAUCUUAUUUCAUGCUUCGAGGCAUACUUCGAUGAGAAGUCUGAUACACGGAAUCGUACUUCCGUCCCACUUCUGACUCCGAAGCGCCUAUAUAAAGGGCUCUACCCCUCAUAACUAGAACUACGUUUUGGACUUGAUUCUUCUCCACGCAGAAGAUACGUAGGCAUCUCGCAUUGAGACCAGUCCAAAGCACGAAUCGCUCACCCCUUUGUUUUCUAUUCUAUAACAUUUGGCGCCGUCUGUGGGAAAACAACAAUAACCAUGACGAACCCAACCGGAAUACGUUCUGAAAUCCAUGUUCCACGCAGUCGGACCACCACCGGGGUCUCGACUGAGUCAAACCCUAUAACUACCACCCUCCCGCUUGGUACGACCAUUGCUCAAACUACUACUCCCCUGACUUUUGGCUCGCUGCCCCCUCUGACUCGAGUCAUUGCAACCGUCACCGACGCCGGCACACAUUACUCAACGGUCACUACAACCACCCGUGGAGGCACAAGAGAUGACUAUGUGCAUGUCACUGACUACGACUCUUCCGAAUCGGAGCAGGAGCAUGAUAUACCCCCUCGAAGGAGGAGAGAUGCUGAUCGACAUCGUCGACGCCGCCAUAGGCAAGAAACUAAUGAGCCCCGGGGGCCAAUAACUUAUGAGGAAAGGAUCCGGGCCUAUGAAGAGGAAAUCGCACGGCUAAAAAGAGACCAGGCAAGGAUGCAACCCCCAGAAUCUAGGGAUGAAAACCCUCGUCAAACCGUGAUGAAUCAAAUUCACUUGUUACCAGCAGGCGAUCCUGAUAACCCGGUUCCCCCUUUUACGCAAGAAAUCAUGGGUGCAAGGAUUUCCCGAAAAUUCAAGCUCCCAACCAUUAAAGCUUACGAUGGCACGGGUGAUCCCGCUAAUCAUGUUCGGACCUUCAUGAACGCUCUGUUACUCCAGCCCGUCACUGAAGCAAUCAAGUGCCGCGCUUUUCCCCAAACCUUAAGUGGGAUGGCCCAACAUUGGUAUAGUCGCCUACCCCCUAAUUCUAUCUCCUGUUUCGCUGACUUGAGCAGGGCUUUCAUAGGGCAAUUUGUUGGAAGCAAAACACAUGCCAAGAGCUCUGCCUCUCUAAUGAAUUUGCAUCAAGGAAAGAACGAAUCACUCAGGGAAUAUAUGAAUCGUUUUACCAAAGAAGCCUUGAAGGUCCCAGACCUUGAUCAAAAGGUAGCCAUGAUUGCACUCCAACAAGGCACCACCGAUGACAAUUUUCGCCGAUCUCUUGCCAAGAGGGCUCCGGACAAUAUGAACGAUUUACAAGAGAGAGCCGGAAAGUAUAUAAAGGCGGAGGAAAGUCUGAGAAAAUCCCAGAAUAAUCAGGGACCGAAUACCAACUUCAAGAAGCGUGCGAAUGAUACGGAGUAUAAUGCUGAGAAUAAGUACUCCCGGAAGGAAGAUGAUGAAAAAUCGCCCGCUAAAAAGAAGAUGGGACCGAGGUUUACUGAGUAUGCCAGGCUUAACGCCCCGAGGAGUCACAACAAGGCACCACCGAUGACAAUUUUCGCCGAUCUCUUGCCAAGAGGGCUCCGGACAAUAUGAACGAUUUACAAGAGAGAGCCGGAAAGUAUAUAAAGGCGGAGGAAAGUCUGAGAAAAUCCCAGAAUAAUCAGGGACCGAAUACCAACUUCAAGAAGCGUGCGAAUGAUACGGAGUAUAAUGCUGAGAAUAAGUACUCCCGGAAGGAAGAUGAUGAAAAAUCGCCCGCUAAAAAGAAGAUGGGACCGAGGUUUACUGAGUAUGCCAGGCUUAACGCCCCGAGGAGUCAAAUCCUGUUGGAAAUUGAGAAGGAUGAAAGUGUUAGAUGGCCGAAGCCAAUAAGGACCGAUCCGGAGAAACGCAACAAAGAUUUAUACUGUCGAUUCCACAAAGAUACAGGACAUAAGACCGAUGAUUGCCGGCAGUUGAAGGAUGAGAUUGAAUUCUUGAUACGAAGAGGAAAGUUAUCCAAAUUUACCAAAGAUGGAGACAAGAAUCAUCGGGACAAUGAUAAUCGCGGAAGAGACAACGAUGACAAGAGAACUCAGCCUCGAGGGCCUGUUAUUAAUAUAAUCUCCGGAGGACCUACAGCCGCUGGUACUUCCAGUAACUCGAGAAAGGCUUAUGCGAGAGAAGUAAUGAGUAUAGUUGGAGAACCCCCGAAGCGGGCAAAAAUUGACUACACAAUGGCAUUCGAUAACGUCGACCUCGAGAAGGUAAAGUUUCCCCAUGACGACCCCUUAGUAGUUACACCAGUGAUUGGCAACUCGUCCGUAAAGAGAGUGCUCAUUGAUAAUGGAGCCUCGGUGGAUAUUUUGUUCUAUGAUGCCUAUGAAAAGAUGGGAUACUCCGAUAAUCAACUUACACCCUCGGAUAUGCCUAUAUAUGGCUUCAACAAUGUGGAAACCAAGAUUGAAGGCAUGAUCCAACUCCCUGUAACUAUGGGUACCGAACCUAGACAAGCCACAUGCAUGAUAAAUUUUUUGGUUGUUAAAGCUUCGUCUACCUAUAAUGCCAUCCUUGGAAGGACCGGGAUACACGCUUUUAAGGCAAUCCCGUCCACUUACCACAUGAAGAUUAAAUUCCCGACUAGGAACGGAAUUGGAGAGGAAUUGGGAGAUCAGAAAAUGGCCCGAAGCUGUUAUAUUGGGGCAUUAAGAUCUGGAGGAGCCGGGGGGCAAGUAUUACCUAUAGAGGACCUUGAUGUCCGAGAAGAAGAGGAAAGGAGAGGCAAGCCUGCCGAAGAUUUGGUUCCAAUCCAAUUGUAUACAGAAGAACCUGAAAAGGUCACUUAUGUUGGAGCAUUACUCCAGGAAGAUUUGAAACAAGAGUUUGUGAGGUUCUUGAGGAACAACCGUGAUGUUUUCGCUUGGACAGCGGCUGAUAUGCCAGGUAUCGACCCCUCAUUCAUAACACAUAAGUUGAAUGUAAACCCCGUGAGGAAACCUAUUAAACAGAAGAAAAGGAACUUCGCCCCUGAAAGGCAAGAAGCCAUUAAACAGGAGGUCGAUAAGUUGUUGGAAGCAGGUUUUAUCGAAGAGAUACAAUUCCCAGAAUGGUUGGCGAACCCUGUUAUGGUCAAGAAGGCCAAUGGAAAGUGGAGGAUGUGUGUAGACUUCACUGAUCUGAAUGAUGCUUGUCCCAAGGAUUGUUUCCCUCUUCCAAGGAUAGACACGUUAAUAGAUGCCACCGCUGGCCAUGAGAUGCUGAGCUUCAUGGAUGGCUUCAGCGGAUAUAAUCAGAUCCGGAUGGACAAGGACGAUGUACCCAAGGUAUCGUUUAUCACUGACUUUGGUGUAUUUUGUUAUUUGGUUAUGGCCUUUGGACUUAAGAAUGCAGGAGCAACGUACCAACGCCUUGCAAACAAGAUGUUUAAACAUCUGAUUGGAAAGACUAUGGAGGUAUACGUAGACGAUAUGUUGGUGAAAAGCUUGAACAAAGCGGAUCACCUUGAACACCUUAGAGAGGCCUUUGAAGUCCUGAGGACGCAUAAGAUGAUGUUAAACCCAGCUAAGUGUGCCUUUGGGGUCGGUUCUGGGAAGUUUCUGGGUUUAAUGGUCUCAAAGCGUGGUAUUGAAGCCAACCCCGACAAGAUAAAAGCUAUCUUAGAUAUGGAACCCCCAAAGAGUGUGAGGGAUGUUCAGAAACUGACAGGAAGAAUUGCAGCUUUGGGAAGGUUUGUAUCCAAGUCAGGAGACAAGUGCUUGCCUUUCUUCAAAGCAUUAAAGAAGGUUAAGAACUUUGAGUGGACGGAUGAGAGCCAAGUGGCCUUCGAACAUCUAAAGAAAUAUAUGGCAGAACCACCACUCUUAUCGAAACCCGUGGAGGGCGAAACCCUAUAUGUAUACUUAGCUGUCUCGGAACAAGCGCUAAGUGCCGUCUUGGUUCGGGAGGAAUCCAAAGUCCAGAAACCAGUAUACUAUGUGAGCAAGGUUCUGCAUGGAGCGGAGCUCAAUUACUCAGUGAUCGAAAAGUUUGCUUUGGCCAUGAUUACGGCCUCGAGGAAGUUGAGACCUUACUUUCAGUCUCAUAAGAUAGAAGUCCUGACAGACCAACCUCUCCGAAAUGUUAUACAUAGCCCUAAGGCUAGUGGAAGAUUGAUCAAGUGGGCCAUUGAGCUUGGAGAAUUUGAUAUCCGAUACAAACCUCGAACGGCGAUUAAAGCUCAGGCCUUAGCUGACUUCCUAGUUGAAUGCACCAUUAGCAACCAGGAAGUCGGGGGGCAAGGAGACAAGGUAGAAGAACCUACUAAGGAAGAAAAACCUAAAGAAUAUUGGCUACUAUUUUUUGACGGGGCUUCAAAAACAAAAGGUAGUGGUGCAGGACUUGUGCUCCAAAGCCCCGAUGGCUUUACUGUGGAAUAUGCUAUUAAGCUAGACUUUCCAACCACCAAUAAUGAGGCAGAAUAUGAGGCGUUGAUAGCUGGGCUUGGCCUAGCCAGAACCUUGAGGGUAAAGAAUUUGAAGGUCUGUGGUGACUCAAAGCUCGUAGUUUUCCAAGUAAAUGGUGAGUUUGAAGCCCGUGAGGAGACUAUGCUAAAAUAUCUAAGGAUUGUAAAGACCCAGAUGGCACUAUUCGAAGAAUGCUUGGUAGAGUAUGUGCCAAGGGAGGAGAACACCAAGGCUGAUGCCCUGUCACAAUUUGCAUCUUCCGACGAUGAGGUAUGCUCAGGAAGCGUUUACUAUCAGGUUUUGAGAACCCCGAGUAUCGAAGCAAAGUUAGUUGCCCCCAUUGACACAGGGGCCACUUGGAUGGAUGAAAUUAAGUUGUACUUACGAAGCGGACAUCUGCCACCUAAUGCUGAUGAAGCACGAAAGUUACAGGUACGGGCUCUUAAAUAUGUACUCAUUGAGGGAAUCUUAUAUAGAAAAUCGUUUGUGAUCCCUUACUUGAGAUGUCUGAGGCCUGAUGAGGCUCAGGAAGCCCUGAGGGAGGUACAUGAAGGUGUAUGUGGCCAGCACCUUGGAGGAAGGGCUUUGGCUCAUAAAGUCACUCGUCUUGGAUUUUAUUGGCCUGAUAUGCUGAAACAUGCUCAGGAUUAUGUGAAGAAGUGUGAUCGCUGCCAAAGGUUCGCGCCUAUAGUACGACAACCACCCGAGAUGUUAACAUCCAUCAACACUCCAAUCCCGUUUGCUAUGUGGGGAAUGGACAUCCUUGGACCUUUCCCACUAGCUAGCGCGCAAAGGAAGUUUCUAUUGGUAGCUAUUGACUAUUUCACUAAGUGGAUUGAGGCCAAACCAUUAGCCAAGAUAACCACCAAGCAGGUUGCUCAGUUUGUAUGGGAAAAUAUUAUUUGCAGGUAUGGGAUACCCCGAAUCAUGGUUACGGACAACGGGACUCAGUUCAAUAACGCUGAGUUUAAAAGUUAUUGUGAGGAUUACUCGAUUGAGUUACGCUUUACUUCUGUUGCACACCCUCAAGCUAAUGGACAAGCUGAGGUGGCAAAUAGAAUAAUCCUCGAUGGACUGAAAAAAAGAGUUGAGAAAGCCCAAGGAACAUGGGCCGAUGACAUACUUCCUAUACUAUGGGCAUAUCGAACCACUUGCAAGGUUUCAACUGGGGCAACCCCCUUUCAACUGGCUUAUGGAGCAGAGGCAGUGGUGCCACUUGAAAUCACUCAUACAUCCUCCAGGGUCCAGCAGUAUGAGCCAGAAGCCAAUGAAGAGGGUAUGAGGCUUGCCCUUGAUAUGAUUGAUGAAAUCCGUGAUGAGGCUCAUGCUAAAAUUGUGGAAAACCAGAAGCGAGCUUCCUACUACUACAACCUACGAGUUAAGGAACGAUACUUUAGAGAAGGGGAUCUGGUACUUAGAAAAGUUGAGGCUUCUGGGGUGGGCCCCAAGGGCAAGAUGGCCCCGAACUGGGAAGGUCCCUAUCAAGUUAAGGCUGUUACGGGCCAUGGCUCAUAUAAGCUUCAGACCCUCGAAGGAAUCGAAGUCCCAAGAAGUUGGCACGCGACCAACUUGAAAAUAUAUUAUGUUUAAUACAUGAUAGUAGAAGUUAGUAGUUAUCACAAGAAUAAGGUCAUGUUGACCAUUGCCAUGUAGUUGACUCCCGAAAGUAGUCUAUCUCUUUUACUAUGAUAUUAAUAAAGUCCUGAGGAUUAUCUAACUUGUCUAUUCAAGUUAUUUUUACUUAUGUUUCCACUUGUGUUUUCUUCAAAUCCACGAGUCUCAAGCUUGAAUUUACACGCGUAGAGCUGGAAAUCCUAAGUACGAACCGCUUUGGACAGAAUGCUCAUAAAAUAAUAUACAGACUCGUAAGAGUCAAACCCUGCAGGGUGAUUACAAAAAUCAGAAGAUUAUUCUGAGACUUGGCUCCCCAAGUUAAAUUUUAAUCCGAAGUUAAGGAUAUUUUAUUGAUAGGUUUGAAAUCCUAGACUAAGUGCACGGUAUGCAGAAAAGCAGAUAAAAGCAUAAGACAGAAAUUAAUAAAAGAAUAUUAAAUGCACGAUAAGCACAAAAUACGAAGCAAAAGCGAACUUAAAUAAAUAAGUUAAAACCCCGAAGGGUAUAAAUAUCCGAACAGAUUAGAUAAUUACAGAAAACAAGCCUCGCAGGGCUGAAGGUAGACCUAGUCUAGGGAAGCCCAUCGUCAAAAAUAUCUUCUUGGGCCUUCUCUUGCUCCUGGGUCUCCUCCUCCCGGGCCUCCUCAUCUUGGGCCUCGACCUCCUCCUCGAGACCCUCCUCGAUCUGCUUGGGAUCCUCGAUCACCAGAGUCUCAGUGGGGACCCCAAUAUCUUGGGAAUCAUAUGGAUGUGAGUCACCGAGGUCCUCUACCGCCAUCGGAGAAGGGGUUUCUUCUCCGGGAAGUACAGGAACCGGGAACCGUUCCAGUGUGACCCCCUCGACUUGGGCCCCCACUUCGUCUAUGAUUCUCUCCCAGCAAGAUUUGAAGGUCUCGUGGAAGGUAGAAUCGUACUCCGCCGCAAGGAGGUCGGCAAACUCCGGCGACGCCUUAUAGUCUGCGAUCGCCUCCCGGCGCACCCUUUCCAACUCGGCCUCCAACGACCGCACCUUCUCUUGCUCGGCCACCAACUCGGCCUCCACCUUCCUGAACUGCUCGAAGUUGGCAGUUGAGGCUUCGAGGUAACGGUCACGGUCGCGUUCCGCGAUCGCCUUCUCCGACCUCACUGCUUUCAGGUUGUGGACGGCCGCCUGGAGAUAGGUGUUCAUCUGCGAGAAAGUAAACAAAAAAUCUCUUAAGUAAAACAAAACGAAAAGAAUUUUCUAAGUGAAAGAAUGACAUGGAAAAAGAUAUGGGCCUUACUGUCGCUAUAGCCUGGGCCCCCAACAUCUCUAUUUGGAGGUCUUCGGAGGACUCGACCACGUGAGCCCUGUCUCGAGGGGUCACGACAUUCUUGGACCACUCCGCGGCGGCCCGAGCGUCCCCCACCACGGUGUCCUUGUUCAGGAGGCCCCACUGGACCACAUAAGGACUUGGAUCCUCGUCCACGGAUUUGGGCCUCGGAGCCAGGAAGGCCGGAAUCCGCUCCACUACUUCCUCGGCCCCACUCUUCCUGGGCCUCUUCACCCGUUGAACCUGGGUGGGCUCAACCUUCGCCGCGGCCUUCUCCCUCUUGGCGAAUAUUGUGUUCAGCCUCUCCUGGGCUGCAAACGCAAAGUCAAAAAAUUUAAUUAGAAUGCGACAAAUGAAUAUGCAAGGCCCAAAUAACUAAGGGUAAAAGUAAAUUACCCUCUAGGCCCAAAUCACUUAGCCCAUGUUCCUGGAGCGAAGCUUCAGAAACUAGAACGGAGCAAUGGUGAAGGCAGUCUCCAGUCAAAAUUUGGAUGGCCGCCUCUUCCUCCACCCCCAAUUUUAAAGUCCUAACAGGCCCAUCUUCGGCCUUACUAAAAUUUGAAUAGAAGUAUUCGGCCCAAUCCCCUUCGUUCAAAUACAAAUAAAACCAUUGUUUCUUCCAAUGGGGAAGUGAGUCAGGGGCGGUCCCCGAGACAAAGAUGCUACGGGCCAAGCUCCUAUACUGGAUCUUGACCCAACCCUCGUCGUGGGGUGCAUUGACAAAUUUAAAAAGAUAUCUAAAAACAGAGACGCUAGGCUCAAUGCCGUGUUUUUUGCACUGGACCAAGAAACAGUAGAUGAAUUUCCAGCCAUUGGGCUGGAGUUGGGUCGGGCAAAUACGGGCUUCAGCUAAGAGUCUAAAAACAAAUUCAGGAGGAGGUAACCUAAAGCCCGCAUAAAAAGUUUCCUUAUAAAUACGAAUGGCCCCAGGUUUUGGAUAGCAGGCUCGAUCAUUUGGGCCUGGGGCCACGGCCCUGUAAGGCCCGUUGAUGCCAAACAAAUAAGCAAUAGCAUCAACGUCCUUUUGAUCAUACUUGGAAGGAUACUUGUAUGCAUCUAAAUGAAGAAGGUUCGGAAAAGCUUGACCGAACUCAGAAAGAAGGUCACGAAGAGAAAAAACACUGGCAUGGACAAGGGAUUUUUUACCUCGAUUGGCCUUGACCUUGGCCGCAGGAGGCUGAGACAGCUGAGAUUGUUGAGAAGAUGAAGAAUCCGCCAUUGAUAUCCUUGUGAUGGAGGUUUGAAGCCCAGAAAUUGAUGAAGAAAAGAUGAAGAUUGAUCGGAAUCUGGGAAAAUCUUUGAAGAUUGCCCGGAAACUGGGAAAUGCCUUGAAUAUCGGCCGGAAUACUGAAGAAAACUUGAAGAUUGCCGAAAAUACGCCUAAAAAUUUGCCGAGAAACUAGAGAAACUUUGAGAGUGUUUGGGAGGGAUUUUAGCUCUUAAACUUGGAAAUUUUGGGUGAAAUGAGAAAUGAACUCCCAAGUCACACAUUAUAUAGGAAGAGCUCCACCCGUUCACUUGCCGGUAAACCCUAAAAUGGACAGGUUGCUACCGGUAAAGUGGGCUUUGGGCCGGUCAUCAGGCCGUGUUAGAGGCGGGAAGCCCAUGAAUUUGAAAAGCUCGUACCUAUUCUAGAAGGGUCUCGAGAAUUCCUGAAGAUGCACACAAAAAUAAAAGAAUAAUAAGCUAAAUAGGCCUGACAAGUUAUAGACUAAGGCCCACAACAUAUAACGCCACGUGGCACCCAAAACGCAUCCUCUGCGCGUGGCACCUGCCAUGUCUCCUUGGCGUGGCAUGCAACGCCUAGGGCACACUCACUCGUUGAACGAAAACAUAGUUUAUUGUUUAAAAAAAAUAAAUGAUAUAUUCAACAAGGCUAUAAAGUGACUAUGUAUUCCUGGCGUGGUUUCAAAACUAUGUCUCUUAGGCGCGGCAUAGCACGCCUAGGAAACAACUAUUUCUUCAAUCUUUGGCCAGUGACGCUCAUCCACGCCCAGGAGACAUAUCUCCUAGGCCUCUGGAAUAACAUGUCUCCUUGGCGUGCCUACACACGCCAAGGAAGCAUCGUCUGGAUCAGCCAAGACAGGCCUUAUCUAUCAACGCCCAGAAACACCCAAAGUAAAAAUGACUCCUUGGCGUGCCCACACACGCCAAGAAAGCAUCCACUUGAUGGGCCAAAGCAUGUGUCAACCACACACGCCUAGGAGACAUGUCUCCUAGGCGUCUUUGUUAAGCACGCCAAGAAAGCAUCAUGAACAUCAGCCACGACUGGCUUAGCACAUCCACGCCCAGGAGACAUGUCUCCUUGGCGUGGCAUGUAACAUGCCUCCUUGGCGUGCAUAGGCACGCCAAGGAAGCAUCAUCCUGGUUUGCCUUGGCUGGCUUAAAGCAACCACUCCCAGGAGACAUGUCUCCUAGGCGUGGUAGCAUACAUGUCUCCUUGGCGUGGCAAGGCACGCCCAGGAGACACAUCUCGCUCAAGGAGUGACUAAUCGAAUUAAAGAAUUAUUUAAUUUUAUUCUGAAAAUUCCAGAAAAUUGGAAUUAAUUCCAAAACUCUGGAAAAUAGAAUAAAAUUGAGAUUUAAUUCUCAAAAAUUAUUUUGAAAAUUAUUUAAAGGCUCGAAAUAUUCUAUAAAAUUGGAAUUUAAUCACAAAAAAUUCCAAUUAAAUUGAAUUAAGCCCGGGGAAGAUACGAAAGUGCUCGAAAGUGCCAUUACGAACAUAAUUUUGAAGGACGCUUGUUAUACCAAUAAAAAGACUCGUAAGUGUCAUAAAAACGACUCGUGAAGUCAAAAGAAAGAUUUAUGUCUUCCGGUACUCCAAUCGAAAAUGAAGUACGAUCCCGAAGGAUACGAAACAGAGCUAUCUUUACUCUACAGUCAAUUCAAGUCAUCUCUCGAAUUGCUUCAAGGUAGUCAAGAUCGGUGAGAUCCUUGCGCUAUUUAUGGAACUUCAGACCUUGGACGAUGGGAAUUUGCAGAAGUUAGCUUUCUCGCAUGAUAUAUGAAUCAGGAGUUCAGAAAGCUGAUAAGGUUUCAGCAACUUUUGAAAAGUUUCUACAAAACUUAUCGAAAGUUGGGGGGCAAAUGAUAUGGGUCAGAAAUAAUAUUUAAUUGUUAUUAGAUAUUAAAAGCCCAAGAAUACUAAAGCCCAGUUAAAGUUCAGAAAGCUGAUAAGGUUUCAGCAACUUUUGAAAAGUUUCUACAAAACUUAUCGAAAGUUGGGGGGCAAAUGAUAUGGGUCAGAAAUAAUAUUUAAUUGUUAUUAGAUAUUAAAAGCCCAAGAAUACUAAAGCCCAGUUAAACAAGGCCCGAGGCUCUUAAGUAUUAAUUAAUUUCGUAGUUAAUUAAUAGAGGCCCAGUCAGAGGUCUAGUUACAAGUCCGAAUUCUACAAUACAUCUGAUUCUAGCAGAUAAAUAUUCAGGAGUUCGGAUAAACGUCAACAACAAGAAUAAGAGUUCUAUCUUAUUUCAUGCUUCGAGGCAUACUUCGAUGAGAAGUCUGAUACACGGAAUCGUACUUCCGUCCCACUUCUGACUCCGAAGCGCCUAUAUAAAGGGCUCUACCCCUCAUAACUAGAACUACGUUUUGGACUUGAUUCUUCUCCACGCAGAAGAUACGUAGGCAUCUCGCAUCGAGACCAGUCCAAAGCACGAAUCGCUCACCCCUUUGUUUUCUAUUCUAUAACAACAAUGCUGCAGAGAUUAUUGAUCAAGGCAGACUAUACACACACAAUCCAAGCACAUAGACAUAACAUAUAACAAAUAGUAAUAAAGAAUGCCAAACCAACAAGUGAUCAAGUUUACUGCAAGAAACAAAACACACAACUUGUCCCAAGCCAAUCUCAAGAAGUCUAACACCAAAUCAGUAUAACUUCAUCAAACAAGAACACAUUCUAAUUACCAAAAUCAUAAAAUUGAAUAUUAAUACAAAUUGAUCAGUAGAACAGUAACUCUAUCCACAAGCCACUAAGGGCUUAGAACCCCUCACCUAAGCCAUGGCCUUGCAACGCAUGAACUCACCUGUAUUAGCCCUUCAAAUGGCUAAUAAUCCAGUUGCGACUUGAAAUUAAACCACCAGUGCGUGACUCGUCCGAGUUGCCGAGUUAACUCGGUGAAUCGCCUUCGAGUUCGCCGGUUCUGAAAUUACCACCUUCAGUUUGAUCUUCGUGGUGGCUUGGAGAAGUAGGACUCAUCGGUAUUUGACUGAAAAACGUCGCCAGAUAUCCGCAAUCGCCGUCGUCGGAGAAUUGAACUCAUUUCAAUUCGUUUAGUGUUAAUCACACAAUCCAUGAGGGAGAGUUGAUAUAGAGAUCAAAUCGAAAAAAAAGAAAAAAAGAAAGGCGGUUAGGGUUUUCGAGUUCGAAUGAUUUGGAAAUGGAUAUAUCGAUAUAUGUAUAUCGAUUGAAAGCUGAAAACACAAGGAACUGGAAUCCAUGAAUGGAUUGAUGAAACAAAUGAAAAUAAAGCCUGAAUUGUGAUUAGAAGAAUUAGGGUUUGAGUCCAACAAAGGAAGAUUUGAGUUGGUUGAUUUUUAUAUUAUAAAAUUUUAUGACCGUUUGAAUAUCUUUAACUAGUAUAAUAUAAUAUUUUCAAGAUUUAAUUACGUUUAAUCUUUUCGAAGCUCUCCUUUUACAUAUACCCUUCCGUUCUAGCUGGUUAUUUAUGUUCAUCGUUUAAACUGUCAUAAAACAUAGUUUCGUAAUAUUUUUCGAAUAAUUUUUUUAAUAAUAAAAGUUUGAAUAUCAAAAAAAUUCCAGAAAUAUUUUUUACACAAACAUUAUGAAAUAAUAAUUUAUAAAAAUUUUAAAAUACCUGUCAAAAAUAACGUAAACAAGAAGACCGGGAGGGCUGUGAAUUUUACACCAUCUCUGUCGAUUUUAGACGACCAUUUCCAGUACCGAAAAUGUUGUGACUCUCGAGUUUGGAGAGAUGAAGUGAGGGAACAAGUCAUUUGCAAGCCAGCACACACAAAUAUACGUGUCUACUUUCUAUUAGUAGUCCUUGUAUACUUUAUCUAAUCAAAUCUAUGUGUGGGCCCAUUGGAUUUCAUCGUACAGUACAUUUUCUCUCUCAUCUCAUUUCAUGUUCCCGCAGCUUCAAAAAUAUCGCAUUUGGACCUACACGUGUCCGCGCCUAUUUUCUACAUCCCUUCAUCCGUGAUCUUUUUUCCUUAUAUUGAGAGCUUUUGAAUUGUUUUUUCUGACGAGCCGGAACUUUUGAAUUUUGAUUGCUCUUUGAUGGGAGUUAAUGACAACGAAGAUGAAGAGAAAAAUGAUAGGUUUAGACGAAGGAGUGCGGAAAAGAUGCGAUAGGGUUAUUGCAUUAUUUUGAAAAAGUUCAUUUCUUGAAUGUAAUACUAAAAUUUACUCCAUUAAGUAUUUGAAAACAAAAAUGACUAUGCGGGUGUUUGGCACGGGCUCGACUUCUGAAUUAUAAGUUAGAAACACUUAUUUGUACCGUUUGUGUAAAAAGUCAAGAAGUACUUAAAAAAAGCUACGAUUACUAGUUUUUGUCUCAUGGCUUCUACUUAUUUACCAAACACUUUUAUCACUUAUAAGUUUUAACUUGCUUCUAACUUCUACUUCACUUUUUUACUUUAAGCAAUAAGCAUUUAUUUUAAGCUCACCCAAACGGCCUCUAUAUAUUUGUGAUAAUGAUUUUUAGUUAUUAGUUUAAACCUAUAUUUGAGAUGGCAUAUGUUAUAUUAUCAUUAAGUUACAAUUUCACUACAGUCAUAGGAAUUAAUUACUAAUCAAAACUAACUUUCAAAACUAACUUAUACUCCCUCUGUCCUACAAUAUAUGUCACUUUGACUUUUUUCACGUAAUUUGAGGUACAAAUAAAACAUGUGUCUAUAUAUUAUUUUUCAAAUUUUCUUUUAUUAAAUAAAAAAUAUGGAUGUUAUACUUUUACUCAGAAAAAAAAAAUUUGAAAAAUAAUGUAUAGAAGUACUCCCUCUGGUCCUUAUUAUAAGGCACUAAGACUUUUUGCACACAAUUCUAAGUGCUUUGACCACACACUUAAAAUUAUUUUUAAAUUUUUUUUUUCUGAAUUAAAAUAUAUAUCACAUAUUUUAAUUCAGAAAAAGAAAAAUUUUUAAAAAGUAAUUUUAAGUAGGUGGUCAAAGCACCCAAAAUUGUGUGCAAAAAGUCUUGGUGCCUUAUAAUAAAGACCAAAAAGAGUAUGUUUUAUUUGCACAUCAAAUUACGUGCAAAAAGUCAAAGUGGCAUGUAUUUUGGGACGGAGGGAGUAUAUAUCUUGUGACGUGCACGAAUAACAUAAAAUAUUUUUUAUUUCAAAAUAUAUUUUUAAUUAAUUUUAUUGUGAACAAGAUUAUAUUACGAUAGUACAUGUUUUUAUUUGAAAUAGAUUUUUAAUACUAAGAAUUGUAUUUUGAUUAACAUAUUUUUAUUUGACGUGUCAUUUGAUAUGUUGGAUACUUCUCACAAGUUAAAUUUAUUUAAAAAAAAUUAAAAAUUAGUCCCAACAUGUUAAAUUUAUUUUCUUUAUAAAAAUAUUUUUUUACUGUUAAAAUCUUUUUAUCUUCAUCGUUAUCAUACUUAUAUUUUAGUUUAUGUUUCUUUUGAUGAUAUCGCAAUUGUAAAUUUAUAAAAAUUUAUAAAUUUCUGUUACAAAAGUUUCUUUUUAAUACAUAUGAUUUAAAAUAUAUUUAUAUAGUCAUUAAAAGUAUUAAUUAUUUGAAUGUAUAAAUCACAUAAACCGCAUCACAACACAUCACAUUUUAAUGACAUGAUUUACGUGAUUUUCAUAUUACGCCAUGUGAUUGUAGGUUUUCGAAUUUUCUCACGCCGCACGCAUGAGUGGUUCACAGUUUUAAGAAGAAAUCGCACCUAUGCACCAUGAACAUACCUAAAGUCCGCUGUCCGCAAGGUAUACUUCUCACCAAAAUGAAGGGGGAGGUAGUAUAUAUUUUCAUUUUCGUGUGUACUCAAUAAGAAACUAAGAAAUAUUAAAUAAAAUUAUGAAAAUUCUGCGACUUAACAUCAUUUGACACGUUUAGGAGAUAUAAAUAGGGAAGAAUCCCGGGGUUUGCAAGCUGAUAACACGUACAUCAAGUGAUCAACUAAAUAAAACGAAUCAGAUAACCAAGCAAAUGGGUAAUAUAAAACCAAACGGGUAUAAAAAAUCAAGGACGGCUGUCAAAAGGUGUAGAAUAUUAAAAUGGUGAGAGAAUAGGGUAGAAACGUGUCGUAAGGAUAGGAAAGAGGGGGCUUGCAUUAUCAUCACCACGUAUGAGUUAUAACACCUGUCCUUAACAAAGGCUGGACAGAGGCUAAUGUACUGGGAAAGCGGUCAAUCAAUGUUUGAAUUGUGGUCCCUCCAUACGUGUCCCAUCUUCGGCCCCACUUUCUGCUGUUGCUACUUCUCCUAACUCGCAUUUCUAUAAGUAACUCCUACUGCUUUAUCUUACCCACUCACCUCAUGUCAAGGUGUAUAUCACUCUCAUUACAAGAUGAAUCAAACAUUUAUUAGCCUAUAUUUCAAAAUCAUAUAUUUCAAAAAAUUUAAAUUUAUCUUAAAACCGAUUUCAUUUCAGAUCCAAUUCGGACGAACCCGGGUUUAUCCAGGCACGUAAUCCUCGCAUAUUUUAGCUUCGCCUCCGCGCGUGGCCUCGCAAUUAACCAAGCGACACGUGUAGAGAUAAAAACAGUGAUAUUUCCCGAAACACACAAAGGCAGGCAAGAGCAUCUGCCUAAACACCACAUGCGUGUCAGCAAACCAGCCCCCUUUGGGCUCCGUAUCAUUUGUAACCACUCUAUUCAACCACUUUUCAAAAGUAACCAGUUUUUUUUCGAGCUUUCAAAACUAACCAGUCUAAAUGAGGGGAGAAAACGCGACCCAAACCAAAAAGAAUUUCCAGUAAGGGUCGCGCUUUGAAAGAGCGACCCAAACACAAAAAACCCCGUUGGGGUCGCUCUUUCAAAGAGAGACCCAUGCUGCCAUAUUUCCAUAUGGGUCGCCCUUUGGAAGAGCGACCCAUAUGGGUUAUUUUAAAAAAAAAAAUUCAAAAAUCGGAAAAUAUUAUUUCAAAGGCGACCCAUAUUAUUUAUAUUAUAAUAUUUUAUAAUAUUAUUUAUAUAAUGAUAUAAUAUAAAAAUAUUUUAUAUUAUAUAGUGAUACAUUAUUUGUGAUAUUAUAUUUUAUAUUAUUAUAUUAUGUAAUGAUAUAAUAUAAUAUUAUAGAUUGUCAUAUUUAAAUAUUUAAGCUCAUAUAGAUUGUACUUAAAAGGUAAUUCGCAUUACAUAAACUUAAACGAAACAGAAGCAUUACAUAAACUGAAGGGAAAUUACAUAUGAUUAAAAUGAGAACAUGACAUAAGUUCUCAAUCCUGAGUGAGGUCCACAAUAUAGUCGGAAUCAUAUCCUUCAUCAUCAUCUUCAUCGUCCUCAGCGUGAGCAUCAUCGUCUCCACCAUCAUCAGCAACACCGCCUUCCACUUCAUCUUCAUCGACCCACGGGGUAGGCAUUUGCACUCGACGGCACUGAUAAGUUACAUUGUCCACAUCUCCCCACUCGGCCCAAAAUCUGGCUUCCUGACUUCCCUCGAGUUUAGCCUGCAGUGCGGCGCACUCUUCAUCGAUUUUAUCCGCAUAAUACCUCCAGCGAGAAUCACCAAAUGGGAUACCCAUCUCACGAUGGCGUUCAAAAUAGAGUUUGUGAACUUCAGGGAAUUUUCUGUUAUGGAUAUCAUCUUCCGCCUCCGUCAUCACCCAAUCUUUGCCCCUUCUAAUUCUCUUAUAAACAUACCUGCAGAUUUUACGGAAGAGAAUGUUCCACUUCUUCACGUUCUGUUGAUGUUCAGCCUCGAGACGUCUAUCUUCUCUCAUCUCCUCUAUCAUUUUGUUGAUGUCAAAGUCAGUGCGCAUCCGUCCCAACGGUGGCCGAGUUUGCUUUUGUUGCACGACCGGUGGUGCCUUGCUUUUAGGAGCUGGUUUAGGUUGUUGGUUGCUUCGGUUGUUGCGCAUCCCUCCCAACACAAGCUCCGGCUGUCUCCUAUCUUGUUGCUGUUUGAGGCGUUUUUCGUAGCCGGGGGUCAUUGGUGCUUUCCCCUUAUCCAUUGGUGCCUUGCCCUUAUCCAUUUUCAGCUUAAGUGAUGAGUGAAUUUUGUGUUUGUUUAGUUGCUUGUAUGUGUAUCAACCAUAAUGAAGACCUAUUUAUAGGCGAAUGGAUUAUUGUUUAGCUGAAUAUAUUUAAAGGACUUGUCAAUUUUUGAAUUGACAAGUCCUUUAAAUGAGCUGAAUCUUUUCUUUCAAUGCAUGCUAUGGUUUGGCAGUAUGAAAACGUGGGUCUAAUCUAUAAAGUGAGAAACUUUGUACAGUCUAAUCUUUACAGUGAGGCACUUUACUUUUGCAGAACCUUUACUUUAUGACCUACUGUACACCAUGUGACCCUCUGCAUUAUCAGAUACUGCUGUUGAUCAUGUGAAUAUCAGCAUUAUGAGAUACAACUGUUGAUCAUGUGAAUAUCAGCAUUAUGAGAUACAACUGUUGAUCAUGUGAAUAUGAGCAUUAUUUCGUUGCUUGCUAUGGUUUGCCAGUGUGUAGUCUAAUCUAUACAGCCUUUCUUUUCACAUCACUUUACUUUAUUAUAUAUUGUCCUUUAACUGAGCAGAAUCUUUUCUUUACAGCCUUUCUUUUGCCAGUGUGUAAUAUCUUGUCCCGAAUGCUUCUGUUUCCUUGAAGUUUAUUUAUUGCUAUGGUUUGCACACUGUUUAAAAACACAUAAUUGCAUGACUUUAAACGAGCUCAUAAGUGCAAACAGAUGAUGCACACUUUUCAAAAAAUCAUAAUUGCAAACAGGCUUGAAUAUUUGAUGCAGAUUGCUUUCUCUACUUAAUGGAUUUGCAGAAAAACGUCCUCUCAGCAAAAAAGUGAAUAUUUGAGCAGUAACAACAGGCUGGCUUAUUGAAUUCUUGAAUGAUUUCAAUGAAGUUGGCAGCUUUGUCCAGUGUUAAAUCAAUGUUUUGUAAUAAAAAGCUAAAAAACCUACUGCCUUAGAUGUGACCAUACAAUCAAAAUUAUUUGCACACUCCUCAAAAAAUAAUUCUCUGCAUCACAUUUUAAUAUUAGGUAAAUAAAACUUUAAAUAUUAGAUAAAUAAUUAAUAAACUAUAAAUAUUAGGUAAAUAAAAAAAUAUUAGGUAAAAAUUAGAUAAAGGAAAAAAUAUUUCCGAAUUAAAUUAAAUUAAAAAAUAUAAUAUUACAAUCUAUAAUAUUAUAUUAUAUCAUUACAUAAUAUAAUAAUAUAAAAUAUAAUAUCACAAAUAAUGUAUCACUAUAUAAUAUAAAAUAUUUUUAUAUUAUAUCAUUAUAUAAAUUAUAUUAUAAAAUAUUAUAAUAUAAAUAAUAUGGGUCGCCCUUUGAAAUAAUAUUUUCCGAUUUUUGAAUUUUUUUUUUUAAAAUAACCCAUAUGGGUCGCUCUUUCAAAGGGCGACCCAUAUGGAACUUUUUACAGCAUGGGUCUCUCUUUGAAAGAGCGACCCCAACGGGGUUUUUUGUGUUUGGGUCGCUCUUUCAAAGCGCGACCCUUACUGGAAAUUCUUUUUGGUUUGGGUCGCGUUUUCUCCCCUCAUUUAGACUGGUUAGUUUUGAAAGCUCGAAAAAAAACUGGUUAGUUUUGAAAAGUGGUUGAAUAAAUUGGUUAGAAAUGAGAGGGAGCCGCCCCCUUUGUUAUCUCUCUCGUGUUGUCUCCUCAUUCGUCCACGUCUUUUACACAGCUAACAUGCCCUACACGUGUACCUCAUCACCCUUCUCAAUCCUCUCAUCCAACGGCCACCAUCGCAUCUCUCGUAUUCAGAGUCUCUACGUCACACCAACUGCCUGCCCAGGACGGUGCGGGCACCUGCCCUCCCUGCCCGUCUCUCUUUACUUAUAUAUUUUCAUCUCUACAAUCUCUCUCACUUCUUCAUUUCAUUUCAUCUCGAUUUCGCUUGAUUUAAUUAUUAAUCUUCGAACGAUUAAAUUGGAUUUUAUUUUUUUAUUUCUCUGAGCAGAUUUUCAGAGCUUGUUUUGUUUUGUUUUGUUUGUGUGAGUGUUAUUAAUGGCGAGUGUGUGCUAUGGGGGAGAAACCAAGACGUCUACACCAGUAGAGCCGAGCUCUAAGUCGGCGAGGAAGAGGCGAAUGGAGAUUCACCAGUUCAAUUUUGUUCCGGCGGAUGUGGCGGUUAUGUCGCCGGAGAGUGGCCGGAAAAGCCAGAAGCGGGAGGCGUCUAGUUUGGACGCGAAUUCUCGGGAAGCGGAAGCUGAGGAGUUCCAGAAAAAAUGUUUGAAUGUGCUUGAAUCGGACUCGGAAGGAUCUAAAUCGGAUCCUGAGGUCAAAUCGGCGGGUCCGAAGUUUGGAUUAACGUCUGUUUGUGGACAGAGGCGUGAUAUGGAAGAUGCGGUGGCGAUUCAUCCGUCGUUCUCCGGUGGAAGUCACUUUUACGGCGUUUACGACGGUCACGGCUGCUCACAUGUAAUUAAAUUAAUAUAAAAUUCGAUUUGAUUCGUCAAAUUUGCUUAAAUUUAAUUUAAUUUGUGCAUGUAUACGUUGUUAAUUGAAUUGAAUUUGAUUUGAUUUGUGUAGGUUGCGAUGAAGUGCAAAGAGCGAAUGCACGAGAUUGUGAAGCACGAAGUCGAGAAUCGAACCAACGAAGAGGAGUGGCUCGAAACAAUGACGAAGAGCUUCUCGAAAAUGGACGAAGAAGUCACUGAAUGGAGCCGAAAUUCUGGACAGUUAAGUCCUAACUGUCGCUGCGAGCUUCAAACUCCUCAGUGUGACGCUGUUGGAUCAACCGCUGUUGUUGCGCUUGUGACCGAGGACAAAAUUAUCGUGUCGAAUUGCGGUGAUUCGCGUGCGGUGAUUUGCCGUGGUGGCGUUGUCACUCCUCUGUCUAAUGAUCAUAAGGUGAUUAGAUCUGAAGUUUUGUUAGCAGAAUUCGUUUGAUAAUUGAGAUUUUACGAGAUCUGAUUUUAUUUGUUGUUUCUUCGAUUUUGUAGCCUGAUAGACCGGACGAGUUGAAACGGAUUGAGGAUUCUGGCGGACGUGUUAUAUACUGGGAUGGUGCUCGUGUUCUCGGCGUUUUGGCCAUGUCUAGAGCAAUCGGUACGUUUAGCAACAAAAAUUGCACAUAUGCUUUUGUUACAUGCUGAGAAUUUGACUAAAUCUGAUAAUUUUUACCAUCAUUAUAAUUUACACUUGAUGAUUUGUAUCGUUAAAAGUUAGAACCAGUGACCUGAUAUCUCAGUUCUAAAAAUUACGAGCUAAGUAGCUCGCCGAACUGAUUAAAUAUCCGAUUAUUUGUCAAAAAAAAUAUCCGAUUAUUUAAUUAAUUCGCUGUUAUUCCUCGCAUGUAGACUCCGAUUCCGGUUUUUACAGCACUACUUAAUAUAAGGAAUUUCAAAUUCGGAGAUCUAAUUAACAUGUGUUUGUUUUGUCAGGUGAUAAUUAUUUGAAGCCCUAUGUGAUCUCAGAACCGGAAGUAACCGUGAUAGAUCGAACCCCUGAGGACGAGUGUCUCGUAUUAGCGAGCGACGGACUCUGGGACGUGGUGUCCAACGAGACCGCUUGCGGCGUGGCCCGAAUGUGUCUAAGCGCCAAGAAGCCGAAGUCGCCGCCGCGGACACCAGGGAACGAAAUAAGCGUAUCCGCGGCGUGUGAGAGCUCUGAUAAGGCAUGCUCCGACGCAUCAAUUCUGUUGACCAAAUUAGCCCUGGCGAGGCACACUGCAGAUAAUGUCAGUGUUGUGGUGGUGGAUUUGAGGAAAGAUUUGUAGCGAACAUUGCAAUUUAGUUUCGUUAAUCAAAGAAAAUUAAAAUUAAGUUGACACCAGAUAGAAUGAUAUAUCAGGACUUGGAGCGGGUACAAGUGAUAGUUUUGGAGGCAUUGAAAAAUUGUUGAAAAGUAUAAGAGCAAGUCCAAGAGUGCCCUAAAUUGAUGUCCUAAAUCAAAAUUUAAGGCAUUUGAAGCAAAAUGGUGCUCCAACAAUGUCCUAGUGGUGCCUUAAAACACUAGGACAUCUAACAAAAGCCUUAUUUUUGAGGCACAAUCAUGCAAUGCCCUAAACCAAUUCUAGCAAUAAAAUAUUAGCUUAUUCUCAUUCCAACACAUCUCUCUCCUAUCUUCUUUUCAUUUCCCUCCAACAAUAAUUCAAAUAUAUUAUUACUUUAAUAAUAAGGCAUAAUAAUAAGGCAUAUUGUUGGAGUUGGUAUACUAAAAUGAUGUCCUAAAUCACUAGGACACAAUUUUUUAUUAUAUUUAUAGGGCAUUGGCUAGGACAUUGUUGGACUUGCUCUAAGUACUAGUCGAACACGAUGCCUUGAAUGCCAUGCAUUUGUAUCUGUAUCUAGCUUUAGAUCAAGAUCUGGUUGUUGAAAAAGUACAUAUAUAUGAAAUCAAUUCAGACACCUCAAAGAUUGUUUGAUUCAUUUCCAAGUUUCGUAUUUCAGUGGAACAUGUGAUCUUGAUGGAGCAAUCGAAUCGUAGUGUAAAUUUAGUAUUCUAUCUGUUUUUGUUUUUUUUAUAUGACGCUUUGAUUUUUGGCACACACUUUUAGGAUUAAUUAUCAAAUUAGACACUCACUUCACAUCAAUAUAUCAUCCGGAGCACUCUCGAAUUUUCGUUCUCAUUUGAAACACUGUUUUCAGAAAUUGUAUCAGUCUUAAAAAUAAAAAGUUAAAUUUGAAAACAAAUUGACAGUUUGAGAUGUGUUACUCAUGGGGAUUUAACACAGUAGGCUAUAAAGAUUAUGUAGGUACAAUUAAUUGAAUUUUCGCAUCCAAAAAAUGGGCAAAAUUGAUGGUGGAAGAGAUGGGUUAUGAAGAACCCUAAUAAUACAUAUAUAGCCAUUUUUUGGAUGCGGAAAUUCAAUUAAUUGUACCUACAUAAUCUCUAUAGCCUACUGUGUUAAAUCCCCAUGAGUAACACAUCUCAAACUGUCAAUUUGUUUUCGAAUUUAACUUUUUACUUUUAAGACUGAUACAAUUUCUGAAAACAGUGUUUCAAAUGAGACCGAAAAUUCGAGAGUGCCCUGGAUGAUAUAUUGAUGUGAAGCGAGUGCCCAAUUUGAUAAUUAACCCCACACUUUUAAGUGCUUUGACCUGGUAGUUUAAAAAUAUUAUUUUUUGAAUUUUCUUUUUCUGAAUAAAAUUUAUGAUUAUAUAUUAUUAUUCAGAAAAAGAAAUUUGAAAAAAUAAUAUUUUAAACUACCGGUCAAAGCACUUAAAAGUGUGUGCCAAAAAUUAAAGCGUCAUAUAAAAUAAAAAGCGCAAAUCGGUCCUAAGCGGUGAGGUGACCUUCUAGCGCUUAAGCGGAUAAGCGGACGCUUAAGCGGAAUUUUAAGCGGGUGAUUAAGCGGAUUAAUAAUAUAUAUUUAAAAUUUUAUAUAUAAUAAUAUUAAAUAUAUAAUUAAAAUUAUAAAAUAAUUAAGUAAUAAGAAUUUAAACAUAAAAUGUUUUUGAUAAAAAAAAUAUUUUUAAUAUUUUAUUAUAAUCUUCAUAAUAUUUAUAAAAAAAUAUUUGUAUUUAAAUAUAAAAAAUUAGCAAGACAAAAUCAUUCUGACCGCUUAAUGCGCUUAAUGUCCGCUUAAUCCGCUUAACAGGCCGCUUAAUGUUAAAAAACGCUUAAUCUCCCGCUUAAUGUAAAAUCGAAGCGUUUUACCCUCCAGUUCCGCUUAAGCGCCCGCUUAGACGGCCGCUUAAUGCGCUUUUUAGAACACUGAAAAAAACAGAGGGAGUAGUAGUACUGAUCAGGACGGUUGCAAACAGCAACAUAAUAUCUGAUUAAUUCUUAAAUAUAUUAAAAGGUUUUUUUAUUAAUUUAUUAGACUAAUACUUAAAUAUUUUUAGGAAAAUAUUUUAUUAAUUUAUCGAUUAUGGAUCAUAUUUUGAGUGAACUAAAAAUUUCAGGAUUAUAAUAUGUGAUGUAUCACAGAUAAAUUCUGUAAUGAUUGAUGACUCAAACGGUUAAUUUAAAUUAUCAAAUUUUACAGUCGUGACAGCUAGAAUUAUAUAGUCAUGAGAGCACUUUAUGUUAGAAUAUAAGAUACUGGAAAGGGCCAUUCUCUAACACCUUGAGAUUUUAGAGUAACUGGUUCCUUGACAUGGUAUCAGAGCCAGGUUGGCAGAGGACUCAGGUUCGAUCCCUGCCACCCCCAAUAUUCUCACAAUUUAUAGUGGCACGAAUGGCAAAUUAAUGCUCCAAAGAUGAGCGCCCGUGAUCCACUCUUUGAUCCAUAAAUAGGCUCUCACACUUUAUACCGGUCUUCUGUACGAGUCUUCUAAAAAUCAUAAAAUCGCAACAGCCUUCGGAAAAUCGAAUCGGAUGAUUCAGAUGAGUUAUUCGGAUUUCGACAAUUCGAGUUUACAUUGAGAUACCGAUAUAACUCUUGACACUUAAUCAAAUUUUGAGCCUGGUUAAAAAUAGUUCACAACAAAAAAUCUCGUAUGCGCAUCUGGACUGAUAAUUAGGUAACAUAACAAUACUUCGGAGGAUCAAAGAUUUCAUAGAAACAGGGAUUUUGAAAAAUCAAUAACUUUGGGUAUCAUAUUUCAAAUUUUGGAGUACAGAUUAUUUUUUGAUAUCUCCUCAACAGAAAUUCAGGAUUAAUAAUAUAAGGUAUCCUUAUAGGCAGUGGCGGAACUAGAAAUUCAUGUAAGGAGGGGCGACAUAUAAAUAAUAUAUUAUUAUAAUGAUCUAACUUUCAUUUUGCAUGACAAUUUAUACUAUUAAUUAAUCGACCUGUUUAUAUUUCAGUUUGUUUAUGUUUUACUAUGUGAAUAUAGUAGUGAGCCUGGGUCAGUUUUAAUGGACCAAUGAGUUUGGCUAUACUUCUUAAUAUUUAAGCAGGGCAGCAAACAACUAUCCACAAAAAUAGACCUAUAAAAAAUUUGAUUAAGCAGGGUCAGCGGACCCUCCAGUCACAUGGCUGCUUCCGCCCCUGCUUAUAGGACUUCCCAGGAUUAGUAACUCCAGAUAGUGUAAUACUAAUAUUUGGUCUCAUGUCUAAAAUAGUUUGCUCAAAAAUUUCUUGAUUGAUCUAUGAUAGCAUUUUGAGUGGGUCGAAAUUAAGAAACUAAGUUAUCACCAAAGUUUGACGUGCAAUCUCAAGAUGCCUUGUCGCGAGCCAAGGUGUUUACGUGUCAGGCAUCGGUGAGAAUAUGAUGAAUGUUAGAACUUGUUGCACUAAUUCUAACAGACAAUUUUAAACGGGACUUUAAGCAAACAUUGGAACGGGACUUAAAGCAAGCAUCUGAAUGACUCCUCCAAGAUGCUAGCAUACAAGUUUAUUUAUUUUAAACUUUAGCAAUUAUGAUUUUAGAAAUCAGAAAUCAUGACUAAUCAGUUAAUCUGUCGUUCCAGAAUUUUAUUGAAAUUUUUUAGAUAAAUCAAAUUUUUUAAUCAAUUCAGAAUAUAAUCGAUUAAUUGGUAAAAAAUUAAUAACUUAUUCACAGGUUAAUCAAUUUUCUUUUAAUAAAUUAUGAAUUUUUCGAACACUUCACGGAACAAAAUAGAAAUAUUAAAUAUACCGGGAGAUGCGUCUGUGUGGAUUUUUCCAAGCCUCGGAUGAUAUUUUGUUUUGAAUUAUAUCAUAUAUCUAAACCUUUAUGUACACGUAAAUCCUCCUACAUAUUAUAGUUAUCUUUUAGAGAAUUAUAAUAUUGAUCCAUUACAAGUAUGGUGGAGGAAGAACAAGAUUAAAGAAAGUUUAUUCUCGCUAACCCUUCUUAAUAUUUUGAUUAUAAAUUACUAACUCUUGAUAAUGACUCUGUAAUUAUUAUAAAAUAAUCACUAGUGUCAAAGAUUAAUGUGUACUUAGCUCAACAACGAACAACUACAACAAAUUAGAAAACUGCUUUGCUAGAAUUAGCAAGUGGUAUUUAUUUUGGUUAGUUAUUGACUUCGUCACUAGCUAAAGCAGAAUAGCAGAUGCUUUCUCUAUCCGGGAAGUUGACGGUUCACAAAUUUCAAUUUUGCCUAAAUUUGAAUAUAUUAGGAUAUUUACGACUAAUCACCUUAAAAUUGAUAAUAAUUCUGAUUUCAAACUCCCAUGAAAGAAACCAUGAUUCAAGAGUAUUAUGAUAUUCAAUCAUAUAUCAAUAAAUAUUAUUUUAUAUAUUCAUUAUAUAAUUUUUUAUGUAUAAUAGCCUUUAACCCGUGCGAAGCACGGGCGGGUAUAUAGUUCGUAAUUUAUUAUUUGUGAAUUUAAAUUUUAACAUCAUGUUAUUUCAAUGCUCUUAUAAAAUGUAGUUCCGUAACUUAUUUUUGAGAUUUUGUUUUUCUGAAUAAAAAUAUAACAUCCAAACUUUAAUUCAGAAAAAGAAAAUUUCAAAAAUAAAUUACACAACUAAACUUUACAGAAGCAUUAAAAUCCGUGCCGCGUCCCCGUCCCCCAAUGUAUACUACUCAGGGGGAUGGAGGGAGUAGUAUUUUAGUAUUAGUGGAUUAAAUUUUAAUUAAAUUAUAUUAUUCAACUGAUUAUAUUUUCUCCCGAUUACUUUAAAAUGGACAAACCCUAAUAAAUAUAUAUGUCAGGAUUUUAGUACAUUUAAUCCGAAUUUAGUACACGUAGAUUUAAAAAUAAAAAAAAUUAGAAAAUUCAAAUCUUUUCUAAACAUAGCCCAUCGUGUAAUACCUUUCGAAUUUCAACGUAAUUUUGUGAUCUUAGUUUUUUUGACAACAAUAACUUUUAAGAGUUAUAUGAAGGUUCUUAUUAAAAAAAGUUAUUCAAAAUUGUAUAUUUAUAAUUUUAUUUAUAACAUCAUUAUAAUUUUUUAAUGGAAUUUUAUAUGAUAAUGAAUUUUUAUAAUUUUAUUUAUAACAUCAUUAUAAUUUUUUAAUGAAAUUUUAUAUGAUAAUGAAUUGUUAUGAGUUUUUUUAGUAUUUGAAACUGUUUAACAAUAUAAUACUAAUAGACUCCACAUUUGUAGACUUGUAGUACCAAAAGGAGACUACCAAACCAAAAAAUAAUAGACUCCAUAUUUGUAGAUUUGUAGUACCAAAAGGAGACUACCAAACCAAAAAAUAUAACUAAAAUCUUGGAAUACAAAUUAUACCCAUGUUGGCUUAUUAUAAUAUAGUAUAGAUAUGUAGUUGUCAAAAAAAUUGUACCUAAAUAUUACUCUUUCUAUUCCAUGGGUUGUUUAUAUUGGGGGUGAGGUUUUGUAUACAUUUUGAGAUACUUAUGAAAUAUAAUUUUAUAAAUUAUAUUUAAAAAAAUUGUUAUAAAAUUUUUUAUGUUUAAAUAUUUAUGUAAAAACCAAAAAUUUAAAAAAUAAAUUAGGAAUCUACAUUUAUAUGUAUCUUAAAAUUCGUGUCAAAACAAUGAAAAAGAAUUUAUAAAAAAAAAGAGAAAUGAAACUAUAUCUUACGAGAGGAUUGAAAUAAAUUAUAAACUAUAUCUUACGAGAACGAGAGCAUUAAAAAUGCUUGUCGAACAAUAAAAAAUUAUAUAAAACUGAAUGUAAUGGAAGAAAUAUCUUUUACCUCUUAUCAUGGCAAAAAGUCGAAUAUUAAAAUAUAUUAUAAUAAUAAAAAUAUCAUGUAUACAAAUACAUACUUUACAUGAUUGAUACGAUACGGUUUGAUUCUAACAACAAGAAAUUAGAUUUUAUUCGGGAUAUGAUUGAAACGUGCAAUUUAAGAGUGUCUUGGAAUAAAAUAAUAGAAGACAUGAAUGAAAAUAAUGGGACCUCGAAAAUGAGAGCUAAAAGAGAUGGAUAACUAAGGAGUUUCAGUGGGCGGUAUUAGCAUUGUGGUUUGGUCCACCCCCGGUUUUGAACUGGGCCACGGGCCCACCUUAAAUAGCUGUUGAUGAGAUGACGUGAACAAAAGGCGGCCCAACUUAUCAGAUCGUGUUUAGUACUAUGCUACGUGUACAGCCCAAGUUAUGUCAUCACCAUCUCUGCUAGCUGGACUCCAACGACUUUUUCCGCUUUGGUCACUCUUGUCAAAUUGUCUUACGUUCCGUAUUAAAUCAUAGAAAUUGCUCGGUUGAAGCAGGUACGGCAGAGCAAAACCGAACCGGAACUGAGUAACCAAAUCGAACCAUUAUUUAUUUACGUAAUAAAAUUUUAAUGAUGUUUAUAGAUUCGAUUUCAUAUAGUUUAAUCAAUUUUAAUUUACACUAAAAUUAAUUAUGAAUAUGUAGUACAUCUCAUUUAUAAUAGUUGAGCAAAAAAUAUAUCAAAGAAAACAAUUAGUUUAAAUGUUUAAAUAUUAUAAUCAAAUUUUUAUUAGUCAAUCAGAAAAAGUUUAUUGAUUUAGUUAAUUUACACAAACUAUCAUAUACUUAAAUAAUAUAGUAAUGCUACGUGUCUCAAAAAUAUACUAGUGUACGUAGUUAAUCAAUUCCUGUAUACGUCCACAUAUUCAUGUAGAUUAAUUUGAUUAUUUAGAUUUAGGAGGAUACAAAGUUCAAAUUUCAAUAAAUAUACUCUUUCCGUCUCUUUUUAAUUGUCAUAAUUAUAUUUUUCUUUGGUCAAAUUGACUAAUUUUUGACUAAAAAUUAUAAGUCACUCUUUCAUUAUUAUAAAAAACUGAAAGUCACAUCUCAAAAUAGAUUAAAAAUUAAUCCCAAUAAUAUAUAUUUUUUAAUUUUAUCAAUUGAUAAAAUAUUAAUAAAUUUCAGUCAAAUUUUGAUAGGGGAGGGGCUAUCCAGGGCUUGAGCCCGGACUGUUUUAGAGAAAUUUUUAGAGCCGUAGAAGACUCAUUAAAAUAUCUGUCACAGUCAUCAUAGUUUAGAUUUUUGGUGUGAGCUAUUAGUCAUAAGAUAGUUUCGCAAGACUCCAGCGUGAAGUACUAUCAAUUCCAGAUAUCUAUUCCGAAACGUAAAAUUUCACUCGACAUUCAUGCGAAUUUCCCUUUUUUUUUUUGGAUAGAGACACAAUACAACUUUCAAACAGUUGGAAACAGCAAUGAAACUGGAAACAUGUACCAAACUCUUGGAUAUGUGUGUGUGAAUCUAUGCUGCAUAUGGGAGGGACACGUUGAGAAUCAUAAAAAUUCCUGCAACUCGUUAUUAAAGUAUUGGAAUUGUUGGAAGUGGUUAUCACUUACAUUUCACUUUAUUGAAAAAAUCUCAUAAAUUCCGGAUAAAUCCUGAAUCAGUAGAUUAAUUGAUUUGUUCUGAUUCCCGAUUUCGAUUCAUAUAAUCAUAUAUUUUUUAAAUGUACUGUGCAUCCGUUUUCUUUUUAAACUAUAUGAUGCUAUACAUUAGCUUGCUGGCAGAGACAUAAGACAUUGCAUCUGGAUUCUGGUGGAAGCAAGCCAGACAAACUAAUUUUAGUAGACAAUGCAUCAACAACAUAAAAGUGAAAUAGCUAGCAGUAGUGAUGAGAAUUCUACUUAAAUAAUAUUUACAUGCACAGUUUGUGUUUAUAUUCUCCAAGAAUGAAGUAUUAGAUUCCAGAAUAUCGAUCUGAAAUGUAAAAAUCACAACGCAAUGCAAAUUUCAAACAGUAACGGAAUGACAAAAAAACUGUACCUUUCAAACUAUUAAUGAAGUAAAUUUACCAUGAUUUUAAGACCGGUAUCCGAAUUCACUGCGAUGCUGCCAUUGUUGAAGCCCGCAAUAAUGCCAAAGUAACUGUUAACGGAAAAUUCACUCUGAUCUUCUCCAUGACAGGAUUUAGCCAAUUAGGGUUUCAUAUUUAUUUAUUUUUUUAAAAUAAAAAAUUCUUCGAUGAGAUGCACAGUUGGCCGAAGAAAUGAGAUAUCCGAUUCAGCAAUACGUAUACCAAACAUCAAAAACAUCUUUUAAAAAAAAAACAUCAAAAACAACAGAAGCACUAUAGAAAGCCAUUUGAUCUCCCUGGAUUUGAGAAACAGAAUGUAAUGUUAUAAACCCAGUGAAGACUUCAGAUAUCAGUUUAAUCUUUACUAUAUUAAGAAAUUAAAUUAAUUAAAUAUUACAAGAAAAGUAAAUGGAAAUAUCUUAUCUGCAUUUCUUUUACUAUACUGGUGCGUCCGUUUUUCUUUUAACACUGGAUGAUGCUAUACAUUUGCUUGAUACAUGCUGAACGCUGGGGAAUCUCUCAAAUGCUUGUACAACUUUCAUACUGUCCUCCCUUGCUGCAGAACAUUGGACUCCACUUGAACGUCGUUAUCUCCAUAAACCUCAAAGUAGUGCGCUGUCAAAACAAGCUCCACCAUGCUUUGUCCAUCUUAAAACAAAUCGAACUACAAUACCUAAUUCAAUUGAUUUACUUCCGACGUUUAUCACAAGUUAAGAUCUUAUAACUUGCAUGAGGACCCUCGGAUGUUUCACGCAUACUUACAUGCCAACCAAUGGCAUUUCCCACAGCUUGAAGUUCAUCCAUUACUGAAAGGGUAUCACGGAUAUAUACAUGUCCACCAGGUCUCAGAAUUCGAUCCAUCUCUAGCAUAAUGGUAGAGACAUUGCAUCUGGUAAAAGAAAGUCGAACAAACUAAUUUAGAAGAAAAUGCAUCAAAAACAUACAAGUGAUAUAUAUUGGACUUAAAUUUCUAUAUCACAAGGACAACAUGUGUUCAUAUUAUCAAGUCCAAACAAUUUUGUAUUCUUUAGAUUUUUGUUGACUCAUCAUUAGUUAGUAACAUGCUUAGGGGGUGGGUUUGUGAUCACCAUCCAUCAGAUUCAGAUAUAUACUCAAAAUUAAGGAGGUAGAAUUACCUCUUUUUCUCAACAGAGAAAAGUCCAUUUGCAUGCAAGAGAUCAUAGGUUCUCGGGUAUGUAUCAAAAGGUUCACACCUGGCAAGUGUUGUAAACAUGAUUAGCUUUAAUUAAUUAGAGCAGAAAAUAUAUAAUAGUGUAUGUCUUUCAUUAUUUGCGACAAUAACGGAGCGCACAAUUGUUGUGCAAGGACUUUGACAGAGACAGACGCAAAUUCCAGGCACUCAGAUGGUCACAACCCCAAACCAAGGCCAGAGCCCAUUGAAAAUCAGAUCCAAUUACCUAUUGCUUAAGAUGUUACUUGUCCUAUUAUUUCCCAAUAGUAGAAACCAAUUCAUAACUGUAGGACAAAAUGCAUUUUUCCAGCAAGCAGUAACGAACGACUGCACUGCAUUUAUUUUUACCCUCAUCCCGAACAAAAAAGUGCACCUGAUUUCGUGCUUGAACUAUUGAACAUGACUUCUAAACUGGGUGACCAACAUUUUUGUAAUGAAAUAUUCAUGACACUGCAUAUAUAACGUAUUAAGACAACAAAAUUGAGAGUGACAUAAUAAUGCUCACCAGUCAUGCAUAACCCCCAGAAGUCCACGAUCAUAAAUAACAGGCAAGGUAUUAGACCCACUUACAGGAACAACAUUCAUAACCCAACAAUCCAAUUUGUUUUCUAUUAAUGCUGCUGCAAAUCUGAAAAGCAAACCAAAUGAUUAUAAGUAAACAACAGACUUUAGAGAACUGCAAAAGCAGUGCACUUAUGAUUAAGGAAUCAGCUUUAGCUUAUGUCCUAAAUGGUGUUGUUUGUAUUUAGGACUUAUAAAUUAGAGCAAAUGAAUACGAGUAUCAUACCCUCCAAAACCAGCUUUCAUGUCCAGCACAUUCCUAAGCUUGAAACUCUUCCAGUGCAAAGCACGUACGUAGCUUUCUAUUAUUUCAUUCCAAUAUUUUGCUUCUGCCUUAAAGAGUUCUUUUCGUGAUAUAUAAGCAUCGAGUUGUAUGCUUUGAAGCCUGUCAGGAGGAUUCUGCAAUCGUGCAGGCCAAGUUGUGACAUUAACUCCAUAUCCAGUCUCAGGUAGCCGUGUGAUGCAUGCCUUCAAGUUCACAUACCUAAAAGCAAACAUACAAAGAACAGUACAUGAUGCUCUCUCCAUUUACAGGUUAUCUCAUUUCAAAUCGACUUAAACCAACAUAAACAUCCCUCUCGCGGAUAAUAUUUUUACUCAACAAAAAAGUAAUAGUACAUCUCUGAUACAAACCUCUUUAUAUACAAACUACUAACUAAAAAUAAAAAAAAAAUCUCAAUCACGAAGAGUUAUAGCACACAUGGUAUGCAAAUUGAUCGUUAUGAGACGAAGAAAAAUACAGCGAAAUCAGAUUUCAAAAAAAAAAACUCACCAAUUAAUGGGAAAAAUGUAGAAGUAAAAGUAAAAUUUCUUAAACCCCUUAAAUGAGGUUGAGGACUCUGGUCACAAAUGCACAAGUCGCAUAUACCGCAAGCACAAGCACACAGGAUACCAACACAAAUUUUGACAAAAAUAAUAGGCCAUACUCAGUAUUUAGAAAGAAAAAAGGAAAAAGCUGUGAUAGAAAUUUGGGUAGACUUGGAAGUGUGGACCUUUUAGCCGAAUAAGGCACCAAGCCAGAUUCCACCUGUGUCUACUGGAACUGCUGACCCUUUACCAAACCAAAUAAGACAGGAAGUCUUAUCCAUAUAUUUGGCAUCACAUAGAACAAAAUAGAAAAAUGAUAUAGGAAACAUCAUAUUUUUCACAAAUGAAGAUUUUGCAGACUCCUUGUUAAAAGCUACAUUUAAGCAUUAUUACUAUGAUAGCUAGUGUGUCGUUUAGUUGUUUAAGACGAAGGGGCAUUGUUUUGUUCCAUUGAACAACAUGCAAGUACAUAGAAAGCUUACCAAACAUUGUCCGGGUCGUCAUUAGUUUCACACAAUGGUGGUUGGGUCCCUGGCUCCCGCUCCAAAUAGCAACUAUUGUUCAUAGGCUUUUGCCAUAUUGCAAUAUAUCCCUCCUUCUUUACAAGAUUCCAGCAAAGGCGGGUGGUAAGGUUAACCAUUUCUGAAAACGGACAAAAGUCAAUGAAAAUAUAUGUGAAUGAAAGAGCCAGACUUGUAGAUUGAAAUAUUGCAAAAAUGAAUAAACCCUGCAUUAAACAAAAAUAACUGCAAAUCUGUUCAAACCAAUUAUAGAAGAAUACAUGGCAAACAUAUGAUAAACCAAAGUACAUUUCGUUUCUCUUUUGUGUUCCUUCCUAUUCAUCAUAUGUUACCAAUAAAAAUUGUAAUAAUGUCAUGAAAGAUGUGCCCAACUGGACCAGGAAGCUGGGCUACAAGACAUCUCAUAGAUGUUAGUAAAACACCCCUUCCUCACCCGUCAUCAGGAUUACUACUAUUCUUUGAAUUAAAAUGAAACCACUUGGGGAUGAGCACGGAUCAAAAGAUUGUGUUCGAGGUAAAACAGGAUACAAACAGAACAAUUAAAGCAUCCAAAUUCAUUCAACAAAACAAGUUUGCAGUCACCUGGGAGAAAAGUUUUGCAACAGUUCUAGUGACCAUCAAUGUUUAAUUUAUUGUUAUCCUAUAGUGAGCCUUCAUCAUGAAACUAAUAGGAAGUGAUAAAAAAAUGUGUUUCAGCUUAACAGGGAAUGGGCACUGUUGAUAGGUGCACAAGAACUACAAAUGAAUGUGGAUUAGAUUGAACUUAAGUAUAGGGUACACAAACUAGACUUCAGGAAGUAUCUCCGUGUCAUUAAUCCAAACAUCAAGUGCAUCUAAGUAGUCAUUUUCUAGUCAGACACGAAGAAAUAACAAUACAUCUAUAAAAAAAUAUCUAAAACCCUAUAAGAUAUCAAAACUAUAAACAUCACCAAUAGACAUUCAGUUUAUUCACCUUCCCACUGUUGUUCUAAGAGUGGUUCAUGCUUAUAAACAGGCUGCGCUGCCCAAGCAAAGUAUCCUCCUCCACGUAGCAUUCUGUUGAUCUCCAGAAGCAAGAUGCCAUCUUAUUAAAUGAACAAAAAAAGUAGCAGUUACAGUAUGCUCAGAUGCGAGUAAAAAAAUCAAUAUCAGCGUGCAAGACAACUUGUUUAUCCUUCUCCCCUGACUAAUUUAAGUAAACUGAUCUAUAACACAAUGAAGGGUUUUCCAGUAAGAUUGGCAUCUUGUAAUGUAUAAGGCGGCAAUGUAACUAAUAUAAUAAGUAAUAGACAGAAAAGUAUAUGGCAUAAGCUUCUUUGGUAUUAAUACUCCGCUUUCCAAGAUUGGAGCUCUAAUGCAAUUAGUCAGAGCAUUUCUUCAUUGUCAUUGCUAAAAUUUUAGGAGUUCAGCCAGUUUGGUGGUGUCUCUACUUACAUGUAACUAGAACAAUACUGUCAGUAACCACUAGUAUAUAGCCAAUAAUGCUUCCUAGCAAUUAUAUACAUAUGCUGGAAAAAAAUUCAUACCAUCACGAGUCCAAUUAAUUCUACAUCUCGAGCAAUGUAUUAGCUCAAAAGCCUGACUUGGAUAUAACAAUCGGUGUGUUGCAAAAGCUGCCACCAUUGCAGGUACGCCACGCUCAAGCGCAAAUUGAAUCUGAUUCUCAUGAACAUCUUUUGGAGCUACAGACAUAGUAAGCACAUUCCGUGACAUCAAAUAAGCACCAAAACUCGCAACACCACAUCCAACAUCCAAAGCAACCCGUGUAUUACGGCCAAAUGCAAUAUCAGGGAGCAUCUACGCAUUCAAAUGGAAAAAAUAAGUAAGCACAUAUAAACAAUUCAGCUUCAACAAAUAUAAAAUCCAACAAAAAGCUAAACAACCUCUGAAAUCUGAUCCAAGUACUUAUCAGCCCCAUGUAUGAACUGUGUUCCACCUCCUGGAAACUUAAACUUGUCUUUGUCCACUGUAAUCCAAUUCUGACCACCUUUAUCUUCAGCCAAACGUGCAUGUGGAACAUUGCUAAACCAUACCUGAAUUGCAUUUAUACUCAUAAAUAAUCUCUUCAAAAAUUUUAUAUCAGAUUAAAAUUCAAAUAUCUAACAAUGGCUAUUUCCACAAUUCAAGUAUAAUCACAAUUUAAAAACAUAACAAAAGCAUAAUAUCUUAAUUCCACCCCUACCAACACCUAUAUUUCUAUCAUUUAGAACACCUACUAACAAAUCAUUAGAACCUAAACAUCGAUAAUUAUAAUAAUAGCUUGAAUUCGCACCUCAUCCCGACUUCUAGGCCACGGAAUAGGAGUCCGGUAACCUUUAGGUGACGGAACCAAACAAUUCAAUUCUUUCCCCUUCUCGGGACAAUGCCUCUCAAACUUUUCCCCUUUCUCACUACUCUCUAAACUCCUGAUCACCUCCACAUUAUCCAAACACGGAAUAUAAUCGCGCAUACUCAUAUCACACACCCCAAAUUUCUUCACACUAAUCUUUCCACCACUCUCCCCCUCCACACUCUCAGUCCUAUUCUCACUCUCCCACUCCUCCACCGCACUCGAAUCGAACUCACCCACCUCAAAAGUAUCAUUCAUCACCCCAUUCUCAUCAAUCACCCCCAUCCUCUGCACCACCGGCGGCGCCGGAGCAGUCUCCGGCGGUGGCGAAUUUUUCGCAUCGGUGACUGAACCACCCGGAGCUGUUUCUGGCUCAGACCCAGAAACGGUGUCGUUUAUUAUAGACGAGAUGUUGAAUUGCUUGUUCAAGUUAGGAGAGAGAGUGACGGAGAAAGAUAGAGGGGACUGUUUAGAACUGUAAAAAAUGAGAGCUUGAUUGUUGUUGUUGUCGGAAUAAUGCUUUCCCAGGUAAAAAAAAGUUACUGAGAUGAAGAAGAAGAGUAAGAAUUUGACGAAGGUUUGUGAUUUGAAGAGAUCGCCAUUGUUGAGUGGCUUCAUUUGUGUGAUUGCGUUACUACCAGAUCUCAGAGGCUGUCUGGCUCCUGAGAAGGCGUGAUCUGUCUGUACAUCUUAUGUAGGAAUCGGGAUGUAUACGUGUGUGUCUAUAUGUAUUUUUGGAUUUCCAUUUAUGCCCCUGUUUCUUUGCUUGCUUUUUUUCUUUUCUCUAAUUUAAUCAUUAAGAAGUAUAAUAUUUUUUUUGUUUCAAAAAGAGGUAUAAUAUUUUUUAAUUUUUUCUCUAAAUAAAAAUUUAACGCUUCAAUAUUUACUAAAAAAGAAAUUGAAAGAAUGUUACUCGUUUCGUCCCAUAAUACUUUUCAUGUUUCACUUUAUCACGCUGGCCAACAUACACUUUUGUAAUAUUUUUAAUUUCGUAUUAGUAAUAAUAUAUAAAAAUUUCACCAUAUUAAGGUAUUCGUAAAUACGAAUCCAAGAUCACUCAUGAAUAUAUUUAAUCUUAUUGAUUAGACGUAAAUGAGUAAUUUAUCUCAUAUCACGAACAGUCUCGAAAUUUCAAACGAGAGAAGUAAAUAUAAAUGAAGAGAAUAUGAAAGUAUAUUUUAUAAGAAUCUCAAAAUACUCAUAGUGAACGUAAAUAAACUGCUAUGAACUAUUGGGAGUAAUUGUUUUUACUUAAAGUAGGUGAUGUUGGAAAUGGUUGAUAUAUGAAAUUUAAACCAAUUCCAUUUGUAAGUUAUAUUUACAUUUUACAUCCCUUUAGUAGAAUUAUUAUACAAUAGUUUAAUAGUUUAUGUUAAUAACCAUUACUUGAAUUUAAAUUUUAUUUUCUUGAAUCAUGUAAAUACAAGUUUUUUUUUUUAGUUCAAUAACCCAACUACAAAUUUUGAGUCAAUUCGAUUAUGAUUUAGCUUAUUAACCCGCAAAUAAAAUAAUUAAUGAUAUUUAAUAUACCAAAUGAACUAACCAAUAAUAUUUUUGUGAUUAUGUGAUAAAUGGGGUAUACUCAACAUUUUACACAUAAUUUAUUAUGUCCUUUUGUCAUUGUUUUUCUUCUAUAUAUAAGAGUGAAUAGAUUUUAAAUAAAAUUCAUGAGAUACCAAUUAAGUAAGUUAGACAUCUCCAACAAUAAAAAAUCCUGAGCUAAUAUAUGAGUUGGCAUACCAAAAUUAAAAAAAUUUAGCCAAUGAAAAAACAUUCCUUUUAAAUUCAUCUCCACCAAUCGAAACACAAACAUUACGCAUUAGAGUCUAUCAUAAUAUAUAAAUGUCCAGUCACAAUGCUGGAAAAGAAUCUGAAAUCUGAAAUAAAAGAAAGCGCACUGAUGGUGUCAUGGUGAUUGUCACCCUAAAUACCUUACAUAACAAACACAAGAUUUUACCGCAACAAAUCAUUACUCAAUGUCAUUUAGAGUAUCAUAAAACCAUCUAAAGAAAAGCACACUGCCCUAAAUAUUUGUAUCCUGCUUACUUGUGAUUAUUGUUGUCGAUCACUUGAAACAAAAACUAGACUAAUGAUUAUUCGACAAAAACAGGUGCUACAUUAACUUAUAUUCAUACAAUUGUUCAUCACAGUUCCAAAGUUGUUGAUUGCUUAGGAACAUUUGAUGGAAUCCUCAAUAUGAGCCGAGUGCUUCUCUACAAGCAGUUUAAUCAGUGGACCCUCCACAUCUGUGACCCCUUUGGUCUUGUCACGACGGACUGAGAUGUUUCCAGUAGGGGUAACAACAGUGACCUCCUCUUUACGUGUCAGAAGCUCAUUCGCCACAACCACAUGCAUUUUAUACUUUUUAAGGGCCAUGUCAGCCUUCUUUAAGAGAAUAUCCCUAUCUGUUUCCAACUGGAAGAUAGAACAUGGGGAAAAAACCAGGAAAGAAUAAAAUUUAGAUACAAUUCUGGACACUGCAUAAAUUUGAUUUGUACAGAUACACUUAACCUUGAAUGAUAUGAAGAAUGCCAUUGGAGCCCAAUCAUUCCUCAGAACCGGUAGCAUCUUCGGCACCUGAGCAAGUCGCAUAUCUAAAGGACCCGAUGCAGAUUGGAUUUUAUGCAUUGCCUAUACAGUUGAGUCGAAAAACCAUAACAAUAUCAGAAUAUGGAGCAAGCAGCAAAAAGAGAAGAAGAGAAGAUUCAAUAACAUACAUGGUAUCAACCAUGCUAUGUUUGUAUCAAGUCAAUAGGCAUUCCUAAAAGACAAAUAUAUAUAUAUAUAUAUAUAUAGGGUCCUACUCUGGUACAAACCAUCUUAGCGUACAAACUACAAACUAAAAUUAAAAAAUCUCUAAAUCAAAUCGAAAUAUAGCACAUAUGGUAUGGAAAUUGAUCGUUGCGAGAUGAACAAAAAUACAGUGAAGUCGGAUUUCAAAAAAAGUUCACCGAUUAACGGGAAAAUUCAAAUUAAAAACGGAGGGGAAUCUGCGGAUCAUGUGUGACAGGGUGUAUAUUAACUGGUGUGUGGUUGCCUCUGCGGGGCCAUUGGAUUAGAUUCAUCCAAGGGCUUAUAUUGAGUUUGUAGUUUGUACAGUAACUUAGUUUGUAUUUGAGCACUUCCCUAUAUAUAUAUAUAUAUAUAUAUAUAUGCUAAAAUGGUAUCAACCAAUUUUGUCAUACCAUACUCUCCCAGGGAACAUAGAAGUCGGACACUGCAGCUGCAAGAUAAUACAUUGCAUAUGGCCCAAGAUUCUUCAUUGAUGUCGCAAUUAACUGUAAAAUCUACUGAUACUUUGCUCGCAUUCAACUCUUCCAAAAAAUGAUUGGAGCGCAUAUCCUCAAAAUCACAAAUCAAAAAUAUAAGGGAUAUCACCUGAAGAUACUCGAAAAUGGUGCAGAAAGGAAGUUUCAGCAAAUGGCCGCCUUUUACUGCCUGAAAGAUGAACUAAAAUUUAGGAAACUUUUGCUGCAACAUGACAUGCUUUAAAAUCUUCAAAAUACAUGAACUUAACACAAUAUUGUUGCUCAAUAUUUACCGCUUGGUGAUUACUGAUAGCCUUUUUCACUGCAUCAGAAUGGGAUGGAUGCACUGUAAAGCAACAAAAUAUCUAUUAAAAAAUUAAGUCACGGGAGCUUAAGAUACAUAAAAAAUAGUAUGUGGUAGAAUUUUAUCAUAGUAAGUCGAUAAUUUAAUUCAUUGCAUAAGCCAAUUAAAAUAAUAACUACCAAUGUUUAUUAAAAUCAUGCAUUUAGGUCGCUUAGCCGAAAACCAAACUAAAAUACCGAUAUAUUUCAAUUUGGUUUUCGGUAGUAAGUUUUUAGCAAUCUGGUAGAAGUUUUAUACAAAUUACGGAAAGAAAAGAAAAGUGGUAUUAGAGCUUAGGUUGCACAAUAAAUACCUAAUAUUUGACAAUAUUUUCAGGCUCUUUAGUACAUGUCAGAUAUAGCAGUUGUGGUCAUUGAAGUUAGAUAUUGUAAUGCACCAUGAAAAUGGUUUUAUAACUUGCGAUUAUUUAUCAGGUAAGAAUAUGCCAAAAGUAUAGCCAAUACAUGUUUUACCGAUCCAUAACAUCAGUAUCUCAAAUAACCUUCACCCUUUUUCAACUUGUGAUUAUUUAUCAUGUAAGAAUUUGCCUAAAAUAUAGCCAAUAUAUGUUUUACCGACUCGUAACAUCAGUAUCUCAAGUAACCUUCCCCUUUUUCAACUAACCUGAAAACUGAUAGAAUUUGAAACAAUUUUGCAAGACACAUUAAAAAGCACAACAAAGAUGUUGAAUUUCAGACCUUGAACAAAUGAUUCAUCGGUCAUUUCGAAACACUCUAACAAUGGAUUAUCCGGAAGAGAUGUACAGUACGGUUGGUAGCUUUCUCUGCAUAGACACAGACAUUAUCAGUUUAAAACUACAGUACGGUUGGUAGCUUUCUCUGCAUAGACACAAAAAUCAUCAGUUUAAAAUUACACAGUUCUCCAAUAGUAUUCAAAGGAAACCAUAACAAAAAACAGAACACUUGAAACAAAAAGUGAACAAGAGAAUGUAAUAACAGACUGAUCACCUCCGAUAAAGGAAUAUGACAGAAUACCCAGCCUUGAGGAAAUAUCUGCAGUACCAACAUUAGCUCCAGGGAAUUAUAUAUAUAAAUAUUUUUGGUAAUUUAUAAAUCUAUAAAACAGUUUCAUUGGUUAUACUCUGUGGAUGUUGCUCCCCUAUGACCUGAGCUAAAAUUGUCAAUAAAGCGAACACAGCGUUGUUCUAACGGAACUGUUGUACCGCCGGAUGUGACACAUACAACCCUCUUACUUCCACCAUUUUCUAAGAAAACACAUUAAUCAAAGGCAACUCAGUCAGCAAUACUUGGAUAAGAUCAAGGAAUCAAAGGAUCAAGUUAUUCACACAAUUGACAUAAUUAUUAAUAUGGUUGCCUGUUGACGAAGAAUUUGUCUCAAGAAAUUCAUGCAAUUUUUUGCAGACGGUGUUGCCAUCUCUUAGAGGAGGAGCAGAGUCAAAGAAGUCCUUAAUUUCAUCAUAGGCAAUUUCUUGAGGAGUCCCUGACUUUUUUUCCAUCUCAGUCAUCAAAACCUGUAAAAGUUCAUGUUUUUUAUUAUGAUUCAUAAAGAUUAUUAUAAGCAAUAACACCUCUAAAUAAACUUAUAAGCUUAACUUGACCAACACCGCCAUUUUACAAAAGAUCUUACUUAUAUCAUAAUGAUUUCUUCGAUUCUCCUGUGUUUGAGGAUUGUAUAUUUUUUUUAGUGGAUAGGUCUAAAAAAUGAAGGAUGAUAUUAAAACUGUAAAAGGAUGUAACUGUUUGUCAGGAACUCGACCCGAAUCAUUAUCGAGUUCGAACGACAAAAAUUGUUCGCCAAGAAAGUUUUAUUAGUGUUCUAAUUUGAACUCCACUCUUUAAACUCAAACUCGAGUUGGUUAAAGAUAAAAUAAAUAUUUUUUUAUUUUAUUUUUAUACUGUAUUUCUUGGAUGCUUUUUUCCCCUUGCAUUUGCUAAUAUUACAUUGGAACUCGUCUAAUAAUGAUUUUUUAAAUUAAUAAUUUUUAAUUAAAAUUCUAGAAAUAAAGUAAAAAAAUAAAAUAUUUUUUUAACUUUAUUUCUAGAAAUUAAUUCCCAAAUAGAUCACGAGCAUAUUAUGAAAUUUUAUGUUGUAUAUGACCCUAUAUUUCUAUUUGAUGUGCUCGUAUUUGCUUCUUAAAAUUCAAUUUAAUCCUAUAUAGAUGUUUGAUUUUAGCGAUACAUCAAAAGAGUGCUUCUGAUAUUAUGAAAGGAUGAUUUCAAGAGGCUAACAAUUGAAGUACUAUUAUCAAUCGAUCUACACUAACAACUUUGUGGUGAACGGGUGAAAUAUUUCAGAGUGCGAACCCACUUUGUUUUGUGAAUGGUAAAAUUGGCCUUCAUAAAAUAUCAUCAAAUUUGACUUGGACUGAAUAUUUAUAUGUUAAUUUCUCUACUGGAGUGGAUGGUUCAAGAUGUUCAAAAGACUGCUAAUUUGCAGCUUUGCAUAGCUGUGAUUGCAGUGUUCAAAGAAGACAUCAAAAGGCAGGUACAUGCUACCAUUUGUUGACCAGGACCAACAAAUGUAGCAAUAAACAUCAGCAUAGUAUAUAAGUCAGAAAAUUGUUUUUUUAUUCAAAAUUUUUGUAAGGAUCCAUUAUUGACAAUAGCUUGCUUAUUGUGUGAUAUAUGCAAUUGUUAUAACUUGACUUCAAUUAUAAAUAACUCUUUCUACUAUGUGUAUCAAUCAAAAUGCUGUAUUAUAUUUGUUUUUGUUAUGCUGCUUGAAGGAUGCGACCAAUACAGGUCUUUGGUAUCUUUGCCAAGCAGCUAGUGGCAUUAAAGAUAGGACAAAAUCUAAACCUUCUCAGGUAUAUGGAUGUUUGUGUUCAGAAGGUAAAGAUACAUGUGAUAUAGGAGAGUUCGCGCAAUGAAAUUCACUCUAAAGACACCUCUAGUUUAUAUAAUAUGCUAGAUCUGUAGUGAGUGUGCCAAACUUGAGCAAGAAUAAGUGAUCAGUCUGCUAGCCUAGUUUUCCUCUGCAAAAAGUGUUUUGUAAAUCGACGAUGCCCAUUGUAACACAAUUCUCAACUAUCAGUCCUCUCUUCUAAAUUCUUAAAUUCAAUAAUUACUGCUUUCCUAAACAUCAAUAUAUAUAUAUAUAUAUAUAUAUAUAUAAGAGGAUGCGGGCGUCUCUAGAAUUGUUCGAUUCAGUCUUGGAAUUUUUCUUAAAUUUUGGAUUUAAAAUGUUAUUAUAUUUCAAAAAAUCAGGUCCAAGAAUUCUAAAGGUAAUAUAAUUCUUUUCUUAUUGGAUUUUAAAAGUAAUACAACUCUUUUCUUAUAUAAUACUUAUUGACUGCCGAGUUGUACGAGAAGCUAUUUGAGGAUGAGGAGCUCCCAAUAGUAUUCCACAAGUCCUGCAUAGAACUGGGGAAAAAUCCUCGCUGUACUGAAUUGAACCCACACAGAGACCUCUUUUAGCGAAUACAGGUCUCUUGGUAGUCAUGCAUACAGAUGAUAGAUUAUUGAUCACUUAGUCUAAGUUGUAUGAGAUAGCAGACCGUUUGAUGAAGGGGAGCUUCUGUCAGUUGUUCACGAGCCCUGCACAUAAUUAGGAGAAGAGUUUAUUUCACUGUCUACUGAAUUCAAACUCGCAACUUAGUUGUUCGAUACCGAUAUCUUGGUGACAACUCUCAAAGGACUCUGGAUUUAUAAUAUAAACCGUCUCUAGAAUUGUUCGAUUCAGUCUUAUAAUUUUCUUAACUUUCGGAUAGAAAAUAAAAUUAUAAUCUAAAAACCAAAUUAAGUAUUGUAUAGAUAAAAGGAUUGCAAAGAUAGUACAAUUCUUUUACUUAUUUAGGAAUCAUAAAAGAGUAGGAUUCUAUUUAUUCAAAAUAACAUUUAUAGAACAAAUAUAAUUAAAAAAUACAAUUUUUAUUUUCAAAAGUUAUUAAAUUUAUAAUCUUAUUUUAUUAGUUUUUCUCAUAAAAAAUAAAAACCAGCAUCUUUCGGAAUAUAAAAUUGUCUGAAUAGGUUCGUAGGCUAAACUCACAUCGUUCCAUAAUGAUAAGAAGAUAGCAUCGCUAUCAUGAAAACAUCUUUGAGAUCUUCGCAACCUCAUUCAAAUAUUAUGCAUGAACUUACAACCGAUCUCAAUAAUAGUUCGAAUCAGUCUUAUAAUUCUCUUGAAUUUCGAAUAGAAAAUAAAAUUAUAAUUUUAAAAAAAUCAAGUUCAAGAAGCUUAAAGGUAAUACAAUUCUUUUUUUAUUGGAUUCUAAAAAGAAUAAAAUUCUUUUCUUAUAAUUUUCUUAAAUUUCGGAUAGAAAAUAUAAUUAUAAUUUGAAAAAUCAAGUUUAAGGAUUCCAAAAGUUAAUACAAUUUUUAUUUUUUUUGGAUUCUAAAGAUAAUACAAAUAUUUUCUUAUUUAGGAAUCCUAAAAGGAAUAGGAUUAUUUAUUUAAAUUAACAAUCAUAGAUAAAAUACAAUUUAUAUUUAAGAUUUGUAAGGUAAUACAUACAAUUUUUAUUUUUGAUUUAGUCUUAUAAUUUUCUUAAAUUUAGAAUAGAAAAUAAAGGACUGUAAAAAUAAUAAUCAUUAAAAAUACUAAUAGCACAAAAAUUAGAACCAUAAAAGAAUAAUAAUUAUUAACUAAUAAAUAGGAAUCACGAAAUAAAAAUAUUUAACAAAUAAAAUAGGUAUAUAAAAUAGGAAUCAUAUAUUGAUUUUAUGAUAAUGUAAAUGAUUCUUGAUUAGUAUUGUGUUUGACGGGCACGGGAGGCGGACCAAACUAACUUUUAUCUAAAUAAUAAUAAAUUUUCUAUUAGUAUUAGGUUUGACGGAAAAGUGGCUAAAAUAUUUUUUAUCUAUGUUAUAAUAUAUUUUUUUGUUAAAACAAGACCAAGGUUCAAAAAACUUUUUAUCAAAUCAUAAUCUUUAAUUUUAACAUAAUUAGAUUAGUACUGUGUUUGACAGUAAGGCGAUUCAAACUAAUAUCUAAUAUAAUGCUUUGUUAUUAGUAUCGUGUUUGACAAGAGAGCGGCUCAAACUAAUUCUGAUCUAAAUUAUAAUAUUUAAUUUUAUCAUAAAAAUAAUAAUUAUGGACUAAUAUUGUCUUUGACGGGAGGGGGUUCGAACUAAUUUUAUUAUUAGUAUUGUGUUUGACAGGAUGACCAUUUAAACAAAUUUUUAUACUAAUUAUAAUAUUUUUUUUAUUAGUGAUAUGUUUAACGGGAAGAUAACUCAACAUAAUUCUUUUUAUGCUAUUAUAAUAUUAAUUCGUAUCAAAAUUUAUAACGCCGCCGCGAAGCGCAGCUUUAUUCACUAGUUAAUAGAAUAAUAUUAGAGUGAUUAGUAAAUAAACAAGUGUGAAUUGAAUUGGAAUUGUAGGAGCACAUUAUUCUAUUAUUUGUUCUAUUAUAUAUUAAAAACAAAUCUACUGUAGGCUUACUUGGUUCACGUGUGGACACUCUACCCUGCCUUGCCCCAUUUUUGUUACUAAAGUCAAAUAUUUUAAUGUUUGAUGCCCUUUAAAUUAUCAAUAAAUAGUUAUAAAUCAAGAUUUUAGUAGCGCUUCAAUUCGAUUUUCGGUUCCGUCACUAAUACCCUUGGAUCUCGGCUUUCAUAGCGUUUGCCAAAAAGGAUGUAAAUUUGGUUAUCAUGCACAUAUCACAAUUCCCUCUUUUUACAGAAUGGCUCUGCUGCUGGAACUUCUGUUCUCUGUCCAAAUCUCAAAGGAAAAAGUUUGAAAAGUGAGCCUCAAGAAUUCUUGUCCUGAGAAAAAUUUAAGCAAUUUCAAGAUUGUGGCAGAAGUUGACGAAUAAAAGCAGAGCAGCAAGGACAGAUGAAGAGGUCUCACGUUUGAUAUAUCUGAUGAUCGACAGGACAUUAUCAGAGGAAAGGGAAUGGCGCAUUCGCUCUUUCAAGCUCCGACGAAUUUUGGAACUCAUGAUGCAGUAAUAAGUUUGUAUGAGUUCUUAGAAUAAUAAAUUAUUAUAUGCAUAAUAAUUGAAACCAAACUCAGACUCCACUUUUGUUGCUGCUGUAGUUCAAGUUUAGGUUGGUGACUAUUGACUGUGUAGUUUUUAUUUUCAUUUUAACAGGGGCCCUAAAGAACUAGAAAUAAUGUAAUAGGGAAAUAUUUACUGCAAGUAGGAGUAAGUGCCGUUGACGUUGAGUGCCAACUAGUUACUUAAAAGCUCAAAAACUAACAUCACAGAUGAACUAUUAACAAGACUCUUAGCAAGGCAAGUAUAGAGUCUCUUAAAUAUUGUUACAUGCAGACAUCAAUCAGACUAUAAUCAACAAAGGCAUUUUAUUCAAUUCUUGGUUUGCUGCUUAAGCUUUACUUUCAAUUUUUUUUUGGGAGCAAAAACCAUCAUUAAUUUCACUAUUUUUAUCGUGAACAUAUUUUUGUGGCAAAGAUAUUUUUUUAUUUAAAAUUUAGAGUUACACAUAAAAUUGAAACAAAAAUCAUAGAAAGACUUUACCUUAAAGAACGAGUAGUUCCAACGCAACUGCUGAGAAGCUAGAAAAAUCAGGUGCUAUGGACCUAACAGGCAGGUCAGUGACUUCUUCCUACGAGUCCUGAAUAACAAAAUUGAGAAAAAAAUAUGUGAACCAGCCAAACAAUACUAAACAAAUAAUAAUUACACUGUUCUUGUCUUCUCAAUAUAAUUCACCUUGUAAUACAGUUGUUAAACAGCAUGAUAAUGAAAGUAAACGACUAACAAGUCAAUUUGAUAAUAAUUCUCCUGUUAAAAACGUUCUUCGGACUGCAGUGCCAGCACUAACAGAUCCUGGUUGCUCCAAUAUUAAUUUAGUGGCUUGUUUACAGUUUUGAGAUAAUAAAUGUACUCACAUCUCACCAUUCUUGAUUUGUUUAAGAUCUCUAAUUACAUGAAUCGUUCAUCUGCUUGCACAUUAUCCCUUUUUCUGCAGAUGGCGAAUAAAGGCACUGGGCAACAAAAUAUAGGAAAAGAGACGGAAAGAAAAGAUGCUAAAAUUCCAAGCAAAGUUGAGAAAUAUGAGUAAAUGGAAGAACUUCAGCAGAGCAUAGCAGUACACACACUACUGCUACCCACACGCACACACAUCACAGCCACAUAAUAUGCUUACCACUACACACACCCAGACACGACAACACACACACAACAGCUACCUAUACUCCAGACACACACACAUCAACAACCUCCCUAACCUCGUUGCCUUCCUCUCGAACUCCUACAACACCACCAGUGACAUAACUACCCCUGCACCCCUGUUUUCCUCAAACCAGCCACACAAUCUCACCUUCUCAGCCCAUACACACCCGCAUAUACAGCAACAUACUCCCAAACUCACCAAAACACACACACAUACAGAACUCACCAUUCUCCCAAACUCACCAAAACACACACAUAUAAGGGGCAGAUCUAGAAAUAUUUUCUUAGAGGGACUCUAAGCAAAUUUUCGAAAAACCCCUAUAUAUAUAUUUUCACUUUUUCAGGUGGCACUUAUAUAAUUUUGUAAAAUUUAGAAUGAUAAAAAAACGUCAAAAAAAAUUUAAAGGGGCACGUGUCAGCCCAUGCCUCUUACCAGAUCCGCCCCUGCACACAUACGCGAAAACACACACACCCGCGUGCUGUUACGCAGUAGCACACACACAGCAGGACACAUGUAUACAGCCCUGCUGCAACACUGCCCUAUGUUCACCUCUGUACACGCACGCCAGACAUACCCUCACCCUUAACUCUCUCCGUUCAAACUCGUGCUAACCAUGCGAGAAACAAACAACAUCGAAUUCGAAUUACCUUUGUGGUUUGCUUGAAAUCGCCGACUGAUUCCCAAUCCCUGACCCCUGAUUAUGUGAAUACCCUGCUGCUUGCUCUGACACGUGAAGAGAAAAUAAACACAAACUAUGCCCCUGUUCGGCCGAGGGAAGCAGCAACUUCUUGCCUGCUUUUACUAGUUUGCGUACAAAAACACUUUCAAACUUUACUCCUUCCGUUUCCAAUUUGAUCUCUGUUUUCUAGAAGAAUGACAAAAAAAAAUUGAGAAAGAAGGGUAUUAAAAUGAUUAAGAGCAUCUCCAAUAGAUUCUCAGAGCAUUCCCAUUGCCCCCCCCCCCCCCCCCCCCNNNNNNNNNNNNNNNNNNNNNNNNNNNNNNNNNNNNNNNNNNNNNNNNNNNNNNNNNNNNNNNNNNNNNNNNNNNNNNUCCCCCUAUGUUUCUCUAUCCUCAUAAUUUAGAGAAUUUCUUAAUUUUUUAUCAAAACUGAAGCUACAUCCGAAAUCCUAAAAUAAAGUUUAGUUUUAGGGACCAAAGUGCAAUUGAUUAGAUGAUGAAUGAAAGAAAGAGAAAGAAGUAUUAUAAAAGGGAAUAUAGGGAUAGGAUAAGAUAGGAUGGGGAAUGAGAUGUGGAAGAUUUUUAAAUUCAUGAAGAUAAUUUUGGGAAAUUACUAAAUUUAGUAAGAAUAUAGGGACAGGGAUGAGGUACCCAAUGUGAAUGCUCUUAGCAAUUUAUUUUACAUUAUUAAAAGUAGAUUGAACUCAGAAAAAGACAAAAGAAAGAGAGUAUAUGAAACAAAUUUAUAAUAAAAUAUUAGUUAAGAGUUAUAUAGUGGCUCCUAUAAUUGAGAAGAGAGAAGAGACUCUUUGCCUCUAGCAUCUCCAAUGGUCUCCUAACACACUCUUAAAUAUAAUAUAAAAUAUUAGACUCCUAAUAAGUUAAUACAAAUUUAAAAGUUUCAACUCCAACAAUCUAUAUUAUGUAUUAAAAGUUUGGCCGGUCGUUACUUGGGCCAAAAUACGGGUCUAUCUAUAUAAUCAGUUAUUUUGGGCCCAUCGAUAUAACAAGUAUUCUUUUUAAUUUGGGUCAAAGUACAUGCCUAUCUAUAUAGCCAAUUAUUCUGGGUCUAUCUAUAUAACCAAUUAUUCUUUUUAAUUUGGGUCAAAAUACGGGACUAUCUAUAUAACCAAUUAAUCCUUUUAAUUAAAAUAUAUUACCUUUUUUUAUAUUUCUGAGUAAAAAAUCCAAUCUUCUAAAAUAACAUUGAGAAACAUGGUAAUUACUUUUUUUAACUAAAAUAUAUUAUCUUUUUAUAAAUUUUCUAACUAAAAAAUCAAUCUUUUACAAUUAAUAAGGACAUGAGCGACAUAUUUAUACGUAAAGAUAUGUGUCAAAAGUCUAAACGUCAAAUAAUGAAAAACAGAAAGAGUAUUAUUAUAUUGGUGGGGUGGGUGGUACUUGGGUCGAAGUAUGGGCCUAUAUAUAUAACUAAUUAUUCUUUUUAACUGAAAUAAAUUAUCUUUUAUAUAUUUUUUAGCUAAAAAAAACUCAAUCUUCUAAAAUAAUAUCGAGCAACAUAGUAAUUGUCUUUUUAAUCAAAACGCAUUAUUCAUUUUAGAUUUUCUAACUAAAAAAAUCGAGUUUUUACAAUUAACACGGGCGACAUAUAUAUAAAAAUAUAAUAUCAUUGUUCAUUCCUAAGCAUCAAGUCCCACCGACAAGUUCAUCUCCGGUCCUCGUAAUCCUUCCGAUUCUUCUGGUUUUCAUUUAACUAAGUUUCUAUUGUUUAUCCGCUACGGAUUAUAAACUCGAGAAAGCUCUCGGCGAUCACUUUCUCGAAGGCAAACGUUAUUUUGUCUUGAGAAUUUUGAUAAUACUUGCUAUUGCAACUCUGUUUUUCAGGUAUAUCUUCGUUUUUUUCUUACUUUCAUUUACUGAUUUAUUUUGAGUGGAAUUGCGAAAAGGUGUUUGACUUUAAUCUUGUUUGUUUGUGAGUAUUUGUUUGUUUAAUCCUUGUGUUUUGCUUGGUUUUUGGUGUUUUUGGCGAUUUUUCGUGUCACAAAUGAGACGCUUCGUAGUUCGCUUCGCAUACGACGAGGCAACUUGACCGAUAGCAUAGCGGUGGUGGCCGAUGGUGGCGGUGACAGUGGUUUCGGGACGGGAUCCGGUUCCAGAAAGGAAUGCGCUAAUUGUGCCUCCUCUUUAUUGAGGGCGUAAAUUGCGACUCUUGGGUGUAAAUUGUGCCUCUUUAUUGAGGGCGUUAAUUGUGCCUUAUUUGAGGGCUUUAAUUGUGUCUUAAUUAAGGACAUUAAUAUUUUAUUAUUAUGCCUUAAUUAAGAGCUUAAUUGUCUCAAUCAUGAGUUUUCAUGAUUGUGGGAAUAUUUUGAUAUAAUCUGUUAAAUAUAUCGACUUAUAUUCUUCUUGUUUCUCUUGUUUUAUUUUCAGGAUUCUUGGAAGAAGACCGGUUUUCUUUUCGGACAUUAAAGUUUUAUUGUAUAAAUUUCCCCGGUCAUCUUGCAUGUCCGACGGUUAGAUAAUAAGCUUUCUUGAAUGAAAGAAUUAUCACGGUGAAUUGCCGAUUCUCAUUGAGAUUUAUUCUCAUUUUCAAAAAAAAAACAUAAUAUCAUUAAGGGAAAUCUACAAAACUACCUACCUUUUCUUUAAUUAUUUACAAAAAUACUACCUUCCAGAAUUCUUUUUAAAAAUACCUUUUCAUAAAAUCUUUUUUUCAAAAAUACUGUUUGCAACUUUUGCAACCUCAUCUGCAACUCCAGGCGGCGCCAGCCGUGUUGCAACCUCUUUUGCAACUUCAUAUGCAACCAAAUUCCUGAUUUCAAGUUCCAGUUUUCAAAUGUCGUUUUCGACCUCAUUUUCGGAAUCAGGAUUUGUAAUUGCAUAUAUGGUUGCAUAUGGUUGUAUUCAGUUGCAUAUGGUUGCAUUCAGUUGAUUCUAUUGUAAUCUAUUGGCCCCGCCAGGGGCACACCAUACAUCUGUUGUUACUUACAGUUUUCAGUUGCAUUUAGUUGCAACUGAGGUUGCAAAAGUUGCAACUGCAGUUGCAACUUCAUUUGCAACCUCAUUUGCAACUUUUGCAACCUCAUUUGCAACUUUUGCAACUUACAGUUUUCAGUUGAACUAGUUGCAAUUGCAGUUGCAACUGUUGCAACUUUCCAUUUUUAUUUGCAACUUUUGCAACCUCAUUUGCAACUUUUGCAACCUCAUUUCCAUUUUUAUUUGCAACUUUUGCAACCUCAUUUGCAACUUUUACGGCUGCGCCGCCCAAGGUUGCAAAUGAGGUUGCAAAGGUUGCAAAUCGUAUUUUUGAAAAAAAAAUUUUAUGAAAAGGUAUUUUUAAAAACAAUGAAAAAGAUGGUAGUAUUUUUAAAAAAAUAAUUUUACAGAUGGGUAUUUUUAAAAAGAUCCCUAUCAUUAAAUACAAUUAUUAAUAAUUCAACCGAAAUACAUUAAUAACAUUAUUUUUAAAUACUUUAUUGAUCUCACAUUAAAAGAGAUAUUACAAAUCUAUCAUAUACUAUAUAUUAUUACACUAUUAAAGCCGAAAAUAAAAAGUUCAGUUGGUUGGUUAGUUAGUUGGGGUUGGUGAAUCGGUUGGUAUUCGACCCACGGUCCACGGAGCUCUUGAAUUUAUAACAUGUUAUAGGAUACUUUUUAUUAUUUAUUAAACCAAAACAUUAAAUUUAGGUUAGUAUGAUGGGUCGGUAUUUGGUUUCAUGCGUAUCUUUUAAGUUAUAAUAUGUUUUAUAUCAUAUUAUUAAGUAUUAAUAACGAGAUAUUAAAAGGUUGAUUGGUUAGUUUAUAUCUGAGUUUAUAGGCUUCCUUAAAUUAUAACAUGUAAAAAAAAUAUUUUAACAUUCUCAUUAAAAUAUAUAUGUUCGACCUAAUUUUUAAUUAGCCAUUUGACAGACUUAACUAUGAAGAAUUUAUCCAACUGUUAAAUAAAAUAUUUAUUCAACCACAUUAUUCCAUCAUAAUUUUAUUUUUACAAUAAAAUUAGGUAAAUUUAAAAUAUAUACGAUAAAAUAACAAAUAUGUUAACCGCCCGUGCAUUGCACGGGUCAUAAGCUAGUAUUGUUUAUACUUGCCCUUAAUUAAUAUUUUAUUUUUGUUUGGACUUGUAUAUGACACAAACUCAAAUGUAAUUGGAGGGAAUGAAAAUUUUAUUAUAAAAAAUAAGUUAAGAGCUUUGUAGUGGCUCUUAACUUUGAGGAGAGAGAUGAGAGAAACAAGAUGCUCCUAGUGAUAUGAAGAGCUGCUAAGAGUCUUUUGACGCAAAAAUUUCUCUCUCCCUCCUCAAAUUUCAAUUUAAGAGUUUUUUGGAGAUGCUCUAAGAGUGUCUUGGAGCUCAAAUUUUAGCAUGACUUUUUAUUUUUUAAUUCAAGAGUUCAAAUAAAGAGUUUAUUGGAGAUACUCUAAUUGAACAUAAUACGUGGUGUAUGGUUGAUGUUGAAAAUAUAAAUUAAAAAUAUGUGAAGUAGAGUUGAUUUUAGAAAUAUAAAUUUACAUUAAAGUUGAAGUGGAAAAAUAUUUCGAAACAAUUUUUUUCCGUUUAAAAUGGACAUAUAUUUUGAACAGAGAGAGUAAUUAUUAGUAAUUUAGUUCUCAUUUCUAUUCAGCUUCUUUGUUUGAACCUACUUUAACGAAGAAGUUCAAGUUAACCCGUCCGGUCCCUAUAUCUUUAUAUUAUUAAAACUUGUAUCCCCGAAUUUGCAAAAAAAAAAAAGUUGUUUUAAUCAUUGCAUUAAAUUUAGGUAGGGGCUUGCACGGGUCGGGUCGGUUUCUAUCUAAAACUUGCAUCGAAUCGUGUAUUUCGGUUUGGUUUUUAGUUAGGAACUGUAACCAAAAUGUUUCGAACGUUUUUUUCACGUUCGGUUAACCGCUGUUAGGUGUCGGUUUUUACAUAAUUAGAAAGUAGUAUACAAAUUUAAUACUAUUAUUAAUUUUAGAAAAAUAAUUAUAUAUUUGUAAUAUCAAUUUUCUCUUACUAAACUAUAUAAUUAAUAUAUUGUAGCACAUAUAUAUAAUAUGUUACGUAUAAUAUGUUACAUGGGUUUGUCUAGUGUGUGCCCAUGGGCACAUGCUAAGCACUAAAAUUUAUAGAAUUGGAGGGUUUUGAUUGGUGUGGUUGUUGUAAAUGCAGGGGGUCCAUCAUUAUUAAAGAGGCUAAGCCAAUAGAAACCAUCCAAAUUCAUCAAUUUUGGCGCUUAGUGUGUGCCCAUGGGCACACCAUAGAAAAACCGAUGUUAUAUAUAACAAUAUAUAAUAAAUGUUAUAUUUUUGUUAUAUAUUAUAUAUACGGUUCGGUUUUUCGGUUUUAGGGGUAAAACCGUAACCGUCACCAAACCGUUGUCGGUUCGUUACGGUGUUUUUCAGUUUUUGUCGGUUACGGUCUUAAAAUAUAAGUCAAAUUUUUGACCCGAUAAUAUUAUAUUUAAAAAUACAUUGAACAUCUUGAUUAUAUAUAUUAAACUUUGAACAUAUUAUUUCUAAUCCAAAUCUAAUACCUUAAAUUCUAUAAAUAAAAAAAAGUUUGAAAAAUAAAUAGUAUAAUAUAGCAUUAUACUCGUGUUACUGUUACCCCUCCGGCACAAGAGGCUUUACCCACUUCCUCACUUGCACUUAACGUCUGUCUCCUCGGUGCUCUUAAACUCUAGAUCCAACUUAACGUCCCCACACACUACACCCCCAAACUGAAUCUUCACACUCACUCGCCUAAAUAAAUAUUACUUGCUCACUCUCCGGCGCUAACAGCCUUAUUUAAUCUCUGCGAUUCUCAUUUUUCAAGUCCUCAAUGGAGGACGCAUACGCUAGAUCCGCAACCGAGGUAUCGUCAUCUUAUUUCACCUCUAAUUUAUCUACAAAUUCAAUUCAGAUCAUUUUUAUUCUUAAUUCUUGUUUAUUAUUUCGUUCAAUUUUCAAUUUAUUGUGAUCAUGUAAAUUUGAAUGUGUAUAUGAUGUUGUUUCAAUUGGUUUUACGUAAUUGUUGAUUUGGUGAUCAGUGAGCGUGUAGUUUGCUGGAAGAUAGUUGUGCAUAUCAGUAUAUGUGUAACUUGUAAGAUGCUUCCGUACUGUUCGGAUCAAAUAGAUAGAUAAUUUUGCGGGAAGCGUAUAUAUGUGCUGGUUGAGGGAGGGCAAGAGUGAGGAUCAAUUGGAUUAAUUGAUAUUGUGAUUUUUUGUUUUGAUAAAGAGUUGGUGAUGUUUUGGAAUGUAUAUGUGCGGUAGUGUGUGGGGGGAUUGAUUGGAUUAAUUGGCAUUUGAUGAUGUUCCGGAGUGAGUGUAUUUUAAUGUUUUGAUACUUUGUUUUGCAGGUUUUAGAAUAUUUCGGUGUGGAUCCAUCUAAAGGUUUGACAGAUCGCCAGGUACGUUAGGAUUUCCAUUAUCAUUAAUCGAAUUUCAAAAAUUAUUAUAUUUGUGAUAUAUGUCAAAUGUGAAUGACCAACUUUAGAUUAGCUGAUCAUAUAUGUUUACAGUGGCAGUGUGUCACCCACCCACAUUUGCAUCAAUUUUGGCGCUUAGUGUGUGCCCAUGGGCACACCAUAGAAAAACCGAUGUUAUAUAUAACAAUAUAUAAUAAAUGUUAUAUUUUUGUUAUAUAUUAUAUAUACGGUUCGGUUUUUCGGUUUUAGGGGUAAAACCGUAACCGUCACCAAACCGUUGUCGGUUCGUUACGGUGUUUUUCAGUUUUUGUCGGUUACGGUCUUAAAAUAUAAGUCAAAUUUUUGACCCGAUAAUAUUAUAUUUAAAAAUACAUUGAACAUCUUGAUUAUAUAUAUUAAACUUUGAACAUAUUAUUUCUAAUCCAAAUCUAAUACCUUAAAUUCUAUAAAUAAAAAAAAGUUUGAAAAAUAAAUAGUAUAAUAUAGCAUUAUACUCGUGUUACUGUUACCCCUCCGGCACAAGAGGCUUUACCCACUUCCUCACUUGCACUUAACGUCUGUCUCCUCGGUGCUCUUAAACUCUAGAUCCAACUUAACGUCCCCACACACUACACCCCCAAACUGAAUCUUCACACUCACUCGCCUAAAUAAAUAUUACUUGCUCACUCUCCGGCGCUAACAGCCUUAUUUAAUCUCUGCGAUUCUCAUUUUUCAAGUCCUCAAUGGAGGACGCAUACGCUAGAUCCGCAACCGAGGUAUCGUCAUCUUAUUUCACCUCUAAUUUAUCUACAAAUUCAAUUCAGAUCAUUUUUAUUCUUAAUUCUUGUUUAUUAUUUCGUUCAAUUUUCAAUUUAUUGUGAUCAUGUAAAUUUGAAUGUGUAUAUGAUGUUGUUUCAAUUGGUUUUACGUAAUUGUUGAUUUGGUGAUCAGUGAGCGUGUAGUUUGCUGGAAGAUAGUUGUGCAUAUCAGUAUAUGUGUAACUUGUAAGAUGCUUCCGUACUGUUCGGAUCAAAUAGAUAGAUAAUUUUGCGGGAAGCGUAUAUAUGUGCUGGUUGAGGGAGGGCAAGAGUGAGGAUCAAUUGGAUUAAUUGAUAUUGUGAUUUUUUGUUUUGAUAAAGAGUUGGUGAUGUUUUGGAAUGUAUAUGUGCGGUAGUGUGUGGGGGGAUUGAUUGGAUUAAUUGGCAUUUGAUGAUGUUCCGGAGUGAGUGUAUUUUAAUGUUUUGAUACUUUGUUUUGCAGGUUUUAGAAUAUUUCGGUGUGGAUCCAUCUAAAGGUUUGACAGAUCGCCAGGUACGUUAGGAUUUCCAUUAUCAUUAAUCGAAUUUCAAAAAUUAUUAUAUUUGUGAUAUAUGUCAAAUGUGAAUGACCAACUUUAGAUUAGCUGAUCAUAUAUGUUUACAGUGGCAGUGUGUCACCCACCCACAUUUGAUGUUAAAGCUAAUGCCGUGUGUUAUAGUUUUGGACCAAAAUUUGAGUUUCAUUCCCUGCUUGAUUUUCUGUUAAGUAAUAAAUGUUGUGGAUUUUGAGUUUGAUAAUGGCUUUAUUUACAUGGUUGUUCACAGGUUGCUGAACAUGCUAGAAUUUAUGGCCGAAAUGGUAAGUGCUUUGGCAUUGUAAGCAUUCCAAAUGUACUAUACAGCUGUCUGCACAAGUAAAUUAUAAAAUUUUGAUUGUAAGAAGACAUCACUUUCAUCUGAACUUCGGUGGAAUUAACACGUCUAUUGCUGGUGCAUUGACUUCAUCCAUUAAUUUUUCUGUUCUUGACUAAUUGAGUAACUGACCUUUACCCAUGUACAUAACCCCAUUUAUGAAAUAUCUGGGGUAAUUGAAGCAAUUAACUAAUGAAUAUAUGCUGCACAUACACACUGGCGGAGCUAGGUUGAUUGGCUAGGGAGUGCCAAAACUACUCUCAUAUAUAUAUUUUUUAUUACAACAUACAUUAUAGAUUUUUUCAUAGAAAACGCACAAAUUACAAAUGUAUGACUAAAUUAAUAAAUAAUAAUGUUAGUGAGUAAAGUUCUAUGGAGUACACAAAAUAUUGGAGUAUUGGAGUACAAAGUUGGAUAAAAUGUAAUCUAUUCAUCUAAAUUUCAAUUUUUUUGUUCAAUAAUAUACGUAAACAUUUAAUAACCUGCGCAUUAUGUUCUACACAACAUAAACAUUGUAAUCAAAAGGUAGAAUAAUGACUUUUAUAAAUUAUAGGAUUCUAUGUUCUGCAAUAUAACUAAUAAGCAGAACAAUAAUGUUAAUACUUGUCAAAGUUGAAGGAUGUUAACGAUUGAUAGACAAUUAUGUGCAAGACAACUUAUAAAUGAUAGAUUGUAUAUAAAUUUGCAUAAUCAAAUAUAUUAUUUAUGAUUAAACUAAAAAAUUAAGACUUGUACUCCAAUACUCCAGUGUUUUUGUGUACUCCAUGUAACUUAACUCUCUAAUGUUAGUUAUAUAUAUAUUAUGCUUAUAUAUACACUGAGCUUUAACAUAAUAAUAAAGUAGAUAUAUUAUUUGUUUAAUAUUUGAACAUAUGAAUAAAUAACACGAAAAGAGGAAGAGUAUUUGCAUUAAUAGGUAAAAGAAAACAAGCAAGCAUACCAAAACAUUGUAAAGUUUGUAAAACCUAACAAAAGUUACUGGAUUAACACUCAAAUAAUAGCCAUAUAUGGUCAUUUCAAUUAUAAAAGACAUAUUGUAACCUUAAAAGUGAAUAGGCUUACAACCAGCGAGCUUGGCAAACUACUACAUGGCAUUACUCUAAAAACCAUAAACAAAAACUUGACACGGGCAAGCUGAGGAUAGGCCCUGGCAUAUUCUACGCUUUUGUGGCCUUCUUCUCUGCACAUACACAUAUCUCUAGAAUUGAAAAUACUGGGCAUGGUGAAUAUAGUGUUGGUCAACUCUGGUUUGAAAUGCAUUCUAAAAUGAUAAACCCUAGUUAAUCGGAAGAGCUUAUCUCACNCUAUGUUGGGAAAUCCAAGUCCGUAGUUAUGUUUAGAUUUGGAUGAUCAAGCUAGAUUUUUGCAAUGCUUUUAAUAAAUGGUUAAGUUGUAAGACAGAAUGGAGGGGGAUUGAAGUAGUUCUUUUGUCCACUAUAUUCUGUUUACCAUAUGGAACAAUAUGUAAACUUUAAAAUUUGCAAGUGCUACUCUGAAAAUGAAAAAAAAUAAUCUGUUCUUGUCACACAUACUGUAUCAGGGAUUUUGUUUGUAAUACUAAUAAACUCGGUGUUCCAUCUGCCUAAUUCAUUUCCUGUUUUUUCUGCAUGGUUCACACAUGGCUGCAGUCUUGCCUCAAGAGGGAAGUAAGUAUAUUGUAGUCUCUCUCUCUCUCUCUCACACACACACACGCACACACACACACAGAGGGACACCCUCAUUUUCCAAAUUUCUUAUUAUGUUGAAUGUAAUGGAAAGUAUAUUUGGUAUUUAUUAGAAGACAGAUUUAAUAUUUCUUAAAAAUGAAAAUUGAUAUGCAUUAAAUCUGUGAUAAUUUAUGAAUAUAUUUUUAAGAUGUUUUGAUUGUAGUAAAGAUAUUAACAUUUAACAUUUUUAUUAUGCUAAGUAUAGGAUUAUAUUAUUCAUACUGAAGAAACUAUUUAAUGAAAACCGGAAUUCUUAAAAGUAAUUGCUCUAAAGUUUAAACUAUAACAUUUUCUGAUUGCAGGUACUCCUUUCUGGAAACUAGUGCUGAAGCAGUUUGACGAUUUGCUGGUCAAAAUAUUGAUAGCAGCUGCUAUCGUUUCUUUCUUUUUGGCACUGAUUAAUGGAGAGAGAGGCUUAACAGCAUUUCUAGAGCCCUCGGUAAGAUACAAAUUUCUAUUCUGUUACAUUGAUUUGUGUUAACUGCUAUCAGAAUUGCAUUUUUAACAGUAAAUAAUACAUUUGUUUUGUGGGCUGACUUUCUCUAGUAUUUUCACGUAGACAUAUUGUACAAAAUGAAUGCUAACAUUCGAUAUAUGCGAUGAAAAAGCAGGAAGAGAUAUGUGGCAUGUGUUCCCUCUAGCUGUUUAGGUGCUACACAAUAAUCCAUUUAGUUUUAAGAAUAAGAUUACUAACUAAUUAUAUUGAAAUCUAAGUUUGACCAUGUAAUAUGAAUUAGCUUUCUGCACAAUUCGGUGCCAGGAGGUGGGUGCAACGGCAUGUACAAUAUACUAAUGCACCGUUGACUAAGGGAGUCAAAAUAUCCCCUUCUUUAUAUAAAACUGAGCUUUAAGGUUUUUGAUAAUUGGUCACCAUAGGAUCUCUUAAGCAUACAAGGGUUGUCAAGUGGAUCUUUGAUAUCUUCGUUGUUCUAAUACAUCUCCCAGGAAAUGUGUGAUGUAUCAACUAGUUCAAAUUGGUGUGUUUAUGUCGGGUUUUAGCUUUGAUCUAACCUUUCCACUGCCUGUGCAUAUCGUUUCCAGUCAUAAGUAGGUUGUGCCAACGUGGGAACACGUCUCUUUUUCUGUAUAAAUUCCUACACUAUUGUGGUAAAAAAUUGUAGUAUCAUUAUUUCUUUUUUAGCAGGUCCUCAAAAGUCAUUCUUUGGCAUAAAGUUUUCCCUGUACUAAAUUAAUUUAUAUGGCAGGUCAUCCUCAUGAUAUUAGCUGCAAAUGCUGCUGUUGGAGUAAUCACAGAAACAAAUGCUGAAAAGGCACUGGAGGUAUGUUGUCAUGGGAGGUCUUUUUGUACUACAGAGCUGGUCAUUUAAUCGUGUAAGAUUUGUUUAAGACAAGUUUACAUUGUUUCACUUCUAAUGCUCUGUUUUUUAACAAAUUCAGAGCGGUCAAUAUUUCGCUAGUAAGGCUCUUGUUGUUUGUGUUCAUCAGUGAUACAGAUUCAUAGUAAAAUUUUCUUUACCGGUAUAAUCAGUUAAUGUUCAGCUAUUUCCCUGUCCUCGAGGAAUUUCUUAUGUAUCAAAGUGUACCAACAAUCAUUAUUAUCAUCUUAUCUGAAGCUGUGUUUUUAACUUUUGUUACUUUUUUCGACUGUUAAUACAUAUUCAUGUCCAAUGAUUAGAGAAAGGGUAACACUAUUAACUCCAACUCUAUCACUAUAUCGCAAUGGGGUUGCAUUAUUUUCCAUCUUCAUGUACUUCGUUUUUAUGAUACGAGCCAUUUUUCCAAGUUUUCUGAAACUUAUGGCCUAUCUGUAUAGUCAGUUUGCACCAUCAUUGAUAUACUUGUUUCCUUUCCAUUGUAGGAAUUACGUGCCUACCAAGCUGAUGUUGCAACUGUUCUACGGAAUGGUAAGCAGAUUUUUAUUAUAAAGUUGGUAAACAUGAAAGCUUAUAAUUCUAUGUUUCUGUGGUCAAAUUAUGCUGUUUAAUAACUGUACAAGCCAUCAUUUGCAUAAUGCUGUAGGAUGCUCUAAUAAAUACCUUCAUAAAUGCCCGAGUGCACCUAUAUGCCCCUUGAAGUUUUUCUUAGAAUCCUCUCAGGCCCCUUAUCUUUGCAGAGAACCUAUGCACCCCUAUACUUCAUAUUUUUAUACAUCUAAAUUCUUUUUUUAAUCAUUAUGCUAUGACUUAAGUAAUUGAGACAACGAGCCCAGCGAAACUCUACUGAUUUGAUUAAUAGAAAAGCUACGAAGUACUGAAAUUACAAGCUAAGUCGCCGUUCGAGACGCGACACUCUCCCAGAAACCCUAACUUUCAAUACAUCAAUAAUUGGAUAAACCCUCCUCUAUUCGUUCCUCUACUAAUACCCUCCUGACCCACAACUCACAUGGGCCUGCUUUCUUUACUUCUUGGGCUUGGGCCUCCGAGCAUAAGUGAUGGGCUGGGCUCUUGCAUUACCCCGGCCCAAAGAACCACCUUGUCCUCAAGGUGAAAUGCUGGAAACAGUUGUUCAGUAGAAGACUCCCAGGUAGACUCAAAUUCCGGCAUUCCUUCCCACUUGAUCAGAUUUUCCAUUUCCUCUGCUCUGUCGCCUGACCCUUGCCUCACACCCAACACCCUUUCUGGAUGGCCUCUGCAACUAAGGAAUCAUUGACAAUUCUGGGCAGAGUGCUGGAAACAAAUGACGAACCAACAGCCUUCUUCAACUGUGAAAUAUGGAACACUGGAUGAAUCUUGGAGUCCGAAGGCAACUCCGGUCGGUAUACAACCUUCCCAACACGUUGCAAAACCGUAAACGGUCCAUAGAACUUAGCUGCCAACUUGUUACUUGAUCGUUGUUGCACUGUCUGUUGCCGGUAAGGUUGUAAUUUGAGGAAAACUUUGUCCCCCACCUGAAAUUCCAAAUCACGACGCGAGGCGUCCUCCUGUUGUUUCAUGCGGUGCUGAGCUCUAGUUAGAUUCGCCUUAAGCUCAUCUAAAAUUGCAUCUUUCUCCAUUAACUGAUCCUCCAAGGAAGAUACAACAGUCUGAUCCCGAGUGAGACGUUUCAGCGAAGGCGGGUCACGCCCAUAUAAAGCCUUAAAUGGCGUGAACCCAGCUGAUACGUGGUAAGAAGAGUUGUACCAUAGUUCUGCCCAUGGUACCCAUUUUGCCCAGCUCCUCGGCUUCCCAUUUACAAAACAACGAAGAUACGUCUCAAGGCAUUUGUUUACCACCUCUGUUUGGCCGUCGGACUGGGGGUGGUAAGCAGUACUUCGACACAAAGUUGUCCCCUGCAGUUUAAAGAGUUCCUUCCAGAAUAAGCUCAAAAAAAAUUUGUCACGAUCCGACACAACCGUGGCUGGAAACCCAUGUAGUCUGACCACUUCUUUAAUAAACUUGUCAGCCACUACAGGAGCUGAGAACGGGUGGCGGAGUGUCAAGAAGUGUGCAUAUUUCGUGAGGCGAUCCACCACCACUAAAAUCGUGUCCACCCCUUCUAAUUUCGGCAGUCCCUCAAUGAAAUCUAAAGAAAUAUCCUCCCAUACUUGCUCUGGAAUGGGCAAAGGUUGCAAUAGUCCUGCAGGGCUAAGAGUGGAAGUCUUCUGCUGUUGAUAGAUUGUACAGGCCUGAACAUAAUCUGCUAUCCCCUUACGCAUUCCCGGCCAAAACCAGUCAGCUGCCAAAUGCUUGUAUGUUUUCAAACUGCCAGAAUGCCGCCCAAGAGGUGAAUCAUGAUACUCGUGCAGUAGUGUGUCUAUUAACUCCCUUCGAUUCGGAAUCACCAUUCGGCCUUUAUACUUCAACACCCCUUGAUCUAACCCAUAUCCCUUAGCAACCGGGACACCAUUACAUAAGUCACUGCUGAGUGAGUUUUGAGAUGAAGGGAUCUGCCUUGAUUAUCUUCUCAAACUCGUGCCACUUAGCCCAACUAACAGCCAACAACUCACAAAGCUCCACUGGACCUUGAUUUUUCCGGGACAGGGCAUCAGCCACGACAUUAGAACGACCUACUCUGUACUGAAUCUCAAAAUGGUACCCAAUCAGCUUGCUUACCCACUUCUGGUAUGUUGGAUUAAUCUCCCUCUGUUCCAUCAGAUAUUUAAGGCUCUGUUGAUCCGUACGGAUAUGAAAAUGACGGCCUAAUAAGUAGUGUCUCCAUUUCAAAACAGCAAAUACAAUAGCCAUUAGCUCUUUUUCGUAGAUAGCUUUUUGUUGAGGUCGAGGUCCCAAUAGUUUGCUGAAAUAAGCGAGGGGAUGUCCCUCCUGCAUCAACACCGCCCCAACCCCAAAUCCAAAGGCAUCCGUUUCCAGAACAAACUGCUUGUCAAAGUUUGGCAUAGCCAAAACUGGUGUGUGCGUCAUUGCAUACUUAAGCUUGUUGAAGGCUAGGGCUGUGCAUUCGGUUAACCGAAACUGAAACCGAAUUUUUUUUCGGUUAACCGAAACCGAAAUUCAUGAAAAAUUCCUACCGAAAACCGAACCGAAAUUAUUUCGGUUUUGUAACCGAACUGAAUUUUAAAUUUCGGUUAAAACCGAAAACCGAAUUUAUAAAUCGAAAUUCUUAAAUAGUGUAUGAAAAUCUGAAGGCUAGCAACGACUCUAACAAGCAAGCAAGUGUACAGACAGUCGGCUAGUAGCCAAAACAGACAGGCUCUCUGUCUUCAGUCAAUUACUUUGAAACAUGAAUUCACCGAUGAAUUCACCGAUUGGCCUGACUCGUCUCUCCAGACUCCUGAGUGCUGAAUUGGCUUGCUGCAUCAUGACUGGCAAGCUAAGCAGCUAACUGAAACCAGAGCACGCAGGUAGGAGGUCGAGCGAUAGAAGUGUUAAUGAACUGUUAUUGAAGUGUCCGGUGUCUACUGUCUAAUUAGGUAUUUAGGUCACGCUUAUAAGAUACUGUAUAAAAUUAUAAUAUAUAUAUAUAUGUAUAUUAUUACUAAAAAUACUAUUUUUUUUAAUAAAAUAUAUAAAAAAUCGGUUAACCGUUCGGUUUUCGGUUAACCGCGGUUAAAUAACCGAAAAACCGAAAAACCGAAAAAUCAAAAUUUGGCUACCGAAAACCGAACCGAAAUUUAAAUUUCGGUUAACCGAACCGAAAUUAUUUCGGUUUUUCGGUACGAUUUUCGGUUAACCGAACCGAAUGCACACCCCUAUUGAAGGCCACUGUAGCUUCGGAUCCCCACCCAAACUGAUCCUUCUUAAGUUGGUCUGUCAAAGGCCUUGCAAUUAAUGCAUACCCGGCGACGAAUUUGCGAUAGUACCCCGUGAGGCCCAGAAACCCUCGGAGUUCUUUCAACGAACUGGGAAUCGCCCAGUCCUGCAUAGCCUGGACCUUGUCCGCAUCCACAGAAACCCCCUUGUCUGAAAUUAUAUGGCCCAGAUAUGACAACUCCACUUGACCGAACUCGCAUUUCUUGGCAUUAACAUACAGCUGAUUGUCAACCAAUAACUGAAGUACUGUGUCCACAUGCUGCAGAUGUUGUUGUGAGGACUGACUAUAAAUGAGGAUAUCAUCGAAAAAGACUAGCACGAACUUGCGGAGCAUUGGCUUGAAGAUGGUGUUCAUUAGAGCUUGAAAUGUCGCCGGAGCGUUGGUUAAUCCAAAGGGCAUAACGUGAAAUUCGUAGUGCCCUUCAUGUGUGCGAAAAGCGGUUUUCGGAACAUCUGCUGGCCUGACCCGUAUCUGAUGGUACCCGGACUUGAGGUCCAACUUCGUAAAGUAUUUAGACCCAUACAGCUCGUCCAACAGCUCAUCAAUGACCGGGAUGGGAUACUUGUCUGCCACUGUCACCUUGUUUAAUGCGCGAUAAUCGACACAAAAUCGCCAGGAUCCGUCCUUUUUUUUAACAAGCAAUACCGGACUGGAAAAUGGACUCUGCGAGACCUGAAUAACCCCUGCCAAUAACAUGUCACGAACCAGAGACUUGAUUUCAUUCUUCUUCACCUGAGAAUAUCGAUAUGGACGUACACUAACCGGAUCUGACCCUUCUUUGAGGGUAAUACCAUGUUCAGAACCCCUGGUUGGUGGUAGGCCCGUAGGCAUUGCAAACACCUGGGCAUGUUUCUUGAGUACAGGCUGUAGAAACUCAGGGCUAUUAGGAGGUACAAUUCCCUCCUGCGACUCAGCUGCUUGCGAGGAAAGGUAGUUCAACUCAAUUAAAAACCCCUGUUUCACCUUACAGAGUGUCUUGAGCAUAGAUUUAAGGGAAACCUGUGUCCUGUUUAGCGAAGGCUCUCCUUGCACCUUCACUGGUUGACCCUUUAAGGUAAAUUGUAAGGCCUGUGUCUUCCAGUUAGCCGUCAUAGUGCCCAGCUUCUCCAACCACUGGACACCAAGAAUCACAUCAGAGCUGCCCAGUUGAAGAGGAAGGAAGUCCUCUAUUACAGUGACAUUGGGUAGCUCCAACACCACUACUUUACACUCCCCUUGGCCCUGCACAGCAUCGCCAGUACCCAGAGAAACCCCGAAUUCUUUUGUAGAUGUAAUUGGAAUCCCCAACUUCGCCACAGUGUCCGUGGAAAUGAAAUUGUGAGACGCCCUUGGGUCAAUAAGAACCACCACCUCCUUGCCCAAAAUGUUCCCCCGUAACUUCAUAGUUUGAGGUGUGGUGAGGCGUACAACCGAAUUAAGAGAAAUAACAGAGUGUUCACAGCCCUGACCCUCCUCCGAUUCACCCCCGUCCCUUCAGAAUCAAACCUGGGCGAAUCCUCUUCAUCCCCACCAUCUGCCUGCAUCAAAAUAACACUUAACUCCUUUUUUUUGCAUUUAUGUCCCACGGACCAUUUUUCGUCGCAAUAAAAGCACUCCCCUUUCUGUCGCUUCAUUUGCAGUUCCUUAUCUGUUAACUUUCGCACUUCUCCAAACGGUUUAGCAACUGGUAAGCUAGAAGGGCCCUUCGAAAACAACCCCGAAGGAGAAGUAGACGAUUGGGAUUGUACAGAAAUUGAUCUUGCAAAUGGACUAUAUAAACUGGAAUUAGACUUAGGGGAGCUGAGUGAAGUACCUGAAUAGUAAGAAGGCAAUCCCUUAAGACUCGACCCACCCUCCUUAAUCAAACGACCCGUAGCUGAGCGCAACUUAUCUCCCACUUUUACUGACAAAUCCAUGGCCUGGUCUAAACUGAUAGGCCCCAAUAAGCGGACCUCUGAUUUAAUUUCAUCCUUCAAUUCGUUUAUAUACUGGCCUUUAGCAAUCUCCUCCGGCAAACCUUGAAGAGGGGCCAUUAACUCGUUGAAACCCCGACGGUACUCGAACACACUAUCAAGCUGGCUGUGAUUCAACCAUUGUUCGUACAAAGUACCAGCUGAGGAAGGUCGAAAUUGUUUCAACAGCAUCCCUUUUAAUUCUUCCCAACGCCGCAGAGGCCGGCGCUGAUAUUCCCAUUGGUACCAUAAGAGGGCGUCGCCAUCAAGCGAGACCACCGCUGCUUCCAACUUCUCAUCCUCCCCUAAACGAUAAAAACUAAAGUAACGCUCCGCCCGGAGUAUCCAGCCAUCAGGGUUGUGACCUUCAAACACAGGAAGGUCGAGCUUCUUCAUACGCCAAUUGCCUGGGUGCGAGCCCACACCCCCGUCGUUACGAUUUCGACUCCCAAACGGAAAACCUCCACCCUCAGGGAAACCACGACCCGCCCCGAAAAUGUGGGGACCGGUGUUGCGCUCCGAAUCACCUCCUUGAAAAACCCUAGAAUGACCCGACCCAUGACCCUCGUCGUUGGGACCUUGAUGUUUGGAACUCAAUAUCGCGUUGCGGAUCUCGUCCUGGAACUGCAACUGAUCAACGCGGAGCUGAUUGAGGAGUGCAUCUUGCAUCUCCUUGGACUUGGUGACUCGUUCAUCGAGCCGUUGAGAUGUAAGCUCGAGAGACUUAGUCAAACGAUCAAGUGUUGUAAAUCCAUGGUAGCUCUGUUGACAGCCGCUGAGAUCUGGUUAACAAUGGUGGAACGAAGCUCACCAAACCCUUUCUCAAGGACCUCGAUUCGGUAUUGGUUGGAAGGAGGGGCGCCCAUGUUUGAUUCCAGAACUGAGUCGCUCUGAUACCACUUUGCUAUGACUUAAGUAAUUGAGACAACGAGCCCAGCGAAACUCUACUGAUUUGAUUAAUAGAAAAGCUACGAAGUACUGAAAUUACAAGCUAAGUCGCCGUUCGAGACGCGACACUCUCCCAGAAACCCUAACUUUCAAUACAUCAAUAAUUGGAUAAACCCUCCUCUAUUCGUUCAUCUACUAAUACCCUCCUGACCCACAACUCACUUGGGCCUGCUUUCUUUACUUCUUGGGCUUGGGCCUCCGAGCAUUAGUGAUGGGCUGGGCUCUUGCACAUUAGUGUUCAAAACUCAUUAUCUUGGUUCUUCAGAAUGGAAAAACACUUGCCAUUCAGUGGCAUCCUGGUCAGAGCAGGCAUAUUGUAAACGUAAACAACCCCCCCCCCCCCCCCUCCCCUGCAUAACAUAAAGGUAAGGGGGCAGUAGAGGCUUAUGAACCAAAGGUGAGGGGCAUAUAUGUGCACUCAAAAUCAGGCAUUAAAAAUACCCGUGAACGACACCAUUCAUUGAUACUUCAGUUAGUUCUUUUUUUUUUUUUUUUGGAAGAGUUCCAUACCUUCUGUGUUCAAUUUUAUUUAUUUUUUUGGUGGAAACAUGUUAGGGCUUGUCAUUGUGUUCUAGAUCGUGUUACAUUAGUUAUCUAGAAACUGUUAGGCACUCCACCCACUUACAUUAUAGACGCUUUUGUGUACUGUCUUCCUUGUUUUGGCUUUGUUUACUGUCUUCCUUGUUUUGGAUUUGUUUCCGGUACAUUAACAUCCUUUAAGUAUCACGUGUUCGCAGUUUCUCCAAUUUUUGUCACUCUAAAUUUUACUAUUGAAACUUGUCUAAUUUUACUAUAUACUAUUUGUCAUAAAUAUUCAUUUAGGUUGCUUCUCGAUCUUACCUGCCACCGAUCUUGUACCAGGGGAUAUUGUGGAAGUUAGUGGUGAGUAGAAAUCAAUUGAGCUUUAGCCUUGUAUAUAUUGUACAUUCUUCAUUGCCUAGUUCAAAGUUACGAUAAUAAAAUAGAGGUUUUUCUUUUUCUUUGGAGUAUAUAGUUGGUUGCCAAAUUCCAGCAGAUAUGAGAAUGGUUGAGAUGCUGAGUGAUCAUUUACGUGUUGAUCAAGCAAUCCUCACAGGUAGUUUUUCAUGCUAUAUUUGUACUGUAGGUAGUUAACUAACAAUAUGCUGACAAUUUAGUUUACUAGCAAAUGAUAGUUUACUUUUGUAUUAAGCUUCACGACUUGACAUUAGGUGGCUCAAAGGUAUCUCGUGGUUUCAGUUAUAUGCUUAUGUACAACUCAAAGUCUCAAACAGCAGUUAAAUUACUCAAAAUCGAUUUGCGGUUUUUUACUUUUAUACUGAGGCUUGUCAUCCCCGGUCAGUUUUAUUGAUAUCUUAAACAAUAUUCUAAAACAAGGAUAAAAAUUCACAUUCUCGCCCUUCUAUAAACAUCUAGCUGUUGAGAUAUACUUUUGGAGAAAAAGGAAGACAAGUUUGACAGAGCAGUUAUAGAACUGCCUUGAUCUGUAAUAAGAUCUAAAUGACCUAGCUCUUGGAAAAUAAAAUCCGUGCACGAGAAAUGAACGACAUGUGAGAGUCAGAAAGUUCACAGAAGAUGAGGGAUCUAAGUAUUUGAGGAUAAACCAAUUUGUACUGAGAAUCAGUGGUGUAACUAGGUGUACAAUCUAUAUCAUUGUCCAAAAUUUAUGCACCUUUCAUAACCUUACUGAGAAAUAACCUUACCUUUGUGGAUAUAGUUGAAAACUCUAUGUCGCUUGUUUCACUUUAAAGUUCAGGAUCGUCACGAAGAAAAACGAUACCGAAUAUAUAUGGCAGUGUCCAAGUUCUGGUAAUCUAGGUACUAAUAAUUUGCAAGGUUUUGCGACUAAUGGCACACAAUUGAAAUACAUGGGAGUAGGAGAGGAACAAAAUUAAAGAUUUAUAUUUGCAUAGGAAGUAAGAGACUGUACACUAAUGUAGGGGAAAACCCCCAACAAGAAAAUAGUAAAUCUGUUGACGGAGAUGGUAGUUGGGGUUUGGUAGACUAACCUGGAACUAGAAGAUAGUGUAAAAUGAAAUUAAAAAAAUGGCUAAUCAUUUUCCUUGUAGCCAAAUAUUUUUUUUUCCCAAAUGUUACUUGCAUACUUUAAUUAGUCAAAUAUUUAUUUCAUCCUUUCCUGCAUUGGAGGAGCCCAUUUGGGUUCAAGCAUGUUAAAAGAUUUGAUUUUUCCCAUCACGAGAAUGUGUAAUACUGUAAUCUUUACUUGGAGGCAAUGCACUGUCUUCGUUACUUUUUUGGCUGUGUUACUCCUUAUGAGAAGUACUACUACUUUCUUUACCGAUUAACCCCUAUUCCCUCCACCCCCCCAAGCUCUUGUAUCAUUUAGUUACACACAAGAUUUUUCACUACUUUUUGCACUGUCAAGCUCAUAUGGGUAUAAGCAUUGGAUGUGUUCUGAUUAUUCCUGACAUAGGUUCGUAAGUUGGUAGUCUCUCGAGCAGAUAAAUAUGACCUACUACUAGUUUAAUUUUUAAAACUGGAUCCAUCAUCUGUACUUCAGUUUCUAGUUUAUUGACCUUAAUGGGAUACAGAUUUGAAACAUUAGAUCUUAGCACAUGAGGUUCCUACUGCUACAAAUCUUUCUAGUACGUUAUACACCAGGUCAAUUGUACAGAUAAUAACAGUUAUCCACUUAUACUGUGCUAUAUUGGUGAUUAACUGUUGUGCACUGUACUACCUCAAAAUAUAUGUACUAUUAUUUCCUAAUUCUUCCUCUAAUAACAGGUGAGAGCUGUUCUGUGGAAAAAGAGCUUGAUUCCACUUUGACAAACAAUGCUGUAUAUCAAGACAAGACGAAUACCCUAUUCUCGGUAAAAUGCUAAUGUCAUAUGCCAUAACUAAUUGAAUAUCGAUAUACAUAACUGUUCUGCGAUGUAUCGAUUUCUUUCUAUCUUUUGGUGUCAUAAGCUGCACUUGAGUGAAUGACGUCACCAUCUUAAUGUAUUUUGACGUAAAAUGGUAAUAUUUGAAUAUCUACCAUUCUUAGACCUGUUCCAGAGGGUUGCAUUAUUUAUAGGAUUACAGAAGGGCCUGCCUAGAUAGACUACUUGCAACUGCCUAUAAACUGGAGGGCUAACUAGUUCUGGUCUUAGUCCUUGGACACUGAUAUACUUUUACUGCUUCCAUACUACCAUUAGCAUUCUAAAUCUGGCACUUAACAAAUGGGUGAACUUGAUAAAGUUGUUAGGGAGAUUUAUCUUCUCAUUUUAAAAAACAUAUAUGGGGCAAUGUGAUAAAUUUGCUGAUGAGGUCAUGGGUUUUUGUUAUUAAUGGACUUCUGAGUUCUAAGUUAUAUGAUAAUAUUUGAGUGGCCAUGUUCUAUUUUUGCCAUUAAAAAUACCUAGAUGGAGAAUUUCUGGAGAAGGUUCUGCUCUUCCAGCAGCAUGCUAUUGUAAUUUUGCAUAUGUUCUUGCUGAUUGAUAUUGUAUUCUUCAUUAACAAGUUUAAUGUGCAUGACAGGGAACAGUUGUGGUUGCAGGACGCGCAAGGGCCGUUGUUGUUGGAAUUGGCUCUAGCACAGCAAUGGGAAGCAUACGUGAUUCUAUGCUUAAAACUGAAGAUGUAAGAAACAUGACUACAAUUUUGGUUUGAGGGGUAUAUCAGUCCAUCUGAAUUUUAUCGUAACUCAUAUAUGACGUACAAACUUUGAUGCAGGAAGCGACACCACUAAAAAGGAAGCUGGAUGAAUUUGGAACGUUUCUGGCGAAGGUAAUAUUACUAAUAUUCAGUGUUCAGUUAUCAUUUAUUGUUUCUUUCUGGAAUGUUUUUGUUUUUGUAUUAUCAAUAUUCUUAGUGAAUUAAAAGAAUUAAGAGAAGUAUUGUACGGAAGAGCUCAGCAGAUAGAGAAGCUUAUGGAGAGGCAUUUAGAAAACUCUAUUUGAAGAUAUCUUUUGAUCUUUUAAUCUGUACAGUUACGCAUUGUUAGUCACUGACCCCACGUCCUUCUUACUAGAUCCUACAUUUAGGAAUCUUAUCUAUGUCGAAUUCUUUGCAGUUCUUAAUGUUUGUUUUCCUUCUUAGGUUAUUGCAGGUAUUUGUAUAUUGGUGUGGAUUGUGAACAUUGGUCACUUUCGAGAUCCUGCUCAUGGAGGCAUCUUGCAAGGAGCUAUACAUUACUUUAAGGUGAUCUUUCAUGGAUUAGGUUAAUGAUAUAUGUUAUGCAGGAUUGUAAGGUCACUGAAAUGAUUUUUCUUGUGGUAUAGUUUCUCAUUUCAUUUUCAAAUUAUUUGUUUAUACAACAAACACAUUCUCAAAGUUUACACUUAUUUUUAUGGUGUGUGUAUUAAUAGAUUAAAUAUGAAGCUAUAUUGAAUCAUCACUUGCUGUGUAUGACGACCCUUGUAAAUUGCUUGUCUCGCUGCGGUCUUCAUUGCAUGUUUCCUUAAAUUAUUGAUCUUCAUAGGUAGAGAAGAGAGGCAUCAAUAAUCUCAGAUUACAAGUGUGGUGACUGUUGUUUAUGACCGUCUAAAACUAGGGUCCAAGAUUUUACGUCCAUUAUGUAUCUUACACUUGUUAAUGCCUUUAGUUCUUUUCUAUUCUCUUGGGUUUCUUACACUUUUUGAUGCCUUUAGUUAUUUUCUAUUCUCUUGGGUUUGAACCCUGAUGUUCUUGUUUCCUUCUGGUUGCUGCUUCCUUUGUCCAGAUACAUUCUUUCUGUCUCUGACAUUAUAUCUUAAUUGACUAGAUUGCAGUUGCUCUUGCGGUUGCAGCCAUUCCUGAGGGGCUUCCUGCUGUUGUUACAACGUGAGUGGGAGCUAUGUAUUGUGGAUUAUAAAGCUGAAUAUGUUAUAUCUGGUGUCUAGCAAGGACAAAUGAAUAGAUUAAAGAAAAACAGUUGUACUGCACAAAUAUUGUGAACAGGAGAUUAGUCAUCUACCUUGGCCUCUCAACUGCAAUCACCUGUAUGCAAUUAGGUUUGUAUGUGGUCUAUGUAGGUACAGUUGAAAUGAGGAGAGGCUUUUUUAGAAGUGUCACUUGAGUUUGAUGUAAACCAUAGCAGUAUGCUGCAUACGCGUUUUACAUGACAAUCAUAAUUUUAAAAUCACCUGGACACAUGAUUUUUUUAGGGAUUUGGAUGUAUUGGUAUAUGUAACAUGUGUACAAUCCUGAUUUAUUGUGUCUGAUGAGUAAUCUUGAAUAAGAUCAGCCAGAUCAAAGUUUGUUAUUUUAUGCUUCUAUGACUGCUAAUAGGUGUUUGGCUCUGGGAACAAAGAGAAUGGCCCGACUGAACGCUAUAGUGAGGUCUUUGCCGUCUGUAGAGACGUUGGGCUGCACAACAGUGAUUUGCACUGACAAAACUGGUACAUUGACGACAAACAUGAUGUCUGUUUCAAAGGUGAUCUUUCUCUUCAUAUACUUUGUCAUGAGGUACAAGUUAAAUUGUGUCUAGAUUUUGACUAAACAGAUGAUUAGAAUUCGCCAUGUAUAAGAACCUAUGACGCAUGAGUGCGGGUGCGGGGAUACGGGAAUUUGGCAAAAAAAANUUAUAUAUAUAAUAAAUUAAUAAAAUGAAGUGCAUUCAUAUCGAACCAAAUAGUCACCAUGCCCACUGCACAUUGCACUUAUACAUUAUACAUAUAAAGACACCGACAUACGGAUCAUUAUCUCACCUAACGUGUACGAGUAUAUACAUACAUAUAUACAUACAGACCCAACGAUACAUAUAUACAAAUGGAACUAGGAAGAGAAGAUGAGUGGUAGAGGAGAGAAGAGGAAGAGAAGAUGACUGCAAAAUUACAAAAAAUGCCCUUACCGCAUCCCCUUUGCUGCACCCCCAUGAUUCCCUGACCCGAUACACUGGGAUACGCCACGCAGCGCACCUGGUGCGCACCCUGCCGCACCUAGGCGCACCGCCGCACCAGUACCACACCCGGCGCCAGGUGCCGCACCCAUGCUUCCUAGAUAAGAACAAACAUUUUCAUUAUCAGUGUUUAUUUAUCAUAUAUUAAGCUUGAUACUUUGUCAGUGUCUUGUAUACAGUAAAAUUUAUUAUGUCUAAACUUGGUGAAACAUUUAAGAGACCUUACCAAGCAAACACCUGAUCUGAUUCUUAAGUGUUAUUACACACACACACAAAAAAAAAAAAGGCUAGUUAUAUACGACUAGUAAAUUUGCAUUUGUAUUUUGGUAAUCCUAUUUUAGUGGUACAUCUUUUUGGCCUGCAACUCAUUCCUAGUAAGUGCAAUAGUUAUGCUUACUUUCAUAAGUAAUCACUUGACUUGUUUUUUAACCCUUGCUAUUAUUUUAAGCAUAGAUACAAGGAAACGGGUACGCUGCCACGAACCGCGAUCUAGAUCGUUCGUACCCGAUACGGUCGGAAACGCGAACGGAAACGUUCAGGGUCGCGACCCAGAUCGCCGGAAGUGACGACCCGCAAGAACACACUUCAUUCUUGUUUUGAACAAUAGAUCCAUGUCUAUGUCAUAUGAUAAGUAAUUUAUUUUAUCAAUAAAUGUGUACUUUUAUUUGUUAUUCAAUAUCUUUUUCUUUAUAAAAAAUUAUAAAUGUAUAAAUUAUCAACUAAAAUUGUAUAUUAUAAUGGAAUUUAUAUAUAUGAUUAUAGAAUUCUUUUUAAAAGGACCAAUCGUACCCAUACGUUCCAUCGUACCUAUACGUUCCAUCGUACCAGAUUCACUAAAACUAAUGUCCCACGUACCCGAUUUCGUUCCCCGUUUCGAAUCGAACCCAGUCCUAUGUAACUAUGAUUUUAAGUCUAUAAAUGAAUAAACAAAUAAUGUGUAGUUAUCUGCUUCCAUUGCAGAUAUGUGUGCUUCAAUCUAUAAAUCAUGGCCCUGUAGCUGCUGAGUACAAUGUCAGUGGAACGACUUAUGCACCAGAAGGCUUUAUUUUUGAUAGCUCAACAAUGCAGGUUAGAUUUAUCUUUGCCCUACACUUUUUAAUAUGUGAUAAUCUCAUGCAUGAAGUUCUAUUAUGUAACAAAUACUUCAAUGGCAUGUUUAGGAAUUUGAAUAUCAUUUAGAAUUUUGGAUUUGAUCAAAUAACAAUUAGGAUACAUAAAAGAAAUUGGAAAUGAAAUACAUUUAAACACUAGUAUAAACUUGAGAAUUUGAACAUUUGAAAUGAAAUACAUGUUCCCAAACACAAUCAGUUGUUUAUAUACAGAAGCUAUGUUUGUGUUUUUUCAUGAAAAUGAUGUUACCCAGCAUAUGAUGAGUUUGGUUUUUCCGACCCAGAAUCAAUCAGUAACAAUGAGUUGACUUGUAUACUAGAAUAGUAAUAGACCAUAUCAUUGGAUGUGUUGUUUAUCAUGCUACAAAUGACCACUAUUCGAGCUUACAGUCCCAUCAUUUAUUCCAAAUAAUACUUAAAUUCCAUAAAUUUCUAAGUAAAAGCAUACAAUAUCAUAAAAUAAACUCCCAAAAAUCCAAAAUCCAAACUAGAACAUAAAAUUAAAUGUAAUUAUCACAUCCAUGGAGACACAAAUCCUUAAAUAAAUGUCUAAAUACUUCUCUAAGACACUCGAUCACUUCAAUAAAAUCCAAAGUUGAGCGUGCGAUAAACACAUGAAAUUUUGUAAGUCAUGAGCUAAACAACCCAGUAAGAAAACUAUUUCGAACUAACGGAUCAAAUAAAAUUUUAAAAUUUCGUUAGUGUUCACAAUUCCAAAAUUGUAACCCAUAAAUUCGUAAUUCAAUCAAAAAUAAAUAUAUUUCACAGUUUGCUAAGCGCACAAAUAUUUAGUGACACGGUAUCGUAGGUUCAUCGAUGUGAAUAAUGCGCCCCUUGUUAAGGUAUCAUAAAAUUGUGCUGGGCGCGUCUUAGUAAGGUAUUGUAAUCUAGUUUUGGAGCUAUAGGCAAUUACUAACGGGUUUAUAAGUCAUAGCUAACUGGGAAAUUUCUUAUAUCUAAAAUAUUUUCUUGAUCCAAAUUUUCAUGACAAAACAAUAUAAAUCAUUUCUGAAUAAUUCAGAAUGUGCCAAAAGUAAACAUACCUUAUAUGCAAUAGCGAACUUUGAAAAAUAAAAAAGCACGAUUUUAUCCUUAAAUCAAAUUAAACCAGAAAGAAAUAGGUAGUCAAUACCAUGCUUAUCGGAUUUAAGUCAAGUACAUGAACCCGGUUACUAAAACCAUACCCACCACACCCACCGAGAGACAUUCACUAAUUUAGUACUAAUAUAUAUAAAUAUGGUCGCGCUCAAGAGAGAACCAGUUCUUAAAAUAGAAGCAGAGAACCACCAAGGUUCUGCUGCAGAACCCUAAAUUUUAAAUAGAUUUUUAGGAUUUAAAUCUAAAUACAUGUUUUUUUUCAUGUUUUUUCAUCGUUGUGUGUUCAAAAAUAAUUUUAAAAUAUAAUACAUAGAUAUUGACAUUUUUUGCAUGUAAAGUUUUGCUGCAGAACCCUAACUAAUACUCCCUCCGUCCCAAAAAGAGUGAGCUGGUUUGACUUUCACGGAGAUUAAGGAAAAGGUAGUAAUAGAAACUAAAUUUAGUUGGAAAGUGGGUAAAGUGGUGGGACCCAUCGUAAGCAUGUAAACAACUUGUUGCUUCAUUAUUGGCUAGACUGAAGUAGGAAAAGGUAGUAAUAGAAACUAAAUUUAGUUGGAAAGUGGGUAAAGUGGUGGGACCCAUCAAAAUUUAAUAAUAGAUUUGAGAUAGUGGAGGAAAGUAGUUUCUUUUUCCUAAUACAUUAUUAUUUAGCAAAAAAAAAAAAAAAAAAAAAAAAAAAAAAAAAAAAAAAAAAAAAACCAGAUUUGAAUGAUCCUGUAUUAAGANNNNNNNNUUCAUUCNAAACAACUUGUAGCUUCAUUCCAGACUCGUUUGAAGUUGAAAACAACUUGUAGCUUCAUUUUCCUUUUGGGACGUCCCAAAAAGGAAUAAGGGUCGAUUAAAAUGGGACGGAGUACUAGAAUUAAGGUAAAGGUUCUAUCUCUAAUAGUUCUCCCUUGAACAUGACCCAAAUAUAAAUAUAUAUAAAUGACUUAUACAAUUAAUCUUACCAUAUUUUGACAUCAAAAGAAAAUGGAAAAUUAACUAAUAACACAAUACAAUGACCAUGGAUUAAUACUUGACGCAACCCUUUAAUGAUUUCACAUUUGAAAAUAAAAAAUAAACUUUUAUAUUAAUAAAUAUACAAUUAAUAAGCACGAUAAUAUGAGCAUAUAUUAUUAAGUGUUUUUUCAUAAAUAAGAAGCAUGAGGACGAAACCUUACUUAACAAAUAUAAUGCUAUAACUAGUGCAUAGACAGGGGGAAUACUUGACUCGCACAACCUCGUACAAAGUGUAAACUAAUGGUAUUCUAUCACCAGGCAAAUGCAUGCAUGUGUGUAUGUUAGCAUAGUUACACAGUAAGAGUAAUAUAGUGUUAAAAUUGUACCUUGAAGAGAAGGUCAGGAGCCUGUAUUUUAAUAUAGUAUUAAAAUUGUACCUGUAUCAAGUGAAUAUAUACAUGUUAGUCAACUGAACCAAUUAUCUUACGUAACUAGAUUGAUGUUGAUCCAUUUGCUUUAGACAUAUCUUAUAUUACAGUAAUUCUACCUAAACUACUUUCCGAAUCAAGACUUAUCACACAUUUAAUACAUAUAAAGUAAGUACAAUCAAUAUGUAAUAAAAUAAAUAAAUAUCUGGAGAGCUAAAAAUCUCACAAUGCCAAACUGCACGUGAUCAUAUACAAAAUAAAAUAGUAAUAAAUAAAUUGUAAGGUAGAAAAUGUGAUAAAAUAAAUAACGUAUAGCUAAAUUACAUAUAUUCCUUCAUAAAAUAUUGGGGUAUUACACCCCGCCCCAUUGUUUAUCAUGCUACAAAUGAAGGAAUAGAAUAAUUCUGCCUCUGAAUAUGAAUUUUAAGGAUUCUGAUAUCUGGUUUAAUGGUAUCUAUGUCACUGCUUCUAAGCGGUAUAAUGUGAUAUGUCUUAGUUGUUAACAGUCUGAAUGUAUUGUUUACAAUUCGACAAGCAUACAUCUAAAAUAUAUUUUUUGGCCAAUCAGUCUGGUAGCAGGAAUGCUACUAGCACUUUGGCUAUUAGCAUAUACUAAUUUUAGAUUAUGUAAUUGUCCAGCUUGAAUUUCCAGCUCAGCUCCCUUGUCUUCUUCACAUAGCAAUGUGUUCAGCUCUUUGCAAUGAGUCAACUAUACAAUACAAUCCUGAUAAAAGGAUGUACGAAAAGAUUGGUGAAUCAACUGAAGUAGCACUCCGUAUAUUGGCAGAAAAGGUAAAUAUCGGUAGCCUGGCCUUAUCCACGCCUUCUAUACACCUUUUCUUGUGUAUUUUUCUCAUUCAUUAUCAAAGCAAUCUUUUGGUUUGAUUCACAUGACACAUGCAUGUUAUAUCUCUGUUACAGGUUGGUCUUCCUGGUUUUGAUUCUAUGCCUUCUGCACUGAAUAUGCUGAGCAAACAUGAAAGAGCAUCUUACUGUAAUCGUUAUUGGGAGAACGAAUUUAAAAAGGUUUGUAAAUAAAUGUAUCAAUCUUGUUUCCACUCUAAAUUUGGCAUUCGUCGUCAUUAGUGUUUUGUAUGUUAUUAAUGUUCAGCCAUGUGCUGGUCCAUGUUGCUAUUUUCACAGUUGCUACUCUAGUCUUCUUAAGUCUAAUCAUCCUCGCUUAUGUGCUCUCUCUAUUUUUCAAGGUACUUAGACAAAUAAGUGUGUUUUAUAGCAUUUGUCAAAUUGUCUAAGAAGAUUUAAGUGCUAGAAGGUUCUUCAGUUCUCAAUUCCUAUGACUGUUUAGGAUGUUUAGAACAGGUAGGAAGCAGUCUUAAAAGGAAUAAGGACUAGGGUCUUUUUGACACUCAGUUCUACUUAUGGUUCAUACAACACUGGUAACUACACACAAUCUAGUUUUUCUGUCUAGAUCUGAUUUGUAGGAUAGUUUUUGAAACGACAUAAUAUUGAUUAGAAAAGUCAUAAAUUUGACAUGGGUUGCAUGUCACAAAUAAAGACUAAAGACACAUUUGUACGAAUGUUCCAUUCAUUAAUCAAAUUUCUAUUGUUUUGCAUGGAACAUAAAAUAAAUUUAUUGUACACCCUGAGGAAUGGGCCUGGGGCCGCUACUUGUUUUAUAAAUUCGUAGUACAGUUAUUAGCUUUUGUGGAAGGCAGCUUGCUUAGCUUAUAUGGAGCAAGAAUAGCAGAGCACUGCUUUUAGCCAGAAAUGCUGAGAGAUGUUUUUUGGGUUUAGGAAAGCAUGCCAGAUGUUUUCGUAGUUGCCAUCUCUUAUUUUGAUUAUGUCCUAUGAAUUAGGCCAUGUUUGGGAAUUAGCGGCCAACGGUUAGCAGUUAGUGGAUUGAAUUAGAUGUUUUGACUAGCUGAUUGAAAUAGAUGUUUUGACUAGCGGAUUGAAUUAGCGGUUUCUUGUAAAACUGUUUGAUUAGCUUUUUGUGACACAUACCAAAACCUCUAAUCCAAAAACCUCCUCAAAGUAGCUUUUUGAAAAUUAGUUUUUUGAGCCAAAACCUUUAUUUCAAUCCGCUAACUAUCAAACACUAGCAUUAGCGGAUUGAAAUGGUCAAACCUCUAAAACACCCCCAAACCUCUAAUUUUACGCCAAACCUCUAACUUUCAAACACGACCUUAGUCAAACUGAGAUUGAUUCUGUGCUUGUCUAUUUCUACAGUCCUUUUAGAUAUCGCUUCACCAACUCCUAUUUUGGUUCAAUGUCUGCAGAUUUCUGUUUUGGAGUUCUCUCGUGAUCGUAAAAUGAUGAGUGUCCUUUGUAAUCGAAAGCAAAUGGAAAUUAUGUUCUCGAAGGGGGCACCAGAGAGUAUAAUUUCUAGGUGUUCAAGUAUCCUCUGCAAUGAUAAUGGUUCCACUAUACCUUUAACUGCAAGCAUUAGAGCUGAGCUGGAAUCAAGAUUUCACAGGUCAGAACAGAUCUAUAUUGAUCCAUAGUUGCACACAAGGCCUGUAUGUAUUGAGAGACGCGCACAAACACACACACAUGAGUUCCAGUGCAUAAACUUGGGGCAUAAAUGAUGCAUGCAUGCAAGUCUGUAUGGUGGACCUGUGGUGUAUUGUUUGGGUUGGAGGUUACCUGUCAUUUCAUACCUACAUAUUCAAUUGAUACUGACUCUUGAACAGGAAACUGUGGUUUCAACUUUAUUUUGCAGUUGCAAGCUAAUGUGCUAUGAUUUUUCUAAUGCUGUAAAUAGUAGGCAGAAAGCAAGAUGUUCUAUGCCAGAUAGUUAUUCAUUUUCCAUCUUGUGUUGAAAGAUAAAAUCUUGCCACUUACUGGUAUAUGAGCCUCAUGGUGCAUAUAGGAAAUCUCUUCACUGUUCAACUGUGAUCUAUGUAAAGAUCAAGGAGAUGUCUUACACUUUCUUCUUGUCUUACAAGACUAUUGAAGAUCUAUGACAAAAGAUUGUAAAAUAGAAUCUAUCCCAUUGUAAAUAAUAUGAAUGAAGCACGAAAUUAAAAUAUUAAUUGUAUUUGUUUAUGUUAUUAAUUAGAAAUAAAGCUAAUCAUAAUUUAUAUUAGAGAUGAAUUCAGUGAACUGUUGUGUUUUUUUUAAACAAAAUUUGCGUGUUAAUGGGUUUUCGAGCUGAUUUUCUAUGAAGGUAGGUAUUUUACCCUUUUACCCCAUUGUCUUACAUAAUGGUUUAAUCACGGUUUAUCCCUGCGUUAAUAUCAAAACUUAAUAGAUGCAUUUUCUCGUAUGAGAAGCAAAUAUGCUCUUCAAUGUACAUUGAUUAAUUUAUUAUAAUUAUUGGCCCCUUUCAUUGAGGUAUAUAUCCUUUAAUUUUCAGUUUUGCAGGAAAAGAAGCAUUAAGAUGUCUGGCUUUAGCAUUGAAGAGAAUACCAAUAGGCCAACAGGCUAUAUCUUUUAAUGAUGAGCAAGACCUGACCUUUAUUGGGCUGGUAUGGCUUAUUAUCUUAACAUAAUAUGCUCCAUCUGUCUUAUAGGCAUUAUAAUUUAUGCAAUAACUUUUGAGGUGCAUUUGCUUGGUCAUUUUGGUGUUCUCCCUGACCUGUAAAUUUGGAGGUCAAUAGGUCAUUGCCGCUUAUGUUCUAUGAGAUAGAUAGAUUGAUUCACACACACACACACGUGCCUGUGCCCCACUCACACAUAUAUGAAAGCCAUUAUUUUACCUAUGGUGCAAGUUCUGUUUAAGUGUAACUGUCUAGUAGAAACCUACAGGGGUCUGAAAUGUGUUUUUGGUGUUCCUAUAAGAAAUUAAUUGAAAGAGAUUUCACUUGCUUCUGGACUUCAGUUCAUAGUAAAAUUUGCCGUAGAAUGAUGGUUUUCUAUACUGCUGUAUUACUGGCUUACUGCAUAAUUUUUGAUAAGAUAAACUAAUAUGAAUUGGAAUAUAAACUGCAACCACUAUCAUGCAAACGUUUAAAUGUUAAGAUCCUAAUGUAGGUUGCACCCUUAAGAUAUAAUAUGAUCCGGGUAAACCCAAAACAACUUAACAUGGUAUCAGAAACUAUGGUUGUGGAGGGACUCAAACUCGAUUCCCUGUGACCCCCAAUAUUCUUAUAUAUUAAAAUAUUGCAUAUUGUUGGGACCGAAAAACGGGACGAAAUCCCCACCCAGUAUAUGAAAUUUUAUGCUCUCUAGGCUCAUAAAUGGGACAAGAACAAUGUUACAUAGGUCGGGGUUCGAUUUGAAACGGGGGAUGAAAUCGGAUACGCGGAACAUUAGUUUUAGUGAAUCCGGUAUGACGGAACAUUUGGGUACGACAGAGUGUUUGGGUACGAUGAGUUUUUCUGAAAAAUAAUAAUAUAUAAUUAUAUAUGUUUUUCAGGUAAAUAUAUAAUUUUUAUCAAAAACUUAAACAUUUAUUAGAAUAAUUUCGAAAUUUCAUUAAAUUAAAUUUUUCUGACUUGAGUAUUAUAAAUAUAUCAAUUAUUUUGUGGUUUAUAAUAUGAUUGAACCUGAAAAUGAACUGAUUUAUUAAACUCAACUUUUUGCAACGCUAGAAGUUAAAUUACACGAAAAGUUAGCUGGCCUGGAGAUUAAUGGGCACAAAUAGAAGUAUGCUUUGGUACCCACACCGUUUGUAUUACAUAUAGAUACACAUGUACACACAACCAGCCGCCAUCCUUUUUCUUCGUUUUUCUUUCCAUCAUUCUGCAGAAUAUCUGUUGAACACAAAAUCGAUUUGCAUCAUCUAAAUCACAGAUCGGUUUAUUCUCAACAAGAACCAUGUGCGUUCUUAUGGAACACUGCUUCCGACGUUUCCAGUCGCGUCUCUCAAUGUUUCCGGUUGUGUUUGUUCUGGGAUCGGGGAAGAAUGAACCGGGUCUCCGUACGUGACCACAUCCCGCGUUCCUUGUUUACAUGGAUGAGAACCUCACUAAGUAAUUAAAAAUUGUGUGCUAUUAUGGGCCCAAAAUGGGAUGAGAUCCUUACAUAACAAAUAAAAAUUCGACCGGACACUAGGGUCAAAAAAGGCACGAACCGCCUAGUGAUUCACUCUUCGACCCGUGAAUUCACUUGACAUGCACCCACCCCUAUUGAUCCCAAUCUUUAUCACCAUUGUACAAUCAAACUAUCAGUCUUGAUUCACACUGCUCUCCUUUGUCAGUUCUAUGCAUAUAUCUUAUAUAUAUCUUGUAAAUUUUUUGAGAUAACCUAAAUGUGUUUAUAGAAUUAGAACUAAUAAUCUUUAAGCAUCUAUGAACAAAACAGUCCCUUAAUAUUCCUUUCUUCGAUGUUUAGGUUGGAAUGCUCGAUCCUCCAAGAGAGGAGGUAAACAAGGCAAUACUGUCGUGCAUGACUGCUGGCAUACGUCUUAUAGUUGUGACCGGCGAUAAUAAGGUAAUUUAACAAUAGAUGUUUUUUUUUGUAAGUUUUGAUUUCUGGUGAGUGCUGCAUAUAAGCUGGUAAUUUUUUUUCUUCUUCUGAUGCUAUCUCUAGGUCACUGCUGAAGCACUGUGCCGCAAGAUAGGGGCUUUUAGUCACUUGGCAGAUUUUUCAGGACAGUCUUAUACUGCUUCUGAAUUUGAAGAACUUCCAGCUUUGCAGAAGUCAAUAGCAUUGCAACGCAUGACACUUUUUACAAGGUAUACCUAUAUUAUUGUCCUCUUAUAAAUUUUAUCUUAUAAUUAAAGGGGAUAAUAUUGUGAAAAUACAUACAAGGAGAGAGAUUCUGAAAGGUAUAGAACUUGAUUAAGCUAGUUGUGCACAGUAACACUUCGUCAAACCAGGAUGGUGGAGGAAGAAGGCUGAAUCAGUUGAUCAUGUUAGAAAUUCUUUAGAAUUCGCAAGCUACUGGAAAUAAUUUGAUAUUUUCAAAUUUAAAAGAUAUAUGGUUUCUCUUGAAGAUAUGUAUAUUAAACCGUUUAGCAGUUGGAGGAUUGAAUUCUAAUCUGUGCAUCUGAAAUAAAUAACAUAUGUGAUGCUGUGUCUGAAAGUCAAUCGAGGAAUCUUAAAUUACUAGUGAGACAUGAUAAUAUUUAUUAGUGCAAAAUUUGACUAUUUAAGUACAAUUGGUCAGGCUAUUAGCCGCACAGCUUGACAACCAGUAUGCCUGACUGUUAGCAUGCGAGCAUUCUUUUCAAAAUUGUUUCUGCCACCAACUGCUUAUUGAUGAUGUAUUGUACUUGUAUAUAUUUACCUGCAGCUCUUGUAAGGUUCUUUUGCGAAACAUUAUUGCUUACAUGCACUUUCUCACCCAAUUUUAGGGUUGAACCAGCCCACAAGAGGAUGCUGGUUGAAGCAUUACAACACCAAAAUGAAGUGGUCAGUAUGUUUUAACUUUCAUAUUUAUGAUGAUAAGUUUUACAAAUCUAACCACAUUAACUUUCAUACUGCUAAUUUUUGGAGCCUUAUUCUGUUAAUGAGAUGAUUUUUGAUCUUUGAUUCUAUCAAGCUGUCUUUUUUGUCUCAUCAAAGAAUGCAACUUCUGCUAAUAUAGUUUUUUGUUGAUCUUCCUUAGAAAAUCUGUUAUACAAACUCCAGAGAUAACCACAUCUUGAAUACCUAGCACCACCAGUUUGCAAAGUUUGACACUAAGACCAUCAUGCACAAUGCUAUCUAUGCACAGUCCCAUUUAAACAUACAUUUCUUUGUCAUCUUCCCGUUUCUGGGAACCAGGUUGGGACACACAGAGACUAUGCGGUCCUAGCCACCCCCAACUUUUCCAAACUUGUUACUAUACCUAGCACCACCAGUUUGCAAAGUGUGACACUAAAACCAUCAUGCACAAUGCUUUCUAUGCACAGUGCCAUUUAAACAUACAUUUCUUUCUCAUCUUCCCCUUUUUGGGAACCAGGUUGGGACACACAGAGACUAUGCGGUCCUAGCCACCCCUAACUUUUCCAAACCUGUUACUGUACCCAGCACCACCAGUUUGCAAAGUGUGACACUAAAACCAUCAUGCACAAUGCUCUCUAUGCCUGUGCAUCACCUUCCCCUUUCCGGGAGCCAGAGCGGAACACACAGAGACUGUGCGUGGUCCUAGCCACCCCCAACUUUUCCAAACUUGUUACUGUAAUAUUGAUCUAUGAGACAUUUUGAUUUCAGCAAAGUCCAAAAACCCAAACUUAAGCAUUUAAACUUGUACUUGCUGACUACUAAAACACUAAUAAAAGAAGAAAUAAUUGUCUGUCACGCUUGUGUAUAGGGCCAUAGUCUCAUACGUACUGUGUGUGUGUGUGUAUAAUUAACUUACGAUAUCGAAAAAAUUGGUAUAGCACAUAUGACAUAUUAAUGUUCUAUUAAUAUACAGGUCGCCAUGACUGGCGAUGGGGUAAACGAUGCCCCUGCGCUAAAAAAAGCAGACAUAGGGAUUGCCAUGGGAUCUGGAACAGCAGUUGCCAAGGUAUUUUUGUGUGCCCCUUUUUGGUCAUUUUGGAGUAUUAUCCAAGUAGCUUUCUUCACUCUGCACUUGCUAUACAUGUUUAACAUUCAACCUAAUUGAUUACUUGAGCAUUAUACACUACACAUGAUGCAUAGUUUCUAGUCCAAUUAACUAUACUUUGCGGAAUGCUCACUAUAAAUUCCUAGUCCAACUCUCCUAUCUGAUGAUAUAUUGGGGCAAUUUGGAUUUGAGAAUUUCUGUGAAGCUUUAAUCUUGUUUAGUGGUGGGCUAUGUGCAAUUGCAUUACCCAUUAUUCUGUUUUAGGGAUAUAUUAUACUACCAGACCACCGGAACAUGGUAAGUGCAUAGAAAGCAAGUUUGUCAAUGAAUUUGCUAUUGCAGCCAAUAAUUAGUUAUUCGACUGAUUUUGAGUAUCUGCUUUUAAUAUAUUUCUAUUUUCUAGUGUGUUAUAUGUUGGAUCUAAUAAAAAUUCUGAGCUGUAUCGAUUGUCCCUUUCCAGACCCAAGGGUAAAAUCAUCUACUAAUUGGCUUUAUUCUGUCUUUUGAUUGUCAGAGUGCUUCUGAUAUGGUUUUGGCUGAUGACAAUUUUGCUUCCAUUGUUGCCGUAAGCUUCUCGUGUACAUUUUUCUACAAGUCUUGUAUCUAAUUAAAGAGAAUCUUGAAUCUAUUUCAUUUAUGUCUCAAUUCAUCUGAAGAUGACUGUUUAUACAAGCAGGCUGUUGCAGAGGGAAGGGCCAUAUACAAUAACACAAAGCAGUUCAUUAGAUAUAUGAUAUCUUCAAACAUUGGCGAAGUAGUUUGUAUAUUUGUGGCAGCUGUACUUGGGAUACCUGAUACACUUGUGCCAGUGAGUUUCUUGGAUUAGAAUAUUACGAUUAAUAAACUCUCGUAGUUGUAUAUUCUACUUCUGAUACAACUGGCUGUCAGUAGCAGCACUUGUCUUCUAACCCUCUUCUUUAUUUAAUAAUUAUGUCAGAUGAAAAUGUGUAGGAUUAUGAACUAUGUUUAAAUAAUAUAUGUUUGUGUUACUUGGGGCGUAUGUACCCAGAAAGUCAUAAGAAAAGUCAUCUAUGAGCCCACGUUAUGCAAAUCUUUCUGUAUAUGCCACUUACUUUCUCUUAUAAAGGGGGGCUUCUUUUCAUCCCUCAAUACCUGUGUUAAUACGUAGGCUCUGUUGGGAUACCAUGCUCCAGCUAAAAAUCAAGUUAUCUCCCAUUUGACCAUUUCUGGUUAAUCGACUGGUUUCAAAGUCACAGUAUGCAUAAUUUAAACCCUGGCAUGAAACUAGAUGAUGUAGCGUUUUGAUUACUAAUCCAAAACGUUACAAGAUCCAGCGUGAAAAUGGUAUUGGGGGCCAUUUUUUGGGAUCGUGAUAUGCAGGGCAUUAAUUCCUGAAAUUGUGUUAAUGAGGGCCAACAGCCAGCUAGCUCCACCUAUUCUAUUUCAAUCAUUUAUUGUUCAUUAAAUAUAGAAAUCCGUGCUUCGGUGUAUAAUCUACUUGCCAUCUGGUUGGAUUCUAGCACCUCAUGUAUAUCUCUACUGGCCUUGGAUACCUAAAAAUAGACAGUCAUGUACCUACUUAAUGACGAGAAUCAGAUUAAUAUAGUGAAUGUUUCGUUUCCAUAUAACAUCAACAAGUCAGAAAAGAUUUGAUGUAGGUUGCUGGAUGAAGUACAUAAGCAAUGAAAAUGGAAUCUAGCUUUUGAUAUUGACACUUGAAAAUUUAAGCAACUGACAUGAAACAUAAAUCUUAUUACUGUAUUAGUUAUGUAGUAUAAUAAUUUUGAAAAGUAUGUAAUUUUGUUUGUGUUUCUUUGUUUAUUUUAUUUCAGGUCCAGCUUUUAUGGGUAAAUUUAGUCACUGACGGAUUGCCUGCCACUGCUAUUGGUUUUAAUAAGCAAGAUUCAGAUGUGAUGAAAGUCAAGCCUCGCAAGGUAUUUGCUUAUAAGUGAUUUCUCAAACUUGUAUAAAGAGAUACUUAUAUAUGAUAUGAUGGUGAAAACUUAUUAUGUGGGGAGGUGCCUUAGAUAGGUUUGAGCCUUAAUCCAUCUUUUUUAAUGUUAUAUCCUUAUGGGCCUCGUUUGUUUUAACUUUUAAAUUAACUUAAGUAUGCAAGUGUAAAUUCCAUGAGAGUAGCAUAUUUUAUUGUGUUUGGUUUCAUAGAAUUAAAAUGGUCCGAACAGAAGUCAACUUUAUGGUGUAAAUACAAGUUAUCCUAAACACUGUAACUUGCUGACCUACCCUUCCCAUUGUAAGACCAACUUAUGGCAUUUAUUUAUGAUUUUUUUAAUAUAAAUAUUCUACUUGUGUCAAGGUUAGCCAAAUACAUUACAGUAUAGCUUUGUUCGUUGGAAGUUUAAAUGUGCCUCAAGUUCUAGAAGGUUCAAAUUUAGUAAAUUAACUCAUUACUAAACCAAAUGAAGCUAAAAAUUAUUGUUAUAGGUGAUAUUUCUUCUUCUUUUUGUAAACAUGUCUAGAACAGAUUGAUAUUUUAAAUAUGUAUAGAAUAGAUUGAUAGUGAUUUCUGUCAUUAGAAAUAAAUUUGAAUUUUUGUGGAUUUAUAUUUACCUCUGUUAAGAAGAGAUGUCAACUUUACUGCUGGAGAGACAGACAUAUAUAAUGUGAAGUGAUAAACGAAAUGUUUUCCACAUGAAUACACUCACCCAUAAAACAUAUACCAAUAUGAUCACAGAAUCAGACACUAUCUGAAAAUUUCAUUCUGGGGUCCUAACUGACGUUCACCAUUUGCAUAGAUGAGAAGCCUACUUUGACAUUACAAUAUUCCUUGAUAGAAUUUAGCCUUUUUAUGUUCCUUGAACUAGAACUAUCCACACUUCUUGUAGUAAUGGUUGUGCAAUUGCUAUUUUUGUUAUCAAGAUAUAGAGGGAGAGUCCUGUAUAUCAAACUUUGACUUUCUUGAUGGAUGUAACACCUAAUUAAUUAAUUAAUUAAUUAAUUACUUAGGUAGAGGUUUAUAAUUUUUGAGUCGUUAAACUACUCGAGGCUUGCAAAAUUCAUCUCUGUACUUGCCGACUCAAAUUGGUUGGCACCCAAAUAAAUCAACUACUGCAUAUGUUAUUCAGUUGGUAGAAGUCACCUCUUGGUUUUUUUUUAAUCUACUCCUCUUGUCUGAUGGCGCAGGUUAAUGAAGCUGUGGUCACUGGGUGGCUCUUUUUUCGCUAUCUAGUCAUUGGAGGUAGGUACAUAUGAUAUUAUGAUUUUUUUACACGCCAAUUGCUGGUGUGGUGUCCAUAAAUUCUAAGCAUUGUACAUUCGACAUGGAUGGAAUCCAUAGUAAUAGUGGCUGUAUGUGUAUUAAUUUCGACUUAUCAUUUUUUCAUGUUAUUGAUAUAGUGUUUAAUGCCUAAUUUUUACUUUACACUUUUUUUUUUUAAUAGCUUAUGUUGGACUUGCUACUGUUAUGGGGUUCAUAUGGUGGUUUCUCUACUCGGAUAGUGGGCCAAAGCUUCCAUAUAGUGAGUUGGUAAGUGUUACUUUCAAUUUAGUUUGUGUAGGAACGUUGUUGUUUUUUGAACUGCAUUCUAUUAGGGUCUUAUAUUAGCGGGCUGAAGGCAUAUAUUCAGUAAUAUAUUUCUGUCAUUCUCUUCCCACUUAUAUUAUACUUUUCUUUGUCCAAAUAAAGUUGCAAUAGACAUUUUGUGUGAAAGUUUGAAGUACUUGUAUGACACAGUAACAUGGAUGACACUUUAACUAAUUAACUUGUUAUAAAAUGAAUUUAUUCGUCUGUAUCAUUGGCAUAGGACUAAUGUGGUACUUCCUUGUAACACUCCAAUUGACUAAAUUAAGAACAGACAUCACCUAGGACAUGAACAAUAUAAAUAACUGGGGUUUGAUUUAGAAGAUUUUUUUUUAAAGGCAUAGACAAUUAAAUCUGGUCUGUAAACUUUUGCAUACAUAUUUCUAAUUACUCCCAUGAGUCCCACCCACUACUUCCCUCCACUUCUCCAAAUCUGUUAAUUAAACAUUGAUGGUUCCCAUCACUUUACCCGCUUCUCUUAUUCUUUCCCACUAUUUCAUAUUAUACAAUUUUCUUGAAUUUCGAGCCCCACCCAAAUGUAAACAAAUGGGUGGACGGAUAGAGUAAUGUUUAGGGAAUGUUAUCUGCUAGCUAUCAAGUCCUUAUUCUUUUUAAAUUAGUUAGAGUAAUGUCUGUGCAAUUCUGUGUAAUUUUGGUUUAAAUUAUUGACUCAAUCUGUUGGUUCAAAAUAAGUGUUUUUCCGACAUCUUUUACUAACUGGAUCUCUGGAGUUCUGUAGGAAUAAUAAACAGGCUGUUUUUGGACUUUCUAGCCGUAUGCAUACUAAUAUCGGUGUUUUGCCCUUGUACAAUUCUGGAAUACUGAUUGGUUGCAUUUCUUUUCAGAUAAAUUUUGACAGUUGUUCAACUAGGGAAACGUUGUAUCCUUGCAGCAUAUUCGAUGAUCGGCACCCGUCAACUGUGUCAAUGACGGUGUUGGUUGUUGUUGAGAUGUUUAAUGCAUUAAACAAUUUAAGUGAAAAUCAAUCUCUUUGGUGAGUAUUCAAUAUUCCGAGUGGUUCUGCCAUAUUUGACUGUGAAGAAUUAUUAAGUAUGGAUAUUGUUAAAUGUCAUCAAAAAUGAUACGGAUUUGCACAAUUUACAAACCCCCUCUGAACUUCUUUUAGUUAGCUAUGUAGAUGUAUAUACAACUUCUAAGAUUACAAUAUGUCUGCAUUUGUAGUUUUUUUUGUUUGGGACAUAUUAUUUAGGUUAUAGUAAUUUAUAUCGAACAAAGAUAUGAAAUGAACGCAUAAGAAAGAAGACUUGGCUAUAUCUUUUGAGAAAAUAAAGCAUAAAUCCAGCCAGUUAUUGCAGGUCUGAGAGUAGUUAAUCCCCAACAAUGUAAAAUUGUAGAUGCGAAGUGCUAACAGCUACUCUAUAGUCAAUAGUGUAUCAAUAUGAAAUUGCUUACCCAUAAUUAUCUAAAGCGUGUUCGUAGCGCAUCAACUAUAGUACUUAACCCACAUGAUAAGUUAAUAUAAUAAGAUUCAAGAUUAUGUUUUUGUAUGCUGCUGAUAACAUUAUACUUUUCCUACUAUUUCUGAUAAAAAUAAACACUAGAGAAGCAAUUUGGGAUGAUUUUUAUGUCUGACAAUAUAUUCUUUUUUACUAUUUUUUCAGUGUUAUCCCUCCUUGGACUAAUAUGUGGCUUGUUGGUUCGAUCGUUCUCACUAUGCUCCUGCACAUGCUAAUUUUAUAUGUAGAACCACUAUCUAUCCUUUUCUCAGUAAGUACACUGUUUUUUUAUAAUUGCAAAUAAUGGAAAAGUAAACUAGUAUACUUUUGGAGCCCCAUGAGAUAGCUCAAGUGGUAAGGGCUCAUCUCUUGUCGUUCCUAGUUUUUGAUAUAAGUGUAAUUAUUCAAAAAAAAAAAUAGUAUACUUUUAGGGCAAUUAAUGUGUCACUCUUGUUUCUUCAUUCCACGGGUUUACAAUUACCAAUUUUUUUCCAGGUGACACCCUUAACUUGGGCUGAGUGGACUGUUGUGUUGUAUCUUUCAUUUCCCGUAAGUUGUUUCUAUUUGAAGCUUUAUUUCAAAUCUUAAUUUUUUCUGUUUUAGUAUACUUUUAUAAAUAGUACCUAGCUGAGAAUACUUUUUGUUACUUUCUGCUUUUACAUGCCAUGUGAGAACUUCUAUUACCAAAUAUAUAUAGGAAUUAGUUACAUAAGAAAAAGGAAUUAGUUGACUAUAAAAUGGUGUGAGUGGAACAUAAGCUCAUAGCGUUAUAUUGAUAGGUUUUCCUUCUCCCAUCCAAUUGUUUACAAACAACAUGCAGGGGGAUGCACCCUCAUGUAUUACUUUUAAACAACACAAAUGAGAUCAUGAUCUUUAAAGUGGGUGGUUCAUUAAUCAAGUGGGUCUGGCACUAUGUUUGUUAUAAGCAAUUGAAUUCCUUUUGAGAUACUUUCACCCCCCUACUUUAAAAGUAAGAUUUUUGUUUUAAGUGAAUUUGUCCAUCCAUUCCAAGUUCCAAGUGAAAUGUUUCUGGUCAGAACAUAUAGAAGACUUUGGAGUGCAACUCUGAAUAUGAUUAUCUUGCAUGAGCAUGAUAUUAUAUUUAAACCUAUGUUACCCGGACCUGGCUCAUAGUGUCCAACAUGGAUAAGUAUCCGCGGCAUUAUGAAAAUUUUACAUGUUUUUGGCCUGAAACAAGCGUAGGAAUGUCCAUACUCAUGUUCAAGUGUCGAGUGUCUGACAUGGGUACUAAUGGCAAUUUAAACCAGAAUAAGUAUUUGGGCUCCUAGCCGGGCAAGGCUUCCUUCAGACAAUUUUAAUAAUAUUUUUCUGAUCUGAAGUUUGUUUUAGUAAUUCUUCUUCUAUCAUAGUAAUUGUUUAUAUUUGAUGAUAUAUUUUUAUCUAAUUUCAUGCAGGUAAUCAUUAUUGAUGAAAUAUUAAAGUUCUUCUCGAGAAAUAGCGGUAAGUUUUUUUUGUUUUUUUUUUGAGAAAGUAUACCCUUUUUUUUGGGGUGGGGGGUGGGGAGGCUUGUCAAUGGAACAAAUUUCUGAUCCGACAAGAACAAUCCGAAUAAUAAAGCGAUCGAAUAUGGAUUUGGUUUGAUUCGAUAUGUUUAUAUCCACGACCUGAUCCGUUCAAUUAUAUACAUACAUAUAUAUGGUGUGUAUAUAUAUAUAUGUAUAUUAGUAUAUUAGUCUGUAUUUUAUACUAUUAAAGCUGAAAUAUUAAAAGUUUGAUUGGUCGGUAUUUGGGCAUGUAGGCCUCCUUAAUUUAUAAUGUGGUAAUGUGUUUUUCGAAUAAUUUUAAAUCAUAUUUUUCAUUUCGUAAGGGAUUUUUUAUAUUAAUUAUCAUGUAUUGGCGUGUUGUUUGUCUUGGAGUAGACAAUGUUAGAGUUAAAAAGACAUGAUGGUUCGUGUUUGUCUUGAAGGCGAACACGUGAGAGUUAAAGAAGAGUUAUUGAUGAUUCGUGUUUGUUUUCAAGCAGAACACAUUAUAAUUUAGAAGAGAGUCUCUCAUUGUUUAUAUUUGUUUUUUAAAAAGAUAUUCAAAAUUUAAUAUUUAUAAUUUUAUUUUUAACGUCAUUAUAUUCUUUUUUGAUAUGGGAAAUUAUAUGAUAAUGUAUCAAAAUUUGAUAAAAUAUUAUUGACAAAUUGAUUAUGUUUUAUUUUAGAGAUUUAGCUUCUACAAUAUUUAUUUAUAUAUUGUAAAUGGGUAGUAGAAAUAAUAAUAUUUUUAAUCAUCUAAUUAUAAGUAUUUUUUUAAAUAUUAAUAUAUGUUAUUGAUAGUAGUUAACUUUUUUUUACUUUUUAAAAUAAUUUUAAAUUAUAUUUUUCAUCAUUUUUUUUAUUUUUUCGUUUAUAAAAACUAUAUAUUAUUUAUCUCAUAUCAAUUACAUGAUAAUUUGCUGUUUAUUUUGGAGUAGAAGGCAUUAGAAUAAGAAGAUUCACGCUUAUUUAUAUAAUUUUUUUUAUUGACUUCCGGUUUGUCUUUAUAAGUUAAACAUCUAUUUAUAAGUAUUUUUUAAGGAUACUUUUAUGGAUUUUGUGUGCGGUUUGGCACUGUCUAGUCCCUUAUAUUAAGUUGGAGCAAUGUAGUCUUAUUCUCAGCUUACCCUCUGAAACAAACACAGCCUGAGGAUUAUAUAGUAGUCUUUACUCAUACCUAAACUUCACGUGCACUGUUAACGUCUGAAAGAGACUAUAUAGUAGCAGGAGUGUACAAGUAUUGAUUGUCCCUCUGCUGGUGUAAUAUGAUUACAGGAUGGAGGUUCAACAUUAGAUUCAGGCGAGGUGAUUUACUCCCCAAAGAGGCACGAGAUAAAUGAAUCGGGAGCCAUGCGAACAAAAUUUUCAGAUGGAGCCUUUGCAUUUCCAGAUAUUAGAUUAGAUUAUGAGAAUGAUAGUUUGACUUCUCUUCAACUCCAUAUGCAAUCAAAGAGAGGCCUAGCAAAUGCUUCACUGAGAAGAAAUACUAAAAGAUGAAGGCCCUGUCAGUCUCAGAAUUUUACAGAAGUUUGUCCAUUACACAAUAGAAAUUCUAACCAUUAAAGCUGCAGCAAUAGCCAAUAGGUUCUAUUUCUUUUUGCCCAUAUAUAGAAAUUAAUUCUGGCGAUGUAUAUUUGGAUGUUUUACCGCUAGUAACUUUGUAACAAAAGAAAGUCUUUAUCCACAUAAGUUAAAGAAAGAGAUUGUAGCUUAGAGCAACAAAAAGAAAAGAAACAGAUUGUUUGUACACCAGCCUUGAUACCUUUUGAAAUUAUUGCAGAAUCAGAUUUGUUCGUUAAUUCACUCUGAUCCUCUUCUUUACUUAUUUAUUCAUUAUUACAAUACUCUAAUAAUUUAUAUAUCUAUCAUUUAUUAGGAGUGAUCAGAAAACCGUGCAAACCGCCCGUACCGCACCAAACCGCACCACAAAACACGGUUUUUAAUUUUCGUGGUGCGGUUCGGUUUUUAAUUUUCGUGGUGCGGUUGCGGUUUGAGGUUUUGACAAACCGCGCGGUGCGGUGCGGGUUGCGGUUUUAGCUUGCUUCAAUGCGGUUCAAACCGUACCGCACCGCCAUAUUUAAUAUAUAUUAUAAAAAUAAUAAUUAUAUAUAUUAUAAAUAUUAUAUGUUAAAUGUAAGAUAGUAAUUUUUUUUUAAUCUUUUCAAGGUGAAUCUCUUUAAAUUUGAAAUUUGAAAUUCAAAUUGGAUAUACAUUAAAUGAUUGAGAAUCUAUUUAAAGAUGAUAUUAAUGUGGGAAUGAUUUGGUAUAUAUUUAUGUUACAAAAUUACCUUAUAUACGUUUAGAUUUGAUUGACAUAAUUAAUUACUCCCUCCGUCCCAUUUUAGUUGUCACAUUUGGUAUUGUGCCAGUCAAAUUGACCAAAAUUUGAUUGAAAUUUAUUAAUAUUUUAUCAAUUGAAAAAAUAAAAAAAAAUAAGUUACCGAAAAUUACUUUUAAUCUACUUUAAGAUGUAAUUUUCAGUUUUUUAGAAUAAUGAAGGAGUGACUUGUAAUUUUUGGUCAAAAAUUAGUAAAUUUGACCAACACAAAAGGAAACGUGACAACUAAAAUGGGACGGAGGGAGUAUUACAAUACAGUACAAUACAAUAUAUCAUUAAACACACGUAUAUGAUCAACGGUGAUUAGAAGGGUUUCUCGGUUUUGUUGAUAAGCUGAGUUUUUUUAGGAUCCCCCAUAUAUAUAUAUAUAUAUAUGAGGAAAGUUCUAUGGAGACCGUUAUUUCAUCGGAGACCUCGAAAACCACGUAUGUUCUGCAAUCAAAACACUAUAAAAUACAUUAUUAUAUAACAUAUGUUCUACAAAUAUCAUGUAUUCAUUAAAAUUGUUGAAAAUCAUCUAUGUUUAAUAAGUAUAUAAUAUAUGUUCUGCAAGUUGAACAUAUGUUCUGCAAACUAAAUAUAUUUCAUAGAACAAAACAUUUUCUAAUGUUCCACAUGUAAGACUUAUAUGAUAUUCAAGAUUUUAAAUGAAAUAAUGAUUUCGUAGAACAUGAUUUGCGAAACUAUACGUUUUGCAAUGUUUUUAUGAAAUAUUUUACUUGCAGAACAUAAGUGGUCUCCGGGUCUCCAGAAAAAAUGUGGUCUCCAUUGAACUUAACUCAUAUAUAUAUAUAUGUGUGUGUGAUAAUUGUUUAUUACUUUCAGCCCACUAAAUUUAAGCCCAGGAGGCUCAAUAGUCAGUAAGCCCAGGAGGUAGGAGCCCAAACUUCAGUUAGGUUAAAACUUCAAAUCCCUACUACUCUCCAUUAUUUUAGCCGAUAGCCGUACAAAUACAAAACCCUAUCAUUUAUUCACUCUAAUCCACUUAUUUAACUUUCUUAAGUUUAGGCAAAUGAACAUUCUAUAUCAAUCAAAAGGAGAAAUAAUAACGUGAAAAUUUUAAGGAUUUUUCUCUGAGAAAAAGUUUCUUCAGACUUUCGGAAUAAUUUAUUAAGAUUUCUUUUAAAACAAAUGUAUGGGAAACACAAAUUCCUAAGAAAAUUUGACUCUGUGAAGUUUUGUGAAUGUAUCCGGAACAGGUUUUAAAAAACUUUCCCAGAAUUUCACAAGAAAUUUUCUGAGGAUUUUAUCGAGAACUUUUCGAAUAAAUAUCUUAUUUUCUUUUCUUUUCUUUUCUUCCAUAUUAACCUAAUCUUAUAUCUUUUCUUCUUCCAAAUUAACAUACAGAGACAUCUUUUCUUCUUUUGUGAAAAAUUAAUUACUUGAGAACACUGAAUUUUCUAAUUAAGACUUGUUUCCUAUUCUUUCUCUCUACUUUAUGACUGGGGUGCGCAAAGGCCAUGUAAAAACACAUAUUUGCAGUAAAAAGCAAGACUUUUCUUGUGUGUGACCUACUCUCAGAGUUGCUAUUCACAUUACAUCAUUUCUGCAUUUCUGCUACACUUGUGUAUCCUUGCAGUAUAAUAUUGUAGUAAUUACGAAUACGACAAAUUAAAACUGCAUGUUUCUUUUGUCAACAAAAAGAAAAAAACUGCAUGUUUCUGCCGGUUGCUCUGAAAUCACCAUCUACCUUAAAAUUUGCAUGCAUUAAUCAUGCAGCCAGUGUUCUCCUGAGACCGCCAAUAGAUUUCGAUAGUUAAGAAAACACUAUUGUUUCUUAUGGUGUCUUAAUCAAAUAACUAACAAAUUUUCAACUGCGCAUAGGAGAGAGCUAGUUGCAUGCCUCCGUACCAUUAUUUAGGGUCACCGGUCAGGUCACUGUUCCUAACAGUUUAUAGAUGAUGUUGGAUUGUUGGACCGUUGGACGUGUCCCCAUUUAACGGUUAAAAAGUGCUAGAUAUAUCAAAAAAAUUUAUAAUCUCAGACGUUGAAUAUUCAUCUAACAACUCAAAAUUCAUAAACCAUGCUCCGUGACAAUCAUAUGUGAUCGUUACCCUAUUAAUUAUUAUUUACGCACAACACAUGAAUUAUAACUGCAUUGCCAUUUCAACAAGUUAUCUUCGCAUGGUUCAUGUAUACUUCAUACAAUUCUUUGCCCAACUUAAUUCCAUUAACAAGCAACUUAAAUUUAGGUAGAAUAUCAUUUAUUUUUGGUCAACAAUUUUGACCACACACUUAAAAGUUUUGCUCUUUUAAAAAAGAAAAUUGUAAACGAAAAUGUUAAUGUCAUAACUUUAUUCACAAUGAAAAUUGUAUUUUAAGAAUAUCAUUUUUUAAAUAUUGGUGAAAAUUAUAAAGAACAUACAUUAAAGAGACGGAAAAAAUUAAACGUCUCACAUAUUUGAGAGUAUAAUUUAAGGUCAAGGUUGAGAUCGAAGUCAACUACAAUCCGUUAUACAGGGUUUUUGAACGCAUCUAAAUACGACUUAUUACCUGAUAUCAGAAAAUAUGACUUGCAAAUUCAACCAAGAUGAUCAUGGUAUGGACCGUAUGGUAUCUAUCGUAUGAUUAAAUCGGACCCCAUUUUGAUCCAAUCCAAACUGAAAUCGAGAUGUGAUUCGUUUUUUUAUUAUUUCAAGUUUGACCUUAAACCCUAUCACGCAUACAUGCAUACAAAAAUACAUAUAUAUGUAUGUAAAUACGUAUACGUUAUAAUAUAUUAUAAUUAUACAUACAUACAUAUAUAUAUAUAUAUAUAUAUAUAUAUAUAUAUAUAUAUAUAUGUAUUAUCAUGUAUUAUCUUAUUAAUUAUAAACAUAAGAUAUAUCAAUGACUUUCGUAUUGUCUAUUUCCGUAAUAAUAUUGAAAUUUAUUAUAUUAUUAUUAAAUUAACUAAAAUCUUAUUACAAUGUACGCAAUAAUCAUUCAAUUUAAGUGCACUAUCUUACUAAUAAUUAAAUUAUGAUAAUAUCAUAAACUGCAAAAUUCACUGAUUCGAAACAUUUGGAUUUAAUGUAGAUCGAUUAUGAUUACAAAUUUAUUUGAUAUUUUGAAAGCUCUACUAAAAUGAAUUUAUUACUGUUGACUACAGACUUCACCGCGAUCAUCUCUAAAUUCGAUAAUACCUGGACUUGUGAACAAGCUCACACAAUUAAUCCACUUUUUUUCCAAGAUGGUUCCAAUUCAAUUGAAACUAAGAAUAGUUUAUAAUUAAAACUUCACGUAAUUUAUAUUAGCAUAUGAUUAACCAUAUUUUCCAUGGUGUCCGUGAUACUAUUUUGUUAAUUCUUUUUUUUUUUAAUUGGUGCAAAACUACCAUACACACAUAAUUCACCUUAUCCAUCACCUUCAUUAUUCAGUCUUUCCAUUCCCUUAUCCAAGUCGGGUCCCUCUUCGUCCACACCAACCCCAAUCAUGUAUUCUCCCCCAAUUCAAUUUACUUGCCCUAUUUUCCCAAGCAUUUCGUAUUCACAUUGUUCACUAAAUAUUUAUACAAAUCAAAAUAAUCCACUUAUUUCGCGAAAAAAAUAUCAUAAUCUCGAUCAGAAUGGUUUACAAAUUUUGAUAAAACUAAAUUUUUAUUCUAAAACACAAUUCAUAAUCUCGUAAAAUACUAUUCAUUCCGAAAUAAUUCUCGACUUAAGACAGAUUUAUCCCGAUCCAACGAUUAUUAAAACAAUAAAAGGAAAAAAGAAAAAGCCUAAACUAAAUGAUACGGGACAGGAUUACUUAAAAGAGCACAAAAGGAAAAAUAAAUCCAGCUCAUUUCUCACAAAUACAGAACACAGAGACCUCCAUGUCCACCACCGACCAUGUGUGUAAACACGCACAUAAUGUACAGUUUACAUGUACUUACAAACACUUGUGUCUAUUUAUAACAUCAUAACAUCUUUAGUUCCAGUAGUUUAAACACAAACAUAAAUACACAGAGCUUAAACCUGACAAUCAAACGGUUGGGGUUUGGCUCUCCUUUACAUUUUUUCAUAUUCAACAAAAAGCGAGGGAAAAUUCUGUUAUUUGGCCGUUGAAAGUCAACAUCCAGAUCUGCUGCCUUCUCUCUUUGGUAAGUCUAUUUGUUUUUGAUAUUGGAUCUGUGGUUUAAUGCAUAAUUGAAUGUUGGUGUUUGUUUAUUUAGCAGUUUUGUUGUGUGAUUUGGAUCUGGGCUCGAUCAUGCUGUGUUUUUUAUGACGAUUUGUUGCCAUUUUUGAUUGUUUGUGUUGGAAUUCUUCGCUGAAUUAUUGAAUUUGUGCGUAUGUUAAGAUAUAGGUUGUGGUCUAAUCAGAUUACGGGUGCACGGAGUUCUUGAACUUUAGCAUUGAUAUCAAUAGAAUGAAGGACUAUAAUUGAGCUUUUUUAGUUUGUUAUUGUGUAUUGGAACAUGUUACCGCUAAUCGGUCUGUCGUGUCAUUGCUCAGUUUUGUGUUUCGUUAUAUGUUGCACCAUAGCCCGCACACAUUAGAGAUCACUGCUUGCUAAUAAAGGUUUUUCCCUAAUUUUGUUCUUCGAAAACAUGUGGAAUUUGGUUUUUCUGAUUCUUAAGUCUCGGUGAUUGGCAUGUAUAUGGACUAGGGAGUGACCGUACUUACCAUGCCAGUGUUGGUACUACACAUUAUUUACAUAUAUUUAGGUUGGCCAACAUUUCAGAGAGAACCCUCCUAUAUAGAGUUCCAUAGCAUCCCAUCAAAAAUAAUUGAUUCUAUUAAAGAUUCUGUUAUAGAAUACACAUAGAAUGUGAUGUAAAAUACUACGAUAAUACAUUUAUAAAUAAUUUAACACUUAAUUUGAACCAAAAAGUUGGUUUUUAAAACUGGUUUUACAAUGAAAUUAUUCUGGAUGAUUAUGAUUCUUGGAAGAUAAAGUUGUAUAAAUUUGUUUUUGAUGUACUAAUUAGAAUUUAUAAUUAUAUUUCGUAAAAAAUAUGAUAAAUAUAUGUAUUGCACAAAUUUUGUUAAUGGUAUGUUACCUAUGUUAUUCUGACUCUUCAGUCUAGGUAGUCGUAUCCGUAUCCGACACUUGGACACUCAGACACGACACUUAUUCCGUGUCGUAUCCUUUGACUGAUAGGCGGACACUUUGACCAACUAAAAGACCGCAUUUAAGUUAAUAUACAAUGCAAACGAGAAAAAAAAAAUACGAAGAAGCAAAAUAAAAUCCAAGCAUAGGAGAUCCUUAAUUUACAAAAUUCCUUAUAAAUUUGUGUUUUAUCAUAACUUGACGGUUACUUUUCGUUAAGGUAUCUACUUACCAUGCAUGUUUAUUAGUGUAUUAUGUUGUGUCCUCAUAUGCUCGUCCAAAAAGUAUGACAGUGUCCCCUUGUCCUAAUUUUAAGAUUUUUCAAGUCCGACUCUUGGAUAUGUGUCGUAUCUGACAUUUCGUACCCGAGUCAGAGUAACAUAUACGGAACUCUAUAUCAAUAGCUCCUCCCUAAAGUGUCACCCACGUUUCCUGAUUGGAGCCAAAGCAAUUUUUUGUAAGAAAUCUAUUGCUUUUGAUCAGACAUCUUGGUUGAUUGCAGUACAAGUAUUUAAACAGUUGCUGGUUCUUAAUCUUUUGGGUGCUUUGAGGUAAUUUGGAUCUGGUUCUGUAUUGAGCAUUUUAUCCUAACAGUCCAGAUUUGACAGUGAGCAAGCGUUGGUAUUUCUUUUAACUAUCGUGCAACAAAAAGUGGAACAAUCUUUUUACGUUAGAUAUUUCUUUCUUAAGAUAUUCUCCAUUUUGAUUUAAGAAAAAAUUUAAUUACUAGAGAUUCCUACCUAGAUCGACCUUUAAAGAAAACUAAUAAGCAGAAUAGUUUACAUCGUGAUACUUUACACAAUUUGAUUUUGCAUAAUAUGCGGGCCAAGCUUAGAAAGCAUCCCCUGGAUCAGUUAUUGUAGAUCAGAAUCCGAGCCUGUUCUGUGAUUGUUAUUUAUAUCUUCUUCUAGGUAAAAUAUUUGGACGAGAUCCUAUAACAUCAUAUAUAUAUAUCCAUCUUUGUUGUGUGUCUUCCAACUCUGGUUUUUUAUUUUUUUUCUGGUAACUUGCGUUAUAUUUUGAAACUACGCUUUCCUUCUAAGAAUGACACCUGUUAUCUACGUGUCAGUUUCGGUAACACUUGUCACAACCUCGCUUAAUACUAUUAGAUAAGAUUGACAGCUGACAGAUCCGUGAAUGUACAUCCUUCUUUGCGUUCAAUAUAUAUGGAGGGGGCAGUAACCUUUCUGCAUACAGUGUUUUAUUUUGCAAUUCAUCUGCUUUCGAAGUUGCUCAGAUUCCAACAUCUUCGUAACAGGUUUAAUAAAAGCAUACCAGGAUGAAGGCUCUUAUUCUCGUUGGAGGGUUUGGAACUCGUUUGAGGCCAUUAACUCUCAGCUUCCCCAAGCCCCUUGUUGAUUUCGCCAACAAACCAAUGAUUCUGCAUCAGGUAUGGAUUGUUAUAUGGUCGACUCUUUAACUAUCAUACUCUUUGGUGGUCUUUUGUAUCUCUAGAGGUCCUGAAGUUGUUUUGGGCUAAAUGCUAUUGUUUUUCUCAGAUACCCUUUUUGUUUCCAUUCAAAGCUUAUAUAGACACUUUGUCUAUUAUGAAUUUCUAAUUCUGUGGGUGUUUAUAUGCAUCCAUGAAACGAUGGUCUAAUAUGCUAAUGCUUUAUGACACAUCAGAUUGAGGCACUUAAGGCUAUCGGAGUAAGUGAAGUAGUUUUGGCUAUCAAUUACCAACCAGAGGUAUUUAUCUGAGGUUCUAUAACAUAAAUAUGGGUCUCUUUGGUUAUUAUUUGGGAAUUAGUGAUCAGUUGGACCAUUGUUAUGACAGGUGAUGCUGAACUUUUUGAAGGAUUUCGAGACUAAGAUUGGUAUCAAGAUUACGUGCUCACAAGAGACUGAACCACUCGGCACUGCAGGUCCCCUGGCUCUAGCAAGAGAUAAACUAGUUGAUGAGACUGGCGAGCCAUUUUUUGUGCUAAACAGUGAUGUGAUCAGUGAGUACCCCCUCAAGCAGAUGAUUGAGUUCCACAAAUCUCAUGGGGGUGAGGCUUCUAUAAUGGUCACCAAGGUAGUAUGGAUGUAUGAUUUUAUUAGUUGAUGUUAUUAUAUAUAUUUUCCUCACUCAUACGAUAUUAAUAUUGGCUAAUAAUUGUUAAUUUUUAUAGGUGGAUGAGCCCUCAAAAUAUGGUGUGAUUGUAAUGGAAGAAUCAACAGGACAAGUUGAACGUUUUGUUGAGAAACCUAAAUUAUUUGUUGGUAACAAGAUCAAUGCUGGAAUUUACCUGCUGAACCCAUNNNNNNNNNNNNNNNNNNNNNNNNNNNNNNNNNNNNNNNNNNNNNNNNNNNNNNNNNNNNNNNNNNNNNNNNNNNNNNNNNNNNNNNNNNNNNNNNNNNNNNNNNNNNNNNNNNNNNNNNNNNNNNNNNNNNNNNNNNNNNNNNNNNNNNNNNNNNNNNNNNNNNNNNNNNNNNNNNNNNNNNNNNNNNNNNNNNNNNNNNNNNNNNNNNNNNNNNNNNNNNNNNNNNNNNNNNNNNNNNNNNNNNNNNNNNNNNNNNNNNNNNNNNNNNNNNNNNNNNNNNNNNNNNNNNNNNNNNNNNNNNNNNNNNNNNNNNNNNNNNNNNNNNNNNNNNNNNNNNNNNNNNNNNNNNNNNNNNNNNNNNNNNNNNNNNNNNNNNNNNNNNNNNNNNNNNNNNNNNNNNNNNNNNNNNNNNNNNNNNNNNNNNNNNNNNNNNNNNNNNNNNNNNNNNNNNNNNNNNNNNNNNNNNNNNNNNNNNNNNNNNNNNNNNNNNNNNNNNNNNNNNNNNNNNNNNNNNNNGGUAACAAGAGCAAUGCUGGAAUUUCCCUGCUGAACCCAUCUACACUCGAUCGAAUUGAACUAAGACCAACAUCAAUUGAAAAAGAGGUCUUCCCCCAAAUUGCAGCAGAAAAGAAGCUGUUUGCAAUGGUCCUACCAGGGUUUUGGAUGGACAUUGGACAGCCAAAGGAUUAUAUUACGGGCCUGAGACUCUACCUGGACUCUUUGAGGAAGAACUCUCCUUCUAAACUGACCACAGGAUCUCAUAUUGUGGGAAAUGUUCUAGUUGAUGAGAGUGCAAAAAUUGGAGAGGGAUGUUUGAUUGGCCCUGACGUUGCUAUUGGGCCUGGCUGCGUGAUCGAGUCAGGAGUUAGACUCUCUCGCUGUACUGUGAUGCGUGGUGUUCGUGUCAAGAAACAUGCCUGCAUUUCCAGUAGUAUCAUUGGUUGGCACUCAACUGUUGGACAGUGGGCUCGUGUUGAAAACAUGACGAUUCUGGGAGAGGAUGUUCAUGUUUGUGAUGAAAUAUACAGUAACGGUGGUGUCGUUUUGCCUCACAAGGAAAUCAAGUCUAGCAUUUUGAAGCCAGAGAUUGUGAUGUGAACGUACUCUGCAAGAAGUGUGUUUGUAGGUGAUUUAGCAAGUCAUGGGAGAUGUUUCUUGAGUUCCUUUCCUUUAUCAGUUAAAGUCUCGUCUCUACAAGUUGUAUGAGUUGUUAUGUAGUGUCUGUUUCUCUUGCAAAGUUCAUUUUGAUGAUUGCUGUAAAAUUGUGUGGUGUCUGGUGUAAAAAAAUAAAUAAACAUGUUCAGUUUCUCUCUUUUUUCCUAUGCUAUUGCUUUUGAGACCCGUACAUGGUAAAUUAUACUAUACUAUUCCAAAACUUUGGGUUGGGUUAUCGAUCUAAAAGAAACUUUCACAUACAUGACUAAUGUUAAGGUGUUAAUUGUAACAUUGUGGUGAAAAAUAAUUUUUUUCCAUUGUGUAUUAUUGUUUACUCAAUCAUUACAUAAUAAAUCAAUUAAUACAUUUUUCAAAUUGAUGAAUACAUAUAUUUCUAGUUUAUAUUUUGCUUAUGAUUUAAACUUUUGGUUUAAAUAUAAACCGAACCAAAGACGGAUAUUCGAGUUUGGUUUCUGAACUUCGGGUUUCAAUUUGUUUUGCUUCGUGUUUGGUUUUGAUGUUUGAAAUAUGAUCUUCGGUUUGGAUUUGAUUUUUGUCAAAAUCGAACCAUACCGACCAAAUAUCAUCGUUAUCGAUAGAUGACCUUUUAUGAAACAUGUAAUUCAGAUACUGCCUGGCUACACCUCCUAAUCGGUUUUAACUCUGUGGAAAGUGCAUCAAGAUUAAGCAACAAGCUUGAAGUUAUUUCAGAAUUAGAGUGACAGCUAUUGGAAGAAAGAACAUAAAUAUAUUAUGCAUCUUUAAUGAGAUGAUAUACAUUAAAAUCAUAUUUUGCUGGAAAGGAUUAUCAUGCCGGAAUAGCUUAUAUUAUCUUCUUUCAGUUGAAGGGAUUAUAAUUACAUGAGAUUGUAUUGUAUUGCAAUCACUUUUUUAUUUAUUUCCACGAGCGCAUAAUAUCUUCUCUCGUAGGAUAUUAUAAUCUCAUGAAAAUGUACUAAACCAGGGAUCGAGAUAUGUAAUGGCGGAGCCAAAGCUUUUUUACACCGAGGCACAACAAAAGUUUUUUUUUUUUUUUGAAAUAAACGCACUUGCAUUAAAACUUAUCAGAAUCAAGGGUACAGAUGAUAAACUCCGGAGCAUUACAAAGCCACUCCGUCGGGCUUGACAUAGAAUAUGCAGCUUUUGCUAACUCGUGAGCUACCCUAUUCGCAGACCUAAACGCAAACAAAACUAACACUUCAUCAAAGUGUUUUAGGAUGUCAAUGCAAUCCUCAACCAUUGCAUGAAAAUAAGUGUUACCCCGAGCACCAUUAACUGCGUCGACAAGAAGUUUAGCAUCACACUCAAAGAUGCACUUCCUGGUCCUCCAAUUCUUCAUCCAGAUUAGAGCUUCUUAAGUCCAAUAGCCUCCGCUUCUCGUGGCUGGAACCGGCCUUGCACUACGGAGUUUCUGGCACGCAGAAAGUUUCCCUCCUCAUCUCGAGCAACACCGCCUACCCCCACCUGGCCUGCGUUCUGUAUACAAGCCGCGUCAACAUUAACCUUUAUCCAUUGUGCAGGUGGUUUGCACCACGUUCGAACCACGGGUUGUUGUUGUCCUCUAGUCGUGAGGUUCAUCUCUCGAGCUCGGUUCCAUUCAGCAAGCAUACUACACGCUCUCGAUCGUAUACCAAAGGAUGAGGCACUUACAUGGUUCCAUAACCAAUCAUUCCUCCUCUGCCAAAUAUUCCAACAGAGCAUACUAACCAUCAAAAUCUGGUCCAUGUGAGUGAAAAACUCGUUUCAUUACUGUCAGGGUUGUGUCAUUUGGCCGUAUCUCAACCAGAUUAUUCAAACAAAAGUUUUAGUUGAACAUAACUGUAGGAUAAAGGAUAAGUUCAUCAUCAUCAGUAUAGUCAAGAAUACUCUUUCCAAGCCACUUGGUCUUCACGAUAUGCAUUCCCCGAAAUAGAAUUUCACAGUCCAAUAUGAUUACGCAACUUGGUUUUAACGAUAUGCAUUCCUGAAUAUACUCUUUCCACAGUAAUAAUAGCCACUGGCAAGAUAAAUGACAAUGUUGCUAACUUGUAGACCAUAGGAUAUACUAUACUCUGUUCCUUCCUAAUUUAACCAUCUUUCUCGCAAGAAUGCUUAUCCCCUUCAGAUCAGAAACUUCAGUACUUCAAUGCAUAUCAAUGAUGUAAUUCUGCUAUGAUUUGCCUCGAGAUCGACCUCGAGGUAUGAAUAUAGAAUUCAUGUCAGGAAUAUAAAAAACCAAUAUAGAUAAAAUUGUUUCAGGUUUGUAAUAGACAAAAAGGUUAAAGACAGAAUACAAAUUGAAUUAAAUUUUAUAAUUGAAAAGUUUACACCCCAAUACAAAUUUUGACAUAUCAUGCAAUACCUUAAUGUUCUGCAGAAAUCUCACACAAAGUAACACAAUGCCGCAAGUAUGUCUCAGACUCACAGCAAUACGAAAUUUAUACACGGACAAUCAAGAAUCACAAUUUAAUGGAAAUUUAAAGAUAAUGGAUCCAUGAAGUUGGCUCCUAAUUCUUGGCCUCUGUCAAGUUCACACUGUAGUCCCAUAGUUUCUUGGCCACCUCGGGAUCUCUAGCCAUUUUGCUUGGUGUCAAUAUGUUGUUGUCCCUGAAAUAUUUUCCGCUCACUCCAGUAACUUUCGGAUUCAAUGCCACAUAGAGUGAAGUCGAUGCUCCCUGCUCAAUAUUUUUAAGUAUGUAUACCAUAACCUUGGUCAUUAUCCCUGCAUUCGACAUUGGAAUAGAAUUAUUAACAUCGGAAAUGCAUAGUGCACAGGCUUAUGUAGAGCCACUGCGAAGGCUUAGAUACUUACAGUUUACUGCUCCACCGUUGGAUGAAAAGAGAUUGGUGGCUAUAAGUCCCGGAUGAACCGAGUUUGCAGUGAUAUUAACUCCCUCUUCCUGUUACAAAAGAAAAAAACUACUUAAUGCUCAACUCAAUUACAAAUUAACUUGGACUAUUGUAUGGAGAAUUUGUCAUUUUUGAAAGUUUUGCAACCUAGGAACGGAUAUUUUAACGAGGAUGAGUACCUGAAAGCGCCUAGUAAGCUCAUUGGUGUGCAGAAUGUUGCAGAGCUUUGACAUUCCAUAAGGAGACACGCUAAAGGUAGAGUUGCUAUAGCUGAAAUACAACAAGAAACCAAUGGAAUAGUUAAUAUUUAUGUUUUUUUUAGGCAAAAGAGUUUAUUUUAACAUUUAAUUAGAUGAACUACAAACGGCUCACACCUUUGCUCAUCGUUGAUCUUGUCAAAAAUGAUUCCUUCUUUGCCAACACCCCGUCUGUGCAAAUCGGAUGACAGAUUAACAAUUCUUCCUUCUAUCCCGGUUUCACGUGCUGUCUUCUUCAUGGUGUCCACCAAAAGGUUCGUCAAAAGAAAUUGGCCUGAGGAAAUUAUACAAGAAAGGGUGACAUUUGUUAAGAGGCCAUGAUCAUAGAAGUCAUAAUAUCUACGCGAUGUCUGCAAUUAUAACCAGUACUUAACAUACCCAAAUGGUUGACUGCAAAGACUUGUUCAUAACCGUCUUUUGAAAGUGUGAAUUUGGGAGGAGGCAAAAUCCCUGCAUUGUUACUGCCAAAUACCAACAACAAAAGAUAAAUGUUCAGUAAUGGUCUGUCAGUAAUAAUUUUUCGAAUGUUUCUGAUGGUAUGGAAGAGGGGUAUGAUUCGAUAGAUUAAAAGCACAAGGCCCUUCUUCUUACAUGAGAAUGUUGAGAGGAAGACCACGGGAAACAUAGGCUGAAGCAAAUUUCCUAACGGAAUCCAGUGAAUUGAGAUCAAUCUCCAUGACAUCAAUUCUAGCAUUGGGCAUCUUCUGCAGGAACUCUUCCUUGAUUUUUCCACCAGCAUUAACAUUUCUCACCCCCAUCACCACAUGAACACCGCGCAAAGCAAGGACACGUGCAGUCUCUUUUCCGAUACCAUUAGUUGAUCCUGUAAUUAGAAAGGAGAUGAGCACAUACUCUUUUACAGGAAAAAAUGUCAUAUGACAUCUCACAUGAUCAGAGUGGCAUCACUUUAAACAGCUAGCUUUAAGUUUUAAAGAGUUGACUUUUAAUAAAUAAUAUUGAAACAAGAUGCAUGGACUGUUUAGCUUAGUUUAUAAGUGACUUAUAAGAUUUGAAUUAUGAGUAUUUUUGACUUAUAAUUAAGCAGCUUACUUACUGUCUUAACUAUAUGUAUCACCCUUAGCUCUUUUAUAGUCCAUAAAUAUUUAUCGACUAAUUUUAAUUUUCAUUUCAAAUGAUAAGAUUUCAAGUUAGACGUACGAGACAAUAUUGAUAACAAUACUUUUUCUAUUUCAAUAUAAUAGACCUGAUAUAUGAAUACGAGACAACGUCGAUAAAUUAGUACUUCUCCCUGUUACGCUAUAAUAGACCAACUAUACAUCACUAAACUAUUCUCGAUCUUGACAAAUUAAUAAAACUUUCCAAUCUCAAGACUAAUAAGUUGCAGAUAUUUUUAAGCAGCCCUUCUAACUCAAGUUACAGUACAGAGAUAAUAAUGUAAAUCUGGAUCACCAUCAAGAAGUUUCAGAAACAGAAAGCUACUACAUCCAUGCAUAACACAUGCACAAACAAAGAGAAAAGACCCAAAAGAAGCAAAGAAAGAACCUGUAAUAAUGCAAGUGAGAGCACUUCCAUCAACUCCCUCAGUCACCUUCUCUCCAGUGGCACCGGCAGAGAAACCAGACUCUCCUUUAAAUCCACACCACAUGAUUCUUCUUUCUUCUUUUAAUACUACUAACUUCUCUUUGUGUUUUGUUAAAAAUGUGUAAGCAAAUAAUUUAGCUGUGAAUAUUAUGCAAAGGUGGAGAGGUAUAUAUAUAGACAAGUCUAAGUUCAUUCAGAUAUGAAUUUUUAGAAUAUAAUAAUGUCAAGCUGAUCUCACUUGUGAGGUGUGGUGAGAAAAUUCUAGUCAAAGCAAACAAGCCAGCCCAUGACAAGCCUACAACACAUUAAUUUGAAUAUAAAAGUCAUUCAACAGCUUGUGGAACUCGUUCAAUUCCUCUGCCUUGAUUAAUAAUCUUGACAAAGUCAACUAGAAUGCCAUAUCAAAUCACGGUAAUCUGUAUAAUAAUUUGCUGAUGAUUUUUUAAAUAAAUUACACUUUCACACCCGGAUUUUUUUGGAACAAAAUCCAAAUCAUCAACAUAUUGCGAGAGCAGCCAGGUAAAGACAGUUGGACCAUUAAACUGGUUAUUAAUUUAUGAUGAUAAAUUUGACAAAACUACAAAUAAUAUAUGACAUCUGUUAAUUAAUAGAAUAUAUAUCACGAAUGUGAGAAUAAUUUAAAUAUGAUAACACUGAAAAUAAUUAUUAUUCACAUUCCAAAAAUACAGAAUAAUUGUUUGUGAUUUUAAUAUUAUAUUAUUUUAUAACAAAAAAUAGUGUUCAUCAUAUGUUGUGCACCUCCUAAGCUCUGUUCUAAAAGUCGGUGAUUAAUCACGAUUAAUCCCUGUUCCGUAACUUCACUAAUUAAAUCUGAUUCCCGUUUUUCACAACACUCCUCCUAAGACAUAAAUAUAUGAAAUAUGUUUUACUUUUUUUUUUACAAAAGCUUUAAUAUGUUAUUAGAGAAUCUGUAAUUGUAUUGGUUAAAAAUAGUUGUUAGACCAGCAAGAUAUUAUCUUAAUUUGUAAACUAUCAUUGAUUCCGUGAUACUGUAUAUCGAUUGAUAAUAUCUUAAAAAUUGUAUACCAUUAUCAUUUCAAGUCAUUAUAAAUAAAAUAUAUUAUUUUAAUAUGAUAUGAAACCUUGAAUUCCCGUGAGAUUGUUCGAAUAUAACCAGCAAGCUGGUUAAAAUUAUAGAUAACAAUAAUAUCUUAUUGAAUUGUGAUUUUUACAUAAUUUUUAUAACAUUUUUGUAAUAUAUAUUAAUUACUUUUAAUUAAGUAUUCUAUGGAUUGAGAUAGCUGUUAUAUACCUUUUCAGAAAUACUUUGCAUCAUAGAUAUUUUCUUAUAUUUUUCUAUUUAUAGCUUAUCUUCAUGAAGUAAUACAACAUACAAUUGUAAACCAUACCUCGGAUUCUGGCGCUCCGCUGGAACAACAUGGCAGUGAUCGCAUGUAUCUAUUUUUGUCAACAAUAACAAAAAAAACAUCAAUUUUCAUAAUUCAAUAAUUCUAGUGGAAUACAUACGAACCAUGUGGAGGUAUUUUAUAUUAAUGAAUUCGAUCGUAAUCUUCUUAGCUUAAAUUUCCCGUAAGUUAUGGAUCUACUGAGUAAUGAACGUUAAUAUUAUACGUGUUAAUAUUUUUUUUUAACACACAUAUACGUGUUAAUUAAUACAGAAGGUUGGAUGCACUACAGACAUGUGCAUCAGUGAUCCGUCCAUGCCUAUAUGCCUGAUAAUAUCUUAUUAUGUAUAAAAUUGUUAAAUUUUAAUUGUUAAAUGAUGCAAAUAAUUUAAGCUUUGAAAAAAUUUAAAAGGUUUCAUGAAUAAUAUUAAAAUAUGACAUACAUAUAGACAAUUCAAUAGAUUAUCCGAAAUAUAAAGCGAAUUCCUAUAAAAUAUUUUGGUUAUAAAUAUAUAAUCAGAUUCUAUCGACGAUAUUCACAAAAUUUAGUCAUGUAUAUUCAAAUUAUUUUUGUUGCCUUAAUCAUAAUAUUUAUACAUAUUCUUUCUCGGUCUAUGUCAUAUAUAUUUUUAUAUCAUAUUUAAACAAUUUCAAAUAAAUAAAUAAACAUAUAUAUUAUUUUUCAAAAUCAUACCAAUAUUUUUGCAAAAAUUAAGAGUUUUGGUCAACUUAGCGAGACUUUGGAAUAGUUGAUAGCGAAGGUGUUGAUAUGGUUGAUCAUAAUAUCCUGCAUGGUCAUUUAAUCAAAGCAAGAAUCUUUCUAUUAUAAUUUGUCAACUUAAACACCAUUAUAUCAGUCAUACAAUAUUGACCAUGUUAAUUGUAGUAUAUUUUUCAUAUUAAUUUAUUUAAUUUUGGAAAAAAAUAAAAUAUAUUUAUCCUUUUUUAAACAGAAAGGAAAUUAUUUUUAUAAAUAAAAAAUAUUAAAAAAUUAUUAAAUGCUCAAUAUUAGGAAGUAUCGAAUAAAUUUAAAUUUUUUUCUCCAAAUAAGUUCUUAUUUUUAUAAGGCAAACAUGUCCAAUACAACAUCCUCUUUGCAAAAAAUAUCUGAAAAGUAAAUAGUACUAAAACACAAAUCUAUUAAUGAAGGCUAGAAAAGUAAAUUGAUAUCAUGAGUCAGAACCUUGGAAAUUCAGUAUCCGGAAAUAAUAUUAACAACAAACCAAGGAUCUAAUUUCUCUAGAAAUAUACACAUCACAAGCAACACGAUGCACAAUUAUCACACAACUUGCUUAAAUAUAUACAGGCUUAGAGCAAGUCCAAGAGUGUCUCAAAUUGUUGUCCUAAGUUAAAAUUUAAGGCAUUUGAUAAAAAAACUGCUCCAACAAUGUCCUAGUGAUGCUUUAUAUCACUAGGACAACUCCAUCAAGCCUUAUUUUUGAGGCACUCUCUCUCCUUGCCCUAUCUCAUAUUUUAUAAUAAAUAUCUAUCUACACCCUAUUUCUCUCUCUACUUUCUAUUAUGUUUUAAUGAAGAAAGUGAACUUUCAAUAAUAAAAUAUUAAACAAAUAGAGAAAAUAAGGCACAUUGUUGGAGUUGAAGUUGGUUGAAUAUGUCCUAAACUAUUAGGACAUAAUUUUUUAUAUUAUAUUUAGGGCUUCAACUAGGACACUGUUGGACAUGCUCUUAGGCAAUUAAAAAGUAGACAAGAAUGAGAUUUGAAGACAACGGCCACAAAACUGAGCUGCGCGACUACUUCAUCCGUUAAGUCCAAGCUGUAGUCGGGGACGAAAUAAUAUUGUGAGGGGCAUAUAAUUGAUUCGUUCCAUGUAAUUGGAUUUUGUAAAUUUUGAUAUUUUAGAUUUCAAUCUAAGUUUUAAUUUUGGAAAUUAUUAGAUUUGAAAAUUAAAAUUGAUUUUAUUAUCGGGUGGAAUCAUAUUUCUGCAUGAACUAGAUUCAGUCGGGAAUAAUGAGAGAAAAAUGUGAGAUUGAUCUUAACAUUCAUCUUCUGUACGAGAGUAAGUUAAUCUAAUUUUAAAAUAAGUAAUUACGAAAGUAAAAUUGGUGGUUUUAAAAAAAAGAAAGUAAAAUUAAAAUCAAACCAAACAAACCAGUAUAUCCCGCUUAGAGCAGGAUCGGUAAAAUGUACGCAGACCAGACCUCUACUCAUUCAGAGUAAGUAGCAUGUUUCCGUGAGACCCCCGACUUAAUACAAGACAAGUUUUUGUGUGAAAUAUAAGUAGAUUGUAUCUUGGUCAUGAUUUCUAAUACAUGGGAUUCACCUCCAUCGACAAUGCAUCUGUCCAUGAAUGAUCUGAACCGUUGCGUCAAAACAUAACACCAAAACACUCAAAAUCUCUUCGCCGCUAAUUCGUCUAUCAAUAAAUGACCCGAGCCUUGUCUUAAAAGUAUAACACCGGAACAGUCAAAACCCCUGUAAGCCAUUAAACCGAGUCUAAACUACUCUGAUACGCCGUUGCCAAUCAUUCUUAUCUAAUGUCAUAUCUCCCGUGAGAUUUAGGGCUCCCAAGUCCAAACUCAAUUGAUCAGACCACGUCCGACGGGGCCGACCUCUCUUUCUCUUUCCCCGAACCGAUAUGCGUUCAACCCUUUGAACCGGGGCUGAGUUACAUUUACGCCGAACAUGUCCAUGUUAACGUAAACGCCCCUUCUUUAUUUAGAGGGGUGUAUUGGAUUGAGAUUUUAAAGCAUUUUUUUGCAUUCAUGAAAUCCGAGGGUAUUCGAUUGAGAUUGUUUGAGAUAUUCAAUUGGGAUUUUAAAUUAUGCUAUAAAAUCUAGUGGUAUUCAAUUGGGAUUUUAAAUUAUGCUAUAAAAUCUAGUGGUAUUCAAUUGGGAUUUUAAAUUAUGCUUUAAAAUCCGAUGGUAUUCAAUUGGGAUUGUUUAAAAUCCUUUAAAAUCUGAUGGUAUUCAAAUGCUGAUGGAUUUUUUUUAAUUUCAUAAAAUGAUGGAUUUUGUGGCAUUCUUCAGUUUAUUUUAAGUUUUUUGAAAUCUCACCAAAAUCAAUGUGAUUUUGAAGCAUUGUAGCUAAAUCUUAUCAACUCUGCGACAUUUUAUCAAGAAUCCGCACAAAAUCAAAAUCUCAUGCAAUCCAUUAAAAUCCAUAGACUAAAAACAAUCCAUUAAAAUCCUAAUCAAAUACACCUCGUUAAUAUAUAAAGAAAGUAAAAUUGUUUUUAAUAUAUAAUGUGUAUAUCUUAUAAACAAAACAGCGUGGAACAAGACGAGAAAAAUAGCGGUCGUGCUUUCUCAACAUUCAUUCUGAUCCUGUUCGAAUUCCUUGACAAUAAUUGUUAGGAUUAGAUUACACAGUAUGCCCAAAUGGACUUGUGCACGUUGGGCCCAGAAUAAUGGACUUGGUGAAACGGACCUUGUCCUAAUACUCGGGCUUUGACCGGGUCAUUCUCGAACAAUGAGCAUUGCUUCGCUUCUCUUGAGUCAAGACAAGCGAAGCACGCUCUUGAGUCGGAAACUUCGUUGUACAGUUUGAUAAAGGUAGAAUUCCUUAACCCAUCCACAAGUGAAAAUCAGAUGUUAUAUCUCAACGAUUUCCGUCGUAAAUUUCGACGGACGGGGUAUUCUUCACCAAAGAAGUCUCUGAAUAAGCUUUGUUUUAUCAGCCCGCCGCUCUCCCUACUCGAGCAAAUGGCAUAGUCCUAGACCAAUUUCAUCCUAUAUUUUUUUAAAUAAAAACCAAUUUCAUCCUAUUUUAAAAACAAUUUUUUUAUUGUGUGCUCAUUGACACAUGUUAAACAUUACAAUUUAUAUAAGUUGGUUCUUACUUUUUUAUAAUGAUGAGAGUUUUGCAUAUGCACAUACAAACCCUUUUAAAAAAGUUUGAGAUAAAAGAAGAAUGAUAUAAGUUUUUAAUUUUAUUUUACUAAAUAAAUUACCAAUUUUUUCAUUCCAUUAUAAGAUCUUGCAUUUCAAGUACUCCCUUCGUCCCAUUUUAAAUGCGUUUUUAGAGAGAUGCACACAAAUCAAUUUUUACAUUUAUUGAGAUGUUUAUUUGAAAAUUUUUACCUAGCUACCCCUAAUAAAGUCAAACUAAACCAGUAGUAUUUGUAUUGCAUGGAAAAUAUAAGUUGCAUUAAUGAGAGGUAAAAUGAAAAUUCACCUAUCAAAUAAUGCAUGAAAACAAGAAAAAAUCACUUAUUUUGGGACAACAAUUUAUUCUAAAAAGGCAAUUAAAAUGGGACAGAGGGAAUAGAACGGUAGAAAGAGAGAAUUUUUUUUGAAUCAAAAUAUUUAAUUUCGUAGAGAAUUUGAAGUUACUCCCUCCGUCCCAUUUUAACUGCUUUUGACUUUUUUACACGUAUUUUAAGAUGUUAAAAAAAUCACACCUAAACAUAAUUAUUUUGUAUAAAAUUUAUAUCAAAUAAAAGUUUGAAAUCUAAACUUUUACUUGAGAUAAGAAUUGAAAUUUUUUAUUGAGUGUAGAUAUUAUUUUUUUACACCUCAAUAUACGUGUUAAAAAGUCAAACAUCAGUUAAAAUGGGACAAAGGGAGUAUUAUUAUUUUUCUUUGAAUAAUUAAUUUUGCAUUUUAUCCAUUUUCCUUUAAAAUAAAGAAUAAAGAUAACACACACUCCGAAAACCCAAAAAACACAACAAACAUAAAGCCCAAUUUGAUAAACCCUAAGCCUAAACCCCAAAACCCUCGUCUCCCAUUUCAAUCUUCACACUCAUGGCUCUCCCUUCACUUCUCCGCCGAUCUGCUUCACGCGCCGCCCCUCUCGCCGCCCGAUAUUUCAGCGGCCAGAGUAAUCUCCACACCUACACACCCAUUCUUUACUCUGUUGUGAAGUCUAAUUUGGCCUCCAAUAUCGUGGUCCCCACUCCUGUCCGAAGCUACUCUGCCUCCUCGGCCGCUGUUAAGACCACUAACACUUCUGAUCAGACACUUGUUAAGGUUAUCGAUGCGGAGAUCGUGUGCGCUGAGGAGUCUGAUGAGAACCCUGAGGUUGUUUUUAUUAUCUGGUUACAUAUUUGUUUUUAUGUUAUAUUAUGUUGUAUUCUCUCGUGUUUAUUCUCAGUUUAUUAGCUGGCUCCGAUAUAUUGAUGAAGUAAAUUGCUUUAUAUUGAUGAAUUUUAAGUAGAAUUGAAACAAAUUACUUGUCAGAAUCGGUUAUGUUUGCUUUGUUUGUACCGUGGUAACUUAUAAGACUAGGGAUUUGUGUAUUACAAUAAAACCAUGUAUAUGGGUUUUUUUUAAUGAAAAAGCCCGUGUUGGUUAUUUAAAAUUAUAGGAUUAGGAAUUAGGAUCGAGUUUGAAAUGAAUUUUGUGCUUGUAUAUAUGAAACUUCUCUAAUGAUAAUCAGAUAAAUAAUACAUGGUCUUUGCAUAAGAAAUGUAUUGUAGGGUUCCCAGUUUCCAGCCAGCUUCUUUGUAGAUAAUUAUUGAUUUGUGUUCCGCUACCAGCCGGGGAAGACACCAGACUGCCCAUUUUCCGUCGCCCUAAAUGGAGUGGGGUUCUAGAUAUUGAUGUUUAUAAUAUACCUUAACAUCCAAGUACAAUUUCGUAUUGUAUUUGCUUAUGAAUUAAAAGGAGCAUUGUUUUGUGAAUAAAUUGUCGAUAGGAUAUAUUUGUCUACGACAUAUAAUGGUCUCCUUGAUUUUGUAUUUAGGUCAUUGAGGCUCCUGAAGGUUUCCCUUUUAAAAUUGAGGAUAUACCUGGGCAACAAACAAUUACUUUGUCCAGAAAGUAUCAGGAUGAGACCAUCACAGUUGAGGUUCACAUGCCUGAUCUUGUAACCGGUGAGGAUGAUAAUGAGGAUGAUGAUGAUGUAGAUGAUGACAAGCCUGCCCAAUCUCACGUCCCGCUGGCGGUUAAAGUUUCCAAAAGUCACAAGUUCAUAUUGGAAUUUAACUGUACUGCAUAUCCUGAUGAGAUAUCCAUUGACAGCAUGUCAGUUAAGAAGCCUGAUAGUGCUGAAGAUGAAAUUGCCUAUGAAGGGCCUGAUUUCUCGUGAGUGUCAAUUUGCGUAGAUUUGUUUAUUGAUUCCUCUUGAUACUAGUUCCUACUUUAGAGAUGCAGUCUAUUAACAGUUAUUCAUCAUUGUUUUUGUUUCUUUUUUAGGGACUUGGAUGAGAAUCUGCAGAAGGCUUUCCAUAAGUAUCUGGAAAUCAGGGGUAUUAAGCCUAGCACUACCAAUUUCCUUCACGAGUACAUGAUAAACAAAGAUUCCAGAGAAUACAUGAUGUGGUUGAAGAACCUCAAGAACUUCGUGCAGGCAUAAGCACGUCUUUGUUCGAAACUGAGUAUUAUGGAUCUACUUAAUCCCUGUCUAUUAAUACGAAUUCCAAAUCUGAUUACUCAGACACUGCUAUGGUUUGUUUCGAAGUUAGUAUUAGGUGCUAUUUGUUGGUUGGCCUUCUGUGACAUGUACGAUACUCAGCAUCAAUUAUUAAGUUUUUGUGGCAUGUGCUGAACUUAUUAUCUAUCAUAAAGUUUGGAAUUCAACAAUUUACCACAUUUUCCUUUCCCUUUAUUUGGCGACGGCCCUAUACUACUACUAGAUGUGUUAACUGUGAACUCGAAGAAAAGACAGUUAUGGUGGCUGCAUUGCUGGAGAUUUUCAACAUGGAGUACUUGUGAACAAGCAUGUUUCACACAAUAAAGAUGUGUAUGCGGGUGAAUCACGAUCCUGUUGCUAGAAAGUGAACAAGAAAGUGAACAACAAAAGAAGAGAUUAACAUUACGAUUGAAUACAAUUCCUGUGGAUAGUAAAGAAAUACUAACACAAGUGUUGAGACUGGUGGUAUAUAAUCAAAUGAAAUUAGAAAAGAUAAUUGCUUUAUGCUGAUGAAUCUCACAAGCUAAUCCUCUUUGUUAUUAUUUAUUUAAUACAAAAGUAAUUGCUUUGUACUGAUGAAUAUCACAGGUGAAUCCUCUCUACUAUAAUUAUAUUAAAUACAAGUGCUCUACAAAAGAUAAUUGCUGAUUCAUUUCUUAUUACACUACAAACGUAUUACAAGUGAUAGAUUUCAAGGAAAAAGCUUAAUGGUUUCUACAGCUCUACAUGAGUGCAUAUAUUACACUAAUAUUCAAUGAAUAUUAUCCGCAGAUCUGACCUAAUUCUUGAAGAUUACAGUAAAAGCGCUUUCUUCAAGCUCAAAGAGUCAUAGUGAUUUAAAUAUUUUUUUCCAAUUACAUUACAAUACAUGUCGUGACAACAAGAAGAACCAUCUACGAGUUCCCCAGCUGUGAAGGGCAUCUCAACGAGUUGAAUACGUAAGCCUCUACAUAAUAUGAGGCUUCCCAGUUCAGACUAGAUUAUCCUUCAAUAGUUCCACUGAUAUAAAUCUAAGCUUUCUGAGUGAGGUCCUUGUGAGUGUAAACAACCCCCUUAUCACCAUUCACGAUUUGACCAGUUCCCCUAGCAAUCCUGCAAACAUAAUAGGGAUCCAAGGAAAAUAUAUCAGUAGUGUUUUUCUGUGAGACAGCUAGCUCAACAGAUUUCAUGAGGAUACAAGAGAAUAUUUCUAAGGUGCUUGUUGCAAAGUUUAACCAGACUAAGGGUACUACUAUCUGGAUUUACCAAGUUACAAUCACUAAAUAAUCUUUUAUGUCCACCACAUUAAAAAAUUGCAAACUGAAGCACAAAAUGAUAGGAAUAUCAAACAUAGCAACUAUUUGUAAUUUGUAAUUAGAAUACCACUUUAUGAGAAUCAUAAUAUUUGUCAAUCUAACACAGAAUGAGGAUAAGUAAUUGACAGUAUAAUCUCUCAUAUUUGGGAUUAGCCACUUUUAUCACUACUCAAUAGUGCUACUCCCGUGAACAUAUCAUUACUUAGUCCUGUCCCAUAAAAUACCCUCACAAUAUGCCAAGCGACGGAGUGAGGAUUACAUGAAGUUCUUGCUAUUUGCAGAUACCAAGUGCUUUACUAGUGAUAAUAAAUAUGAAACAUCUAAUCCAGAUUCCUGUAGACUCAACUACCACCCGUGAUUAAAGGGAAACACUAUAUUCUAGAUCUGCCUGAUUUCUAAGGUGCCAAAUUAAAUGAUUAAUAGCUGCAGAAAAGGUCUACGCCUGAUCUAAAGGGAACCAUAAGAAUUCAAAAUUCGCUUUUAAGUUCAAAGUUGCGGAAAUAAAAUAAUAAUGGCUGGAAAAAGUGUCCAACUGAAACCAAACAUAAGACGUGAAAGAAAGUAACAUCAAAACAUAACAAGUGAAGCAACAAUCACAACAGGUGACAUGGCCAUACCAUCGAGUCGUUAGUAAACCCUCCACUCCUACAGGACCACGAGCAUGAAUCCUGCUUGUACUGAUGCCGACCUGUUAAACAUACCAAGUAGUAUAUAAGAAAAAAUAUACAGGCAUCUCAGUACACCAGAACUAGUUAUUAACCAUAUACCUCUGCUCCUAGUCCAAAACGAAAUCCAUCACUGAACCUUGUGCUAGCGUUGCGAAAUACAGAAGCACUGCCAGUUCAAAUGAUUAUCCAAAUUACUUAUGUUGUGGAUCGGAAUAAAAUACAAGUUGGUCCAAACAGGUUAUAAAAAUAUCACCCAAUCAUUUUGAUGGUCUUGUGACAAGAUAAAUAGUGCACCAGAAGAUGAUUGCAUAAUCAAAUUACAUGUCAUACAAUAAUGAACAAAAAGGUAACAAAACACAACACCUGUUGACCAGAUGUAGAAAGACUUCUGCAACCUCUGAGUCUUCUGCUACUAUGCAAUCAGUAUGCUCACUGCAAAAUGAGGGAAUAAAACUAAGUCUCAUCUUGCCAUUUACAUAAUUCUCUAAGCUACCAACUGCAUAGCCACACACAAGCAUCAACAGGUUUAGUAGAAAAUCCCACUAUAUACCUUCCAUGACGAUGUAUAUGCUCAAUCGCAGCAUAUACAUCCUCCACAAGUACAACAGUACAAGCCAGCGAGCUGUACUCAUGACGAUAUGAUUGUGCCUCUGGAACAUUCAGUAAAGUACUCACCUUUUCACCACCAUAUAUAUCAACACCUGCAUCACCGAUGUGGAAAGUAUGCUGUUAGUUCACUUAACAUUUUUCGGGGGAUUAAUACCCACCACUUUAUAGCGUUGAAAUUAAAAGUCUUAUAUAUGUUAGUUAGACAAUUGGCAAUGGUUAGAGACGAUAUUAGACAAUUGAUAGCUUAACCUAAUCGUUGUACUCAAUAUGGAACCUGUCCGGCAUAGCAGAGACUGCAAUGAAUAUUGAUAAGUAUAUAGAGCGAAAGUGAAAACUAAUCUAGAAUUUCACAAUCAAAUACGCAAGAAAAAGGCAAUUUUUUGCUCCCGAGCUGUUUAUAAUUCAUUUUGGGUCCUGUACAGUUAUUAUACCACAGAAACCCCAUAUAUUUUUAAUCUGGACAACAAAGUCAUGAGGACCAAUUAUAACAGAGAUGAAAGUUGUAUCCACAUGACAAUGUUAACCCCAGAGCUCCGGGAAUUGGGAAAGUUCCGUUGCACAGCCUUACCUUGAUUUUUUACAUAAAGAGGCUGUUUCCAGGGUCCAAACUCAUGACUUAACGGAUAGCAAGUAGCCACUUGGCUAACAAGACUUAAUCCGCCAGCCACAUUCUUGUAAUACAUAAAAAGGGACCACAUUGUCCUUGUAAUACAUAAAAGGCACACAGUUCCACACAAAGAAGGGUGUAAUCCUUCAUAAUAUUUGUCCAUUUUACAAGUUUUUUUUUUCUAAAACAGUCCGUUUUUAACUGAAAUUCUUUGUACCUGUGAUCUAAGAAAAAUGCUCAAGGAGUAACCUCCUGCUAUCUUAUUUAUAUUGAUGAAUUAAUAUCCAAUUUUCCCUUGGAGAAAGCGACAUUAAUUAAGACAUUAUUCAUAACAUAGUAACAUUGGGAUAUUAUUCUACUAUGUAGACAUUUUUAUCCGCUACAUAGUGAAUUUCUUAUGAUAAUAUCAGGAUCUCCAAAAAUAAUGUUUACCAUGACAUCACGCGAAUCAGUAAAUACAUGUAUACCUUCUUUUUAGGGAAUAUUCUCAACUACUCUCCUACUUUUGACUACUCUAAAUGGUUUCCUUUUUAUUUCUGACAAAUGAGUGGUACCUUUGUAUUUUAAGUUUCGUAUAUCAUAUGCUAUUCUGUUAAUUAAAACUUCAAAAUUUAAGUAAAUGACUUAAUUGCCCAUUUAAACUUCAACUUUUUUGCACUUUUAACACCCGUAACAAUUUACUACUUAAAAAAUAUAAUCAUAAAAAUAUUUGAAAAAAACGUAGUUUAGAACUUCAGAAAGUGUUUCAAAAUUAUUCUUUAUAACACCCUUGUGCUAUCAACUUUUCCAAAAAAUACUUCCUUUUUUUUUUUUUUGACUUCUAUGUGUGGUACCCUUACAAUUUAAGGUUUGACUAACAUUUGGGUAACAACGGGUAUUAUGUGUAUGAAACUUAAAAUACAAGGCUACCACUUAAAAAUCAAAAAUACGAAAUGACACCAUUUGAAACAGUCAAAAGCAGAAGGGUACUGUUGAGAAUUUCCCUUUUUGUAAUUGUAAUAUAGAAUUUUCACAUAAAAGUUUGGCUGCCCCUAACAAAAUCUAUUUUACAUGGAGAUCAGUGUGUUGGGACCUAGCUGUGUAACAAAGUGGAAUCUGAGCUAAUAAUGUGCAGAACCGGCAACAGCUUGAUUCAAAUUGUUUGCAGUUAAUCUACAUGCCACAAGACAUUUGUAGCGAACAAAAUGUGACUAGGAUACAGAUUGAGAGAAGAACAUGAAUCUCAUGGUAACUGAUAGAUGCAUGAAAGGAACAAAAUGUGACUAGGAUACAGAUCGCGAGAGGAACAUGAAUCUCGUGGUAACUGAUAGAUGCAUAAAAGCCUGAAUUUGUUAUUGUAUUUUGUCCUUUUGGUUUCCAGUAAAAAAAACCCUACCUUUGAUUUGAAGCUCCAUGAUAAGCUCGUUAAGAGCACCACUCUGCAUCAAAUCCUUGUGAACAAUAAGUGUUUCCUGCCCACAUAAAAAAAACCCGCAGUAAGUGACUAGUUCAUACUGAGGAAGAGAACAUGACUGAAGAGAGCAUAAAAAUUAAAAUUUGUCAUCCAAGUUCUUACUAAAAGGGCGAGUAAGCCAAUUUACAGGGAAAGGACAUCAAGAUAUAAUAUACCAUUGCAUUACAGGCUGCAGGAUAAUCCGUUUUAGCAUCCAAAACAAUUUGCUUUGCCAUUUCGAUAUUGGCAGAUUUAUCAACAUAAACAUGACAAAUUCCAUCUGGAAGCAAGGACAGAAGCUUUACAACAUCACCCAGUAUCUGCAUACAUGCUCAUCAUAAAGCAUGUAGUACAGAUGGCAAAUAAAGUAAAAUAUAACUAACCGGCAUGGCCCAGAACCGGAAUUUUAGUUGAAGCCUUGAUUUGAGAUACUAGUUUAUUGCUGCCUCUUGGAAUCACCAGAUCAAUCAUUUCAUCAAGCUGGAGCAAAAGAAUACAAAAAAGUAAUUAACAAUUAAAAUUCCACUGAACAGGAUGUGGUAGAUAAUGAGGUAGAAUUCUGAUAUUAGCACCUUGAGCAACUCAGGAAUUUCUUCUCUGGAGGUCACAAGUCCAAUUAGUUUUUCACCAACACUUUGUGGAAUAGCUGAAGUUAUAAUCUGAAAAGAAUGGUCAAAUCUUAUUUAUUAUAACUACAGAGAAGAUCAGAUGCUCAUAAUUUUUUUCCCGAAAUAAUAGAAUAAUGAGAGCCUAAGCAAUCAGACCUUGUGCAAGAUAGUAUUUGACCGCUUGGCUUCCUUUCCUCCUUUUAGAAGGAGUCCAUUUCCAGAGCGGAUUGCCAGUGAAGAAAUCUAUUAAAAUAAAAUAACAUUCAACAACUUCUAUGAUUACUUGAUUAGCAAAACAAAAUAGACCAACACAAAGAAGUGUAAGCUUAAUCUGUAAAGGAACCAGGAAACUAUUAUAAACUGUAGCCAACACUAAUAUUAGAAUAUAGUCAAACUUAACUCAGAUAUGUUAAAAUCUAUUUGGCUCUGUAAGCAAGUAAGAACAGUGUUAAUCUCACAUGGUACAAAGCCAGUAAAUAUAUAAUACUUCUGUCUGACUACUGUCACUUUCAAGAUCUGAGUACAAGAGGGUGGAAGAGUGGAGAACGAUUAUCUCCAGUUAAGAAUUUAGACCUCUCAGUUACUAGCCAUUGCUUUUAUCAUGCUAUUAAUAGUUCAUGGCUUGAAAAUCUAUCUGAUCAUGGUAAACUCCACUAUGGCUAGGAUCUGCGAUACUGCAGGGAAGGUUUUUAACACUUCAAAAAGUUAUGCACCCCUCUGACCAAGCUUAUGUGUCGAUAUAUAGAAGUUUGCUUUUAAUGUAUUCAAAUACAAAGCCAGUUUUCAAAUAUUGAAAGAUGAAAGAAGGCAUCAUGCACUAGGGAUUAAACAUCUUAAAGCAUUAUAACCAAACAGUAUUACUAAUAAUUCAAAUAAUUGCAAUCAUUUUUACCACUAAUACUAGCUCAAACAUUUUUAUAUCUGACUACCUGUACUAAUGCUUCUGGUCGAGACUCAAAGAUAAUCAGAAGGACACCCAAGGGAGAGGCAGUCUUCUCUAAGACGAGACCAUCUGCAAGCUGACAAGAUAAUAGUUAUUAGAGACAUUACAGCAUUAAACACAUGAUCCCAUCAACAUACAAAACUCAAGUAUAUUAAAACCCCUACAAGUUGUAGCAGAAAUUAUAAUGGAUAUAAAUAUAUAUACAUACAGUAGAAAAUUGCUCAAAUACCAACCAAAUUAAAGUGCAAACUACAAACUUGAUAACCCUUAAAUGAAUCUAAUUUAAUGUCCCUAGAUGUCAAAUAGUCAAUACACCCCCUCACACAUGAUCCACAUAAUCACCUCCCUUUUUAAUUUAAUUUUCCCCGUUAAUCAGUGAGCUUUUUUUGAAAUAUGAUUUCCCUGAAUUUUUUUUUUCAUCUCCCAACGAUCAAUUUACAUACCAUAUGUGCUAUAUUUCGAUGUGAUUUUAAAAAAAUAAAAUAAAUUAGUUUGUAUUUUGUAUUUUAAGAAGAUUUGUAUUGAAGUAAGACCCUGAUUUUUGUAAUUUGAAAUCAUUUUAUAUGAAAUCCUGAUUAUAUACUUGUCACAUUAUUUCUGAUUCAAGAUGUUAACAUACAUAGCUUUAAGUUUACAUAUAAUAUGUUCACAGAAGACUAAUUUGGUUUUCGUCUCUGUUUUGUUCACAAUUUUGUUUGACAGAACCGAAAGUGUGAUUCGAAUCCUAUAGUCCCUUACCUCAGUCCUAUUCAAAACAUGACCAAUUGGAUCCUUCAUGUUCGCGAGCACACGAAUAGCAUUUGCAAGACUUGAUAUCUGUCAGUCAUUACAUAAUAAAUAAUUAGAGAGUAGGCUUGCUGUUGAUUUAAGAAUAUAUCUCGGAAAAAACCCGACAAUGUAUUGUUUCAUGUAAAAGCUGAAGAGCAUAACAGGGUGAAAUAUUAUUAUUUAUUAAGCAAAUAAAUAUUAAUUAUGCUACACCCUUGCCUUCUCAGAACUCAUUUCCAACCGUGAAACUAGUGAUUUUUCGUAUCCAGCCUGUUGCGCAACAGCUACAUCAGCUUCAUUUUCAGCCAAGAUUUGUUUUUCAUUUGCUUGCAGGGCAUCAGCUAUGUCCAGCAAAAUCUUGCUCCUCUCUUUUGAGGAGAUAGCCUGCACAAAGUAACAACAAAUUCAAAUACCAAGAACAUGCCUUUAAAUCUAACCAUAAAUUAGUGUGUCAUUUUAUAUUUAAUUGUGGAUUAAAAGUCCAUGCAGGAAAAAGACCAUCCGCCAAGAUCCUGACAUAAAUAUAGAAUAUUUAUAUACAGAGAUUACAGCACAUCAAUAUGUAUGUGACUGGUACCUGAAGACGUCUAGAACUCUCUCUUGCAGCAACAGCCAUCUCACGUACACCAAUAUGUUCAACUGGGACCCAUUUGUGAGCAUCUCGGUGAAAAAGAGUACCUAUACGCUCUCCUCGAAGAAUCUUGAUAAUAUUGCUACCGGCUAAGCCACUUCCAUUUGAGAGAGAGAAAAAACGCUUUUCAAAACUAAGGUCUAGUGUUUGCUUUUCUUAAGAAACAUUUCUAAUAACAUUAGAAAAUAGAGAAGUAGUGCCAGGCACUAACAUGCAUAGCCAUCCAAAAUGUGCCAUGCCCUUUAUAGUUUCCACUUUCCACUACUGUUGUACUACUGGUUAAUUCACCAGCUAAACUGAUUUCUAAGCUUUCUUUACAUCCAACUUUGUUCAGUUAUAGGCACCUACCUAUUCUUGUGUUAACAACUAAAAAUUGAAUCUAUUUCCUAAAAUAUAUUAUACUAUAUAUAUGGUUCGUUCCAUAGGAUGCUAGUAUUAUCUUAAUACAAGUGACCCCUUAACGAAAUUUUCCUUUUUAGUCCAAGCUAGUGUUCGCCAGCAUAAGCUGACUAUAUAUGGCAUAAUUGCACAACUUACUUUCUGGACCUUUCUAUCCUUUCAGCGAUUACAUGGGUGAGACUCAGGAGGAUCUAGGAUUUAACUACUAUUAUAAAGAGAACCUAAUUGAGAAGCGAUCUGAUGUUGAGGAUGUCGCCCGUAUAGUGAUUAAUCUCCCUACAUAUUAAGUAGAAUAAUGAAAUUUGGAUCUUAUGUUACGGUAAUAGAGUAAUAUAUUUAUUUUCCUUGUGUUUUUGCUUAUAUUCCGAUUACAAAGUUUUUUAAAAAAAACUUCCAAGUCUUCAUUGCUAUGCCUAAUAUAUACAACAUGGUUCAGAAAUAAAGUAACGUGCUUCAUAGUGUUACUCAGUUUUGGAAAUAAAUUUGAACACCAAAUAUUUAAUCUUUUCUUCAACUGUAAUGUUUUAUAACUCAAUUACUAUGCUGUAAUAACUUUGACCCUAAAGGUUAACACAUUGUUUCAUGAGUUUCCAAUUAUUCGUACCUACAUCACAAGCCCAAUAAAGACUAAAGCCACUCGAUGUGCUCCAUGUUUAUAGUUUUAUAUGAUUACAUCUCAUAAUAUCACAUUGCAUAUCAUUUUGUAAAAUAAAUGGUUAAAAAUUAUAAUGAUCUUUAAAAUCAAACCAAUUAAUAAUUUAAAUUUCAUAUUUCUGUUAAUGACGUAUACCUGGUGAUAACAACUGGGAUGCCAGCAUCAGCUGCACAAACAGCAGAUUUUACUUUUGCAGUCAUGCCCCCUCUUCCCAACCUUGACUUCUCACCAAAUGUAAUUACUCCCUCAAGCCUCUCUUUAACAUAUGUAUGAAUCAGCUUUGAUUUGGGAUCGCUAGGAGGGCCGCUGUAAAGCCCAUCGACAUCACUCAACAGAACAAGAAGGUCAGCUUUAAGCUCCAAGGCUAGAAGAGCUGCCAAACUGUCAUUGUCCCAGAAUAUACCAGAAGAGUCCUAGAAAGAUUGUGCACAGUCAGGGUUACUGUUCGUAAUGAAGUUACUUGCAAAAAAAUUCUAAAUAACCACCAAGUACAUCAAGGGCCUAGCAUUACACUAGACACGUAUUAACAUUCUUAACCAAACCUACCCAAAUACAGCUUCUUUCUUUUUUAAAACAAAGAUAGAAAAACAAUAUUUAUGCAAUAGAACAAUACUGAAGUUGAGACUUCUUAGCUUGUAGAUGUAGAAACAAAUGCACCAAUUUUAGCAGAAGACAGAAACAAAUACGUGAAAGCAUAAGCUUUCGCAUGAUCAUGAUGUAUAUAACAUUUUAAGAAGUGAAGCAUACCUCGUAUGGAGCUCUCCUGGUGCUAAUAGCAUCAUUUUCAUUAAAAAUAGGAACCACUUUUAAAGACAACAAUGAUUUUACUGUUUCAGUCAGCUGCUUUCUGAAAUUUGGGUCCCUGAAAUCGUUAUCAGUCACAAGAAGUUGUGCUGAAGUCACAUCCAGCUGCCAAAAAAGAAAAUUUAUUGAAACAAAAAAAUGUUUUGGUAAGAAUCUUUUGAUUUAAGAAGGGGAAAAUACUACAUUACAUCAUUAAGUAAAAAAGCAUGUUUAACAAAUGUAAAUCCUUAAUGUGAAAAUAUAAUUACAAUACCUGACUGAACAAUGUGUCAUAUAUGGCCAUGAGACCAUUUUGUCCAACAGCUGCACAAGCCUUCCCAUCCAGCUCAACUUGUGGUUUUUGGAGUUCAGCAAAGCUUCAAAAAAUAAGCAGACGUUUAUCAAUCAAUUAAUUUAUUAAACAACCGAGGAUCUAACUACACAUCGUACACAAAAAUCAUUUACACCAGUGCUAAGUUUAUCGAAAAAUGGCACACAACUCCACCUUGAACACACACAACCAGAUCCACUUCAACAACAUAUAGGUCGAAAAACUGCUUGCUUUGAACAGCACAACCACAACUAGCAGUUCUAUGUUAAUGACAAAACACUCGACAACAAGAACAAGUACAUAUCCAUAGUUACAAACUAUUUCUCUCCACGCAUCAAGUUAGUAAAUACCAGAAACAGAAUUGAACCUGCUGUUUACUAAUCUCCUGUAUCUCAGCCGCUGCCGCCCAACCCCCACCGCACCCGAUGCCACCAAAAUAAUUUCAUAUCCCUGAUAAUUCAGCUCUUCAAUCUGCUCACCACCAAAACCCCAAUUUAACAAGUCCACACACACUAAACAUAAAUUCUAAGAACAAAAAUGCAACUAAAUUCUUCUUGUUCUCUAACAUCACCUGCUCACAAAGCGCUCCUAGUCGCCCAACCGCCAAUCUCCCAUCAGCACGUGUCACAACAGCUGUCCCAACCUUUGUUCAUCAAAAAUCAUCAGCUUAUUACACAAUCAGUUCUUACAUGAACAAAGUAACACACAUUAAACUCAUCCAUUAAACUAAACACAAAUCAAAACUCAUCCACUGUAAUAAACAUCAGUAACCCUAAAAAAAUAAAAAAAUAAAAAACCUUUUUAGUCCAUUUUUUUUUCCCUAUAUAACAUUUUUUUGUCGAAGAAAUUAAUACAAAUAUACAUCAAUUCAACGAAAAUUUCAACAAAUAAUUCUCAAAACACAACAUGCAGAAUGUUAAUUAACAUGCAGACCUUGAUAACAAUACGCUUGACAUUUCUGAGGAAAGCACGAGUUGAAUCGAGUCCUUCCAUUUCUUCUGAGUCGACUCGGAGAUGCUCUUUCAACGAGAAUAAUUAUGCUUGUAGUAGCGAGGUGAGGAUUGUAUGGCCAUGUACAAUAUAUGUGUAAUAUAUAUAUACACAGAAGGUGUUAUGCGCGAGAAGAGAAAGAUUAAAAUAAUAUUAAAUUGGUUUUCAACAUGGAGAGAUGUGGCGAAGAGAGCAUGUGUAGGCGCCCAUUGUUGAUUGAUUGCAUUACACGGAGAUUAAUAGUGUGCUUUUGUGGAAUUGUGGUGUUUCGAUCACUUACGACUCUUCGUGCUUUUUUUUUCGAGCUGGGGAUCUCGUGAUUGUGGCAUGUCACGGUUUUGCUUUGUUUUUCAAAAAGAUAAUCGUUAAUUCGGUACAGGGGUAGUUUUGAUGAGUUUAAAAUAAGUGCUUUUUGUUUAAAAUAAAAAAGAGAAGUAGAAGUUAGAACCAAGUUAACACUUAUAAAUGAUUAAAGUGUUUGUGAAAUAAGCAGAAGCCUGAAACAAAAAGUAACAUUCCUAACUUUUUAUGAGUGCUUCCCGACUUUUUAUAAAAACGGUACGUAUUUUUAACUUAUAAACCAGAAACCCGGCUUUUAAGCCGAAAAUAAACCGCCCCAUACUCCAUAGUAGGGAUAUUCGUUCAGUUUAAUUUUAUCUGCGCAAAUAUUUUGAAUCGCUUGUUUUGUUUGUUAUAAAAAGUUUUGAAACAAAAAUCUACUUUUUUAAUAUUUGAAUAUAUUUAUUUUAUAUAUUAGUCGAACCAUGAAAAUUGAGAUAAAAGAGGACAAACUUGUAGUUGAGUUAUUCACAGGUUGUUCACAUAAUUGUAUGGACUUUGAGUCUUUAACAUUUUUUAUUUUAAAUUAAAGAAAAUUGUUUGGAUACUUUAUGAAAUCAUCUAAGACAAACAACUUAAAUCGAUAAUAACACAUUGCAUUCCAUAAUCGAAAAUCAUAAUAAGUCAUCAUUUUUAAACGAACUCCUGAUCACACUUUAAAAUUUUCAACAAUUCGCCAUUGUAACCAUCAGUGGGCGCGACAAUGAGGCAACGUUACGUGAAAAAUCGUACUACUAACGACUCCCGUGAACAACACUUGUGCGAAUUCAGACCAAUAAUCCAGUUCCCUCAUCGAUGCAUUAUCGUAUUAUACAACAGACGUUAGGCAGAGAAUUGGUUACAAAUACUAUUGAUUUGUUUUUUUCUUAGUAAAAUUAAGUUGCUAUACUGUGUAGCAAGGACAAGAAGUCAGAAACAGAUGUCAAGUAUCUUACGAGAAGUUGUGUGUUUGAAAUCGAUUGGUAAUAGAAAAGUACAUGUUGUCUUUUGUAGAUGUGGCCUUUUCGUUAAAGCAUGAAGAGUAGCAUGUGCAAAUUAUCUUUAAUCUCUUGUCGUCGUUCACUGUGUUCGAUACCAUCAAUCAAUCAAUCAUGUUCCGAGUGAGAAAUCCGAUUAAAUCAUAUUAUUAAAUUCGGGGAUGUUCGGGACAAGUGUCAUGCGGUUUCCGUUUCUAUGCAUGUUAUAUGUGCCCUGUAUUUGGCGUUUUUAUUGUAAAAGAUUCAGAGUUUUCGAGAUUGGACAAAUGGAUUCGAUAAAUAUGGUUAGACACUUGAUUAUUCAUAAAAAGAUUUGAUUGAACAAUAUCGAGUACAGUAAAAUGAUGGACCGAGAUUAGUAAUAAUAGACACUUAACUAUUGACUCAUAUUGGGGCCGUUUGGGUGAGAUUAAAAUAAGUGUUUCUUGUUUAAAAUAAAGAAAUGGAGUAGAAGUUAGAAGCUAGUUAAGACUUAUAAGUGAUUAAAGUGUUUGGCAAAAAGCAGAAGUGCUGAGACAAAAGUUAGCAUUCCUAACUUUUUAUAAGUGCUUCUUGACUUAUUACACAAACGAUACAAAUAAGUGUUUAUAACUUAUAACCGAGAAGCUGGGCUUGUAAGAGCAUCUCCAACGGCGUUAGCUAUAAUCGUUGGCUAAAUUAGACAUGCAAGACAUUAUGUAAAAUUUGCUGAACCUGUAAGACAUUUUGCUUCAAUGGUACUGGCUAUAUUGGUUGGCUAUAAUUUAAAAAUAGUAUGUUAUUAAUAUUUUAAAUUGUUAAAAUAGAAUAUAUCAGUUCAAUAUGGUAAUAAAUGAUGUACAAUCUUCCUACAGAUUUUCUUACAGACCUGUAGAGGUUCGACAAAUUUAGCCAUCCAUAGGAGGUUGGCUAAAUUUAAAGACAACAGGUGAGCAUGGUUGGAGUUGAGUUUUUGGAACUCUUGGCUAAAUUUUUUUAUUUUAAGUAAGCCAACUCACUUUUUAGCCAAAGGUUUUAGAUGGUUGGAGAUGCUCUAAGGAGGUAAACAAACACCCACAUUAUUGCGAUGACAUCUAGCAACUAACUGGUAAAUACUCUGGUUUUCAGAACUAAAUUGAUAAAAUAAUUUAAUCAAAACACUCAUCUGUAUGCUCACUGAUAUAUGUUACUUAAAUUUUAAUAUUUAAUAAUUAUUAUAGUGUUAAAAUUUUAAUUAGUUAAUUUAAAUUAUCAAAUACUUGACUAACUCUGUAUAAUCAUUCGAGCAAUUAAAUUGUUUAAUCUAUUUAUAAACCAAUGUUUACUUAUCAUUUAUAAGUUAUUUCUUCACUAUAUCUUUUUGUUGCUCAUGUGAAUGAAAAGCUUGGUAACUACACAUAACACUGAACUCCCGGAUCAUCAGAAUACAUUGAAUGAAGGCAAAAUGCAGUUUUGCCAUUAUUGCUUCAUUUAGAUAACAAGAAAUUCCUAACAUGUAUUGUGUAAAAAGAAAUGUCUCCUAUUUUUUAUAUGUAAGCAUUUUUAUGUACACAGCGAAAAUGCAACAAAAGCCCGCACUCUCCAACAUACAAGUCUUAGACAACAGAGUCGCAUUUAUCUAACAUUGGUCUUCUAAUUCUCACAAUAGAUGAACCCAAAUCAAACACCAGAACCAGCUUCAUGAAGUCACUAGUCGAAUUCAAGAAUGUCUUAGAAAUUCCUUGCAUUACAAUGACUGACCACCUCACUGCAAUCAAACCUAGUAAGAAUAGAUAGUAACAGUAACAGGACAUAAACCAAAACAACGAUACCUUCUAUAUUAGUUGGUCAAAUAUACUUUGACAGAAAUAGAAGCUGGCUCAUGUGUGUAUCAAUCCUACUGCCUAAAGCUUAGGCAAAAAACCACAUCUUGAUGAAAAAUGCCAACCCAUAUUGCAAGACACAUGCAGCAACCAGCACCACUGUUAGAUCAUUCAUUUGUGAAUAGGACCGCAGAUUUAAAGUCACAAAGCUAGCUGAUGCUGCACCAGCAAUGAGAAUGAUGGUCCACCGGAUAAAUUCCACAGGUAUAACCAAUAGAAACUGCAUGUAACAUACGGAGAAUAUAUUAGGGUAAUAAGGACUUCAAAUCUUACAUACACCUCAUGUAAAAUUUUCUAGCCCAGAAUCUGUAAGGUUUUGUAUCUUGCGGAAACAGGAACAGUAGACUAAUUAAGUAACAAGGGUAUAAUGUAAUAAUCUAUUUGUAUCUGGAAGGAUUGAUUCACAGUGGUCUCAUUAGCAGAGAAUAAAAAGAUAGGAGAAUAUGCGUGAGCGGCUUGAUAAGAUUAUCAUACGCAUACAAUAAAGGUAUGUGAUGUAGACCAAUGGCCCAGCAGCGCCGCACAGGCUUGACCAUCCAGAUCGAGAACAAGAAUUUAGAAUCAUAUUCUAUACUUUACACCAACAGUGUUUAUAUACAGACGCAAGUUACUGAAUUCUAGAUAUGUAGCAUAUUGACCUAAAACGACAACAAUAUUUACGAGGUGAAGGCAGCAAAAAGGGUCAAUAAUGAGUUAAUUUCAGUUUUUCCCUAACAAACCUUGUUGGUUUUGAGUGUAUUAAGUGUAAAAUUCUUGGGUUCUCUCAAUAAUUAAGCUACUUCUAUUACCAAUUACUAUCACAACGACAUGAACUAUACAACACAGUCCAUACUCCAUACUCCUUGCUAAUAUUUGUUCUCUAUUACUUGGAUAUUAACAAUUUUGAUUUAUAGUUUUUCAUUGUUUCUUUUGAAAAAAUCACUUCGUUGAAAAAAUCCCUUACUGAUGCCCUCCAUAAUUCCAAUAUAAUUACACCUACUUCAGCAAUAAGGUAUUAAGAGGUUCUAACAACAUGAACAUAACUUAAUCACAUGGAAAGGAAAAUCUGAAGGCGACUUGCAAGCAGCAUUCAAUGAUGAAGCAUAUGCAAACUAUAGGCUCUACCAUACAACUUUAAUGCUUGAAGCCAAAUCCAUCCUUGUCAAUAGAGGGUCAAUAUACUACUUGUCAAAGAAAAAAACACCAAGAAACGGGUACAGUUGAAACUUACAGAGCUGAGGAUAAAUAUGAAGAGCGAGUAUCCCCACAUGCACCAAAAGCGUACAAGGCUGACAUUUGAACCCAGAUACUGAAGCAAGAAGUAGAAUACCAUUGGCACGAGAAGGGCAUAACCAUAUACCGCGCCUGCUGCCAUAUUGAUAUAGCUGACAUCAAAGCUCCAAGGAUUAUUGCUGAUACUUCUUUUUUGCAUCAGAUAUGUCCCACAGUUUCCAAGGGAAGCAAUCAAAAAUACCAGCGUAGUAGAUAUCCAGACAAGCCCAUAGCUGUUACGUAAAAUAUUCAGCACCACAACACAAAAUUUUUAAUUUUUAAAAUAAUUGUUACUUAAGUACUGGGACAUACAGAAUGCGUGAAGAGCAAUCUAGAUAAUAAUUCUAAAGCCACUUCUGGUCACAAAUUGCACAUUUAAAUCUACCUGUCACAACAGUUCUGACUUUCUCCUAGUAUUUUAAGUUUAUAAUUCCAUAUUAUCGUUCAAUCAUAUGACUCAAUCCUGUCCGUUUUGCCUACUUCAACAAACACAAAAUGAAUAUGUUUGUGUUUGAUUUUAACAAAAUGUCUCAUUCCAUGAACAUGCCGAUGAAGGAUGUUUUUGUGUGCCAUCCACAGCAGAAGUGCUUUGAAACGGGGUUCUCUCAAGACAACCGAAGUACUGUUUUUUAUUCUAUAGGCUAUAGUAUACAGGGGUACAAAUUGUGAGUGCAGAACUUACAGAUCAGGAUUUGCGUCGAUCUUACUGAAAAAAUCUCCACUUGGAAACAAAGAACUAGUCAAUCUGUUCAAGACAACAUCUGUAUCUACAUUGAAGUACUGUGUGUAUGAUGAGAUGCUAAAUACUCCUUUCCAGCUAUUUGGAUAUUGCUGUCCAUCACCCUCUGCACAUACAAGCCAUAACAGUGAGAAUUAUGUUCAGAUAUAUAUAUCAGGUCUUUAGGUCAACAAACUAGUGGAACUUGUAAGAACUUAUAAUGUGUAGUAUUAGCUUUGAACUAUUAAUUACACAAAAAAAGAAGAUGCUGAUAUUAAUUAGUUUGGCACUAGAACUGAUGGCAAUACCCAUCGUAGCUGAAGUGUUAAAUAUUAUUUAAUUUUAUUUAUUCAUCAAAAAUAUAAGUAGAAGUCUAAUAAGUUCACAGGAAGUGCUAAAAACUAAACGAACCAAAAUUUUCUAGCACAACAUAAAGCUUAAAUAUAUUAAUGAAAUCAAAUUAGUUUAUCCCGCUUGCCCCCGUCAUCAUCAUCAUCAGAAGCAACAACUUGGAGCAUAAGAGUUCUAUGGUGAAACUUUAAAGAUGACCAGGAGGUUUGUUAAUUCUGAUAUUAAACACCUAACACACUUCUCUUAUUUUUUCAUUCUCUUUUCACCAAGAUAAAUCUUCGUACAGCACAUACCACACCCACACAUGUUCCUGUAUAAGACCCUUUUAAAUGUUAAAGGUUUAAGAAUUUAUAUACCAAUUGGUCUUGAAUUAAUUAUAUAAACCAUCAUCUUCAAUAACUAUGUAGGACAUGUAGCUUUAUUUACAAAAACAAUAUCGUGACAUUGCAUUACGUAGAGUGAAUGGACGUGCCAAAUAUAACAAUGAUGCUUAAAAAAACAAACCAACAAAUAUCAUCAUGCAUGGAGCUAAAACUAUCAUCCUGGGUGAUUGGCAGGGACUCCUUUCUAAGGCAUCUUCAUAUUUCUCCAUAAUGAGCCUAUUUAUAUUCUCUAUAUCAUCAGUCUAAAGUUAGAAAAACCACCAAAAAAAUUAGACCUGCCUCAGCUGUAAUAAGUCUACUAAUCUGCGAAGGAAUGCUUCUUCAAACACUAAAACCCUAAUUGUACUGAAAAGGGAAGGUGAAAGCCUAUCUGUAACUUCAGACAGCCAAGCCAGAAUUCAAUCAACAAUAGGCCAAUUGCUGAUUCUCUUUGUCAAGACAUUUCAAAAGCGCAGUUUACGGGGUGCAUGAUUUGGAUGCUAUGCCUUCUGGAGGCACUUCUAGAUGCUAAAAAUCUAAAAAAGCUACUUAUAAUAAGAACAAUAAUCAUUGACAAUCAUUUUUUUUGGUAAUGUUAUGGUAACUUAGAAACAAAUGUACAGGGAAUUUGAAUUUAUCAUCAUCAGUUAUGAUGCAGCCUUUCUGCUGCUAUUGGGCACACUUGAACACUGUAGAAUACCAUAACAUACUUCCAAGUGCCCGCUCUACUCAAGAGUACAGAGUCCAAAAGAAAACAUAAUCUCAGUAAACACUUCAUAACUAUCAAAAUGGCCACGAAUAGUAAUUAAAAUAUUUAAUGACAUACCGCUAGGACUAGCCAUGGUUUGAUAUCCUUGCCGCCCUCCAUUAUUGUUCGGUGGAAAUAUUUGCAAAUUUGCUUCAGGAACUGCAAUAAAGAAAUAUAGCCAUAAAUGUUAACAUACUUGAUCACAAUCAACAAACACUCAAUAAAAAUGGCUAGACAAACAGUGCCCUUACUGUGAGCUGCAGAGGUGACCUUUUCUUCACUGAUGACAGCCUGCAAGCAAAUAUCAGGUCAAAGAACAUAUACUCUGGAGUCUACUAAUAAGUAUAAACUAUCUAUUACAACCCAUACAUCAAGGAGCACCAUGCAUUAAAUCACGAUCCUACCCCACAACUUUUUCAGACAUAUUAUGGACGUGGAAAGUAUAACAAAUCAUUACCCCAAAGAUUGGUGCCAAGUGAUCAACCUUUUGACCCAAAUUACGCUAUUAGGUGNNNNNNNNNNNNNNNNNNNNNNNNNNNNNNNNNNNNNNNNNNNNNNNNNNNNNNNNNNNNNNNNNNNNNNNNNNNNNNNNNNNNNNNNNNNNNNNNNNNNNNNNNNNNNNNNNNNNNNNNNNNNNNNNNNNNNNNNNNNNNNNNNNNNNNNNNNNNNNNNNNNNNNNNNNNNNNNNNNNNNNNNNNNNNNNNNNNNNNNNNNNNNNNNNNNNNNNNNNNNNNNNNNNNNNNNNNNNNNNNNNNNNNNNNNNNNNNNNNNNNNNNNNNNNNNNNNNNNNNNNNNNNNNNNNNNNNNNNNNNNNNNNNNNNNNNNNNNNNNNNNNNNNNNNNNNNNNNNNNNNNNNNNNNNNNNNNNNNNNNNNNNNNNNNNNNNNNNNNNNNNNNNNNNNNNNNNNNNNNNNNNNNNNNNNNNNNNNNNNNNNNNNNNNNNNNNNNNNNNNNNNNNNNNNNNNNNNNNNNNNNNNNNNNNNNNNNNNNNNNNNNNNNNNNNNNNNNNNNNNNNNNNNNNNNNNNNNNNNNNNNNNNNNNNNNNNNNNNNNNNNNNNNNNNNNNNNNNNNNNNNNNNNNNNNNNNNNNNNNNNNNNNNNNNNNNNNNNNNNNNNNNNNNNNNNNNNNNNNNNNNNNNNNNNNNNNNNNNNNNNNNNNNNNNNNNNNNNNNNNNNNNNNNNNNNNNNNNNNNNNNNNNNNNNNNNNNNNNNNNNNNNNNNNNNNNNNNNNNNNNNNNNNNNNNNNNNNNNNNNNNNNNNNNNNNNNNNNNNNNNNNNNNNNNNNNNNNNNNNNNNNNNNNNNNNNNNNNNNNNNNNNNNNNNNNNNNNNNNNNNNNNNNNNNNNNNNNNNNNNNNNNNNNNNNNNNNNNNNNNNNNNNNNNNNNNNNNNNNNNNNNNNNNNNNNNNNNNNNNNNNNNNNNNNNNNNNNNNNNNNNNNNNNNNNNNNNNNNNNNNNNNNNNNNNNNNNNNNNNNNNNNNNNNNNNNNNNNNNNNNNNNNNNNNNNNNNNNNNNNNNNNNNNNNNNNNNNNNNNNNNNNNNNNNNNNNNNNNNNNNNNNNNNNNNNNNNNNNNNNNNNNNNNNNNNNNNNNNNNNNNNNNNNNNNNNNNNNNNNNNNNNNNNNNNNNNNNNNNNNNNNNNNNNNNNNNNNNNNNNNNNNNNNNNNNNNNNNNNNNNNNNNNNNNNNNNNNNNNNNNNNNNNNNNNNNNNNNNNNNNNNNNNNNNNNNNNNNNNNNNNNNNNNNNNNNNNNNNNNNNNNNNNNNNNNNNNNNNNNNNNNNNNNNNNNNNNNNNNNNNNNNNNNNNNNNNNNNNNNNNNNNNNNNNNNNNNNNNNNNNNNNNNNNNNNNNNNNNNNNNNNNNNNNNNNNNNNNNNNNNNNNNNNNNNNNNNNNNNNNNNNNNNNNNNNNNNNNNNNNNNNNNNNNNNNNNNNNNNNNNNNNNNNNNNNNNNNNNNNNNNNNNNNNNNNNNNNNNNNNNNNNNNNNNNNNNNNNNNNNNNNNNNNNNNNNNNNNNNNNNNNNNNNNNNNNNNNNNNNNNNNNNNNNNNNNNNNNNNNNNNNNNNNNNNNNNNNNNNNNNNNNNNNNNNNNNNNNNNNNNNNNNNNNNNNNNNNNNNNNNNNNNNNNNNNNNNNNNNNNNNNNNNNNNNNNNNNNNNNNNNNNNNNNNNNNNNNNNNNNNNNNNNNNNNNNNNNNNNNNNNNNNNNNNNNNNNNNNNNNNNNNNNNNNNNNNNNNNNNNNNNNNNNNNNNNNNNNNNNNNNNNNNNNNNNNNNNNNNNNNNNNNNNNNNNNNNNNNNNNNNNNNNNNNNNNNNNNNNNNNNNNNNNNNNNNNNNNNNNNNUUGUGUGUGGCAAUUACGUUCAACAAACGUGGAUAUUUUUUUUGAAUUUCUAGCUAAAUUACAUGUACUUGUGCAGUUGUGCAGGUCCACAUGGCAACAACAAAAGCAACAAAAUGAGAGAGAGAGAGAGAGGAAGGGAGAGAGGGAGAGAGAGAGGGAGAGAGGGAGAGAGAGAGAGAGGGGGAGAGGGAGAGAGAGAGAGAGAGGGAGGGAGGGAGGGAGGGAGGGAGAGAGAGAGUACAGGAACAGAACCAAGCAAGUGGCUAGUAGGAAGACUAGUAUAUGAUUCAUCAGAAGACAUUGUGAAGAACAAGAUCUGUUACUUUUAUACAGCACUCACUGAAUUGCAUAGACUCUCACAGUUGAAAAAAAUUACAGAUGAUGAAUUUGAAAAUCAGAGAAGAGACCCAAAUAUAAAGAUCUGCUCCUCGUUUCUGCAGUCGUGUUCAUUUAUUUUUGCUUAAUGUACAAGUUUAUUUUAGAGCUGCUCAAGACGUUGACCGGUAAAGUUAUUUUUAUUUACCGCGAAGCUCAGCUGGACUUGGGCUAUGUGCAUUGAUUUUUGUUGGGCCUUUUCUGUUCGAAGUAUUCUCGACUUGGAUGGGUUAGGCCGGUGUCUCCAUCCAAGCCAUUAAUGGUCGACAUCCAAAAUUCUUCUUACUCAUUAAUUUCACUCCGGUGUGAAGUUUGUAAAUUCGUAGUUUUUGUUAGAGAAAAUAGAUUUUUUCGUCACUCAAUUUACUGUUUAUUUAAAAAUUUGCCGUUGAAUUAUAAUUUUUUUUUUGUCACUAAUGUUAGGUUCGGAUUUUUUUUAGUCACUAAACUUAGGUUCAGAUUUGAUUAUUAACAUUAUGUUAUUUUUUUUUAUUAUUAAAAUAUAGUGAUAGUCUGCACUAUAUUACGAAGAUUUGAUAUGUGUCCAUAUCUUUGUAUAUAGUACUUCAUAUGUCCCCUAGAUAGUUCAGCUUGGAGGACGAGAGUUUGACAUGUAUUUUAAGAAUUCUAAAAGAUUUAGUUUCAUAUUUUUUUUUUAUUUUUUUGCUAAAUAAAAUUUAUGAUUGUCUAUUUGUCUAUAUUAUGGGCCUGUUUGGUUGGAAGAAGCAGAAGCUGCUUCUGGCUUCUGCUUCUUUUGACCCGUUUGUGUAAAAAAGUAGAAGCACUUUUAAAAAGCUGAGAAUGUCAGCUUCUCUCUCACAGCUUCUACUUCUUUUCCAAACACUUUAUUAACCUAUUUACUUCUCACUUCUAAUCCACUUCUUUACUUUAAGCAAAGAAUCACUUUUUUUAAGUUUGUCCAAACGGCCCCUAUAUAUAGUUUCAUAAAAAUCAAGGUUAGAUGUCAUCUAAAAUUAUUAUACUAUUGUACAAAAAUAAGGACGAAUACUAUAAAAAAAAGUAGACAAUAUAUAUAUACAAUUAUUCCCGAUUUUACCGCUCAUUUAUGUUAUUAUUACUCCAUCCGCUCUCCUAUUUUUUUUUUUUUUUUAUAGUUCUUUCCGCUGCUUGACACGUAUUUUAAGAUUCCCACUUCUUAUAAAACAAAUUUUCAUAAUUUAAUUUUGAGAUUUUCAUUUUUGUGUAUAUAAAUUCGAAUGUAAAAUUUUUAUUCGGGAAAAAAAUUAAAAAAAAUUAUGAAAAAUUGUGAAACUAAAUCUUUUAGAAGCCUUAAAAUAGGUGUCAAAUUCUCGUCCUCUAAGGUAAACUACUUAGGGAACAUAUGAAGUACUACAUAUAAAAAUAUGACACACAUCAUAUCACUAUAAUAUUGCGGACCACCAUUAUGUUUCGAUAAUGCUAAAAAGAAUAAUAUAAUGUUAAUAAUAAAAUCCAAACCUAACGUUAGUGACAGAUAAAAUAAAUCUGAACCUAAUAUUAGUGGCACAAAGGAAAAAAAUUAUAGUUCGGUGGCAAAUUUCUAAACCAACAAUAAGUUGUGUGGCGAAAAAAUCUAUUUUCCAUUUUUGUUAAUAAAGUUUUGAAGUUAUUUUUUAUAUUAAAAAUUUAAUAAAAACAUAUUUUCCUAGUGCAAUUCACUUCGCAAAAUCUAUCUUUUCAUUUAUCCACUUGAUUGAUACGGUGCGUGUAAAUUCUUUUUUUUUUUUUUUUGAAUGGUCUACAUAAUCGUAGAUGAAUUGUAUCGAAAUACAAUAAACCGCAACUGGGAUUUCUUUCUUUCAAGAAAGUUUAUCAUCUAACCGAAAGCCAUGCAAGCAUAACUCCGGACGUUUAGACAAUAAAGCUUAAAUGAAUGAGAAAAGAAUACCCAUACAGCUCGCUUCCACAGUAUCCUGAGAAAAAACAGUCAAACAAAAUAUAAAUUAAUAUACAAGAAAAUCUAAUAAAAACAAAAACAAAAGAGUUUAUAUAUAAAAAAAAUAGAGAGGAAAUAUAUAUAUAUAUAUAUAUAGGGUCAAGUUCGAGAUAGAACCACAUUAUACUUAGAACUUAGACCCUAUAAAUUACCAUUAGAUAUAAAUAGGAUGUGUGGUUAAGAUUAUCAUUGGUAUUAAUCACAUGUUAUAUAUUUAGGUGACAUUUAUAUGUAUGCACAUUUAAUAAAUGAGAGUUAAUAACCAGAUUUAUUACUUUCCAUGAUUAAUACAAAUCUCAAUUAAAUUUUAUGUAUAUAAAUCAGUAUAACAAAAUUAAAUAUAUCAAAUAUUUUGUUUUCAUACAUAACAAAUUUGUGUGAUUUAAUUCUAUAUGUGUAAAUGUAUAACAAAUUUACGUGAUACUGUUGCAGCACUUGUACUAAUAUAAAAGAUGGUGUUAUAAUGCAAUAUUUUUCUAAAAAGAUGGAAAUACUGCUAUAGUACAUCAAAUAUCAUACUUAUAUUAUUUAAUAAUUAUACCGAUACUAUUGCAAUACAUAUUUUUUUAAAAAAAUAAAAUAAAAGUACUGCUAUAGUACACCAAAUACUAAUAUAAAAGAUGGUGUUAUAAUGCAAUAUUUUUCUUAAAAAAAUAGAAAUACUGCAAUAGUACGUCAAAUAUCAUAGUUAUAUUAUUUAAUAAUUAUACCGAUACUAUUGCAACACAUAUUUUUUUUUAAAAUAAAAGUACUGCUAUAGUACAUCAAAUAUCAAACUUAUAUUAUUUAAUAAUUAUACCGAUACUACUGCAGUACAUUGAAAAUAUAAUAUCAAUCCACCAGCCAUUUAAUUAUAGAAGGUAAAUUUAAAUUUUGCCACAUAAUUAUUGAAGUUAAUGCAUGCAUUAAUUACCUCCAAUCAUAUAUAAAAGACAAAAGUACAUAGCCAAUUUUAAAUGCAUUAUUUGAUCUUGGCCAUUAGUUUAAUCAGAAUCUAAUGACUUUAUAUGAGUUCUAAGUUCUAACUUUAAAACUGGUUCUAAUUUGAACCUCACCCUAUAUAUAUAUAUAUAUAUAUAUAAUAUAGAAUUAUUAAUAAAUAUCUAACCAAAGGAAAAUCCUUUGGUUAGACACAUUAAAAUUUAAUAAUUUAGAGUUUAACACGUAAUUAAAUAUAUUAAAUGCAAUGACCAUCAAAAUGGUAAAAUAAGCCAUAAAAAUGGCACUAAAAGCCAUUAAAGGCAUAAAAUGUCAUCAAUAAUGACCCCCAUAAAUGGUACUAAAUAUUCAUAAAGAAUAUUUAUUCAAUCACAAUUUAAAACGUAACUGAUACAAUUAAAACUAAUAAAGAUAAAUAAAGAACAGCCAAUAAGAGAGAUCCCGUAAUUAAAGUCAGUCCAAAUUAAAAUUAAAUUAUUGCCUAAAAAUCAUACAAUCAUGAUAAAUUAUGAAUUCAUAAAAUUUAAAAUUUAAACCUUAAGAAGAUAAAUAAAGACCAUCAUAAAUGUUAUUAAAUAUUCAUAAAGAAUAUUUAUCAAGAUAUAUUCCUUUCCAAAAUUAACCGAAAAAAUUGAAUACUUGCAUUUUAAAAAAUUUGCACAUAAAUAUACAUACAAAUAUAAUAUAUAAAAGCAACGCCAUAAUUCAAAAUAAAUUGAUAUCGAAACACUCAACAAUAUUACAUGCACCUAAAAACAUGUUAAAAAACUAAAAAGAUUAAUCUAGAAGAUCAAAUCACACACUUAACAAACACAUACAAUCAAGAACACCUAUCGAAAAUCUAUAUCGAGAAUCUAUAACAGACCUAAUUUCAAAUCGAUAUUCCGGUCAACCAUCACAAAUCCGGCUAAGAUAAAACAUGUCAGAAAAACGGGGAAAAAAUGGAUACAUAACUCGACUUGAUCUACAAAACUAAUCAAACAAAAUUCUAAAACAGAUACGAAUCCAUGAUUUCAAUCAACUCAAAAUUCUAUACAACCUUAAAAUUAGAAGAGGAAAAGCAUAAAAUGAUUUCUAUGAUGUAGAUAUGUUAUCGUAAUUCAUAAGAUAUACAAAACAAAAAGAACAAGCAAAAACACAUAGCAAGCAUUUAUUUUGGAUCAUAACAAUAUAAUCAAAAGAAGAUGAAAGAAUCAUACCUUUUCAAAGAGACGGAGAUAUUUUGAAAAACUAUAAAAUUGAGAGAAUAAACAUACCGAAUCCGAAAAUAAAAUUCAUAAAUUGUCACGAGCAAAAUCAUCUUUUGAUCCAUCAAAAUCUUUUAAAUAUUACAUCACCUUGUUUUCUUUGGUCGCUCAGUACCUUCUUUCUUGAUUGGCGGCGGUUCGUUGUUCGGAUCUACAUAGUAUGCCACAUCCCUUUUUUGGGGUCUCAAUUUGUUGGCAAUGUGUAAAAUGAAGAAGAUCCCCAUCACUAGGAUUAUACUUAUUUAUGAAUUAUUAUGCACCAGUAAGUUGGGUAUCGAUCAUCCACUCCUCAACACUUUCUACCACAUUCUAGACGAUCAUCCACUCCUCAACACUUUCUACCACAUUCUAGACGAUCAGCACGAGAGCAACAACAAGAACAAGUCUGAACAGGCGAGGAGCUAUGUUCGCGACGCGAAAGCCAUGGCGACGACUCCAGCUGAUGUUAAAGAGUAUCCGAAUGCCUAUGUGUUUGUGGUGGAUAUGCCUGGAUUGAAAUCAGGAGAUAUUAAGGUCCAGGUGGAGGAUGAGAAUGUGCUGGUGGUUUGCGGUGAGCGGAAGAGAGAAGAGGAAGAAGGCGUCAAGUAUGUGCGGAUGGAGAGGAAGGUGGGGAGGUUUAUGAGGAAGUUUGUGUUGCCUGAGAAUGCUGAUUUGGAGAAUAUUAAGGCGGUUUGUCAGGACGGUGUGUUGAGUGUUACGGUGGAGAAGUUGCCGCCUCCAGAGCCUAAGAAGCCUAAGACUAUUGAGGUUCAGAUUGCUUGAGUGAGGUGCGUGUAAAUUCUUGAUGCAUUUUUAUACAUCAUAAUUAAACAUGGCUAUAUUUUUUGAGAUAUUGUGUCAAAAAAUAAUCGAGAUUCGGAAUUAAUUUUAAUAUCAUUGUAUUAAUAAUUGGUGUAUAUACAUGUACAUAUACUAAUUAUAACUCUUGUUCGGUUGUUAUUAGUUAUAACUUUUAGAUAAUAAUAAUUUUAUAUUAUUUUGAUAAAUUUGUUGUCAACGAUAUUAAAAUCAAAUGUGAUAAAAACAUUGGGAUUUUUUUAUAAAUAACCAAAUUUAAAAAAAAUUCACAAACAUGCUGUCACUUUUUAAAACAAAUUGCAAAAAUACUAUGUUCCUGAAAAUAUUUGCAAAAAUACGGUGAUUGCAUGUGCAGCCAUAACUGCAACUCUUGUCAACCAGAAAUGCAACUUUAAAGAAAUUGGUUAAAAAUUACAUUUAAUUACAUAACAAAUUUCAAGUAGUUGCAAAUGGCGAAAAUAAAUGCCCCUACGAGGUCCGGUAGCUAAUAUUAACAUCACAAAAGCAGGUACAAAAUCAACUAAAAACAACUCAGAAAUCAACACUCAACAAUAUAAACACACAAAUUGGUAUGCUCAGCAUGUCGGUAACAUUUCAAUGUCACCCUACAGGAGAAACCUACGCACGAUCCAGAUCUAACAACUCAGUUCAAAAUCCUAACUCGAUGAGCGAUUUCAAUCUCGCUCUCCUACUCAUAGCGAUCGGCAAUCAGCAAGCUUGUAAACACGCUGUUUACAAUGGAGCUUGUAAUUUCACGCUGCCUAUGAAGAAUUUGUGGCUCGCGAUUUAUAUUGUUGAUGUCGUGCUCGUGUUUUUCUUCGUUCUAUUUGCGAUGUUUUUAUUACGAGGGUGAUUGGUACCGGAGCUCAGCGUGUCGGUACCGGAGCUCCGGUGUAUCUCGCCGCCGUUAUCGAUUGGCAGUGUUUGAAUAAAUACUAAGAGAGAGAAAAGAGUGAGUGAGUGAGGAAAGAGAAAAGAGUUAGAGAAGAGAUAAGUAAUAGAAUAAAGUAAAGAUGUAUUUUGAUAAUUUAUGUUAUAAAAUAAAAGAUAUUACAUUAGAAAGAUUUUAGAAAAGGUGAUGUAUUUUGCAAAUAAAAUCCAAAAAAUAAUACAUUUGGUAAAUUUCUUAAGAUAUUCUACUUAUAUUUUAAAAAAUAAAUAAUUUAUAUAGUUGAACGAAUCAUAUAUAGCUGACCUCUUCCUGCUCAAAAACUUGAAUGAUCAGUUUAGCUCCUACACAAAGCCAGCUACGGCCAUGUGUAUUAUUGUGAUUUUUUUUUAUAAUUUAUGGAUUAGCUAUUUUAUAUAUAAUAUUCGCAUGGAGUUACUAAAUUUAUUCUUUCACUGUUUAUUAAUUUAUUUGAUAAACUCUUCUUAUAGUAUUUUUUCUUAAAAUUUAUGUAAUAAUUAUCAUAUUUAUUUAAUAGCAUAAUAAUAAUAGUUGAAGAAUAUUUAUAGCUCAAACAAAUUUAUCUAGUUAAAGAAGCAAAAUUGAGAAAAAAUAUCAUUCAACACUAUUAAAAUUUAUAUGCCAAACAAUAUUUAUUAUUCAUCAUUAGAUAUUUUAUUAAUUCAGAUAUAUUAAUCAAUAGGAUGUAAUUCAUUCAAAUUUGCCAAAUCACUCCUUAAUGUUCCAGAAAAUAUAGUCAUUGUGCACCAACGUUUGGUUGUCACAUUACCUUAUUUCUCAAGUUCUCCGGCUAACAAUAAGCUCCAACAAAAGCUGUGCCAGAGAGAUAAAAUUAUUAUUACUGAUCCAGAAAACAUAUGUGUUGCUACUGAAUUGCUCUACAAAUUAUUUGGGCUACAGAAUAUCACAAUUUAAAGACAUCUAGUUGUGAUUCUUAAAUAAACUACGAUAUCACACAAAAGUUUGAAGACAUUUGACGGAGUUAUGGAUCCUCGAUUGGAGUCUAUUGUGGACAGAUUAAAGGUUUAGGAGGCAUCACCAGAAGUCCAGUGUCUCCUUCCAGCAUUUCGAGAACUUUGUUCAUUGAAGGACGGUCACUUGGUUUCAUUUGUAUACACCACAUUGCUACAAUGAUCAUCUUCUUUGCCAACUUCCUUUCAUCCUUACUGGCAUCUUCCAUUUCGAUCUCCUUUCCGUUGCUUAUUUGAUCAUAGAUCCAUGAAAGAUAGUAUAUCUGGCUAAUUUGGUCCACCAUUGGCUUCAAAUUUUUCCUUUGCCCUGCCAUUUCCAGCAGCAACAUCCCGAAACUAUACACAUCUGCUUUAUUUGAAACACCGCCAAUAUUUUUGUAAAACAAUUCGGGAGCCAUGUAACCCAAAGUUCCCCUUGCAGCAGUCAUAGUCACAAUACUAUCAUCAGCAGCACGUAAUUUUGCAAGGCCAAAAUCAGAAAUUUUGGGAUUGAAAUUUUCAUCGAGAAGAAUAUUAUGAGGCUUGAUAUCAAAGUGCAAGAUUUGGAUGUCACAACCUCGAUGUAAAUACUGAAUUCUGUUAUACGCAAAAAUCACCAUGAAGACCCCGGCCCAUGAAAGAAGACUAUGAUGGGCUCAAGAUUGGACCAAGCCCAAACUAGCCAUGUCAACCAGAAGAACCCACUUCAAGAAGAUUGGGCGCGCCCAAUCUUCAGGGCGCGCCAAGUUGAAGCUUACAGAGAAAGAUCGUCAUUUGAAGGGCAGAAGAUGACAUAUUUUACCUAGGGGGACGCCCUUGGGUGUGUAUAGAUCCUACUGUUAAUUUGUCGAAGACUCUACCUUGUAGUCUGAGGAGUUGCCCUCCUUGGGAGAUAGAGAAUGAAGAUUAGAGGAGGCCUUGCUCUGUAGUCUGGCGAGUUGUCCUUGUCGGGGAGCUUGUGGAACCUUCUCGAAGGCGCGCCCUGAAAGGCUCUAUCUCUGUAGUCUGGCGGGUUGUCCCUGUCGGGGAGUAGAGAAGCGUCCUUGCAUUUGGGGUAAGCCUUGGGUGCUCGAGAGUCUACAAGGCCCAAGGCUAGGCCUCAUCGUAUUGGACCCCUUUCGGGAGGAAGAUUCUAGAAGGGGAGGCCCAGCCCGCUUGGGUCUCUUAGGAGAAAGAACUACGUACCGGCUUGAUCCCCUAUAAAUAGGGGUACGUAGGCACAUCGUGGGCAUAUGUAGCUCUUGGGAACGAGAGGCCGGUGAAUAGACCCCUAGUUUUCUUCGCGAUCUUGAACCCUAUGCCUACGAUCUCAGCCACAUCCAAACAUAACCAAUCACCACCCCCUAUUCCGACGAACAACCGCCGCGACAAAUCUUGAUUCACGCCGCGAACCUCAUCUUUGUUAACCUACCAGUUUUCUCCGUUAACAAAUUGGCGCUAGAAGGAGGGGCUUUCAAGAUUUUCCAUCGAGGAGAAAGAUGUCGAACCGCGGCGAUACAACCCCUAGCGGUAGUCAACAACCCGAUCCAAGAUCAAGAAGAGACAACGUCGGAAAGACAAGCAAAACCGGACGGACGGACAACACCACAGUCGGGAACACCACUUGGGACCAGGCAGUUGUGAUGACAGAUGAAGACAAUGUCAAUCUACGACGGCCGAUCGCCUAGUCGCCGCCAAUCAUGGUGAGUAACGACGAGUUAUCUGAAAAGACCGAUUAUAAGGGAUUGAAGACGGGUUCGAUGGAGAAGUCCGUUCAGAGGGGACAUAUAAUGGAGGAGAAGUCCGUUAUGAGGGAGAAGAAGAGAGGAUCGGAGGAGAAGUCCGGUAUGAAGGAGAAGAAGACGCGAUCGAAGGAGAAGACCAUUAUGAAGGAAAAGAGACGGGUUCGACGGAGGAGUAUGAUCGGAGAGGAAAGACGACGGUAAGCCUGGUUGUUUGUUAUCAAUAUUGAACGAGGCAAGGUUGUGAGGGCGAAAGAUAACGGCAAGAUCGGGACGGAGGUUCCAAAGGCCAACACACAAGGGACGCGAGAUUUUCGGAUCUGGAAUCUGGAGACUUUCUUAGGGUUUUGGAAGGAAGCAAGUCCCACGGCUGGCACAAUGUAUCAAGGAGCGCGCCUUCCCCUGACUGGGCGCGCUUAAGGUAAAUAUUCUUCUUGCACUUGCAUACGGUAUAUUGUGUUAGUCAGGUCCUUUGCAGAAAGGAAGAAUGUUAGUUUAGGCGCGCCUUCCCCUGACUGGGCGCGCCCUGAGGUAAAUACUCUUCUUGACACUGUAUAUAGUAUAUUGUGUUGGUUGUAUUUCUUGUAGGAAGGAAGAAUAUGUCAAAGCGCGCCUCCCCCUGGCUAGGCGCGCCUAAGCUAAAUAUUCUUCCUAAUACCUGUAUGCAAUAUAUUGUAUUAGUUGUGUCCUUUGCAGGAGGAAGAAUGUUAGGAAGCGCGUCUCCCCCUGAUUGGGCGCGUCUUAAGGUAAAUGUUCCUCCUGAUACUCAUAUACGAUAUGUUGUAUUAUUUGUAUUGUUUUGUACUCUUUGAAGCGAGGAAGAAUGUUAGAAAGCACGCCUCCCCCUGACUAGGCGCGCCUUGAGGAAAACAUUCGCCCUAUUACUCGUAUACGAUAUGUUGUGUUAGUUGUAUUCUUUGCAGGGAGGAAGAAUAUAUCGAGUAGCGCGCCUCCCCUUGACUGGGCGCGCCUCCAGGUAAAUAUCCUUCCUGAUACUUGCAUACCGUAUAUUGUGUUGGUUCCAUCCCUUGCAGGAAGGAAUAAUAUAUCGAGAAGCGCGCCUGCCCCUAACAGGGUGCGCCUUAAAGAAAGAAGAAUAAUCGAAGCGCGCCUCCCCCUGACAGGGCGCGCCCUAAGGCUUGCUUCACUUCAAUUUCAUGGAUGCUCAGAUCAACCACGUAACUCGACAACAAACGUCAGCAAAUCCUCCUGCUCCAACAUCGUCAACUCCUCUUGCCUCUCCAUCAGCAAAUCAUCUUGCUCCGACAACUCUUCUCGCAUCUCCAUCAGCAAAAUCAUCUUGCUCCGACAACUCUUCUCGCAUAUUCAUCAGCAAAUCCUCUUGCUCCGAGGAACACUCCGUCUACAAUGAUCCUUCAACCCAACAAGGAUCAGGUACAAUUAACAUCAACAAAUCUCAGGAGGAUCUUUGACACAUCACUCCCAAUCAAGUCCUCUCGCCAUUCUUUGCCAAAGUAAUCAAGACUCCUCAUUCGCUAAGAAUGCAACAUAAGAUCAGAAGUCUCAAAGAGGAAGCAUAUAAGGAGGUGGAACAAAAAUCCUUGGCCGAAAGCAAAGGAAGGAGCUAGGAAUAAUGAAAAGGAAAUAGAACUGGGCACACCUUCCCCUAACAGGGCGCGCCAUAAGGUAAAUACUAACCUUACUAUUUUGCUAAUAUAAUUUUGUAUAUAUAUGCAAUUCUGUACAGGGGUGUGCCCAACGUUUAAGUCUUCAAGCUUUGACACAUCUUGGGAACUCCAUCUUCAUAACACCGUCUUCUUCAACCUACAUCUUCAAGACAAGUCGGAACCGGGGGGGUAGUAGCUGUUACACCCAAAAUCCAACAUUAGGCGCGCCUAAACAUAGGGCGCGCCCAGUUCGAUUAUAACUCAAACGUCUCUAGAACUGAGAGCCUAGUCAACAACAAUUGGAAGAAUUUGCUUCACCAUCAGGGCGCACCUCAUCCUCAUCUAAGACAUGGUAGAAGGCACGCUCGUCUCCUUCCACCUCGGCUUCCGCGGCCUCUCCUCCAGCCUCGGCUUCCGCAGCCUCAUCUCUCCUUCCGCCUUGGCUUCCGCGGCCUCUCCUCCAGCCUCGGCUUCCGCGGCCUCAUCUCUCCUUCCGCCUCGGCUUCCGCGGCCUCUCCUUGAACCUCGGCUUCCGCAGCCUCAUCUUCAUCGACUCAGUCUCGGCUUUCGCGGCCUCAUCUUCAUCGACUCAGUCUCGGCUUUCGCGGCCUCAUCCUCAGCAACCUCGUCAUCGUCUCUAUCAAGCAAGCACUACUUACAUAUCCAUCAAGCAAGCACUGCCUUCACCUCCGUCAAGCAUAAUCAUCAUCAUCUUCAAACAACUUCUUCAACAUCGGCUUCAAAGGAAUCUCCUUCAACAUAUGGCGCGCCUAGUUAAUGACCGUCAACAUCUUCUGCAUCAACGAAGAACAACCAAGAUAGGACAUCUCAGGGGUUGAAGGACAUCAAGAUCUCGUCGACAUUUUCAAUGCCACCAAGAUCUGGGGGGUAUCUGUUAUACGCAAAAAUCACCAUGAAGACCCGGCCCAUGAAAGAAGACUAUGAUGGGCUCAAGAUUGGACCAAGCCCAAACUAGCCAUGUCAACCAGAAGAACCCACUUCAAGAAGAUUGGGCGCGCCCAAUCUUCAGGGCGCGCCAAGUUGAAGCUUACAGAGAAAGAUCGUCAUUUGAAGGGCAGAAGAGGACAUAUUUUACCUAGGGGGACGCCCUUGGGUGUGUAUAGAUCCUACUGUUAAUUUGUCGAAGACUCUACCUUGUAGUCUGAGGAGUUGCCCUCCUUGGGAGAUAGAGAAUGAAGAUUAGAGGAGGCCUUGCUCUGUAGUCUGGCGAGUUGUCCUUGUCGGGGAACAUGUGGAACCUUCUCGAAGGCGCGCCCUGAAAGGCUCUAUCUCUGUAGUCUGGCGGGUUGUCCCUGUCGGGGAGUAGAGAAGCGUCCUUGCAUUUGGGGUAAGCCUUGGGUGCUCGAGAGUCUACAAGGCCCAAGGCUAGGCCUCAUCGUAUUGGACCCCUUUCGGGAGGAAGAUUCUAGAAGGGGAGGCCCAGCCCGCUUGGGUCUCUUAGGAGAAAGAACUACGUACCGGCUUGAUCCCCUAUAAAUAGGGGUACGUAGGCACAUCGUGGGCAUAGGUAGCUCUUGGGAACGAGAGGCCGGUGAAUAGACCCCUAGUUUUCUUCGCGAUCUUGAACCCUAUGCCUACAAUCUCAGCCACAUCCAAACACAACCAAUCACCACCCCCUAUUCCGACGAACAACCGCCGCGACAAAUCUUGAUUUACGCCGCGAACCUCAUCUUUGUUAACCUACCAGUUUUCUCCGUUAACAAAUUCCACAUGCCACUUUGUAUGAAAUAUCAUAAAUCUUAUCACUUCUCAAUGUGAUUGUAUCCCCUGCUUCAGGGAAAAUGUAUUUGUCGAGAGAUCCAUUAGGCAUAAACUCGUAUAUCAGUGCACGUUUUCGAUUCUCAAAGCAAAAGCCGACAAGUUUUACAAUGUUAACAUGGUGGAUUCUACCAAUAGUGCCAACUUCAUUGAUGAAAUCAUGGCUGCUAGCGUUGGAGUUGCCUAAUACCUUAACAGCUACUACCAGGCCGCUUCUAAGUUUUCCUUUAUAUACCGUGCCAAAUCCACCUUCACCCAAUUUAUCAUUGAAUCCGUUGGUGAUUUUCUUUAUAUGUGAAUAAGUGUACCUAAUAGGCAUGAGAUCAUUUUGACCUUGCAGGAAGUUUUCAAUGGUGUCAUCCACUGACAAAUGUCGUCUUCUUAAUUUAUAUACCAGAAACACAAAUAGUAAUGCUAUUCCGCAAAGAAAUCUUAUACCAAGAGCAAUUCCUAAAAUAUGACAUCGCCAAGAAAGAUAAGAUGAGUGCAAAGUGAUGGCCUUCUUUCUAAAUAUUUAUAAGAGUAUGAAAACUAAUGCAGGGUAUAACAUCUCACCAGUGUUCUUGUAUACAGAUGAAUCAUUGUCUGCGCGACAGUAAAAAUUAAGAGUGAAGACAGAGGAAAAUGGUUAAUACUGUAUCGACAAAUGUGGAGUAGCCAGUAAAUUCUGCAUAUAUUUAAAUAACUUACCCUCAAACCACCUUGAGAAAGCUUGCAAGUUGUCCCCUAGGCCUAGAAAGAUUAAUCAUAUUAAGUUUUCAAGUCCUCGAGGCAGAUGAUUAUGAGAAGCUUGUAAUUAACUUACAAAAUAUUUGAAUUAUUUUCUCCUACCGCAUUUAAAUGAGAUGCCACGGAUAUCAUCACAAUAAGUGUACACGGUUGUCGGACAGACGUAAUACGAAAGUUCUUCCUUGACUCGGGCACAGUAUGACUUAUAAGGAGCAGAACAAUUUAGGCAAUAAAAAUAAUGAAAUGGAAGCUCAAUUCCGUAGAAAUUCUCGGGAGUGUCUUGUGAUUCAAAUAAGGAUGUUUGAUGAAUUUUCUGCCAAGCGGAUGACACCAAAGUUGUCCACCGAAUCCUACAGUUGUUCUCCACUUCUGAUGAAUUCAAAGGUCCAAAAAUAAUGUACGAGGAGACUGAUGACGGUGAUGAGCAUGGAGGGGAAGGUAUAUAUCGAGCUGAAGAAUUCACAGGAGCUGGACAAUCAAUAUAUGUUAUUGGCGUAUUAAAUUGUCGACUGGCUGUAGACGGAUAGAUUAGCAGUCCCCUGGAAAAGCGAUAUGAAUUCCUUCGGAAAGGAUAAGUACUACGGAUGUUGUUGGAGGAACAUAAAUAGUUAUCUCCACCCAGCACUGAAUCAACAAUCCGAAUCAAAGAGGUUUCAUAAUUGAUAGCCUCCACAUAGAAUACAUGCUUCGUAUAGGUGUCCAAAGAUAAUGAAGUACGGUUAUUGUGGCAGAAGAGUUCAUAGCUGAAAUCGCUACAAUUAGGCUCAAGGCCUCUGAGAUAAAAGGGGCAGCUUAUGUUAUGUAUAUCACCACAAGAAGACGAUGAAGGCAAAUUGUCUGAUUUGCUGUAGUCGUCGCAGCUACCUACUGAUAUGAACAACGCAAUAACAAUUAAAUGAAAAGACAUUAUUUGGUGUGGAUGAAAGUUGCAUUUCACCAUAUAUUAGUAGCAGACUUGUAAAGGAGCUUCUUUGCUGAAAGCAAGAACUUUCUUAGUAAUUAUCAGCAAGAAAAUAUUGUAAUACUACAGUAUGUAAGAAAGUCAGAGCUUGUAGUCAUUUUCCUUAAUAUAAUGUUUUCAAGAGAAAAUGUAGUAAUUUAUUUACUGCAAAUUUUUGUCAUGAAUGUGAGAGCCUAGACAUGACAGGCCUGACAGGCAACUGAAAUAUAGGAGUCGAUUUGAUAAGUAUAAAAUGUUCCUCUUAGUUGGUGAUAAUUACUCAUGUUCUACAGGUUAACGCGUUUUAAAACCAGAUAGUGACUGAGAUGAUUCAUUAAUUUAAGUAUUCUUGAUUGAGCUGAAUGAUUCAGGGUCAACUGGUCGACUAAUAUUAUAUGACUGGCGUGAUACAUUGGUGAGGCGAUGUAGUAGAUAUACUGUAACAAUAUUCCUUGUUUCUGACUUGAGAGUUUGUUGAUCAAUAAAAAGUAUAUACUGUAAUAGGGAAUAAUGAGCUUCAACAUGGUAAUGGUUCAUUAUCAUAUGUUCAAUUUGGCUGUAUAUGUAAUUGUUUGUAAUAGUAUCAUUAUGAGGAUGGAAUGCAAAGAAGUGCAAAACGACGUGUGCAGCAGGGUAACAAGGUGUGGAGCAACUGAAAUUCGCUUCCCUUUUAAUCUCAGAGACGCUGAUGAGGAGCAGCAUAAGAAAGACCACUGUGUCUUCCCACCUGGAUUUCAACUUACUUGCCACGAUCCAUCUGAGUUUUCUCCUGUAAAUGAUUUUCUUCCGAUGUUGGAGUUUGAAUACCAGGUUAACACCUCUCUUCCCGGGCUCUACCUGUCCUUCUCUGUUAAGGCUGUUGUCAUUUCUAUUGACUACAAAUCACAGCAGCUCCAGUUCAUAUAUUCAUCUGCUUUUGUAUCUUCCUACCGAGUUAUCAGACAACAUUACCACUACUCUCACAGCAACCAGCAUGAUGACAACCUGCCUAAUUAUCCUUUCAAGCCUUUUACAUUGACUCACUCCUCAUUAUAUCCUAUUCAGCAUAAUGGUCCUAUUGAUUUCUAUUAUCACUUUACCAGCUACAUGAAUGACUAUACAUUUUACAACUGUUCAUCAACAAGCGAAAUAGAUAUUGGCAUUUAUGUAAUAGAACCCGUCACUUCUAUGAGAGGACAUGGUUAUCAAGUCUAUGCUGUCUAUUCUUAUGCAGAAAUAUUGGAAGUCCUCAUAACAUCUUGCACCAAGAUGUACAACAUUUCGGAUGUCCCCUUUAUCAUGGGAGGACUGACUUGGUUUGAGCCCAAUUGUAAUGAUUGUGAAGACGAAGGUCAGUAUUGCAAAUUCAAACCAAACAGCACUACUCUCACCCAGUGCUACCCCAAAGGUAUAUGAACUGUGCUACACAAGAUAAAAUUAUUGAUUCGUCUUAGUUUUCACAAAUAUCAGCAUCUCUUUACUUUACUAUCUUCAGGAAAUAAGCAUACAUCUUCCUUUUUUAUUUUGCAGGUACUUCACCACUGAAUGUUCCUUUAAUAGGUGAACUUCUGAACUGGCACCUUCUCCCCUCUCAAAUCUCUCUGUACACAUUGGAUAUUUUUUUCUAUUGUAUAGUUAGUUAUAACUCAGAAAGGUCGUCUAACAACUCAAUAAUCUCUGGUUCACAAUUUACACUCCUUUUAAUUUUGAGCUUUGUACGUCCAUGACAUUUAUAUUUCUGUCUCGACAAAAGUAUUAGUAUUGUUUCAAAUCAGGUGAAUUAGGUAAGUAAUUUUCACAUUGAGUGGCAUUAUAAAUCUGCAUUUGUUUCUGAUAUUACUUGUUAACCCUCUGUUACAUGAUAGGUAAAGUUGGGGGUAUCACUUUCGUGUUGCUCAGUUUUGUAGCACUGUAUUAUGCUACCAAGUCAUAUAAACAGAAGAAAAGAUAUCACUUGAAGAUUGAAACGUUCUUGGAGGACUACAGAGCUCUAAAGCCUUCAAGAUACUCUUAUGCUGACAUUAAAAAGAUGAGCAAUCAAUUCAAAGUCAAAUUAGGGGAGGAAGGUUAUGGAUCAGUGUACAAGGGACAACUUUCAAAUGAUGUUGUUGUUGCAGUUAAGGUUCUCAAUGAUAAGGUGGACGCCAAAGAAAGUGGAGAAGAUUUCAUAAAUGAAGUUAGUACCAUAGGCUUGAUCCACCAUGUUAAUGUGGUCCGUCUGGUUGGAUAUUGCGCUGAUGGCUGUAGAAGAGCUCUUGUUUAUGAGUUCCUGCCAAACAAUUCACUCGAUAAGUUUGUCUACUCGAGAGAAAAGAAGAAUAAAAGAUUCCUAGGAUGGGAAAAGAUGCAAGAUAUUGCUCUAGGCACAGCCAGAGGUAUUGAGUAUCUCCACCAAGGUUGUGCCCAACCAAUCCUCCACUUUGAUAUUAAACCUCACAACAUCUUGUUGGACCAAAAUUUUAAUCCAAAAGUCUCAGACUUCGGUUUAGCAAAGUUGUGCACCAGAGGACAGAGUAUGGUCUCCUUGACUAUGGCUAGGGGGACAAUAGGCUAUAUUGCCCCAGAAGUAUUUUCCAGGAAUUUUGGUAAAGUAUCAGCCAAAUCCGACGUUUAUAGUUUUGGUAUGUUGUUGCUUGAAAUGGUUGGAGUAAGGAAUCAUUCUUCAGUAGGAAGAGAAGGCGCAAGCGAAGUAUAUUUCCCAGAAUGGAUUUACCAUCAACUUGAACAAGAGAGGGAAACAGGAAGCCAGAUUGAGCAAGAAGCAAACAGCACAAUAGCAAAAAAGCUAACUAUAGUUGGACUAUGGUGCAUAAAUUGGCAUCCAGCAGAACGACCUUCUAUGAAACAUGUGAUUCAGAUGCUCCAGGAAGAAAACUGCCCAGCCAUACCUCCUAACCCAUUUUUCUCAGCAAAUUCCAAAAAUGCAUCCACAUUUAGCAACAAAGUUGAAGUUAUUUCAGAAUCAGACUGAAUAUUAUGAGCUGUCUCUAGACUCUAGUGAAUGUUGUUCAAUUAGAACCUCUAAUAUGUGAUAUGUUUAUGGUAUGUUUUAAUGUUUGCAUCAGUAUAAAAAAUUUGUCCUCAGGACUUAAACUAAUGAAUAACUCUAGUUCAUAGUGACCAAAUAUUGAUGGCCUGAGGCCGAGCCUUCGAUUCACAACUGUAAUAAAAUACAAAUACACAUCACCUGCAUAUCUCACUUGUUCAACAUUACAGGCUUCAAUUCAGGGAGCCUAAUCGAUGGAGAAAGUAAGACUGCUGAUUUAUAUAUUAGCUAGAUCAAUAAUUGAUUUCUUAGAAAGAUAGAGUUGUUCAAGUCGUCGUAAAUAUUAAGAAAAAUGACUAAAUUCCGAUGGCAGGUCAAUUAAAAGGUGCAGAAAUACUAGUGAUGACACUGCAGACUUAUAUACACUGCAAGAAAAUAAUUUAAAAAGUAAAAGAUUUGAUUAAUAGGUGUGAUAUGAAUCUAAGAAGUUAAUUAUUAAGUUUUUGGCACAUGUGGAAUGUGAUAAACUGGCUUAGUAAAGCUCUGUAAGGAUCUCAAAGGAACUAAGAUGACAAGUAUAGUUCUCUUGCUGGCAUUAAAUUCAAAUUUAGUUUCAACAAUAUUUUUGACGCAUCUUCUUCUUUAACUGAUGAUCGAUUGAUGCAAUAAUCCACCAGUUGUGGACAUGUGGUACCACAAACAACAUGUGAUUUCAUGGAGGUUCUACUUGCCAACUUUAUUUAAAGUAACUUAGUCUGAUUCAGAAAAAACUUCAGACUUGUUGCUAGAAAUGAAUGCAUUCUUGGAAAUUAACCAAAUUUACUUCCCUUCACAGAUUAAUGAUCAGACUGGCAAAGGAAAGGAGAUUGAACUGGAAGAUGCUGCUGAGGAUGAACAUAAAUUGGUACAGAAGAUGAUAAUAGUAGCCGUGUGGUGUAUACAGAUGAAACCAAGUGAGCGUCCGUCAAUGAGCAAAGUUAUUGAAAUGCUUGAAGGAGACGCGGAUCUGGUGAUGCCACCUAAACCUUUAAUUUGUAAACAAGAGGCUCCCAUCAAGGAACAUGAAGUUUGUCAAAUUCUCCAAACAGAUGAUCUGAGAUUAUGAAAUGCAAGUUAAUAUCAAGUCCAGUGUCUUUUAGGUCGAUAGUUCAAUACUCUUUCUUUAUUGUUUGAGAUGACCUAUAGACCCAGAUGACUUGUAUGAGAAAAAUUGUUUGAGAUUGCUAUAAUUCUGAAAAUUCUCUGUAUUGCAUUGAAAAUUUGUUUUCAACUUCUUAUCCUUAUUGUACAACAUCACAUUUAGACAAUCUAAAGUUACUAGGAAUAAACAAAGACAAUGCAGAAAUAAGUGAAAGAAUUAAAUCGAGGUAAUCUCUAACACAAUGAGCUAAAUAUCCUUUCUGUACCAGUAGACUCCUUUGGUCUCGCCUUCAUCCUUCUCCACGUAAAUGCAUUCCUUCAUUUCUCUGUACAUUGCCUUAAGAAUAGGAGUUCCAUCAUACUGAUAAUAAUCACCCAAUACAGGCUUCAUGGCCUCUGUGGCUUCAAGUCCGUGGUAAUGUGGGAUCAUGGAGAAAAUGUGGUGACAGACAUGAGCAUUGCAGACAUUGUGGAACACCUUGUUCAAUAUUCCAUAGUCUCUGUCAACAGUGCAUAGAGCUCCCCUCAACCAGUCCCAUUCAGUUGAAUCGUAGUAAGGCACAGAAGGAUGAGUAUGGUUGAGGAUGGUGAUCAAUGUGAACCAUCCGUUGACAACGAGCAGUGGACCUCCAUAAACACAGAAAACCCAGACAAAUCCUUUGGCUAAUACUAGAUUGCACAGCCCAUAGAUACCAGCAAGAAUGGCAAGAUCAGACACAAUGAUCUGCUUGCGCUCACGUUCUGUGUAAAGUGGGCUAUGGGGAUCAUAGUGGGAAGUCCACCUCUCAUACUUGUGUCCAGAAACAUUAAACAUCAAAUAUAAAGGGAAACCUAUGAGAAGUGUGGUAACCCAGACAAGUACACGACCGGGUGGGUUGUUGAGAAUUUUGUAGUAGUUCCUGAUGUUGGACUUGAAUCUGGGAACAUAAACUUCAUCAUUCUCAAGCGACUGGGUGUUGGCGUGGUGACGUCUGUGGCUAAUUUUCCAAGAGAAAUAAGGGACCAUGAGAGAAGAGUGGACAAUAAGGCCAACAAGGUCGUUCACCCAACCAUAAUCGCUAAAGGCGUCAUGAUCACAUUCAUGGCCUACAACCCAAGCUCCCGUCAAGACACACCCCUGGACAGCAAUGUAAGCAGCCCAACCCAAGUAGUUGAUUGGAUGGGGAAGAUACUGGUCAAUGUAAUUAGUAGCAACAAAGUAGAGGGCAUAGGCCAUGAGGAGAUCUUGAAUGAGGUAACGAAAAGAAGUUAUGAGUGAUUUUUCAAAGCAAUGGGCAGGAAUGGCUUUCUUGAGGUCACCAAUGGUAAAAGGAGGUUUCUCAUGAGGAGCGCGUCGAAGUGCUUCUGUUUCAGUUUUUUUGGCUGUAGGAGGAUCCGACAUUCGCCCACCUGCACCCAUUGUUCCCUCACUCUUGGUUUUUGUUGUGUGUUUA
rnacentral:lncRNA from 1 species